rnacentral:lncRNA from 1 species
UGUUCGGGUUCGAUGCAAUACUAAUUUCCUGUCUCAUAGCCAACCCAAACAUGAUACCCAACAUUCCAAAAGUGCACGAAACAGAGGAAGUGAAGAAAAACAGAGCAUAUACAAACGAAAAAGAUACGAUUGAACUCGGCUCCAUUUCAUAACGAUCAAUGGGCUGGAUACAGGUGCCAUUGGAAGGAAGCAAAAAAAAAUAUGAUUUUGAUACAUCAAGCUCAGGGGAGAAAACAAAGCAUCAGGCAUUGACAAGAAAGAUAGAAAAAAAAAAACACCAGAAACAAAACCAAAACAGAGCAUGCAUACAAAGGAUAGAUCCCUCAAAGCAAACAAGUGGCCUAGUAGUCAUACCUGGAUGUUUUCCUCAAGCCAAAAGUUUCCUGGCCACCCGCUCUGCUCUCCUCCCUUCCCUCUCCUGCUUCAGCCAAAGAACCCCUCUUUAAAAAAGAAUCCCCUCACCUCCAAAUCUCCCCUGUUUCCCUGUCUUUCUUACCAAGCCACUACCUGCUCUCAUGUGCACCAUUCCGCCAAUGCGUCAUCCUCACCCACCACCAUGGGCGAGCCGUGCUCUUGGCCACUCCUCAUCUCAAGGAAAAUUCUCUCUGAUUUGAAAGCAUUUCUCUUUCUCUCUCUCUCUCUUUCUCUCUCUCCCUCUCUCUCUUUCUCGGCUUCAUCACCCACAUAAUCCCAAGAUCCAUGUAAAAUUUCCCAAAAAUUGUCUUAUUUGAGAGAAAAAAACCAUUAAUCCAAAACUCUAACUUGCAUGUUUCUUUCUUGUCCACAUAAAAGUGCAACGAAAUGGAGCAUUCCAUCCUAAGAAUGUCCAGUUAAAAGACGACUUCAAGAGGCACAUCUGUGAUUGUGAAUCUACUACAGCAGCGCGUACCAAAACGGAAAGGUGGAAUCCAAAAUAUUGGCUUUGUAAACAAGAUAUCUCUUUCUAUCAUUGAGUGACAUUUUGCCCUAACCCUAAACCGAAAUCUAAAGGUAAAUUAUUUUCAUUUAUUGUUCUUUAGUGCAUUUAUUUGAAAUAGAGCACAUCAACGUUUUGGAGUUGUUUGUGGACAUGAACUUUUGUGUUGGGUUGUGGGAACCAUAUUAUUCCUAAAUAAUCAUAUGACUCACAAGUCAUAUUGAACCAAGAUGGAACUUACAACAUAUAUGGUUGUAAGUCGCAUUGUUAUUUUGCGGACUGUACCUUAGGUACUACCUUAAUAGCCCUUAGGUACCACCUUAGCCUACCUUAGGUACUACCUUAAGCCACCUUAGGCACUAUUUUAGUUAAAGUUAGGUUGUACCUAUCCAAAGCAUCGAACCUUCCUUUGUCACCCUUAGAGCAUGCCAUUAUGUGAUUCUUUUAUGUGGUCAAGUGGUUCGCCUUUGGUUUUUUGUGGACUGUACCUUAGGUGCUACCUUAAUAGUCCUUAGGUACCACCUUAUUCUACCUUAAGUACUACCUUAGUUAAAGUUGGGUUCUACAUAUCCGAAGCCUUGGACCUUCCUUUGUGACCCUUAGAUCAUGUCAUUAUGUUAUCUUUUGUGUGGGCCAGUGGUUCACCUUUGAUUUUUUAGGGACAGUACCUUAGGUACUACCUUAAUAGCCCUUAGAUACCACCUUAAUCUACCUUAGGUACUACCUUAACCGACCUUAGGUACUAUCUUAGUUAAAAUUGGGUUCUACCGAUCCGAAGCCUCUGACCUUCAUUUGUCACCCUUAGACCAUGCCUUUAUGUGAUUCUUUUGUGUGGUCAAGUGGUUCACCUUUGGUUUUUGCGGACUGUACCUUAAGUACUACCUUAAUAGCCCUUAGAUACCACUUUAAUCUACAUUAGGUACUACCUUAGUUANNNNNNNNNNNNNNNNNNNNNNNNNNNNNNNNNNNNNNNNNNNNNNNNNNNNNNNNNNNNNNNNNNNNNNNNNNNNNNNNNNNNNNNNNNNNNNNNNNNNNNNNNNNNGAACUUAGUUAAAGUUGGGUUCUACCUAUUCAAAGCCUCAGACCUUCUUUUGUGACCCUUAGACCAUGCCAUUAUUUGAUUCUUUUGUGUGGGCAAGUGGUUCACCUUUGGUUUUUUGGGGAUUGUACCUUAGGCACUACCUUAUAGCCCUUAGGUACCACCUUAACCUACUUUAGGUACUACCUUAACCAACCUUAGGUACUACUUUAGUUAAAGUUGGGUUCUACCUAUCCAAAGCCUCUGACCUUCCUUUGUGACCCUUAGACCAUGCCAUUAUUUGAUUUUUUUUGUGGGCAAGUGGUUCACUUUAGUUUUUUGGGGAUUGUACCUUAGGCACUACCUUAAUAGCCCUUAGGUACCACUUUAAUCUACCAGGUACUACCUUAACCGACCAUAAGUACUACUUUAGUUAAAGUUGGGUUCUACCUAUCCGAAGCCUCUGACCUUCCUUUGUGACCCUUAGACCAUGCCAUUAUAUGAUUCUUUUGUCUGGGCAAGUGGUUCACCUUUGGUUUUUUGGGGACUGUACCUUAUGUACUAUCUUCAUAGCCCUUAGGUACCACCUUAAUCUACCUUAGGAACUACCUUAACUGACCUUAGGUACUACCUCAGUUAAAGUUGGGUUCUACCUAUCCGAAGCCUUUGACCUUCCUUUGUGACCCUUAGACCAUGCCAUUAUGUGAUUCUUUUGUGUGGUCAAGUGGUUCACCUUUGGUUUUUUUAGGACUGUACCUUAGGUACUACCUUGAUAGCCCUUAGGUACUACCUUGAUAGCCCUAAGGUACUACCUUAAUCUACCUUAGUUACUACCUUAACCGACCUUAGGUACUACCUUAGUUAAAGUUUGGUUCUACCUAUCCGUAGCCUCUAACCUUCCUUUGUCACCCUUAGACCAUGCUAUUAUGUGAUUCUUUUGUGUGGUCAAGUGGUUCACCUUUGGUUUUUUGCGGAAUGUACCUCAAGUACUACCUUAAUAGCCCUUAGGUACCACCUUAAUCUAACUUAGGCACUCCCUUAAGGGACCUUAGGUACUACCUUAGUUAAAAUUGGGUUCUACCUAUUUGAAGCCUCUGACCUUCAAUCCCGGACAUUGCUUGUUAUAUUUUAAAUUUUGUAGUUUAUCAUGACUAUUAUUAUCCUACAAUGUGGUACACAUGUGUGAAUUAUAUACGUUUCGUACUAUAUUUUUCAAUAGUUAUGAGUUGAUUGAUUAUCAAAAAUUAACCAACAACAAUUAUGUCAUUAGACGACAAACAAGCAAACAUACUAUGUAGUGUUUGUGGGUCGUAGACAUGGAGUGUACGAUUCUUGGGCUGAAUGUCAAAAGAAUGUGCUCCUUUAUAAGGGGAGUGUUUACAAAUCAUAUACUUUUAGAGAGGAAGCUGUUUGAGCUUGGGUGUUCUAUGGACUAAGAUGGAAGAGAAGUGAUGAACGUUCAUCAGCUGGCAAACCAAAGUUUGAACUUGCAAUUGAUGAUCAGCAUUUGUUGCAAAAUAUUUCAUAUACAUAUGUAAUCACUUUCUUUGCUAGCUUCUUUGUAGCAUGUGUUUUGCUUAUUGUAACAUUUAGUUUAACAUGGGUUGUGGAAAUGUGUUAUGAAUAUCAAUUUCUAGUAAUGCAUUUUUCGUAGUGUUCACAAGUAUUAUGUGAUUAUUAUUAUCAACUUUGUUAAACUGAAAAUGCUCACUCAAACGUUUGGAGCAUAAGACAAUUUGUUCAUUAAAGGUUACAACAUUAAAGAAAUUGAGAAUUUUUGACACAUCAUAAGAUUUUGAAUAAAUUCUAGUUGAGAUGUAAAGCUAACAACUAUAUCUAUGGAAAUUACAUCUUAGCAUUUUCCAAAUUUACAUUUUGUCACUCAAACAUUUUGCCAUUUUGCACAAACUUAUUUAACCCAUCUUCUUCAUUCUAGUGCCUUGAUUUUCAUUAAUCCUUGGAUCAACUCAUUUGACCAAAAAUAAUUUUGUGAAAAGACAUUUCAAACAAACUUUUAAUUUAAGUAUAUUAUAUAAAUCUUAUUUAAAUUUUUUGAAUGAUUUAAUUUUUCAUUUAAAAAUAUAGUUACAAAUUUUAUUAAAAUUAAUAUUUUCAUUUGUGGGUUUAUGGACAAAAAUUUAAGAUAAUUUUAAUAGCAAGUUAGACAAAUAUAUGUAUUGACUAAUAAGAAUUUAAGUACUAUUUGUUUUAUUGUUUAGGGUUGAAUGUAACAUCAGAUAAAAGAAGAGAGGGGACAACAUAUCAUAUCCCAUGUUUGGUUAGUGAUAGAAGAAGAUAAGUUAACCUCACAACUUAUCAUAUCUUAUAUUCAACCAAACAUGGAAUAGGGUAACUCGAUAUUAUCAAUUGUUUAUAUAUAUAUAUAUAUAUAUAUAUAUAUAUAUUACUUAUCUUGCAAAAUAUUUUUUUCGUUAAAAAAGGAAAAUUUAUAAAAUUUAUAAAAUAUAUUAUUAAAUAAUAUUAAUAUAUUUAUUAUUCAAUAUAUACAAAAUAUUUUUAUAUAUUGAAUAUCAUAAUAUAUAUAAUAAAUUUUAAUUUAUAAAGUUUAAAUAUUUUAAUUAUGAAUAUUAUUAAAUGUAAAACAUAAAAAAUAUUGAAAUGUAAUAUAAUUUUUAAUUUAAACAUUGAAAAAUAAUAUAUACUAUAUCUUAUUUUUAUUCAUUUACAAAUUAAAUAUAAACAUAAUAUAAUAUUCAAUAACAUCAUAUCUUAUUAAAAAUCAUAUAUUUACAUUUCCUAAUAUACAUGUAUAUUCUAUCCUACUAACCAAACAUAACCUUAAAAUAUUUUCAAACAUUUUCAUAACUUCUAUCAAUUUGCAUUCCACCCAAAUUUUGUUUUCUUUUGUUUCACAUUUUUCAUCCCAUAUUUUUCAUAUUUAUAUAAAUUCAAGUACCAACUUUUAAUACCUUCAUCAUUUUCAACAUUGUUGUAGAGAGUCAUAAAAAACUUAUUUAUUUUUAAUUAAAUGAGAUUCUGUCAACAUAUUUUUAAAAUGAGAAAUUAACACUCAUAUAAUAAUCUUAUUUUUCGUAGUGUGGCAUCUCAAAAUAUUGAAAAUUUUCUAGCAUUCGUUGUAAAAUGACUAAAAUCAUCAAAAAUAUUUUUCUUCACUUACAUAAUUAUUAAAUAAGUUUUUAUCUUUUAUUUUAAAAGUAAAAAAAAAAAAAUUGAAUACCAAAAAAAUUUAGCAUUUAUAGAAAUUAGAAACAACAUUUAUAUUUUCUAUCUAAAAAGAGAAAAAUUAAAAGUCUCAUAUUGACUUACCUACGACAAAAAGGAUCCUAAAAUCAACCUAACAAACUUCAAACAAGCAAUAAUCAGCAUAAACCAAACCUCAUCUCAUGCUUUAACUUGCACUGCAAUUACAAUUAACAAAACAGACCCAUAAGAAAACAAAAGAGUAGGAUGAGUUUUUUCAUAUUCUUGUUUGCCAUAUUCUUGUUUGCCAACUACGCUUUCAGGUGUUUUCUAAUAACAUAUUUGGUGGGGUGCUCAUGCAAUCUCCUUCUGUACAUGAUUUUGAUCAAAGAGAAAUGUUCUGCUUCUACCUUUUCCCUGGAAGUAACAUCAGUGGGAAGGUUCGCUAGCUUUGCUUUAGAACUAGCUUUAUUUUAACUUUUCAUUUAUAGAAUCAUCCUCCAUAUUGGAAGUACUUCAUUUCUAUGCCUUCAAAUGGAUCUACCAAUAUAUGCCAUUUCUUUCAAAUUCAUUCUUUGAUCAUGUUGCAUUUAGGUUGUACAUUAAUAUCCUGUACUGAUGACCUUCUGUAGUGGUGUUGACAUUGAUCUUGACAAUGUCAACAAAUCAUUGAAGAGAACGCAUGUACAAGUGCAAAAGAUAGGCACAAAUACUUUGCAAGGGCACACAAACACAAUAAUUUAAAUGAGAGUUUGAUUUCAUUUGCCUGCAAAAUCAACCCAUUUUUACAGCUAUAGUCUUGCCUUAUACAUGUCCAAAAAGCAUACAAGACCAAUAAUCCGUUGAUUCAGACUUUGUCUAGGAUGACUACGUAUGGAAUAAAUAUGAAGAGUCACAAUACUGUCUGUUCAUACUCAUAAUAUUCAAAUAAUGUCUGUAUUGGACCCUAUUGGCACUUUAAAGAUUUCAAUGACUACGUAUCGGUCAAACUAGUGAACCAUGAAUUAGUAAUUUUUUUUUAUUCAAUGACUGAUCUUAUUCUAAAAACAUUUAUUUAAAAGAUUUCAAAUUAACACUACCUAAAGGCAUUGAUAUAUAUAUAGAGGCUUUGGGUGUCAAUUAAGCCAAAAUAUUUAAUUACAUCGCUUCUAGUAUUUAAGUGUGCACACAUGAUGCAACUUUUUGUUUGAAUGAUAUUACAUGGACAAUUACUUGUUGAAUAUUUAAAUGUUAAUAAUAAUAUUAUUAUUAAAGAAAACUUAGAAAUAAACAUUUAAUGACUCAAAUAUUCUUUAUUUCUAAAAUUAAAUUAUACUUCUCUCUUCUUUAAACAAUUUUUUCAUAAAUGAAUGUGUUCAAACAUUUUUCAAGAUCUAUUUAUCUCAAUAAACAUAACUUUCAGAAUUUUCUUUUAUCUUCUCUUCAUUUAUAUUCAUAAUUGUUUUGAAUUAAUUUUGAUUUAUCUAUUAAAAAUUAGUUGUGGUUUACAUUCUUUGUACAAUAUUUAUUAUUAUCAUCAUUAUUAUUAUAACAAAGAAAUGAUUAAAAAUAUUUGCUCACAAAUAAGGUUAAAAAAUUUUAUAUAAGAAAAAUAAAAUGUGGUAAACUUGUUUUUAGGCAAACCCUUAAAUAUUUUCAUUAAUUAAUAUAUAUAUAUAUUUUUUUACAAUUUUUCCAAAUUCAUGUGGUAUAAUUUGAGUGAAAAUUUAUUAAAAACUCGAAAAAUAAAUAUUUGAUAUAUUUAAUAAUCUUGUUUUCCAGGCAAUAAAAUCUUCUUGUCUGUUGAAGCCUCGCAUCACCCGGGGUCCUCGCAGUAGCCAGAUGGACGCUCCCUUUCAACUGAUGAUGAUUCUUGCCUCAAUCAACCUGCAAAAGACGUUCGGACAGGUUGUCCAAACACAUCCUCCGAUGGUUUUGUUAGCCUUCUCUCUGAUAAUCAAUCUUCCCUUUUUACUGAGUAAGAAAGCUUACCUUCUUUCCUCGCAUGAAGGCUCUUUUAUAGUGUCAGAAGCUCUGUCCCCUUUAAUGGUAGGAAGACUUUUUGUCUUGUCAUGAUGGCGCUGAGGUAGUGGCAGAGCCAUCAUUGUCCUGCAGGUGCCUGUCAGAUAUUGUGGAGGGGAUGGCUUGCCGUCAUUCUUGUCCUUUCGCUCUACAGGCGGCGGAAUGCGGGCUGUGAUAGGUUGUCUGAGGUGACUCAGUAUGAUCCCGUCGAAAGUGCUUCUGGCAGUGUAGGCCAAGAUGGCCCGCGUUUCACGACCAAGGCUUUUGAUUAAGUUGCUAACGCUGGGUUCAGACAACAUAUCCGGACAAGAGAGUGGGUCGUCCGGAUCGUGGGUUUGAGAGUGUCGUACGCCCUCCGGAGGGAAUCCGGAUAGAGAAUUGAUGUGCCACAUGUCCCCUGGAGGGGUGCUGUGCGGGAUUGCCACGUGGGCGUUUGGGGAUGGUCCCUACAAUGCCCCCCUUUUAACCUGACUAUUUUGCCCGGGCAAAAAAGGCGGGUUAAAAAUGAUGCUUUUAAACCUUUCAUUUCUUUUUUGGGGUUUAUGUGCCACGUGGUGUUGCAAAAGGGGGAGUAUUUAUGGCGAGUCGCCGUUCUUGGGGGGAUUUCUAGGCGGCAUGUCGUUUCGACAGUGGCACGGUUGGGCACCUGGUUGUUUUGAGUAUCGAGGAGUCGCAUCCCUUAAAUAGGGAAUCCAGCCCCUGCAACUACAUUUUUCCUUCUGCGUUUUUUUCUCGUCUGUAUUUUCCCUUUGCCUCUAUGUUCAUCUUCACUUGUGAUUGAGGGUCGCUUUCUAGGGCUUCUGUUAGCGACAUUCCUGUCAUAAGGGCGACUGUAUCGUGGCCUUCGUUCCAGUUGCAAGCUUGCACCAGGUAUGUUCUGUAUUUCUAUCUCCUCAUCUUAAGCUUCCUGUUUCUUCAAUUUUUGCUGGCUUGUUGGGUAUUUUGUUUGCGAUUGAGGGUCAGAGGUAAUGUUUAGGGUUUUUCAGGGGGUUUUGAUUUUGUUUUGGGCCCAUUGUGGCUUUUGUUGCCUCCCUGUUGCCUUUACGGAUGACUGAACCGUAUUUGGGGUAGAGUUAGGGGUUAGGCUUGGGGUUUUGGCUAUUUUAGGCCUUCUGGGUCAUUUGUUCUCAGGGCUGUGGGGCCGGGUACCUCUGUUUUGACUGUUGGCAUUCCGCCAUGUAGGUUUUGUUUCGGCCUCACGCUUUAACAUGCCUACGAAAAAGGAUGUGGCUUCGUCCAGUGCAGCUGGGCCUAGUGGAAAAAGUGUAUCCGAGCAGACCUACUCGGGGAAGCCUACUGACAAGCUGAACGAGAGGGAGUUUUGUGAGCAUUUCUGUAUCUCGAACGAUGUCUCUAUUCAGCUAGUGGACGAGAAUGCUAUGUCCACUGAGAAAGCUGUCAACCACGUCGUUUACUUUUCCAAGGAGCAAUUCAAUGCGGGGCUCCAGUUUCCUCUUCCGUCUUUCUUCAAAGAGUUCAUCCACUUCACUCAAAUUUCUCCAGCUUAUGUCCAUCCCAAUAUUGUCCGGGUGUUGAUGGGGUGCAGCAUUCUAAAUAUGCUGUUCAAUUUGGAUCUUUCCUUGCUGGAGGUCCUCUUUGUUUACACCAUCAAGAAGGGGAAGACAUACCUCUUUAGCCUGUUUGCCCAUAUCCCAUCCCUUCAAUUGGUGACCAACCUUUCGGAUUCGAACAAGGGGGGAGCCAAAGGGCAUGUACUGGUCAGCGGUCACUAGGCCGGUCUGUCGAAGCCUCCGGAAAGGGAGUUUACCCCCAACCGUCCGUUGACGCUUCCAGGUAGGGUAGCUCUUGGUGUUUGUCCAGUGUUGGUUUUUGACUCUUGAUUCAGUGUUAUCAGAUGACUAACCUCUUUUGUUUUGGGUAACGCAGGUACACACAAAAGGGGUCGCUUGGUCAAGUGGGUGGAGAAGGCCUCUUUCGAUCGUUUGAACAGGCUGUUCGAGAUCACUUCCAUUGAGAGGCACUACCAGACACUUCUUUCUGCCCGGAACCUGUUGGCUGUCGUCUGGGAACCUCAGCCGUACGUCCUCAAUAUUCUCCCUAGGUGACUACCCAAGGUUGUAGUGCCCGGGGAACACUUUGUACUGAAAGAUCUGUCUUUUUACGAAAGGGCUCGCGAGGCUGACGCAAAGGCGUGCCAGGAGCACCUUGACCAGCGGGAGGAGAAGAGGCAGGAGAGGACACCGAGGAAAGCACCUGUAAAAGAAAGGGCUUGGCGAGAAGAGGUCGGCGAGAAAGGACGCGAAUCUUCUCCCGCGGUCCGUUCUUUGACUGCAAAGAAGAAGAAAAAGAAAACCAUUGCGCAGGCUCUCCAGGUAGUGUCUCCGGCUCUUGAUUUUUAGUCUUCAUCCUCCGACUCUGCGUCCAGUCGAUCGAAUAACCCUGCCCCGAAGCCUGAGGAUACUUCUAGAUCUCCACAUCUUGAGACUUUCCAUUCGGGGCCUGGCUCUUUCCAACCUCAGUCGGACUUCGUUGGCCUGAGAGUCGUGCACGAGCUGAUGAAGUGAGAGACAUGAACGACCUCAGAACUGGGUUUUUGCAAAGGCAUCGUAAGCGGCUGUACGAUCCCAUAGAUCUUGCGCCUUCUCCAGCCAAGAGGGUUUGCCUAGACAGAGGUGGGGAGGAUCCAGUGACAGAAGUUCCUUUGUCAAUUAUGGCCCAUCUGGACGAGGCGGGUUCUAGUGCGGCUGCAGCAGUUCAGCCAAACGCUGUAGGAUCUAAUGUAGCAGCAACGGCUUGGCCUGACGUUCCAGGGCCUAGUGCAGCGGCCGUUGCCCAACCAGGUGUAAUUGCUCACAACAACGCCCCAACUGCAGUGGAGACCCGUGGGACAGAGGGGGUUCCGGAGGCAGCGAUUGACGAGGAGGCUCUAGACGAGAAGAGUAGUCCAGCUGCCACGGUUCCUCCAAGCUGGGAGGAAAUGAUGGAGAUGCUGAAGGGAGUGCCAUGUUUCACGGAUGCCGAGGCUCCUUCCACAAGGAUGUUUGACUUCUUUUCGCUUACCAAGUGGGUCUCUGUGAACAUGGGUGGUGAUCCUCCUGCCUUUGUCAAGGCCCGACUUCUUUUUGGCACCCUUGAGUCCAUCGUGUCUUGUAUUCAACAUCUGCAGGAGUGGACGAUCCCUGAGACUACAGAAGUGGUAAUAAUUUCUUUGCUACUUUUUCCUUCUUCCUUAGCAAUUGUUACUCCUUUGCAUGACAUUAGCUUUUGUUUUGUUGUUGUUCUGCGCAGGUCGUGGUUGGCAUCGCUACAUGAUGCAUAUGCGCAAACAGCUCUUCAAGCGGCUGGAAGUGGCGGAGGCUAUGCGCGCCUUCAUCUCUCACCAUCCGGGUGGUGUUGAGGAGAUGCGCUCGCGGUUAGAGAAGGUGGAGGCUGAGUUGGUUGCUGCUCAGAAGGCCGUAGCGGAUGGGGCGAAGAAGCUGAGCCAGGCUGAGGAGGAGAAGGGGUUGUCCGAGAUGAGGUGAACCUACUGAAAGGGGAAAAAAGGGCCUUGGAGGGUCAAAUCAAAGGGGUGGAGCAGGAGAAUUCUCAGCUUAAGAAUGAGGUGGACGAACUUCGGGCUAGCCUCGCAGCUCAGAAGAAGGAGACGGAGAGGUUGCAGGCAGGCCUAAUUGCUCAGAGGGAGAAGAUGGAGUCCAAGUUUGCCGCUCAGAAGAAGGAACUGGAGACGGAGUAUCAAAGGCAGGUAGACGAGAUGUACUUCUUCGACUAUCGUUGCUACAUGAAGAAUAACGACAUUAUGCAUGAUGUUCUGACGAUGAGGAUGCGAUACCCGGAGGCCCUCCUUGUUGAGAUUUCUUUGUGUGCAGUCCUCCUUAUACUUUUUCUCUUUGUUUUGCUGCUUUUAGGGCGGCGAAUUUUGUAAAGACAAUUUUUUAGUCCUUUAUAAAUACUUUACACUUCUUUACUUUUCUCUACCUUUUGCUUCUUUUUAUUGGUAAUAUUGCUUAAGGUUAGAUACAUUUCAUGGACGGAGCAACAGGGUUCCGUCUAACUUUUGUAGGUGAUAGGCUCCGCUUUCACUUGCCUUAGUUACAAUAUAAGGACCUUCCCAAUUCACUUGGAAUUUCCCGGCUCCUCUUUCAGCGGUGUUUUCGAAAACCUUUCAAAGGACCAGCGUUCCGAUCUUGAAGACCCGGGGUCGUGCCUUGCGGUUAUAGUGAGUGGCCGCUCUUUCCUGGUAGUCAGCCAUCCGAAUGGACGCGUUUUCUCUCACUUCAUCCACCCAGUCUAGGUUCCUUCCUAGUUCCGUACUUUCAUCACUCUGUCCUCGUGCAUCAGUCCGAAUAGUGGGCAAACCUAUUUCUAUGGGGAUGAUUGCAUCCCUGUCAUAUGCAAGGGCGAAGAGAGUGUUUCCCGUGGGUCACCCAGGCAUGGUUCGGUAGGCCCAUAGGUCGUCGGGCAGUUCCUCUACCCACUUUCCUUUAGCUUGCUCGAGCCUCUUCUUUAAGGCAGUCGCCAAGGUUUUAUUUGUCGCUUCUACUUGCCCAUUGCUUUGAGAGUAACGUAGUGUGGAGUACAAAUUCUGGAUUUUGAGCUUCGAGCAGAAAUUUCGGAAGGCGAUGCUGUCAAACUACGGACCAUUGUCGGUUAUGAUUGCUUGAGGGAUCCCAAAGCGACAAAUGUUGUUCUUCCACACAAAUUUGGUGACAUCCUUGUCCUUAAUGUUGGCAUAUGCCUCUACUUCUACCCAUUUGCUGAAAUAGUUUGUGGCAACGAGCAUGAAUUUCUUCUGGGCAGCUGCGGUUGGUAAAGGUCCUACUAUGUCCAUCCCCCAUUGUGCAAAAGGCCAAGGGCUGGAAAUUGACUUCAACGUUUUAGACGGCACAUGCGGUAUGGGGGCAUGUGUGGACCCGCAUUUUUCACGUGCGUCCCACUCGAUCGGCGAGACUCGCUUUUUUAUUAUUUUGUGAAAAAUUGAUUUUUGGAAAAAAAGUUGGAGUCGCCACUUAUUUUAUUUUUAUUUUAAAGGGAAAAUAAAACAAGAAAGAAAAACCCUAAAAUGUGACUCCAAAAUUUUUGGAAAAGCAUGUCUUUGAAAACCCAAGUCUCGGUCCGGGGAUCAGGUUACUUAUUGGGAAGGUACCUCUAGGAGGUAGCACCCCUCUAAGCCCUAUAAAGGUCUCUACUGACAAAGUUAAGGGAAGUGUGACCAUUAAUCAGUUAAUUAUAGGUACCUAAGUAGGCUAGGUGAUUUCAAAUAUUGCAUGCCUAACAAGAAAACCAACCAUAAGAGAGAGUCGAAGUGCGUACCUGAACGGCUUCUUGAGUGCUAUUAUAAAACAUCAAUGCUUAGUUUAGAUGAUAUAUCAUACAAAGUGUUUUAUCCAAGCAAAUCAAGCAUAUAUCAAAACAUCCAAGAAUUGCAUCAUGUAUGGAUAUAGUCAUUAGUAACAUAUGUGUCAAUAGAAUUCUCAAAAAUAGGUGUGAAGGAGGGUACCUGGAUAGCGAGCUAGUACUCCUCUAUAGGAAACAAGAGCAUCUCAACAAUAAAUAUUAAGUCAAUUCAAGUAUUUCAUCAAGAAGAAUCAAAAAUCAACAUAUCAAGUAAACAGUAUUGAAGUAGGUAUCAUGAAUGUCGGGCCCCCACCAAAGCCCUAAUUAAUUUCGCAUGAGUUGAUUCCAUUAAUUCCAUGACUUGGAAUUAUGGAGUUUGUUCAUGCUUAGGAAAAUCAAGAAAAACACGAAAAUAGUUAAAGUCAAAGAAAACAGUGAAAGUGCAUACCCGAAGUAAAGUGGCAGCAAAUUGCAUGUUAAAAUCUGGAUUUUGUACCUAGAAGCUUCUAAAGAAGUUUAAAGAAAACUGUAGUUAUUUUGACGUAGAAUGGUUUUGAAAUCUAGAUUUAAGAUGUAUAAAAUCACAAAAGAAGAAAAAGAAACAAUAGAAGGAGUAUGAUGCGUGGUGAGGUGGCCAAGCUGGAUUAGUGUCUAGGCUACUUUUGAGACUGAAUUACUUGGGUUGCUUGAGGAUGUUUCUGUAGAUUGCUGAAAUGGAAUUCUGCAUUCUUACAUCAGUGGUCGCUGUCUGCAAACUCAAUUCACUCAUACAACUGUGGAGAAAGAAAUUUCACUACCAUCUCUUCCUAAAGUUCCUGUUUUCAUGCUACUGGCAUCACAACCCAAACCAGAUUGGUGCACUCCAACUGAUGUCUUCCAAUAUUUCUUCUAAUUCAGGUUCAGAGAAUGACAAGAAGUCACUUGGAUUCACCACAUUGGAGAAAGUAGAACCAUUGUCAUCAUCCUAAAGGUGCUUCGCCAUGGCAGAAAAGAGGAAACGUUGGCAGAAAAGCAAUUUCUACUUAUCAUCUGAUCUGGAAAUGUGCAUGAGCAAUUCCCCUUAUAUUAACACCAGGGUUCUGUUUCUGUCAUCAACCUGCUAAACAUUAACUGAAUGCUUACAUCUUUAUUGAUUCGUGCCCAAUUGGUGUCUCAGCUGAUUCGUGUGCAGCUGGUGCUCCUUGAUUGAGGGAUUAAUCAACAAAAUUUAUAACCUAUUACACCAUAUACUAGGGUAGCAAAGACAAAGCUACUAUAGCAUAGUGGCUCUAGGAUUGUUCACUGGGAUGGGUUUUCACUUCACAAAUGAUAUUAAUUCAAAGUUGAAUUGGUGCCUUUUCAUUUCAAUGUUAGUUUUAAAAGAAAACAUAAAGAUGUUUGAAUGAAAAAAAGUUUGGUUUUAAACUAACCAAAAAUAGUAACUGAUUUUACUUACAAAGAAAAGUGUUUCUUGGAGUUUCAGAUCACUAGGCUCAAAUUCCUCAUACAAAAAGGGAGUUCCGGUCACUUGUUUCUUUUCCUCGCAUUAGAGAAUUAACAUAUAGUUCAUUCUCCAACCGGUGCUGUACAAAUGCUUCCCAUUAAUGGGUUCAAACACUAAAUCCCUCUCACUGAUGCAUCUUGCAAUGGCUCAAACCUCUCACCUAGCACUUGCCAUUCAAGGUGAUCUUUAACCUUGGAUUUCCCUUUUCAAGCUCGCAAGAGAUAACUAAUGGAUGUCUCCUUGGAGUCCAAAAGCUUACCAAGUGUUGGCAAUUCCAGAAAAUCCUACCUUCAAGUCACCUCCCAAAGGCUCGCAAGGGGUAAACUAGUGCAUCUCCAUGGACGGAGAUCACUUGCCUUACCAAGUGUUGGCCCAGGUGAUUUAAAGGCGUUUUAAGUUAACUAAAAACAUAGAAAUCACUAACGGGUUACACUUUCUCUUCAUUAAAAACUAAAACAACAAAACUUCCAAAUUAUGCAUGUGGAAACUUACCCGGCUUUCCUCACUCCAAGAGACAAAGAGCCUAGCCUCUCAUCUUCUAAGGAAAAAUCCUCAGAGAAUGUUUGGCUAGCAAGAAAAUGAAAAUGAAAAUGAAGGAAAAACAGAGCAAGGCUCUGUAUAUUCUAUAUAUUUAUCUAUCUAUUUCUAUAUUACAUACAUAAUUACAGUGGAUGCAAGGGAGUUUAUAUAGGAAGGUAAUUUACCCUUCCUUGGAUACUUCCUAGCUAAGGAAUUACAUGAGUGGUUGAAUACAAGGAGAAAAUGAAAAUUUAGACACAAAAAUCUGAAGAAAAAUAUCCCAAAGUGUCGGUCACAAAUAUCGGGAAACACUAAGGACCAUUUCGCAGGUGAAAAUGGUGUCUGCGAGAUUUCGCAGACACUCAAGAGGGCUGCGAAAUCAUUUCGCAACAACAUGCUAUCUUCGUAGGGCUGCGAAGUUGGCUUCCACCUUGAGGUUCCAAGCUUCCCUCUCGCGGUAUACGUCGGGCAACUUCAGGAGGGAAUCCACAACACUGUACAAAAAGGCUGCGAAAUCAUUCCGCAACAAAAGGGUGAUUUCGCAACACUUUGCUGAAUCCUUCCUUCAGUUUGGAGCAGUCAUCUUCCAAAGGCUGUAACUUCCUCAUUUUAGCUCCAAAUCGUACACGGUUUGAAGCGUUGGAUUCUUGACUUCCUGAGCUUUGAAAUGGUAUAUAGAAUGUAGAAAAUAGACUUCGGGAAGUGCUCCAAAAGUGCGAAAGAAGACUGCAGCUGCUGUCCUCUGUUUUCUUCACUCUGUUUUUCCUCUCUCCUUGCUUCUCUCCUUGCAUACUUUGAACGACUAAGGCAAAGGACUAUCAGGCUCCAAAUCUUGGUUUCUUCAUGAAUUUGAGCUUCCAUAAGCUUUGCCAUAACUUGUUCAAGUAGCUCCUCCAUCAUUUGGCAUGCUUGAAUUGAUUCAUAAGCUGAUAAAAACAUGUAAACUUGCCACAAAAUGGUUAAAACCAAUUACUAAGGACCUUAAUGAAUUAAUUGGGUUAAAUGAAUAUGAUUACUACUCAAAGGUGCUUAAAACCAUUAUAAUUAGGUCUACAAAAUAGCACUUUUUGGUAGUAAUCAUUUAUUGAUCUUCAGAUGUUCAGUUUCCCGAAUAACUUCCCAUUCUUUAGGCAUAUCAAAUUGCCCAGAAUCAGAAACUAUCUCUCAGUCAAUAGGAUUCAGCAACUUCUUUGCGUGUGUGAAGGCAAAGGGGCAGUAAGUUAGAGCUUACUGAUGGAUCCUACAUUUCUGGACUUUCGAGAGUGACCUCCUAGAAGACACCGUACUCCACCAUUCUCUUAUUUCUCCUUUGCUAUUUAGAUUUGGUAAGGUACACAAGCUCUUUGAAGAUGGUUGACCCAGACCUUCUCGUCCCCAUGCUGAUCUGUACUCAUCAUAAUCUGAUUCUCCCCUUGCUUUAUGUCAGCACAUAUGCUGUAAGCUCAUCGCAGAGGAUACGAAUUCCAUGGUUCCAUGCACAGGAUCAGAGAGGGUAAGUUACUGAGGAAGUCUUGAUUAAGGGGAACACCAUUAUUCACUAUCAUCAAUGCUUGUUUCCUUUUCGUAAAAAAAAAGAUCUCACUCUAGACUUCAAUUUCAAUUUCUCGUUCUGAAUUUGCAUCAACAACAGAAGGCUGAGUGGCUUCCAUUAAAAGGUAAAAUAAAAAAGAAGACCAGUUGUGACAGCCAUUUGAUCAAUUAAAUCAUCAACUCCUGGCAUUGGAGCUAUCUUUAGAUGCUUUUGUACAGAAGUUGGGGGUUCUGCUGUGGGCUGUCUUCUAGCUCUGCAUGAGAUGCUGACAGCGGUGAGGAUGUUGAAGGGUUGUUUCUUGAUAAUACAUGCAGUGUAGGGAAUUCAGACUCAAAAGAUUGUGAUGGUUCAAUAUAUCGGGGAUGGUGGCGAUCUCAUAAUGGAUUCAUCAUAGUUUUAAGAGGUAAAGGAUGGCUUGAUCGGCUGUUGCAAUGUUUGUAUCAAUCGUAUUUUGGUCUUUCUCUGUCCAUCUCUUUACUAACAAGAUGUUCUCUUCUAUCUUGCCACUUUGUAUCCAAGGAGACUGAGUAACAUAGGUCUUUGUUCCACACAGUUUAAAGAUACCAGAUAUCUUAGACACCUCUCAGAACAUACAGGAUAGUAAGCUUGACUUGUCUGAGCUUACAGCACCACAAACAGCAACCCUCAUGCCACGGCACACCCGCAAAUUAAUAUCCUUCAUUGUUCCCAAAGCUUGAUCAAUAACAGAGAGUUUACCUUCGCAUUCCUUCAUGUUUGUCAAGGUCAACUACUCGUUCGCAAUUAUAUCUGAAUUUCAUCUUUGCAAGAGGUUCCAGGUACGGUCUGGUUAAGUAUCCACUAUUAUCAAGCGGUUCCUUAUCCAAUUUAUCCUCACUAUCUUUCCCCUCCUCAAUUUUCUCAGAAGAAGACUGCCUUGGAGAUCCUGUGUCAGAUAUCCCAUGAAUGCUCUGACAUUAGGACAGAGACUGCACUAAACUUGACACCAAAUUCAAAGCAGCGUGAAGACUUGCUUUAUUUAUGAUGCUAGCUCGGUCACCAUUCCAUCCACUCCUUGCGGAAGCAACAUCUUUAAUAUCAUCUGAUUCUUUAAAGAAUGAUUCAUCAAAAUAUUUGUCAUCAAUCUGUUUGACACCACUGUCUAAAAGAGGGAGAUAUGACUCAGAAUCAGUAUCAGAUGCUUCGAAACCUAUCUCAUUUUUCUCUCUGGACAGCUCUAUUUCCACUGAUUCACACUGUCCAUCUAGAACAUUUUGGAUGAUAUCGAUUUUUAAUUUGCAUCUUUCAAGCUUCUGGCACAUCCUAUAUGGACUUUCAAUGGGACAAAACUGCUAUUCAGGACCUUCAAUCAGACUGGUUUUGUGCAUUGGAAGUAUGAUGUGUGGCAAGGUGGCCAAGAAGGAGUGGAGCCUCAAAAUUCGGGAUAGAAGGACCCAAUUCAUCGUCAGGAUAUUCAGUGGUCAAAAGCAUUUCCAUGUAUUAGGUAACUUGGUCCAUGAGCUCAAAUGGGUUCUCCCCAACAUUGAUCAAACACGGAACAUAAAAUUCAAAAUCCCCAAUUUCUUUGUAUUGACAGAUUUCCUGCAUUCUGUGUUAAUUUCCCACCACCAAGAUUUGAUUCAAUGGUUCUACUAGAAUAUGUACCCUUGUCGUUGCCAUCACCAAGCAGACUCCUCAUUGUUAUUUUUCAUCCAUAAUCGGACCGAAUCUGUAAAUGAAUGGUUUCCUUCACUUUGCGAAAUUCCUUCACGCUGUCGCUGCUGUGUUCCUGCUGCAUCCAUGAGUCCUUGUUGGCUGUUUCUAUUCCGACUAUUCUUUCCAAUCUCUAUAGCCAAUGGUGCAAUCCACUGGUCGUCAGAUAUUCCGUUUGAAGCUGGGGAAUUUUCUUGUUCAAACCAUCAGACUUGAAAACUGGAUCACUUAAAAUGCUAGCUAGGUGCCGAGCCACUCCUCCAUCUAUCAUGUUUUUUUCUUUUUUUUGCCCUUUUUUAUAUAGCAAUAAAAAAAAAGUUCUUCAAAGGAUUACACUCCAGGUUCGAAAAUGAAGAUAAUGUUUUAACGAGUUUACUGAUUACUCGCAUGUGCCUUUCAGUAGAACAGCUGCAUAGAACGGAAUUUGAAGAAGUUUAUCUGCAACAUCUACCUCUGUCAAUAGCACACCCUUAAGGAUUUCUUCUUCCAGCCAGGACCAAAACUGUGCAAGAGCAACUGCAUCCCUUAGAUGAGAAUUGCGCAUCCCUUCUAAUUCAGCCUGAUUUCUCACAGCCUUCGCCAGCAAAAUAGGUGAAAUCUUAUAAACUCCAGUGGGCACCCCAGAUUGACCAUUGGCGACUCCAUAUGCCUCAGACUUAUUUUUCCUCUUAUUAUCAAGGCUCCCAGAAUACUGGUCACAAGCAGCCUCGUAAGUGUUGACAAUAGCAACAUUAACAGAAGACGUAUCCAACUAGAGGUGUGCCCCUUUCGCUGCCAAAUUCUUUAUUUCAGCUAGAAUGGAUUUAUAUGGUCUCAACUCCAUGCCUACAUUCUUCAAGUGAUCCAUCACUUCUGGGCUGACUUUAGAAUCAUCAAUAAAUAAUUUUGCCCCAUCAAUCUCCACAAUAAAGUAUGCACACAUAACAGGUGAGUUUGGAACAUCAUUUCCUCUCAAGUUUAACAGCCAAGAAACUUCAUCAAGCAUAGAAACAACAAUAGCAGAACAACCAGCAUCAAUGAGUUCAGACCUCAGGGAAGACAAUUUCGAUGAGACAUCUAAACCAGCAUACGUCAGCUCAUGCACUCUAAUUGGUUUUCUUGGAGGCUCCGGCCUUGAUUCUUUCCAUAUUUCAUCCACAAGAUUUAAAUCAUAUAGGUAAACCAAUUCAUGAUUCUUCUUAGCAAUGGCCUCUUUCAAUUCCUCUGCAGCAUCAGAAGAAAAAAAAAAGGAUCAAUGCCAAUUCUGCAAACAGGAGCCAAAACAUCAUUAAGCCAUUCACUGGUUGUAGGAACUCCAUAGUUACCAACCCGCAUAAGAAUCCAAUUAGAGCUUAACUGCUUCUCUGCCUGGAGAAAAUAACGCCCAUCUGUCCAAAGAGCUCCUUUAUCCUUUGUGACAACAGCAGUACCAGCACUGCCAGUAAACCCUGAUAUGUAGGCCCUCCUCAUAUAACAUUCAGCAAUGAACUCACUCUAGAAGCCAAAAUAGAAGUGCUUCAGAAUUAAAUAUCCAGUUGACUCACCGACGACAAGUACUAUGUGAUAAAUGGAACCAAAGAACAUGAAUCCAGAUAAACCUCCAAGUGGAACUGGAGGCUUAAUUUGUUCCCUGGUGGGCGUCCUGGGAAGGGAUAAUAUACGCAUCAAUUCCAAUUCUGGGCUUCGAGAACAGCUCACGCAGAGAACGAAGCUUCUCAUCCUGCUCGGAAUCGGCAGAUUUCUUCCGAAACUGAGAAGAGGGUUUUGCGGUAAUGGAAGCGUAGUUUCGAACAAGGAAAAUAAGGCGGUUCUGGGAUUUUGGGCAGAAACUGUGGGGACUCUUGAAUUUGUAGAAAAUGGGAAGCGAGUGAGAGAGGAAAUGAAGACAACGGGAAUGCAGCUGAGAAGAACGAGGAGAGAAAGCCGUUGAGAGGGUGAGAGGAGACAUCAGUGAUGAUGUUGUUCAUUACUGGAAAGCUGGUCUUUUCAGUAGAGGCUAUCAUACUGUGGGCCACUGCCCGAAUUCUUUUCAGCAAAAGCAGUUGCUUUCAAGACAGAAGUUGUUGCCAAAAUCAUCAAGAUCCCCUCUGGGCUUCGUGCGUUUACUGCCAAGAAAUUCGACUCUUCUGGCACAGUCAAGUGUCACAUGUGCUUCAGCUGCAGUUCGAAGGCCAGUUUUCUUCUUAAUAUCCGAGGUCACCCAUCUGUAGUAAACCCUUCUCCAUGAAAUUUCUUUCUCUGACCGAAGAACACAGAUAUUAACAAAACAUCAUUGAGAUCAAACAGAAAACAUCAUUUGCAGAGCACGUAAAACUUCAAGCUCUUCCCUUCUACACUUAGAGCCAUUAGAAGAGAAAUCAGUUCAGGGAACUAGACAACCUGUUUAGCAACAAGCUUUCAAGCAAUAAUCUGCCCUAAUGACUGAUCAAGUGUAGAAAAGUAAUUACAUUAAGCCGCGCAUUCUAUGAAACAACGUUUCUUUCUGACAUACUCUCAAACAAUUGCCUCGCAAUAUCCAUACAUCCAAAUUUUGAGUACACGUCAACCAAAGCCGUCUCCACAAACACAUUACCUUCAAAACCACCCCGAGCCCAAAAGAAUAGUGCACUGAUUUCACAAUCUGGAUCAAGCUUGGAAAAACUGCCUUCCGACAAGAGAAUCUCCUCUGGUUUUGUAUUCUCUGAUUUUUCCCACUAAUUUUCCUACGCUUCCUUCUUCUUUUCACCAAAACGAUCCCCACCCCUUUUUUUCUUUCUUUUCUUUUCAAUGUUGCUUUCUCCCGCGCUCCCCAAUAUACUCUCAGUGUAAAUACCCUAGAAUAAUUGAAUUCCAAGGAGGCACAUCUCUAAUCCCCAUAUGAACUCACAAAUUUACGUUAUGGUAACCAAACUUAGCAAGUGCAAUAAACAGCCGACAUACCCUUCGGACAAUCUUCUCUAGAUCCCAUAUUGUGAUAGCAGUUCAAGAAUUGUGAAGCGUUUGACCUCUUUACUGAAACUCAUGACUAUAUGCCCAUGCUUUAGAGUCACCCCCAUAUGAAAAGCUGAUGGUCGUGUGAUGGGUAGGAAGAAAAGGCAAAACAGAUAUGGUAGAGAGUAGAGGAAACAAUGGGAAAACAGACAUGGGAGAUUAAAAGAAAAUAAAACCACAUCUCCUGAUUUUUCAAUAGGCUCAGGUUAGUGGGAACAUGCAUGGAGUUAUAUGCUUCCGAAGACAUUAAUGACAUCCGAAAUCAAAACAAGGCAAACAGGCAAGUAACCAAUCUCAACAAAGCAAAUUGUGGCCCUUUUCGUCCACACCAAAAAUCAACAAGACAAUUAAAUUUUCAGGAAUCGAACACACGGAAAAAUCAAAUAUAGGUAAGAAUUCCAAAAGCAACGGGGUGCAUACCUGGACAGCUUUGGUUGCAAUGGCUUGGCUUCUGGCUAUCUUUUCUCUUCCUUCUGAAGACAAUUCCCAGGUAAAAAUCCUCUUUUUGCUUGUUCUUUCUUCCUCCUUCUCCCCCUCUAGACUCCAAUACGUGCUUCCCUCCAAAAAAUCUCCUCCCACAAUAAAAAAAAAAAAAAAAGCUCUCUCUUUUUUCCUUCCUCUCUCACGUAUAUAUACACCUUUCCCUAAAACCUCAAUCUCCCUAAAAAAAAGGCCAAAUCUCCUAUAUUCCCUCUUCUUUUCUCCUUAUCCUUUUUUUAAAUAUUCCAAUUCAAAAGCAAUCUUCCCAACUUUAAAUUCUCCUCCAAAACCUUCCAAGGAGAGUCCCACUUUCCUUAAACUCCAAUGAUAAGUUUCCUUAUAAAAACAUGAAAUUUUAGAAGUUAAAUAAUUGCAUGAAUAGAUAAAUAAGUAAAUAAAUUAGAAAAUGGUAAAAAUAAUAAAUAAAUAAAUAAGUUAAGGAAAAUAAUAUAAAGAGGAAAAUAAAAUAAAAUAAAAUGAAAAUAAACAAAAUAACAAAAAAUGGGCCCUAUGAGCCAUGCAAACACGCAAGUCAUAUAAGUCACGCUAAAAAAAAUCUUAAUAGACCUAGUAUACCUAAACGGGCCUAUGAUGAGACUAAGUGGGCCUAGGGUGGUGCCUAAUGGGCCAAGUGUAUCUAAAAGCUAUCCUAAAAAAAAAACAAGAAAAGCCUAAGUCUAAGUUAGCCGCCAAGGGUCACAAUAAGGGAUCAAAUAAUCCCUCAACCAAAGUCUUCAAGGUGACUCAGAAAAAAGUAAGUGGUGAGUAGUACUGGGCCACCAAGGAACUACUGUGGAGCACUAAAAACGAAUUUUAAAGACAUAUGCUAAAAGGACAAAAUUAAGGGUCUACAGCAUGCCUUUGGCAUUUGUCACACUUCUUGAUAUAAGCCGCAACGUCUCUCUUCAUAGUGGGCCAAUAGUAGCCCUACGAGUGCACUCGAUGCGCCAAAGAUUGUCCUCCGGGGUGAUUGCCGCAUACACCCUCAUCUAACUCAGCUAAUAUGUAUUGAGACUCUGAGCGGUCUAGGCACCUGAGGUAGGGGCCUAUAAAAGAUCGUUUGUAAAGGUGCUCCCCGAUCAGAGCGAAACGAGCAGCUUGUACCCGGAUCUUAUACACCUGCUUGGGUUCAUCAGGUAGAGAUCCUGUCUGGAGGUAUCCUGCUAUGACUUCCGUCCACUCUUGGCCCUCUUCCUGGCUUUCCUCAAUAGUAUUGCAAGUGGAUGUUUCUAUGAUGGAGGGAUCAGUCUGCACAUAUAUAGGAAAUAAUAUGGCCUCUUUGAUGGGCAGGGAAGUAGCUAUUCUUGCCAAGGCGUCAACACGUACGUUAUCAACUCGUGGGAUUUUUUCUAUGGUCUAUUCGCUUAACCAUUGCAAGGUGUCUCUCACUUUUGUUAGAUAUCGCGCCAUUCGUUCGUCCUUGGCUCCGUAUUCCUCUUGCACGUGUUGAGAAUUGUUGUAGACUCGGAGCUUGGAGACAGAUAGUGCGAGGGCGAGAUCUAGUUCGGACAAGAUGGCUUCAUAUUCUGCUUCAUUGUUUGAUGCGGAGAACCCCAGCCGUAUAGCUUGCUCCAGUUGUUCACCUGUUGAGGAUUGCAGUAAAAGUCCUAUUACGGAUCCCGGUGAUCGAGAGGCUCCGUCAACCCGCAAGGUCCACCACUCUUCUUUGUGCGGUUCCUCGUCUCGAACAGGUUUUUGGGAGGACUCUACCACAAAGUCGGCCAUUACCUGUCCUUUCAUAGACAAUCUCAGUUGGUAUUUGAUCUCAUACUCACUUAAUUCUAUGGCCCAUUGGAGCAUUCUUCCGAACAGAUCCGACUUGUGCAGGAUGUUGUGAAGGGGCUGGUUGAUAAGUAUGACUACCGGGUGGGCUUGGAAGUAGGGGCGAAGUUUCUGGGCGGCACUUCACAAGGCUAAGGUUGUUUGCUCUAUCUUUGAAUACCUUGUUUCUACAUCGGCCAAUGCUCUGCUGACAUAAUAAAUAGGUUUCUUCUCCCUAUGUGUAGGGCAACGAAACAGAAUAGUGCUAACUACCCAAUCUGACACAGCCAAAUACAUAUACAAUUUUUCUCCGGGGAGGGGACUGCUCAGGAUGGGUGGUUGCGUUAGGUAGUGUUUGAUAUUUUCGAAAGCGCUUUGACAACUAUUCGUCCAUCCAGUUGUGUCGGUUUUCUGUAAUACUAAGAAGAAGGGUCGCAAUUCGUCAAUGAAUCAGGCUAUGAAACGUCCCAGUGCGACGAGCUUGCCUGUGAGGCGUUGCAACCUUUUUUUGUUCUUGGGGGGUGGUGUUUCCAUGACUGCCUUAAUUUGGUCAAGGUUGACUUCUAUUCCUCUUUGGCUGACCAUGAACCCCAAGAAUUUCCCAGCACUCACACCGAAAGCACAUUUGGAUGGAUUCAACUUCAUGCCUACCUCCUUAGUAGGUGGAAGACUUUUUGUAAGUGGUGUGCAUGCUCUUCUCGGGUUUUACUUUUAACCACUAUAUCAUCAAUGUAUACUUCCACUGUGCGGCCAACCAGGGGUUUGAAGAUCUUUGUCAUCAGUCUCUGAUAGGUGGCACCGGCAUUUUUGAGUUCGAAUGGCAUGACUUUAUAACAAUAAAGCCCAUGUGGAGUUAUAAAGGCUGUCUUUUCUUCGUCGGUAAGGGCCAUGGGGAUUUGGUGGUAUCCGGAGAAGGCAUCUAAGAAGGAGAGCAUUCCUUGCUCGACAGUGGAGUCCACGAUUUGAUCUAUUCGCGGUAAAGGGAAACUGUCUUUUGGGCAUGCAUUGUUGAGGUUGGUAUAAUCGACGCAUACUCACCAUUUCCCCUCCUUUUUGGGGACCACCACUACAUUCGCCAGUCAAUCCGGAUACUCCACUUCUCUAAUAAAUCUGGCUUCUAACAAAUUGUCAACCUCGUCCCGAAUAAUUUUUUGCCUAUCCGGGUGGAACCGCCUAACCUUCUGCCAGACGGGUCUUGAUGAAGGCAAGAUGUUAAGCCGAUGGGAGGUGACUGAAGGAUGGAUUCUCGUCAUGUCGAACUGCGCCCACGCAAAGACGUUGUGGCUUUGUCGGAGGGUGUCCUAGAUAUCCCGGGCCUCUUCAGGUGUCAAGAGGGAGCUGAUAUGUGUGAGAUGAGUGUUUUCCUUCGAGAUUUGGAUUGGCCGCAAGGAUCUACCAUUGGGGGAUCUUUAUCCGCCGGGUUCAGUAAUUGCUAUUGGUUUGGCAUGUUGGUGGGUUUGGGGAGGGACUAGCCAUCUUUGCUGGAUCCGACUUCUCGCGCUAUCUGAUAGCACUGGCUAGCGGCCAACUGAUUGCCAUAUAGAUCGAUUUGUCUGUCCUCAGUGAGAAAGCUUACCAUCUGAUGGUAUGUGGAAGGGAUGACUUUCAUGUAGUGCAGGCACGUGCGUCCCAAGAUGGCGUUAAAGGGGGACAAAUCUUCUACCACUGAAAAUUAUACGUUAAGAGUGAAUGGGCCUGCUUGGACUGGUAGCACAACGUCUCCAAGGGAGGUGGUUGCCGCUCCAUUGAAUCCCGACAAGAUCCGCGUAGGAUUUUCUAAGCCGGAUAGCUCGAGUCUCAUCUGCUUGAUUACUGAUGCUUGUAAGAGAUCGGUCGAACUGCCUGGGUCAAUUAGGAUCCGUCUCACAUCAAAGUCCUCCAUCCCUAAGGAUAGGAUGAGGGCGUCACGAUGUGGUUGUAAUAUUCGUGUGAGAUCUAUUGGGGGGAAAACGAUUGUCCCGUCUAUCGGGCGAACACUCCUGGUAGUUAAAUUGGGCAGGAUGGAAUUGACGCGCUCAUGCACCGACGCUGCUCGCAGCAACCUCUGCCUCUUUCAUUUGGAGUUGUACUCCUCAUCUAGUGGUCCUCUGUGGAUGUAAUUGAUGACGGCCUUAGGGGCGGUUGGGGCCCUAAAGGUCCCAGAAUCGCGGCUCCGGGAAGUAUCUCUAACCCAAGCUUCUGAGAGGAGGUAUUGCUUCAAAUGUCCUGCUUUUAUGAGCUUUUCUACCAAGUAAUGGAGACUCUUGCAUCGCUCCGUAGUAUGACCAUGCUCUUUGUGGUAAGCACACAUCUUGCUAUGAUCUCUCUUGGCUGGGUCCGUUUUGAUGGGUCUGGGCCACCUGAAGUCGGACAGGUCUUGUAUCAUAAAAAGGAGCUUCUCAUAUGACAUAGUAAGGAGAGUAAGAGGCGGCAGCUCCGGGCGACUUUGCUCCCCCUGCCUUCGAUCAGACGUCCUAGGCUGGUUCGAAGGUUUGGAACUUCUUUCCGCGUCGCUUCUGGAUGUUUGUCCGAUGACCAAAAUUUGCUGGGUGGCUACACGCACAUCAUCUUCCAGCGUUGAGUAUUUGCUUGCACGCCGGAACAAGUCAUCCAUCGUCGUGAGAAGCUUUUUAGCGAGUGCUUCAAAGAAUGGGGUACUUGGGCAUAUGCUUUGUUUGAAGAUUUGGAGGACAGCAUCCAUGCUAUAGGCCUCUACUUGCAACACAACCUGACCAAAUCGUUUCACGAAUUCUCUCAAGGACUCAUUCUCCUGCAUUUUUAUGUUUUGUAGGGUGCUGAUGUUUUAUUUAUGCCGGGCGGAGCACCAGUAUCGUCCCACAAAAGCUUCUGAUAGGUCCCGGAAGUUAUCAACAAAGUUCGAGGGGAGUCUGUGAAACCACGAAAGAGCUUGGCCUUGUAAGCUGGCGGGGAAUACUUUGCACAACAACACAUCAUUCCCUAUGUUGAGAGUCAUGAGUUUUCGGUAAUGCAUGAUAUGGUCGAAUGGAUCACUAGACGUGUCAUAUGAAGAAAAUUUUGGCACGAGGAAUCCCCUUGGGGGAUCCUAAUGGAUAAUACGUGAGCUAAAAGGCAUGGAGAGCAUGUCAUCCAGCCUCUUACUAAUGGAACCUGGGGGUGGUUCAUUUGAUGAGUUCCUUCCAACUUGUCGUACCGCUUGGUGUGGGGGGUUAUUCUGAACAGUGGGUGCGACUGGGGGGUCGGGAUAUGCUUCCUAGGUUGCGGCCACCGACGACCUCUCCUUACCAGGCUCAUGCGGUCAUAACCUCACGCGCAUUGCGUCUUACAAUUGGGGCCUUUUAUCACGCUGUCUCUUUGAUGAGAGACGGGUAGAGUCUGAGCUUUCAUCUUGGGAAGCAGGAUAUGUGGGCAUGGGUCGUUCCUGAGAUCGCUCAUUGCACAUAUCAGGGACGACCCCUACAGUUCCGGGAUAUACCGAUUCUGGAUCAAGCCUAGAGUUUACCCCCUAACCUCUUGGGCGUUGGUCACGAAGGGGCCCCGAUGAUGAAACCUGGAUGCGUAACACCGCGUUUUCUUCUCUUAGUCUCGUCGUUUCCUGGAAGAGAGCUUGCAUUUUUCGUUCGCUCUCCAACUGUCGCCUUUCCAUGGUCUCGCGCCAUUCGAAAUAGCCUUCUUCUUCUCUAGCUGACGAACGACUCUUGGAAGGUGUGGACAUCUUUGUCGUUGAUUGAGCAACUUCCCACAGACAGCGCCAAUGUUGGAGCCUCGCGUCACCCGGGGUCCUCACAGUAGCCAGAUGGAUGCUCCCUUUCAACUGAAGAUGAUUCCUGCCUCAAUCAACUUGCAAAAGACGUCUUGACAAGUUGUCCGGACACACCCUCCGAUGGUUUUGUUAGCCUUCUCUAUGAUAAUCAAUCUUCCCUUUUUAUUAAGUAAGAAAGCUUACCUUCUCUGCUCACAUGAAGGCUCUUUUAUAGUGUCAGAAGCUCUGUCCCUUUUAAUGGUGGGAAGACUUUUUGGCUUGUCAUGAUGGUGCUGAGUCAUCAUUGUCCUAUAAGCGGCUGUCAGAUAUUGUGGAGGGGAUGGCUUGCCGUCAUUCCUGUCCUUUCGCUCUACAGGCGAUGGAAUGCGGGCUGUGACAGGUUGUCUGAGGUGACUCAGUAUGGUCCCGUCGAAAGUGCUUCUGGUAGUGUAGGACAGGAUGGCCCGCGUUUCACGGCCAAGGCUUUUGAUUAAGUUGCUAACGCUAGGUCCGGACAACAUAUCCAGACAAGAGAGGGGGUCGUCCGGACCGUGGGUUUGAGAGUGUCAUACGCCCCUUGAAGGGAAUUCGGAUAGGGAGUUGAUGUGCCACGUGUCCCCUGGAGGGGUGCUGUGCGGGGUUGCCACGUGGGCUUUUAGGGGUGGUCCCUACAUUGUCCAACUCACGUUAAUGUAUUAAAUUAAUAAUCUCAUUAAAUAUAUAAGAUAAUAGUUUUUUCGAAAUUCUUCAAAGUCCAAUAAAAUAUAAAUUAAUAACUAAUGAAAUAUGUGGAAAAAAAACAAAAGAUUUCAUAAUACAAACUUUCUCAAAAUAUACAUUGAAAUUUAUUUCUUUUCUUUGCACCUAAACUAACUCAAUUUUAUCUUUAUUUUUUUGUAAUAUAUAUAACUAAAUUAAUAAAUUAUUGAUUUAUUGAUAAAUUAAUAAUUCCUUUUGAUUCAAGAAUAAUAUUUUAUUUUAUAGGGUUUUUCCUAUAGCUAGGAGUGGCGCAAAGGAGAUAGCAAAUAAUUAUCCAUCAAUGAGUUACUGGCUUACUGCUACCUCCGGGUUAUGUACGCCGCUUUAGUCAAGAUCUUCAUUGCAACCUAUAACAAGCUAAGCUCUGAGUCAAGUCAAUUGGUCCCCCAUCGUAAUUACCCAAAUGAGAUUGUAUGGAAUCACACUUUCAUCUUUGAGUGAAAGAAGGAGCCUUCCUUGACCGAUUCACUCCUUCAGCAAAUGAAUUGCAUAGAAACGAGAUAAAUGUCUUUGAUGCAAAGUAAGGUAAAAAAAAUAGAGGUAGAGUUAGGUGGAGUUUGUUUUUUUUUUUUUUACUUUUUAUUAAAAGUAAUUUAUUUUUAGAAUUUAGGUAGUUUAUUUUUUUCAUAAUUGACAAAAUGGAACCGUAUAGAAAACGGAGGUAAGUCAGGUCAAGUGGGCCCACUUGACCUACCACAUUAAAUUGUUUGGAAAGUGGAAAUUGAAACUGAAAUUGCCUAGAAAGUGAUUUCCCAUUUGCUCAGAAAUUGCCUUGAAACUAGGAACUCAGUUGGAUUUAAAAGCAACAAACCUGGCUGUUGCUUUCUGAUUUUACACCAAAAACUUUCUCAAUAACCCCAUUUUUUAAAAAAAAAUUUGAUGGAAACAUUAUAUAUAUAUAGAUAUUAAUUAAUAAAAAUAAAAUUAUAAUUCAAAUAAUUUUUAUUUCCUUACUUUAUUUAUUUACCCUUUUAUCCCAUAAGGGUGAAAAAAAAGAAAAAAAUAAACUAAAUUGCAAAUAAAAUGAGAAUAGAAAUUUAAUAAAAAUUUCUUACUUUUUAUUGUUGAAUAUAGAAAUUUACAAGUUGAAGAUACAAUUGAUUGUUUUUCUCUUGAUCUCUCUAUUGAUUGCUUUUUGAUUGCUCGCUUGCUUGCUCUGUCAAUUUACAACAAAAAUAUUUACAAAGUUUUCAAAUGUUCAGUUAACAAUAAAUGUAAAGAAGGUAAGAUUUGACUUUUCUUCUUCUUUACCAUCCAUCUAGUGGCUUCUUCCUUAUCUCUUUCUUCUUUUUUAUCACAUGCAGUAUACGUGGCUUUAUUGAUUAUGGACUUCUAUUGUUGUAUUAAAUUCUUGUAGUUGAAGACAUAUUUCGUGCUUCAAUGUUGUCAUUGCUAACAUCAACGUUCCAUUGCAUUUUGUAGAUUAAAAUAACUUUUGUCGUUAAGGUUUUCCCAAAAUGAUGCAUCAUCGCUGAGGUAAGAAGAUGGUUCGAGUAACUCUACAUCGAGUUUGAUUAUAAAAUCUUGUUCUUCAGAAGUAAUGAAAGGUUUCGGAACAAUAAUUUGUUCUAAAGGUUUGUUUCUCUAUAUAGACAUGGUUUUUGUUUCUACAAUGAGAUGAAAUAAUUUAUUUCAGGUUGGUUUAAGAUCAUAAAUUUGAAAGGCUCUAAAGUGAGUAAAAAAUUCUGAAAAUUCAUUCGAAUGAGUCAUUUCCCAUUCUGGUUCUUGUUGAGGGAUGAGUGAUUCUUUAUUGUGUUUUAUAUAAACAUGGUGAUAGGUUAGCACUAUUGAUCAAUUAGUUUGAAAUAAAGGUGGAAUGGUUUCAAAAGAAAUGUUGAUUUGUUUUUUUGUUUUUAAAAUUAGUUGUUUAGCUAAAUUAACUGUAUUUAAUUUUUAAGAAUAAAAUUUAGAAAAAGUAUAAAUCUAAAAUAAUCCUAUAAAAUUAGGAUUGGAUAGAUAAAUUCUAAACAUAAAACAUCAUUGCAUGAAAUAUUAUACAUAAAAUGUGAAAUACAUAUCAUGAAUUUUAUUUUAUAUUUAUAAUAUUAAAAAUAAAAUAGAAUUAACAAAAAUAAGUUAAAAUUAUUUUAUUAAUAUAUAUUAACAAAUAAAAGAUAAAAAUUAUAAUAUAUAUAUAUAUAUAUAUAUAGAAAAGUUAAAAUGAAAAAAGAGAGACAAUUGUCUCUCCCUUUGUCACACAAUGGAGAGACCUUGUCAAUCGGGAUUGAAGUUACACUUUUAAAAAUUACUAGUAGAAAGCACGCGCGAGGCACAUGAAGAUGUACGUAGGUAUAUGAUCGUGAAUGUGCAGAUAAAUGGAAUGAAAGAUAUAAUGUUUGAAAAGGUAGGUCAAGUGGGCCCACCUGACCUACCACAUUAAAUUGUUUGGAUGGUGGAAAAAUGGAACUAUUUAGUGCACCAUUUUUCUUUUUAUUUUCUUUUUGAAAAGAUAGAAAGCAAUACGUUUGUUUUCAAACUAAAAUUGCCUGGAAAGUGAUUUCCCAUUUGCCCGGAAAUUGCCUUGAAACUGGGAACCUAGCUGGAUUUAAAAGCAACAAACCUGGUUGUCAGUUGAUCAGCAACAACUGUGAAAACAAUUAAUGGCUGAAAGUAUUGUCACCGUUUUUCUAGAGAAGUUAACUGACCUGCUUUCCAAGGAAGCAUUUCUACUCAGCAGAGUGGAAGAGCAGGUGAAGCUGUUGAGUAGCGAGCUCGAAUGGAUGCGCCUUUUUCUCAAAGACGCGGAUGCGAAGCGCAGAUAUGAUCCAAGAAUCAAGCUCUGGGUGAGUCAGAUCAGGGACGUAACCUAUGACGCCGAAGAUGUCAUCGACAGGUUCAUGUUCGAGAUGAAUCACCAACAGCAAGGAAGUCUCAAAUGCCUCCAGUUCCUUAAGUUACGAUUUGUUCACAAGCUCGAGUCUCGAAUCAGAGAGAUCAAUAUCAAGAUUGAGAAGAUCAUGGCUAACAAAUCAAGGUACGGUGUCGAAACCUUACCAGCUGCAAGCUCGUCCAACGAAGCUGUGCCACAUAAAGAGAAGAGGGCUCCGAUUGUUGAAGUCAACGUGGUGGGAAUUCAAGAGGAUGCAAAAAGCGUUAAGCAAAAUCUGCUUAAUGGAGAGAUGCGGAGAGCUGUGGUGUCCAUCGUGGGCAUGGGUGGCUUGGGAAAGACUACCCUGGCUAAGAAAGUCUAUAAUGAUAAUGAUGUCCGGCAAUGCUUUGAUUGUCAUGCUUGGAUUUAUGUCUCUCAAGAGUAUACAAUCAGGGAGCUUUUGCUAGGCGUUGCUGUUUGUGUUAGGAUUCUCUCCGAAGAGGAAAGGAGUAAAAUGGACGAGAGCGAGUUGGGGGAUAGGCUUCGUGAUUACCUGACUACCAAGAAGUACUUGAUAGUUUUGGACGAUAUGUGGAGAAAUGAAGCUUGGGAUAGGCUGGGCUUGUAUUUUCCUGACUCGGUGAAUGGCAGCAGGGUGUUGAUCACCUCACGCAAUAAAGAGAUUGGUUUUUAUGCUGAUCCACAAGCCAUUCCCCAUGAACUUUCUUUUCUGACUGAAGAAGAGAGCUGGGAGCUCUUUCUCAAGAAAAUUUUUCUGGCUGGGAGUGCAAAUGCUGUUUGCCCCAGAGAAUUGGAAGAGUUGGGAAAGAAAAUUGUAGCAAAUUGUGGGGGUUUGCCCCUUGCAAUUGUGGUCUUGGGAGGCCUUCUAUCAAGAAAAGAAAAGACACCGCUCUCCUGGCAAAAAGUACUGGACAGCCUGACUUGGCACCUAAAUCAAGGUCCAGACUCAUGUUUGGGGGUCCUUGCUUUAAGCUACAAUGAUAUGCCGUAUUACUUGAAGUCCUGUUUCCUUUACUGUGGUCUUUUCCCAGAAGACUCAGAAAUCUGGACAGAUAAGUUGAUCCGCUUGUGGGUUGCAGAAGGGUUUAUACAAAGAAGAGGAGUAGAAAUAGCGGAAGACGUCGCGGAAGAUCACUUACAGGAAUUGGUACAUAGAAGCAUGAUUCAAGUGGCUGCCAGGAGUUUCGAUGGAAGAGUGAUGUCCUGUCGCAUGCACGAUCUGCUUCGAGACCUUGCCAUUUCUGAGGCCAAAGAUACAAAAUUUUUCGAGGGAUAUGAAAGCAUUGAUUCUACAUCCCCUGUGAGUGUUCGUCGACUAACCAUUCAUCAAGGUAAGAAGACUAAUUCUAAACACUUGCAUACUUCACGUAGUCUCCGAUCUUUCAUUUGUUUUUCUGUAUGCUUCCAAAAAAACAGUUUGAGAUCUUUACACAGGCGUGUCAAAUUGCUCACUGUACUGGACCUAGAAGGCAUGACUAUCAAUACCAUCCCAGAAGGCAUAGGAGAACUUAUCCACCUUAAGUACCUGUGCUUAAGGAGAACCCGCAUAAAAAGGCUUCCAUCGUCCAUAGGUCGUCUUACAAAUCUACAAACCCUAGACUUUCGAAGCACUUUAAUUGAAAUAAUUCCUUCUACCAUUUGGAAAUUGCACCAUUUGAGACAUCUAUACUGUCGUGGAGUGGUUUCAAGCCAGUCAGUGAUAGAUAAGUUCAGGAAUGGCCCUUUGAGUGUUGGUCACCUAACAAACCUCCAAUCGUUAUGUUUAAGAGCAGGCAGUUGGUGCUGUGGUGAAGGCUUGGGAAAAUUAAUUGAGCUUAGAGAACUGACAAUUGUAUGGACCGAAAUCGCACAAACAAAGAACCAGGGAUUUUCCGAGUCAGUAAAAAAGCUAACUGCUCUUCAAUCCUUGCGUUUGUAUACUUUAGGAGAGGAAAUGUUAACCAUGCCGCACCUUAUGCCUUUCUCAGACCACACCUACCUUUACCAUCUAAGUUUAAAUGGAAGGCUCGAAAGGUUCCCUGAUGAAAUUGAAUUCUACCCUCCAAACCUCAUCUCCUUGGAAUUGCGAUAUCGGAAUGCAGAGCAAAACCCAAUGGUGACCCUAGAGAAGCUGCCAAACUUGAGAUUUCUCAGAUUAUCCCUUUGUUCCUCUAUGUUAAAGAAGAUGGUCUGUACUUCUGGAGGAUUCCAGCAACUCGAAACCCUUAGGCUCUGGGGUUUGAAAGAAUUAGAAGAAUUGAUUGCGGAGGAAGGGGCAAUGCCUGAUCUGAAGGAUUUAGUAAUUGAUGCUUGCCCUAAAAUGAAAAGGCUUUCCCAUGGAUUGCUGCAACGAAAAAAUUUGCAGCACCUAAAGUUGUAUGAUUUGUCUCCUGAGUUAAUGGAUGAGCUUUCUCGGAUAGAAGGAGAUCUGGAGAAGAUCUGCCUCGCCACCUCAAUACACGGGUGGAGGCGUACGGCAUCUUGAAGGCUGGCUCAGGAGAAGUUUCAUAAAGCGCUACCAGGAAAUGCUUGGACUGUAUUGAAGAGCAUUUCCAAUGCAACAAAUCUUUCUCUACUUGUCUAAGCUCGUCUUUUUCCUUGUUUUUUCUGCUUUUGUGAAACAUACGUGUUUGCGUAAGAUGCUUCCACGUUUUCAAAUAAAGUGAUCAGUCAGUUUAUAAUUGAACCUCACUGGAGUUUUAAUAAGAGAAAACCAACAGAAUACAUGCAAGAGUAGAAGCCCGUACCCUUCUAAAAGGUUGGGAAGUGUUUUUGAAAUCAGUUUUUAAGAAUAAUUUUUUGAUGUUUUGAUAAACAAAAUUAUGUUUGAAAAUUAAAUUCUAAAAAAUAAUUUUUAUUCUUAAAAACAAAAAAAAAACAUGUUUGAUUGAGUUAAUAAAAAUAACUUUUAACAACAAAUAAAACAAAAAAACUUGUUUGGAAGUUGUUAUUGUUGAAUUUUUUUUUUAAGUUGGGUAUUUUCUUUAAUUAAUUUGAUGUUAUAAAUCUAUAAAUAAUUUUUACAUUUACAUUUCAUUAAAAAUAAAAAAUGUUCUAUUUUGAAUUUUUUUUUUUGCAUCAGUUUUAAUUUUUUUAAACAAAAUAUUACUUUAUAAUAUGUUUGAUUUCAAUAAUUAGUAAAUUAUCCAAUUAAAAUAUCAUAAAUUGGUAAAUAUCAAUGAUUGGAUUUUAUGAAGAUAAAAUUUAUGAUAUCAAACAAUAAUGCAUUAUACUUGGAAACUUAUGAUCUAUUUUUUCUAUUUUGAAUAUAAUUAAUAAUAUAAAAAUUAGCUAAUAAUGAUAUAUUUAUGAUAAUUUUUUAAAUAUUUAUAAUUUUAUUUAAAAUUAAAUUUUAUAUUUUAUAUUAAAUUAUUAUAUAAAAGAUAAAAAAUUCUUAAAGUAAAUCAAAUUAAUUUAUUUAUAAAAAUUUAUUAAUCUUUAUACUAUAUAUAUAUAUAACAUAUUGGGACGAAAACCAAGAUCAAUUACCUUUUCAUUUCUUUCCCUCCUCUAUAUCUCCUUGUUCUCUAUUCGGUUCUUUGUCUCCUCUUGUUCCUCUUUCAACAUCCAAACUUUUAUUCAGGUAAACUAUUUUUCUCUUCUAAAAUCAAAACAUUAUUCAUUAAGGCCAAAAUUCAGACAUGUGGUUGUUGCAGAGAUUCUUGGUAAGGUUUCAGGUUUUAUUUUUUUAUUUUUUAAUUAUUCUUUUUUAUUUUUUGCAUUCUUAGUCUUUUUUGUGUUCUUGUUUAUGUUUUGUUUGGUUUUUGGAAAAUCCUAGAAUUUAUGGAGGUUUUGGCUUUGAAAUAUGAUAAAAUCCUGAAAUAAAAUAUAUAUAUAUAUAUAUAUAUAUAUAUAUAUAUAUAUAUAUAUAUAUAUAUAUAUUGAAAUGGAAAUGACCAAAAAAAAAAAUCCGGAUAAUGUUGAAUUUUUGUGAGACCGAUUUUCCCAUUUUCAUCCCUAAUUUUUUUUUUUUUUCAAUUUUCCCUCAUAGUGCAAAGAAUUUUGCCUUAGUGCAAAGAAGAGGCGAGAAUGCACAAAGAACACACUAGAACACUCAUUGAAAACAUGAAAAUCAUUCUAAUUUUUUUUUAUUUUUUUGUUCUUAGAACAGUGGCAAAAACACAAAGAAUACCAAUUUUUUUUUUUUUGUUAUCUAAAAUCUAAGCUUUAGAAAAUAGGAAGAACACUUGAGAACAGAAAACAUUCUCUUAUCAAACUUUUUUUUUUUUUUUGUGAUUUUUUGUUCUCAAAAACAAAAAACAAAUUUUGAAAACACUAACCGCACAUGCCCAAACAUUAAAAGCAUUGCAAGAUAAAUAGUUCAAACUCAAAUCAACUCUGAAAAUUUAAACAAUGACAAUUCGUAGCAUGCAACUUAAAAAUGAAGAACAAAAAUUUAUGUAAGUGAAUGGAUUCAAUCUUGUAAUUUAAUUUAAUUUAAUUUUUUAAUAUUCAAACAAUAGGAACAAUUUAGAAUAACUUAAUGAUAACUUAUAGAUAAAAGAUUGGAAGGUGAAUGGUUAGAUAAGAUAAUUAAACUUGGAAGCAUAAUGAUUUUGAUCUAAUAUUAAUAAUUAUAAGAAAUAAUAAGGGAAGUUAUGGUAUGAAAGAGUUUACUUAUAGGAUAAUUGUUGGAUUUGUUAAAAAAUGGAAAUUUAAUAUUAUUUUUGCAAGCAAACUGGUUAAUGGAUUUUUACUUAUUUAUAAAUUUAUAAAUAUAAAAAUUGAGGACAGAAUAAUGACCAUUAUGGUGGAAAACAAACAAAUUAAAGAAAUAAAAAAGACAUGUGUAGACCCCUCUUUCUAGAGCCGGGGGACCUUUAGUUUUUUUUUUAUGACAUUGGAAGGGGGCCUCCUCAUCACCAGCAGCUGGCAGCACCCUAGGCAAGUGGGGGGACCCCUUUCGGCAUGAAAGCAGCUACGAGAGAUGGGAUGUGCAGCAAGUCAAGAUGGCAGGGGCCAUGUUGGUGAUUGGAGGGCCAUGCUGCUGAUGCGAGGAACAGUAGGGCAAGUAGUGGCUUGCCAAGGAAGAUAGGAACAGGGGAGGAGAUAAGAAAAGGAGGAAAAAGGAUAGCUGGAGGAAGGUAAGUCGGUUGGUUUUGGGUCGGCAUUGGAGGAGGAUUGAAGGAUUUUAUAGCUAAACAGAGCCUUACUGGAAGGAGGUUCUUUGAGGUAUGAAUGUAAAUAAUUUAUUGCUUGAUCUAGCUUCUUAUUACUCCUCUAUGUUUCCUACUUAUGUCUAAGAGUUUGUUGGUUUACUUGGGGUGGAUAAUGAAGGCCACAUGUUGAUUGUUGAUACAUAAUCCUGAACUCAUGUUUGAUGUUGUUAAUCUUAAUAUGCUUUGCUUCCACUGUGAAGUACUCCACAAUCCUGCCCAUGUUUAUUUUUUAUGUGUUUAUUCUCACCUAAUCGGAAGGCUCACUUAUGAUUCAUGAAGUGAAGCCUCAUUUGGAGAUAUUUUCAUCUGUUGUCUUCCAUGCUCUGUUUCUAUGAUCUCUUCCUCGUUGUGGCUAUUCUUUAUUCUUGGAUUGCGCUCUAUGUAUGAACUGUGAGAGAAGAGAUAGUGAAGAGGCGGAAAGAUAAGUCACCUUUAGGGUAAUGUUCUGCUAGAUCCAAGUAUAAGAAGAAGCUCAAUGCAAUAGUGCCUGAAAGGAAGACUACUUGGAGCUGAUUAUCAUAGCACUCUCGCCAUGGCACCUUUGUCUUUCAUCACCACCUCCCUAACCAUGACCACCUUUACUGCCCAUCAAACCAGCCCAUUACCCUUCCCAUUAAUUCCAUGCACGCAUCCUAUACCCAACAAACCCCAUGAAUCCGCCACCACCUUUUCUCUCUCUACGUUCUCUAUCAAACCCACAUAUCCUUACAUCCACCUCAUAUCCAUCUUUCAUGCCUCCAUGCGUAUCACCUUUUUUUUUAACACCACUAUACCUCCCCACAUUUUCACCAUGCAUAGCCACCUUUCGAAUACCCAUUUAUCUCACUAACCCGCUCUGUUUCAUGCCCUCCAUCCUCACACUUUCACCUUCCAUGCUCAUGCAUUAUCAUACCCACAGUUCAUCAUCACCACUCCCACCCGUGUCAUCCUUGCUCCCGUAUACCCAUUUCCCAUGCCAUGCAUGCCACCACCUUUCCUCUCUCUUUUUUCUCUUUCUCUUUCCCUUCCUCUUUCUCCUCCUCUCCAUGCAUCUCUUCUCUAGCGCCGCCGGCACAGCAAGAUCGACGCCAAUCCGAAGCGGCAUGCGGUGGUUCCUGCCCUCGCCAUCUCAACUACCUCCGCUCUCAUAGUCCUCGUCGCCUCCGACGCCUUCAUCGGCGACGCGUCGUUCAGCGACCAGCUCCGGUCAUCAUGGGCGGUUGCGCCCGCCACCGCAGCGGCAACGUUUGCAUGGAUGUUGCUAGAUAGCCGCCACCCCUUCCUCCUCCAUUACGUCGCUGCUGGUGGAGAUGACGAUGCCCAGGUGGAUAGGAAGGUUGUGUUGGUGAUGGACUUGGGCUUGCCCAUAGUGUUGGUUUUGGGCUUGAGUGGGAGCCCAGCCCAAGCAAGCUGAUGGAAGUCAAUGUCUUCUCAAAUAAAUGGGUUGAGGUGAUUUUUGCUAGUGGACAUGGGCUUUGGUGAAGCCUAAGUCCAAGCUUGAUGGUAGAUUGGCCCAUACACGUUUUAAGAUCAGCCCAUACACUUUUUAAAAUUAAAAUCAGCCCAUACACUUUUUAAAAUUGGCUCUUAUUAUUAUUAUAAUUAUUAUUUUAAUUCCUAUUAUUAUUAUUAUUAUUAUUAUUAUUAUUAAGGGAUUAUUAUUAUUAUUAUUAUUAUUAUUAUUAUUAUUAUUACUAUUACUAUUAUUGUUGUGGUUAUUACUAUUACUAUUAUUGUUAUUACUAUUAUUAUUAUUAUUAUUGUUGUUGUUGUUGUUGUUGUUAUUAUUUAUUAUUAUUAUUAUUGUUAUUGUUGUUAUUAUUUAUUAUUAUUAUUACUAUUAUCGUUAUUAUUAUUAUCAUUAUCAUUGUUAUUAACAUUAAUUCAAACUUUCAAAAUCUCAUUAUUAUUAUUAUUAUUAAUUCAAACUUUUAAAAUCUUAUUAUUAUUAUUAUUAUUAUUAUUAUUAUUAUUAUUAACUAUUAUCAUUAUUAUUAUUAUUAACUCAAACUUUCAAAAUCUCAUCAUUAUCAUUAUUAUUAAUUCAAACUUCCAACAUUUAUUUAUUGUUAUUAUUAUCAUCAUUAAUCUAAACUUUCAAAAUCUAUUUAUUAUUAUUAUUAUUAUCAUUAAUCCAAACUCUCAAAAUAUUAGUAUUAUUAUUAACUCAACUUUCAAAAUCUUAUUAUUAUUAUCAUUAAUCCAAACUCUCAAAAUCUCAUCAUUAUUAUUAUUAUUAACUUAACUUUCGAAAUCUUAUUAUUAUUAUUAUUAUUAUUAUUAUUAUUAUUAUUAUUAUUAUUAUUAUUAAUUCGAACUUUCAAAACCUUAUUGCUAUCAUUAUUACAAAUUCCACUUUCAAAAGUCUAUGGUCCCGCAGUUCAAUUUCUUAAAGUCCGUUUCUCAUUUUCUUUAACAAAUUUCAAUUUAAUCACCGGAGCUCUAAUCUUUUAAAUUUAAUUCCAAAUACUCCAAUUUUCAAAUAAGCUCUAAUAAUCCAGUUUUCACUUCGAAUAGUUUUUAAUCACAUUUCAGUUCCUAGAUAAUCUUCUGAUCUUCUUGAUUUUACAUAAGCAAUAGUGAUUCCUUCAUAAUUCUAAAACACGGGAUUUGUGAGAUUAGCUCAUGAACAAUAAAUCGGGCUUUGUUGGGAGCCUUAUGUUUGACCCCUUUUUGACUGGCAAUUAUCGUGCUUAUGGUAUUUUGCUUGAGCUUCAUUUUGCACUCCAAUAUGUAUGAGUUAUGUUUUGUAUUCAUUAAUUGUGCACUAAUCCCAUUUCUUGAUAGCGCAUUGUGGCUUGUGGCCGAGGUACGCAUCCACUCCCUUUCUAGUCCAUCUAUAUUGCGUGUUUUGAUUCUCAGAUUGUGCAUGAUUUGGGUGAAUAUCCAUUGACUUUCUCGUUGAUUGCCACGUCAGUUUCAUUGUAUUAGUAGAGACCCGACUUUAGGGGCUUAGAGGGGUGCUACGGUCUUUACCGUACCUUCCCGAUGAGUAACCUGGCCCUCGAGCCCGAUCUGGUUUUUCACAAACCACCUUUUCCAAAACAAGGAGUCACAUUUAGGGUUUUUCUUUCUUAUUUUGUUUACCCUUUAAAAAUAAAACAAAAAUAAAUGGCAACUCCAAGUCAUGUUCUUAAUCAAAUAAAAUCAAUUUUUCAAAAUCAAAAUCGAGUGGAAAACGCAUAAGCCGAAAUGCGGGGUCCACACAUGUAACUUAUUUUAUAUAUAUAAAAGGUAAUUCAUUUUUUUAUAAGGGUUUUCUACGUAGAAGAGUUUUAUUUAUAGGGAUAAUUUGGGUAGAAAAAGUUUUUUAGAUAGAAGGUUUUACAUUAAAUGAAUAACUCUUCAUUUUAAUAAUUUAAUUCAUAUUUAUAUACUUUUUAUAAUAAAUUAAUUAAUAAUAAAUUUAUAUUCAUAUAUUGUAGUUAAUAAUGUAUUAAGGUAAAUGUUUAAAUAUUAAUUUUUAAUUAAUAAGUUGUAAUAAUUUGGAUAUGCUUUCGAAUUAACUUAAUUUUCAUACUUAUAGAUAUUUUUAAUAAGUGGUAAGGAUUUGGAUUUGUUUUUAAUUAAUUAGUUCUCAUCCUUAUCAUAUAUUUUAAAUUUAUUUUUGAAAGUUUUCCAUUGUUUUUUUUAUUUUUUACGAACAAAUUAUCAUCUUUAAAUAAUUUUAAAUAUUUUAACUUUUAUCACAAUUAUUUUUCCAACUUCUUCUCUUUUUGAGCUUAAGAUUAAAGAUAUUCCGUUUUCCCCAAAUUUAGGAGUAAAAUAAUUAAAUAAAAAUAAAAAUAAUUAUAUAAAUAAUUAUUGAUAAAUAUUUUAGAAUAAAUUUAAAAUGAAACUCAUAAAUUUAAAAUUUAACUUAUAUUUUGACCAUAUAUGAAUAUGAAUUUAUUGUUAAAGACAUAAUAUAAUAAAUAUUAAUAUCAUGUAAUCAAAAGAUACAAAAAAUUUCUAUUACUAAUGAUACAUGCAUAUAAUAUUAAUAACAAUUAGAUAAUAAAUAUUAAUAGCAUACAAAUAAACGAAAGUCAAAAAUUUAAAAUUUAACUUAUAUUUCUUAAUCCUUCAAUAUCAACAUAAAAAUUAUUGAAAGAUAUAUAAAUAUAAAUUUAUUAUUGAUUUAUUGAUUAUAAAACAUAAAUUUAUUAUCAUAUUUACUGUCUUACUUCCAAAAGUUUUUACUAUAUCAUCGAAUUCCAUCAUACAUUUUAAGCUUAAAGCAUUAGUAGUUUUUCCUAUAAAUCCUAUAGCUAUGCUAAGGUUUUUACUUCCUACUUCCAUAUCAUAACCUUUAGUAUUUACAGUUAUUUUUAUUUUUUCUGUGAAUUCCUUAAGAUCUAUACAAAAUUGAGGUAUACAACCAAUAACUGCGUAAUUUUGGUUCAUAUUAACUUCUGCACUAGCUAAAAGAGCUCGUCCUACUGUGUUGUUUCUAGUAUCUAAAAGGUUAAUAUUUAUAAGUGCUCCAAUUUCUUUACGAUGAAGUCCUAUUAUUCCUAUCAAAAUUAUUCCUAAGUGCAUAUAUUUAUCGGUUUUAUUUUUUAAUAAUUUAUGUUUUGUUUCUGGAGAUACUAAAUCUAAAUAUACAAUAUUUCCUAUUGAACUUAUAGUAUGUUGAUUUAAAAAUCUAGUUAUUUUAUAAUUUUGAACUAAUUGUUUUUUGUAAGGUGUUACUUCCUUUACUGCCUUUUUUAAUUUUUCUUCAAAAAAUUCUUUUACAUUGUCUCGAGGGUUUAUUGCUUCUACUAUUUCCAUGGUUUUAUUGCUAGAUUUUUUGGUUCAAAAGGAUUUAUUUUUCUUUCUAUUUUAAUUAUUGGUUUUUCUCCUAAAUUAAAGUUUUCAAAUUGUUUUAAAAGGUUAUUUAAUUUUUGUUCCUCUGAUAUUACUAUAUUUCUUUGUUCUAAAAGUUUAUCUACUUUUUGGUUAAUUUUUUCUAAAGUUUCUUUUAAAUUUUGUUGUUCUAAUUUUAUUUGUUCUAUUUCUUUUCUAACAAAUUUUUCUUCUCUAGCUAAUUGUUCUUUAAUAUAAUCUAGGUUAUUUCUUAGCAAAUUAUAGUUCUUAAAGUCUUCCAGCUUCUUUUCUAAUUCCUAAGACCGUGUUUAGUUUUUCUACAGAUUUUAUUUGUCUUUUCUGGAUUUCUUUUAAAAUAUCUAUAUUGUUUUGGUUUUCUUUCUGAAUUUGUUCUUGUAAUACUUCGUUUGUUAUUUUUAAUUGUGUCUCUACUAAAAAUUUUAACUUCUUUACCUCUUGGGUUUGUAGAUGAGGGUUCAUUAUCUCUAAUAUGUUUUAAUUAGAUGAGCUAGCAUAUAAAUUAUCAAUAUAAUAUUUUAUAAUUUCUCUUCUAAUUAUGGUUUCGGUAGCAAAAAGUUCAUCAAAAGCUUCUUGUAUAGCUACUUCGUAUUCAUUCAAAUAUUUAAGAGAAGUUAAGUUUUUAAUAUCUGUGGUUAAAUCUUUUACAGUAGUUCUUAAAUUAUGUAAUUUAUCACAAGUUUCUCUAAAUUCUUUACGUUGAGCAUACAACCUAUUAUUAAGUUCUUUUACACGAUCAUAAUCUAUAUUAUAUAUACCAGGAGGAUAAGGAAUAAAAGACAUUAAUUCUUAAUUCAUGUUAAGUAAGCAGAGCAAAUAAAGAUUCAGAAUAAAUUAAGCAAAAUUAAUCAGACUUUAUAUGGGGUAAGAUAAAGUUCGGUACUCUGAAAAUUAAUUUGAAUCUACAGUCUCCUUUCCUAAUUAAUAUACUGCAAUACACAGAGAGAAGCUCUGAUACCAACUUUUCCCAUCACCAGUUUCAACAACAGUUUGUUAGUAAAGUUUCUUUAAAUCUCCGUUAGCAAUGAGGGUUUGAUUAAAGUUUUUUAUUGAAUUAAAGUGUGAACACAUUUAUUACUAGUAUUAAAAUAAUAUAAAAUUUUACAAAGACUUAAUAAAAUAUCAUAAAAUUUUCAAACACCUAAUAAAAUAAUAUUAAAAUAAUAUAAAAUUUUACAAAGACUUAUUAAAAUAUCAUAAAAUUUUCAAACACCUAAUAAAAUAAUAUUAAAAUAAUAUAAAAUUUUACAAAGACUUAUUAAAAUAACAAAAGGGUUCUGUGCUUAUAGUGAAAGUUUUUUAACGUAUAAAAUUAAGUUUUGAAAUCUUAAACGUAUAAAAUUUAAGUUUUUGAAAUCGGAUAUCUCAAAAAUUCAGGUAGUAAAAUUCAAAAUUUUUUAAAACAUCACUUCGUGUCAAAGUAAUACCCCCCUUCUGACCAGACAUAGUCUCCCUAAAACGCCAAUUUUCCGGCAAAAACGGGUUUAAGGUCAAGGGUUAAGACUAAAGACUCUAGUUUUAAAACAUGAUUUUACACCCAAAAUUUUCUAAAUAAACCGAUUUUUUAUUUAUUAUUAUUAUUAUUUUGAUGAGAACAUUAUAUAAAAAGGAUCCAUGUAUAUUACAUAUAUUAACUAGUAAAGAAAACUUAAAAAUAAUUCAAAUAAUUUUCAUUUCCCUACUUUACCUUUUUACCCCUUUUUACCCCCUAAGGGUAAGAAAAAUACAUAAUAAAUUUAAAUGAAAGCAAAAAUUUAACAGAAAAUUCUUACUUUCUUAUUGAUUGCUGAUGAAUGUACAAGGCUGAAGAUGAUGGAGCUUCUUUUUACAGACAAUUUUGCACACUAUGCACACUAUUGCACACACUUUCUCGGGCACACUCCUUUUCUUUUUCUACCACUAAUUUAUAGGCAAAGCAUUUACAAGUGACAGGUGAGAAUACAGGUGAGAAUUAAUUUCAAGUGGUUGGAUGGUAGGAAAAAUAUUUACGGUGUUCAGAGGUUUGGUAUAAAUACAAAGACUUUUGAGACUUGUGACUUUUAUUCAUCCGUUCUUCUCUUCCUUCUUGUCUCUUUCUCUUGUCCUUUUCUUCUCUUUUUAUUACAUGCAUAACACGUGGCUUGUGGAUGUCUUUACUGCUUCUGAACUUGUACUGCCAUAUUUAAUUUUUGUAGUUGAAGACGCAUUUACUGCUUCAUUGUCGUCAUUGCUGACAUCAUCCUUCCAUUACAUUUUGUAGAUUAUGAUAACUUUCAUCGUCCAGGUUGUCCCAAAAUAAUGCGUCAUCGCUGAGGUAGGAAGAUGGUUCUGGUAUAUCUACACUGAGUUCGGUUAUAAAAUCUUGUUCUUCAGAAGUAAUAAAAGGGUUUGGAACAAUGAUGUGUUCUAAAGGUUUUACUCUCCAUAUAGACAUGGUUUUUGUUUCACCAAUGAGAUGAAAUAAUUUAUUCCGGGUUGGUCUAAGAUCAUAGAUUUGAAAAGCUCUAAAGCGAGUAAAAAAUUCUGGAAAUUCAUCUGAACGGGUCAUUUCCCAUUCUGGUUCUUGUUGAGGGAUGAGUGGUUCUUUAUUAUGUUUUAUAUAUACAUGAUGAUAGGCUGGUACUACUGAUCCAUCGGGUUGAAAUAAAGGUGGAAUGGUUUCAAAAGAAAUAUCUAUAUAUUUUUCGGCUUUAAAAAGAUAAGUUAAAAUAUCUUUCAAUUUUUCUGGGAAAUUUUCAGGGAUUUGAGAUAUAUGGUUCAUAAAAACAUUUUUUAAAAUUCCCUGAUCCAUAAGUUGCGGUACUAAAUCAAAAUUUUCUUUAUUUACAACAGACAUAUUUACAUAAGCUAAAUAUAUAACAAAGAAAAAUUCAGGGUCGUGAUAUGCCAUAUACCCUGUUUUUAUCUCGUCAUUUUUAGUUCUAAAAUGUUUAUACAAAAGUUCUUGAUUUUUAAACACUUUGUUGUAUUGGUUUUGUAGAAAAAAGGUUUUGACAAAAGAGUAGUUAUCAACUCCAAUUAUAUUUUUAACAACGAGCCUUUCAUAUUGCUCAGUCAGAAGAGCUGAUUUCUUAAUUAAACUAAUUACUUCAGGUUGACUGUUUGAACAGCUGGUUUGAUUGGUUGACACUGUACUGGUUUUCAAAUCUUCUAUCAGUUUUUCUUGAUUUUCUCGGAUUUUGAGGUUUUGGAAUUUUUGAGUUUCUAAAGCAAUCAGUUGGUUUUGAAGGUUUUGUAAAUGUUGGGCUAAAGCUGACACUGUUUUUCCAUAAGCGUAUUCUAAAUUUUGGUUCGGAAAACUUUGUGGUUUUAAAGACCAAAAAUUAUCUACAAUAACCUUAUGUUCUUCAAAAAGGUUUUGAGAAAAUAAAGAGUUAAACCUUAGGUUUGGAUUCAAUACUUCGUUUAGACAUAUGGUUCCGUAUUGAAAGGUUCUAGCUUUCGUGGGUUUUCUUUGAGCCAUGUUCCUGUAAUCAUGAAAUCAAUCAUUAGUAUUAUGACAUUAUUAAUUAUUUGUCUACUUAACCAGUCUGCUAAUAUAUUAUCUUUUCCUUUAAUAUGUUCAAAUUUAGGUUUGAAACCAAUUAAAGAGUUUUGAAAUUUUAUCCAUCUUUUGGUGGACAGUUUUGAAGAAUUUUUGUUUUCAAAGAAUUUUUUAAUAUUCUCACAAUCGGUUCUUAAAGUAAAUUGUUCUUGGUUCAAAAAUAAUUGAAAUUUUUCUAAGACUAAUAUUAUUGCUUCAAUUUCUAAGUCUGUAGAGUUAAGGUUCUUUUGAUAAUCAUUAAAAGUUCCACUACAAUAUCUACAAAGUUUUUCUUCUCCUAUAUUAGUUACUGCUAAAAGUAUACCUCCCCAUCCUGUUUGACUAGCAUCAGUUUGGACUAUUUUAUAUUCAUUUUCUAAGGGUAAAUGUAAGGUUGGGAGAUGUUUCACAAGUUCUUUUAUUUUCUGUAUAAGUUUAAUAUCUUCUUGGUUAAAAUAUCUCUGCCCUGUAUUUUUUGUUUUACUAUAAAGGGGUCCAGCUAAUCUACUAAGGUUUUUAAUAUAUGGCCUAGCAUAGUUUAAUAAUCCUAAAAAACUUUGAAGGGUUUUUAAGUCUUCGAGUUUGUCUGGAAAAUUAUUUAUUUUUUGUACUAUAUGUUCUUGUAAUUUUAUUUGUCCAUCCUCUAGUUCUAAUCCUAAAAAUUCUAUUUGAGUCUUAAAUAAUUUCAAUUUCUUUUUACUUACUAUUAAUCCAUGACUAAUUAAUUUUUCAAAAAUCAAUUCUAAAUGCUUUAUGUGUUCUUGAAGAGUAUAUGAAAAAACAAGAAUAUCAUCAAUAUAUACAAGAACAAAAGAAUAUUUUCCAAAAAUAUUAUCCAUCAUUCGUUGGAAUAUCUGAGGAGCAUUUUUUAGUCCAAAUGGCAUUACAUUCCAUUCAUAUAAUCCACAAGGACAUGAAAACGCUGUCCAUGGUUUACUAUCCUCUUCUAAUCUGAUUUGCCAAAAUCCACUUUUACAGUCUAACUGAGAAAAAUAUUUACAUCCUUGAAUAGAAUUAAUUAAAGAAUCUUUGUUCGGAAUUUUAUAGGCAUCAUCAUAUGUAUUAUCAUUUAAUCUUUUAUAAUUAAUAACCAUCCUAGCUUUUCCUCGUUUUUCUUCAUUAUGGUUCCUAACUAAAAAGGCUGAGGAUCUAUGGGGACUGAAACUUGGUUUUAUGAGGUUAUUCUGUAACAAUUCUUCUAUUUGAAUUUUGAAUUCCUUUGUAUCUAUAAGAUUACAUGCUAUAUCUGCUGUUUUUAUUGUUAAAUCUGGGUUUUUAAUUGGUAUUUUACAGGUUGUCUUAUUUUUAUUCCAAUGUUUUUGUGGGUCUUCUCCUAUAAUUCCUAUUUUUUCUGCUUCUAAUAUAAGGUUUUUUAAUCUAUUUGAAUUUCUUAAUUGUUCUGAGUAGUCAUUAAUUAUGCUAUCCUUUUGUGCCUCCACUUUGCUAAUUUGAUGAGAUGUUACAUUAUGAUUUUUAUUUAAUACAUUUUCCAUGUUUGUAUAAACAAUUGUUGUGGUUUUAGGAUGAAAACUAACUUGGUUAUUUUGUAUUGUUAUCCCUCCUUGUAAAGAAUGUACAAAAUUUAGACCUAAAAUAAAAGGAUAUAAACUUAUAGUAGGUACAAGAUAAGUUUGGGGUAAUACUAAGGUUAUGUUAUUAAUUAUGAUUGGUACGUUUGAAAUAUACUUGGUUAGUAUUAGUUUUUGUUGAUUGUAUUGGAUUAAUUCUACUGGUUGAACUAAUGUUUGCUGAUCUUCUUGAGGUACUAAGGUUUCAAAUAAAAGGUUUUUACUGGCUCCAGUAUCUAACAUUGCGUCUACCUUUAAUUCUAUGGUUUUUAAUUUAAUUGUUGUUGGAAAAAUAAUAGAUUUAACUUUAUUUGCCAUAUUUACUUGUUCUAUUGUUUGUAUGGUUAUUUUUUCAGGAUUCAUUGGUUCUUUUUCAGGACUUUUUGGUUCUUCUGUGUCCUUAGUUUUUGAACUACUAUCUUCUUCUUCUUUUGAAAAUUUUCCUUUGAUUAUUAUUUGUAAAUCUUUCCAUAUAUUAUUAGGUUUUAUUUUACCAUUGUUUCUGUUCAUUAUCUUCACCAUCUUAUUUUUGGAUAUUAUUGUUUGUUUUGAGUAUGGAUAUCAGGUUACACGUUUAGCUUUCAUGGAUCUCUAGAAUAUCUAUGGAUUUGUUGUUAUUGUUUUAUCAUCUCUUUUCUUGGUUUUGGUGAAAGUAGUUUGACUCCGUUUUUGGUUUCAUUGUGGGAUAUCUCAAAAUUCACACCCCUGUUUUUGUAUGAACUUAUGGUCCCUCAACUCGCUUACAAGCCCGUGGAUGGAACAAAUAAAUAGGGCUUUUUUUUUCUUUCUCUAUACUCUGUUUUAGUAAAAGUUCCUUUCACGUUUUCUUCUGUCCUUAAUGGAAUGGUUCUUAAGCGUGGUGCAGUUUGGGUUGGACUGAUGGGUUUGGUUCUUUGAACUGGUCAUGGCAUUAUCCGCAUUUGGACCAAGUUACGACUGUUGAGACACAAUGAAGGGAUCCCUAAAGAAGGCAUUGCGGUUGAAAAAGUCGAGAAUCCUCCUCUUGUGGAUAUUCCCACUGAAACUGGUUCAAAAGCAGUUGGAAAUUACGCCCUUGAACACGUCAGUGAGCAUGAGGACCAUACCCACAUUCUCAUUACCCUCCAUCCUCUAUUCCACCAUACCCAUUUUUCACCUCCAUCACGCAUGGCACGAGACUUCUUUUUUGCAAAAAACACCCAACAUACCCAUUACCCGAUGUAUCUUUCCACCUCUCAAUACCCACAAAAACCAUUCCCCCAACCGUGCCCAUCACCACUUCCCUAACUGCACCACCAAUCCCCUUUCUCUCUCUAAGUCUUCAUCUCCCAACACCCACUAAACUCAUUUUCUUACUGAUAAUGGAGACACAUCCCUACACCAACUUGAGAACCUUUGCAUGCGCUGCACCCAAAACGGAGCAGCAUGGUGUUCGUUUGUUGAAAUUCCAUAUUUCGGAAAGACAUCAUUACCGACAUCGAUGGAAUGUGUAUCAUCAAUGAACUCAUUGCAACUGCCAUUGCCUAUGGCUUUGAUAAGGAGGCCACCAGUGUUGGUGAGAAGAAUGCCACCAUCCACAUGUUGCAACAGCUCCUUGGUACUAUUUGCUACAUCUAGGUGUGCUCUAUAUCUUUUUUUUUUAAAUAAAGAAGGAAAGACAAUCUGUCUGUUUCUUAGUUGAAUGGGGCACAACACAGGACCUUUGUUACAUAGUCCUGAUAACUGAUGGAUCCGAUUUAACUUUUUGUGGAAUUACGACCCUGACAGCUCACGAGGAGGGAGGAGGGAGGAGGGAGGAGGGAUGGGACAGAGGGGAAGUGUGAACUGUGCUGUUGCACCUUAUUUGUGUUCCUUCUACUUCCAGGUGUUGUCAUGAAAUGGAAUUCAAGAGGACUUGGUUAAAUGGUAAAAAAAACAGGCUGCUGUUGAGCAUCGUGCUUGAAGCUUGGAGAAUAGAGGAACCUUCUCUUGCUCUUCCAUCUGCUACUUCACACAUUUAUUCCAAGAAUAUAUCAUCUGCUGCUUGCCAAUCUUAACCAGGCAAAAACGAAAGAUUUUUAUCCUUAUGUUUUGAUAUUGACGUCACUACAUUAUUCUUCUUCAUAUCUUUCUUGAACAACUUUUGAAACCAAUUGAGCAUACCCUUGAUCGGUUGAAGCUUUUUCGCUCAAAUGCCCUUCUUUUUUAAAUUCAAACCUUUUUAAUACUUAGGCAACAUCGUUAAAUACUUUUAUAAAACAAGUUUGAGAGGUUUCUGCCUAAGGUUUUGGAUUAGAACUUGAAUUAAGAAAAUAUAAUCUUUAGAGUUCAAAAUAAGUAUGAUUAAAUGAUGCAUGAAUAGAUUUAAAGACCUAAGUGCACCCAAGUAUUUGCCUUACAUAAUGUUCCUAAGCUUAAAAGGUCUUCAUGCUCACUUGAUCUUACACACAUUUGAUCCUUUGAUGAACAACUUGAUUUUCCAAUUGAAUUUUGCAAAUAAUACUUAAAACUCAUCUUAAUUUUAAACUCAAUAGUGAAAAACAUGAUUUGUUAUCAUCAAAACUCAUUUAGGAGACCCCUUGGGCUAACAAAAGUUAAUAGUGAAAUAAAUUUAUCUAAUAAUAAAGAUGAUGAAUGAAUAUAAUUAGUUCAUACUUGAAUAGAAAACCGUGAGUGAACUCAUGUUAAGAAUGAGUCAAAAUAAGUACGAUAAAAUAUGAGAGGGAUUAUUUUUACAAAUUUAAGGUUAUCUCAUCCCUUUUAAUCAAAUCAUCCUUUAAUAAAUAUGACUCCAAGACUAAAAAACAAAGGAACCUGGCAAACCCCAAAUUAUUAGAAAGACAAUUGCACCCAAUUGGGCAUAAGAGGUAAAUAAUUUAACUCAAGAAAAAGUGAAAGUGAAGAUGAGAGACAUGAAGGCAAAAAAGAAUCAUUGAUUAAUAAUAUAUUUUAUUUAAUUUUAUAACCUUUUACAACUUGUUUUUAUGAUGUAUAAUUAAUAUUUUAUAGCAAGCUCUUGUUUGUAUGUCUUAAACUCAACCUAGUCAAAUCUUAAGCCUUCACCCCAAACCAAAAACCACAUUUCAUCUUCCUUCUUGUUACAUUUUUGUAAAAGUAUAUAGGCUGAAAAUUUCAUUUGAGGCAUACCAAGCAGAUAUUUCAAGCAUGAUGCUUUGAACAUUAAUUCUAUUUGUACCUCAUUUAACUACUUUAUACUUUCAACUGCUAUGGGCUUAGAUAAGUAUGCAACCUUUCAUUAAUUUUAUGACAGAGCUAGGAACAAUGGUUAGGAGGGGCUAUGGUUCAAUAUGUACUAAAAAAAUCAAAUAAUAUAUAUAUUUUUUAAAAUUUUACUAAAAAAUUCCAAAGAAUAUUUCAAAAGAAUUAAAAAUUAGCACGAAAUUUGAGUAGGGAAAUUUUCAAUAAUUUAGUAGUUUUUGCAGUUAAAAAAUCACAAAAAGUAAAGACUUUAAUAAUUUCUCUAAUAAAUUUUGGAUUUAAAAAAAAAACUAUAAAAUUAAUUAAAAAUGAUGAUAUUUUUUUACUAAAAAUAUAACACAUAUUAAAAAAAAUGUUUAAUUAAAUUUUAAAUAAAAAAUUAAAAAUUGACAAAAAUUUAAUUUUAUUAGAAAAAUUAUAAUGAAAUGAAAAUUUUUACAUACACAAAAAGAAUGAAAAAUAAAUUAAGAUAAUAUAUGUAUGAAGAAAAAAAAUGAUGAAGCUAAAAUAAAAAAGGAAAAAAAAAGUAGGAGUUUUAAGUAGGCUUUAUAAAAUAUUAUAUAUAUAUAUUUUAAAAAUUAUUUAAAUUUUUUUUUAAAAUUAAAUCCUUGAGGGUUAGUAUUAAAUAUUUUUUUUCAAUAACAUUGAAAUGAAAUUAUUUUUUAUUUUUGAAAUUAACAAUUAAAUUCAUAUUUUUUAGAAGGGGAAAGUUACAAAUUUCUUUUCAUUAUUUUCUAAACCUUAAUUUUAUAAGGUAGGCCCUUUUUUUUUUUUUUUUUUUGAGGGGGAAGGGGGUUUUGAGACAAGUUGCAGACUAUUGAGAAUAAAUAAUAAAUAUAGUAAUUGUUGCAUAAUAUAAACAUAAUUACAAUUGAAUCUUUCAAUAGGAAACUUGAAAAGAGAUUUCUAGUACAUCAAGUUUAAAUUAUUAUUAUACUAAACCUAAGAACAAUUUAUAAAUUAAAGUUUCAAUUAUAUUUCACUUGCUUGUGGGUAACUCAUUUUCUUAUCCAAGAUGGAAGUGCAAAUAUAACAUUUGGAAACUAUAAAAUCAUAAAUGUAGAGGUUGAGUCAGAUAGUGAGAUAAAAUCUGUAAAUAUUAUACAAGAAGAUAUUUUAUUAAACAUCGAAAUAGUAGAAAACCUAUACAAAAAUUUAGAACUAGUUAAUAUAAUGUUAGAAGAAUUUAGUAACCCAACGUCACUAGAAUAACAGGUAGAUCAAGAAAACUUUUAUUGACAUAAUGUGUAAAACCUAUACAGACAAACAAAUAAUUGAACUUUAUAAAACCAAUUUGAUAAAAAAACUUAUAGAUAUAGAAACAAUAAAUCAAUUUACUAUUCAACCAAAAGCUAAAUAAAAUUUAAAAAUAGUCUCAAAUGAGUUAGUAAAUACAAUAAAUGUAGAAAAGGAAUUUGUAAAUGUAAAAAUUGAAAUAGUAAGAUAUAGUGAGAUGUACAGUAAGUCAAAAAGACCUCAAUGGAAAACCAAAACAGAACCUUCUAGUUCUUUACAACCAAUAUAUGAAUAUGGAAUAAUAUAGAAUAAUAUUAGAUAUAAAUAGUACACAAGACCUUAAGAGAACCAUAGAAAAUUAGGAACAAUUCUUAAAUUUAGCCGAUGUGGUAGUAUUCUUUGAAAAUCAACAAGAAAUUUAUGAAUUUUGUAAAAGCACCCUUAGAGGAACUGUAUUACAUUUCUUUAGGAACAUGGAACAAGAAAAAAAUAGUUAUUUUCAAGAAGUUAGAAAUAAUUUUAGCAUAUCUGUAUUUAUAAAUUUAAUAAAACUAUAUUUUUUAGGAAAAAUUUAAGAAGAUAUAAAGGAACCUGCAAUAUAUCUCCAUAAGUUAGAACAAUUGAAAUUAUGUAACCUUUCUUAUAUAAAAGAAUAUGAACAAAAAUUUAGGAAAUAUGCAAUCCUUGCUAUAUUUCAUAGAACCCUUGAAUAUUUAAAUAAAUAUAUAUUAAAAAUACAAGGACCUAUGGGAUUUAAAUUAUGGAAUGAAUUUUCAACCUUUGAAUAUAAAAACUCUCCUUAUAUAGGUGCUACAAUAGAAUUUGUUAAAAAUUGAUUAGAAAGAGAAUGUGUAAGUAUAGGAGAAAGAAGCCAAACAAAGAAACAAGAUAUAAAUCAACAACUUUGUAGAAAAUUAUAUAUAGGAGAAAAUCUAGACAUAGGAUGUAGAGAAUAUAAGUUCAAAAAGCUAAGAACUACAAUAAAUUUUUAAGAAGAAAGUCAAAAACCUUUUCUGAAAAAUGACUUUAUCAAACAAGAUAUAAAAAACUUGGAAAGUUUUAGAUAAAAAGAAAAAGAACUAAGGAAAGAAAAAGAUAGUGUAAAUGUUAUUUGUGUGGUUAGGAAAACCAUAUAAGACCUGAAUAUCCUAAAAUUUAAAAACCAUCAAAUGAACGAAGUAGAAAAACCCAAGCAAAAAUUAACCUAAUAAAUGAGUAUCAAUUAGAUAGUGAAGAAGAAUAACUCAUUAGUGAAUUAGAUUUUGAAAGUAAAAAUUCAAGUGUAUAUAGUAUAGAUGAUAGUGAAACUGAAAGAGAAGAAAUUUGUAUGAUCAUUGAAAAAGAGGAAAAUCAACCUAAGAAAAAUUUUUUAAAUUUAGAAAAACUUGUACAACCUUUAGAAAGUAAAAUAAAACCUUAUAAUAUGUGGAAAGACUUACAAAUAAUAAUUAAAGGAAAAUUUUUGGAAGAAGAGGAAAACAAUUCAAACUCUUAAGAAAUAAAAGAACUAAUAAGUCUUGUAAAAACAACUAUACAAACAAUAGAACAAGUAAAUAUGACAAAUAAAGUUAAAUCUAUCAUUUUCCCAACAACAAUUAAAUUAAAACCAUAGAAUUAAAAGUAGAUGCAAUGUUAGAUAAUGGAGUCAGUAAAAACCUUUUAUUUGAAACUUUAGUAUCUCAAGAAGACUAGUAAACACUAGUUCAAUCAAUAGAAUUAGUCCAAUAUAAACAACAAAAGCUAAUGUUAACCACGUAUAUUUCAAAUGUACCAAUCAUAAUUAACAACAUAACCUUAGUGUUACCUCAAACUUAUCUUGUACUUACUAUAAGUUUAUAUUAUUUCAUUUUAGGUUUAAAUUUUGUACAUUCUUUACAAGGAGGGAUAACAAUACAAAAUAACCAAGUCAGUUUUCAUCAUAAAACUACAACAAUUGUUUAUACAAACAUAGAAAAUGCAUCAAAUAAAAAUCAUAAUGUAACCUCUCAUCAAAUUAACAAGAUAGAAGCACAAAAAGAUAGUAUAAUUAAUGAUUAUUUAGAAUAAUUAAGGAAUCCAAAUAAGUUAAAAAACCUUGAAUUAGAAGUAGAAAAAAUAGGAAUUAUAGGAGAAGACCCACAAAUAUAUUGGAAUAAAAAUAAAACAACUUGUAAAAUACCAAUUAAAAACCCAUAUUUAACAAUAAAAAUGUAAAAUAUAGCAUGAAACCUUAUAGAUACAAAGGAAUUCAAAAUUCAAAUAGAAGAGCUAUUGAAAAAUAACCUCAUUAAACCAAGCUUUAGUUCCAAUAGAUCUUCAGCCUUUUUAAUAAGAAACCAUAAUGAGGAAAAAAUAGGAAAAACUAGGAUGAUUAUUAAUUAUAAAAGAUUAAAUGAUAAUACAUAUGAUGAUGACCAUAAAAUUCCAAAUAAAGAUUCUUUAAUUAAUUCUAUUCAAGGAUGUAAAUAAUUUUCUCAACUAGAUUGUAAAAGUGGAUUUUGGCAAAUUAGAUUAGAAGAAGAUAACAAAUCAUGGACAACAUUUUCAUGUCCCUGUGAAUUAUAUGAAUGGAAUGUAAUGCCAUUUGGACUAAAAAAAUGUUCCUUAGAUAUUUCAACGAAUGAUGGAUAAUAUUUUUGGUAAAUAUUCUUUUGUUUUUGUAUAUAUUGAUGAUAUUCUUGUUUUUUCGUAUAUUUUUCAGGAACAUAUAAAGCAUUUAGAAUUUAUUUUUGAAAAACUAAUUAGUCAUGGAUUAAUAGUAAGUAAAAAGAAACUGAAAUUAUUUAAAACCCAAAUAGAAUUUUUAGGAUUAGAAUUGAAUGAUGGACAAAUAAAACUGCAAAAUCAUAUAGUACAAUAAAUAAAUAAUUUUUUAGAUAAAUUCGAAGACUUAAAAACCCUUCAAAGUUUUUUAGGAUUAUUAAUUUAUGCUAGACCGUAUAUUAAAAACCUUAGUAGAUUAGUUGGACCCCUUUAUAGUAAAACAAAAAAUACAGGAUAGAGAUAUUUUAACUACGAAGAUAUUAAACUUGUACAUAAAAUAAAGGAACUUGUAAAACAUCUCCCAACUUUAAAUUUACCCUUAGAAAGUAAAUACAAAAUAAUUCAAACCGAUGCUAGCCAAACAUGAUGGGGAGGUAUACUUUUAGUAGUCAUUAACAUUGGAGAAGAAAAACUUUGUAGAUACUGUAGUGGAACUUUUAAUGAUUAUUAAAAGAACCUUAGUUCUACAGACUUAGAAAUUGAAGAAAUAAUCUUAGUCUUAAAAAAAUUUCAAUGAUUUUUAAACCAAGAACAAUUUACUUUAAGAACCAAUUGUGAGAAUAUUAAAAAAUUCUUUGAAAAUAAAAAUUCUUCAAAACUGUCCACCAAAAGAUGGAUAAAGUUUCAAAACUCUUUAAUUGGUUUCAAACUUAAUUUUAAACAUAUUAAAGGAAAAGAUAAUAUAUUAGUAGAUUGGUUAAGUAGACAAAUAAUUAUUAAUAAUCUUGAUAAUGCUAAUGAUUGAUUUUAUUCUAGAGGAACAUGGUUCAAAGAAAACCCACUAAAGUUAGAACCUUUCAAUUUGGAACCAUAUUUUUGAACGAAGUGUUUAAUCCAAAUUUAAGGUUUAACUCUUUAUAUUCUUAAAACCUUUUUGAAGUGCAUAAGGUUAUUGUAGAUAAUUUUUGGUCUCUAAAACCAUAGAGUUUUCCAAACCAAAAUCUAGAAUAUGCUUAUGGAAAAACCGUGUCAGCUUUAGCCCAACAUUUACAAAACCUUCAGAAUCAACUUAUUGCUUUAGAAACCCAAAAAUUUCAAAACCUCAAAAUCUAAGAAAAUCAAGAAAUUUUGUACAAACAUUUUAGAACCAAAAAUGUCGGGAUAAAAACAGGGUAUAUGGCAUAUCACGACCCUGGAUUUUUCUUUGUUAUAUAUUUAGCUUAUGUGAAUAUGUCUAUUGUAAAUAAAGAAAUUUUUGAUCUAGUAUCCUAGUUUAUGGAUUAGAGAUUUUUCUAAAAUGUUUUCAUAAACCAUGUAUCUCAAAUCCUUGAAAAUUUUCCAGAAAAAUUAAAAGAUAUUUUAAACUAUCUUUUCAAAAUCGAAAAACAAAUCAACAUUUCUUUUGAAACUAUUCCACCUUUAUUUCAAACCAAUGGAUCAAUAGUGCUAGCCUAUCACCAUAUUUAUAUAAAACACAAUAAAAAACCACUCAUCCCUCAACAAGAACUAGAAUGAGAAAUGACCCGCUCAAAUGAAUUUUCAGAAUUUUUUACUCUCUUUAGAGCCUUUCAAACUUAUGAUCUUGGACCAACCCAAAAUAAAUUAUUUCAUCUCAUUGGAGAAACAAAAACCAUGUUUAUAUGGAGAAACAAACCUUUAUAACACAUUAUUGUUCCAAAACCUUUCAUUACUCUUGAAGAACAAGAUUUUAUAACCGAACUCAGUGUAGAGUUACUAGAACCAUUUUUUUGCCUCAAGCGAUGAUGCAUCAUUUUGGGAAAACCUUGACGAUGAAAGUUAUUAAAAUCUUUAAAAUGCAAUAGAACAUUGAUGUCAGCAAUGACGACAUUGAAGUAGUAAAUGCAUCUUCAACUACAAGAAUUUAAUACAAUAGUAGAAGUCUAGAAUCAAUAAAGCCACAUUGUAGACCCCGCAUUUUGGCUCAUGCAUUUCCCACUCGAUGGCAAGCUCGAUUUUUAUUUUGAAAAAUGAUUUCAUUUAUUAGGAAAAUGACUUGGAGUCGUCACUUAUUUUUGUUUUAUUUUUAAAAGGGUAACAAAAUAAGAAAGAAAACCCUAAGUGUGACUCCUUAUUUUGGAAAAGGUGGUCUGUGAAAAACCGAAUCGGGCUCGGGGGUCAGGUUACUUAUUGGGAAGGUACGGUACAAACCAUAGCACCCCUCUAAGUCCCUAAAGUCGGGUCUCUACUAAUAAAAUGAAGCUGACAUGACAAUCAAUAGGAAAAUCAAUGGAUACUCAAAUCGAUCAUGCACAUAUGGGAAUCAAAACAUGCAUAGAGAAUGACCAGAAAGAGAGUGGAUGCGUACUUGGGCCACGAAUGAGCAAUGCGCUAUCAUAAAAAAUGGGGUCAGUGUACAAUAAAAAAAAGCACAAAACCUAUCACAUACAUCGCCAAACAGAAAUUAAAACUGUUAGAGGGAAAACUGGAUUUUUGAAGUUUAUUUGAAAAUUGGAGUCUUGGAGAUUAUUCGAAAAUUGGAGUUUUAGAGGUUAUUUGAAAAUAGGAUUUUUAGAAAUUAAAUGUAAGAAUGAGUUUUUUUUAGAAGUUAAAUUUGAAAGAGAUUGGAACCUUGAAAAUUAUUUGAGAGUUCGGGAUUAAGUUACGAAAAUUGGGACCUCGGAAAUUAAAUUUUGAAGGAAACCAGAAUUGAAAAUCAUUUGAGAAGUAGAAACUAUGAAAAUCGAAUUAUAAAAAUUGGAAAUCUUAGGGAUCAUUCGGAGACAGAUUUUUUAGAAAUAAAUGGAUAAAAUGAUAAUAAUAAAUAAGUAACGGAAGAAAUGCGAGAAUCAAGAUAUUGGAAACUGAUAAUUAAGUUCGAAAAUUGAAAAAUUGGAGUUUCAGAUAACUAAAUUUGGAAAUCGGAAUUUUGAAGAAUUAUUUAAAGACGGAAUUUUAAAUAAAUGAAUAAGUGAAUAAAUAAAUGAAUGAAAUAAUAAUAAUGACUGGAUAAAUAAUAGUGAAAGUUAGAAUUUCGGAAAUUGGAAAUUGAACUUAGGGAUCGGAAAUUUAAAGAAUUAUUUAGGGAUGAAAUUUUAAAUAAAUGAACCAGUGAAUAAACAGAAUAGCGAAAGUAUGGAUAAAUGAUUACAAAGAUGGGAAUUUUGGAAAUUGGGAGUUGAAUUUAGAGAUUUGGAAAUUUGAAGAAUUAUUUAGAGGGGGGAUUUUAAAUAAGUGGAUAGGUGGAUGAGUGAAUAAGUAAAUGAAUGGAAUAAUGACGAUGACGAAAUAAUAAAGAUUAGGAAAGCUGCGAAAGAUAGAAUUUUAGAGAUUGGAGAUUAAACUUAGAGAUUUGAAAAUUUAAGAGAUUAUUUAGGGAUGAGAUCUUUAAUAUAUGAACAAGUGACUAAAUAAAUGGAUGGGAUAACAUUAAUAACGAAAAUAACCAUUAAACAGCUGAAUGUGAACAGUGGAGUUUUUGAUAUUGGAAAUUAAAUUUGGAUGUUGGGUUUUUGAAGAACUGGACUUUAAUUAUUGAAAUAAAUAGAUAAAUAUGGGAUAAUAAUACUAAUUAACGAGAAUAAUAUUUAGGCGAAUAAAGAUGAAUAGUAGAACUUUUGGGAUUGAAAAUUUAAUUAGGACAUUGGAUUUUUGAAGAAUUGGGCUUUAAGGAAUGAGAUUUUUGAAGGAGGAUAAAUAAACACAUGAGGAAUAAUAAUAAUAAUUAACAAACAUGAUAUUUAAACAAAUGAAAUUGAAUAGUGGAAAUUUUGAGAUUGAAAAUUUAAUUAGGACAUUAGAUUUUUGAAGAAUUGGGCUUUAAGGAAUGAGAUUUUUAAAAGAGGAUAAAUAAAUACAUGAGAAAUAAUAAUGAUAAUUAACAAACAUAAUAUUUAAACAAAUGAAAUUGAAUAGUGGAAAUUUUGAGAUUGAAAAUUUAAUUAGGACAUUAGAUUUUUGAAGAAUUGGGCUUUAAGGAAUGAGAUUUUUAAAAGAGGAUAGAAAAAUACAUAAGAAAUAAUAAUAAUCAUCAACAAACAUAAUAUUUAAACGAAUGAAAUCUGAAUAGUGGAAAUUUUGAGAUUGAAAAUUUAAUUAGGACAUUAGAUUUUUGAAGAAUUGGGCUUUAAGGAACGAGAUUUUUAAAAGAAAAUAAAUAAAUAAAUAUGAAAUAAUAAUAAUGAUAACAAGAAUAAUAUUUAAACGGAUGAAAGUGAAUAGUCGAAUAUUUGAGAUUGAAAAUUAAAUUAGGAAGUUGGGUUUUCGAAGAAUUGAAUUUUAAUGAUUGGAAUUUUUAAAGGUAAUAAAUAAGUAAAUACGGAAUAAUAAUAAUAAUAACUAGAAUAAUAUCUAAACGGAUGAAAGUGAAUAGUCAAUAUUUGAGAUUGAAAAUUAAUUUAGGAAGUCAGGGUUUUUUUUAAGAAUUGAAUUUUAAUGAUUGGGGUUUUUUUUAAAGAAUUAAAUAAAUAAAUACGGAAUAAUAAUAAUAAUAAUAAUAAUAAUAAUAAUAAUAAUAAUAAUAAUAAUAAUAAUAAUAAUAAUAAUAAUAAUAAUAAUAAUAAUAAUAAUAAUAAUAAUAAUAAUAAUAAUAUUUAAACGGAUGAAAGUGAAUAGUCGAAUAUUUGAGAUUGAAAAUUAAUUUAGGAAGUCAGAUUUUUGAAGAAUUGAAUUUUAAUAAUUGGAAUUUUUAAAAGAAAUAAAUAGAUAAGUACGGAAUAAUAAUAAUAAUAAUAAUAACAAGAAUAACAAUUAAAUUUGGAAUUGUGGGAUUUUCAUAAAAUUAAAUUUAAAAAUUCAGAUCUUGGAGAAUUAAAGUUAAAAUUAGAACCUUAAAAAAAAAAAAAAAAAUUACUUUGAAGUUUGAACUUUGAAGAAUUAAAUUUAAGGAAUUGAGUUUCGAGAAUUAGAGUUUGGCAAACUUAGUUUAGAAUCGGGUUUUAGAAGAUUUUUUUCGAAAAUGGUAAUAAUAAUAAUAUAUAUAUAUUUUUUUUUUAUUUUAGAAAAAAAAACAUGAAUAAGUAAAUAAAUUAGAACUUUAAAAUUUUAGGGGAUUUUUAAAGGAUCAUUUGAGAAUAUAUAAAACAAACAAGGAGAUUUUUUUAAAGAAAAUGGAAAGAAUUUAAAGUACCAGUUUCUUCACGUGUCAACAAAACCUAUUUCUUUUUUUCUUUUAUCAAUCAAUUUCAUGCAUUGCUGUAGCCCAACUUCCAUGCCCCUUUUAUCCAUUUCUACCCUCUGCCUCACGCACAUGAUCGUUUCUACUCCACUCUCAUCUCUUCUGCCUAUAAACAAAUACACAGAUAUUGUACCCAUCUAGAACUGAGGCAGCAAAUGAUGCGUUGUCUUCAAAAACAUCCGCUUGGUUUGUCAGGGGACCAAAGGCAGCAUCAAACUUGAAGCUUGGGUGCCCCAUUUGAUUUUACUGUAAGCUCACCAUCCUCAGCAGAUUCAAAAUCAACCACCAUUGAAGCUCCAGCUGCAAUUUCUUCACCAUUCAGCGGCCUGCAUCGACAAAAUACCCUUGUGCUCCCUUUCGACUCUAAAACCUUAUUGUAAAGUUCCUUUUAUCCCUUAACCCCUUCCAUAAAUUUGACCUUAAAACGUUCAUAGGAAUCUAUUUGCUGUCCCAUUUAUAGAUUGAAUGGUAGAGCUCAUUUCAUUCAUAUCUGUAAGACACUUCUCGUAGGAUGAAACCUCUUGGGACAUGCUGAUGUGUUCUAUGUUAGGAAGUGUCCCAAAUUCCUAAUUAGUAUAGAUUCCUUUUUUUGUAAAGAAUAUUAUAUAGAAUAUUUCUAGGUUGAUAUAUUAUUGUAAUAUUAGACUUCCUUAUAGAAUAAGGAAGGUUGUUGGAAAUAUCUCUAUAAAUAUUCUAGGUCAUGAGGGAAAAAAGUUAUGAGAUGGAGAUGGGCCUAUAGAGACUAUACGAGGUGGAUAGAGAUGUGAGGAAGAACGGGAGGUACCUGGUGGAGCGAGAGGGCUCGUAGUAAGGUAUGGAUACAAGGAGUGGGGAAACAUGGGAUGUUUCGGGAACCCAAUAGUUGUAUCUGGUUCUAUCCUCUGUAAUAUUCUUUAUUGUAUAGUGGAAUUAUUCUCUCUCAUCCGUGGACGUAGGCAUGGUUGGCCGAACCACGUUAAAACCUCGUGUACCGUAUGUGUGAUUGUUUUAUCUUUGUGUUCUUGAACUAACAUUGUUGACAUCAAAGCUUUCGUUGGCACAACAACUGGUAUCAGAGCUUGGGUUGAAGAUUUCUGGAAGAGUAAAAGAUCACAAAGCACACAAGAUGAAAACAAAAGGAAUUUUCACUGAAGGUGGAGUCGAUUGCUCUUUCGUGGUGAUAUGAUACAAAAAGGUUUGUGUCAUGGAGAGAUUGAAGAUUAACUUCAUGUAAUUUGGUCCAAGGUGGAGAUUGUUAGGAAGUGUCCCAAAUUCCUAAUUAGUAUAGAUUCCUUUUUUUGUAAAGAAUAUUAUAUAGAAUAUUUUUAGGUUGAUAUAUUAUUGUAAUAUUAGACUUCCUUAUAGAAUAAGGAAGGUUGUUGGAAAUAUCUCUAUAAAUAUUCUAGGUCAUGAGGGGAAAAAGUCAUGAGAUGGAGAUGGACCUAUAGAGACUAUACGAGGUGGAUAGAGAUGUGAGGAAGAACGGGAGGUACCUGGUGGAGCGAGAUGACUCGUAGUAAGGUAUGGAUACAAGGAGUGGGGAAACAUGGGAUGUUUCGGGAACCCAAUAGUUGUAUCUGGUUCUAUCCUCUGUAAUAUUCUUUAUUGUAUAGUGGAAUUAUUCUCUCUCAUCCGUGGACGUAGGCAUGGUUGGCCGAACCACGUUAAAACCUCGUGUACCGUAUGUGUGAUUGUUUUAUCUUUGUGUUCUUGAACUAACAUUGUUGACAUCAAAGCUUUCGCUGGCACUACAUUCUAAUAUCAAAACCUUCAACUUUCUUUUCAUGCCCCUCAAAGACGAGAACUAUUUGCUCCUCUUUCACUUUUCCCUUAAACCCGAGGGAUUUGAAAUCCUUACCCUACAACCCCCAUGAACAGAGAAAGAAAGAAAGAAAAUACGAACAAAAACAGAGCAUAACCACGGGAAAGCAAUCAAGCCAUUGAACUAGAUCUUGCAUCUUGUGCUAAUAAGAGGAUCCAGAACAGGUGGAGGAAACCGAGAGUAAUAAUACGAUUGAUAAGAUACCGAGCCCAAAAGAGCAAAACGACACAACAGUUAUUCAUCAAAGGAAUCCAAGUAACCGGGAAAGAACCAAAACAAAGUAAGCAUGAAAACUCAGAUUCCGCACAGUUCACUACGCAAUAAAAUAAAAUAGUAACAUUCAAGGAACAAGACGAAAUGAUCAAGACCUGUGACGACGGGGAAGAGAGAAUAAGAAAGGUGUGAAGAAACCAUACCUGAAGUGUUCCUCUGAUCCUCCCCUUUCACUGGCUGCCCAAUACCACCCCCUGUAGAUGUCCUCUACCCCGUAAUCUGCUGAAAAAAAAUCCCUUAAUCCCCGCCGAGCUGCCUGCUUCCCCCCAGACCAGACCAUCAUUUCCAAUUUCAACCACCACCAUGGUGAGGUGGUCACGUCCGCGGCCACGCGUCCUAUGCAUGAAAAUUCAUGGAAGUUGGCCCCUCACUCAUCCCAAACACUGCCAUCUUCUCCGGGUGGGUAAGAAAAGAAAAGAAGAAAGAAAAAAGGAAAGAAAAAAAAAUGCUAUAAAAACAAUAAAAAAACUAAAAGCAAUUGUUUUUUAAAUGGGGUCUACAAAUAUGCCCCUUUUCGGUAGAGUUCACAAGUGUAAGGAAUAUGAAGACUAAAGUGAAAAGAAAGUGUGAAUAGUGAGUGGAACAAAGUGAACUCUACCGAAGAAACAAAGAGACCUCCACAGGGACACCAGUGAAACACGGACUUACUCAAGUCAAUAGACGAACAUAAAGGCUCUAAUCCUAAAAGAAAAUGAUGUCUCAAAAUGACUCUGAAGCCAUACUAAAGGAUCCAGACUCUCUCUAAGACGUCUCCAUAAGUGACUCGAAAAAACCAUAUCAAAGAUGAGUAACGGUUGAACCACUCUAGAGUACCAUAAAGAAUGUGUCUCGAGAAGACUGCCCUAAGAGAACUACAUGAAAGUGCCAAGCGUAGGGUGCCCAACAACAUGACCGAAGUAUGUGUCAUAAACUCAAAGGACUGUGUUAGGAGCAAUGAAAAGAGAAUUAUGGAAGAGCAAUGACGAAUAAGUGAUAAGCACAGGGUGACGCGGUGAGGAAAAUGAGGAUAGAUGCAAAGUUAUGAAGGCAAGACGUAUAAUGUCAGCGAAUACGAAUGCCAAGGGUUGUGACCCUGAAUGAUACAGUCGAGGAGAAAUGACUCUGAACGUCAAAACAUGGAAAGAUGAUGACUCAAGGUCUUUGAAUGAAUGUGUAUAAUGGCUUUGAACGCCAAAUUAGAGAAUGACGGUGGCACUGAACGUCAAAUAGAACAAUGGUUCUGAAUGCCAAAACUAAGAAAGAUGAUGACUCAAAAUGAACGAAUGGGUAUGAAAAACGGCUCUGAACGCCAAACUAAAGAAAAAAUGUGGUAGUGGCGGCAAACGUCAAAUAUAACAGUGGCUCUGAACAUUAAAAUUAAAGAAAAGAAAUGGCUCAAAAGGCCCGGAGGAGUGUGCCCAAUGGCUCUGAACGCCAGAAAAGAGGAAAAUGGUGAUGAAUCGAAUGAAAGAUAGACAUGAGGACUCUGAGUGUCAAACUAAAACCUCGACUCGAAACACUAAAUAAUAAUAAUAAUAAUAAUAAUAAUAAUAAACAGAUAAAUGGUCCUGAACACAAAAUGAAGAUGUGGCUCUGAACGUCGAAACGAACGAUAUGUAGUGGCUCUGAACAUCGAAUGAAAAAAGUGGAUCCGAAUGCUGAACAAAAAUAUAGCUCUGAAUGCCAAACGAAGCAAAACAUGGCUCUGAACGCCGAAAUAAAGAUAAACAAUGACUCUGAACGUCGAUACUGAGAAGUGAUGUCUCUGAACGCCGAACGAAAUGAUGGCUUUGAACACCGACACUGAGAAGUGAUAACGAUGGCUCGGAAAGCCGAACUAAGAAGUGGUGAUGGCUCGGAACGUCGAAACUGAAAAUGUGACGAGGAUGGCUUUGAACACUGACAUUGAGAAGUGAUAAUGAUGGCUCCGAACGCCGAACGUUGAUGUGAUGAUGAUGGCUCUGAACGUCGAAACUGAGGAGUGCAACUCUAAACGUUGAUUCGUGCCCAGUCGGUGUAUCAGCUGAUUCAUGUCCAGUUGGUGCUCCUUGAUUGAGGGAGUAAUCAACAAAAUUUAUAACCUAUUACACCAUGAACUAGGGUAGCAAAGACAAAGCUACUAUAGCAUAGUGGCUCUAGGAUCGUUCACUGGGAUGGGUUUUCACUUCACAAUUGAUAUUAAUUCAAAGUUGAAUUGGUGCCUUUUCAUUUCAAGGUUAGCUUUAAAAGAAAACAUAAUCUUUAGCGGAAAAAGGUUUGGUUUUAAACUAACCAAAAAUAGUAACUGAUUUUACUUAUAAAGAAAAGUGUCUCUUGGAGUUUAGAUCACUGGGUUCAGAUUCCUCAUACAAAAAGGAGAGUUCCGGUCACUUGUUUAUUUUCCUCGCAUUGGGGAUUUGACAUAUAGUUAUUUCCCGAACCGGUGUGGUACAGAUGCUUCCCAUUAAUGGGUUCAAACACUAAAUCCCUCUCAUUGAUGCACCUUGCAAUGGCUCAUACCUCUCACCUAGCACUUGCCAGUCAAGGUGAUCUUUAACCUUGGAUUACCCGUCAAAAGCUCGCAAGAGAUAACUAAUGGAUGUCUCCGUGGAGUCCAAAAGCUUACCAAGUGUUGGCUAUUCUAGAAAAUCCUACCUUCAAACCACCUCCUAAAGGCUCGCAAGAGAUAAACUAGUGCAUCUCUAUGGAUGGAGAUCACUUGCCUUAUCAAGUGUUGGCCCAGGUGAUUUAAAGGCGUUUUAAGUUAACUAAAAAGAUAAAAACCAUUAACGGGUCACACUUUCUCUUCAUUAAAAACUAAAACAACAAAACUUCCAAUUUAUGCAUGUGGAAAUUUACCCGGCUUUCUUCACUCCAAGAGACAAAGAGCCUAGCCUCUCAUCCUCUGAGGAAAAAUCCUUAGAAUUUGAUUAGCUAGAAAGAAAAUAACGAGAAAACAAAAGCAGAGCAAGUGCUCUGUAUUUUACUUCCUUCCCAAACCUGUACAAAGGAUGCGUCUCUGGGAACAAGCUCCCGAGAUCCCAUCUUUCAAAGAAGAUUACAAACUAUAUAUAAGGGGUUAUUUACCCUUUGUACUUACUUAAAGACUAAGGAAUCCUAUGAUAGGUGGGUUACAAGGAGACUUUGGGUAUUUAGACAUCAAAUAUCUAAAGCAAAAUAUCUAAAGAAAAAUAUCUAAAGAUGUUGGUCGCAAAUAUCGGGAAGCUUCAGGAGAACAUCGCAACACUGUGCAAAAUUGGCUGCGAAACUCUCCGGGUGAGAGUUAUUAGAGGAUCCGGAUAUGUAUAUCCGAAGAAGUUGAAACUCCCUCCUCUCCCAUCCGGCUCCUGAAUUCCGGAUGUGAUACAUCCGGGUGGAAAGUGGCGGCAGCCGGAUGGAAUGGCGGUGGCAGCCGGAUCUGGGUGAGCGUUAUUAGAGGAUCCAGAUAUGUAUAUCCGGAGAAGUUGAAAUGCCCUCCUCUCCCAUCCGGCUCCUGAAUUCCGGAUGUGAUACAUCCGGGUGGAAAGUGGUGGCAGCCGGAUGGAAUUCCUACCCGGGUGGAAUGAGCUAUGAUUCCCGUCCGGGUGGAAUGAGCAGGAUCCCAUACUCCUUGUAUUCUGGAUUUGCUUAUGGAUUCCAAAGAACUCUCCUCAAUCUUGGAUUGCUUUGGUGAUCAAAAAGCUAUCAAAACACCAAAACUUAAAACAAUUUGAUUAGAAUUGAUUGCAAGGGUCCUUAAUAUGUUAAUUGGGUUAAAAGGUGAUAACUACUACUCAAAAGUGUUUAAAAGAGUUAAUUAAAAGCUAUGAAAUAGUACUUUUUGAGUAGUAAUCACUCCCCCCAACUGACAUAUUGCUAGUCCUUUAGCAAUGAAGGAGAGAAAAAUAAAAAUAAACAGUACUAUAAUUUACAACAUCAUACUGAUCAAAAAACAAUUUCCAAGCGGCAUGAUGAUCUAACUCUCACAUGGAACAUUAAAGAAAUAAAACUCAAACUUCAACAAGAGUUAUCAAAUAACUUAUCUAAUCACAAUUCUUAAAGAGAAGGCAUUAUGAAAAUUUAAGCUUUAAAAUCAUUUCCACUUCCAAAGGACCAAAUCUUACUCUUCCACAAAAAUCUAAGUGUUAUUUAUUAGCUUCUGAAUAUAGUAUGUUGAACUAAUCUCUCCCCCCAACCUAGUUCUUUUUCAAAACUUAGCAAACUGGUCAACCUCUAAUAGGCUAAGAACGCACCUCUUUUUUCACAUUUUUUUUCUUGUAGGAGUACAAAGUUUAAAGGUAUUCUUUUCUAAAUUGUCCAUGUAACGGGGGUCCAUCGAUGACUCCCAACCAAUUAAGGUUUAGGGCAUCAAGUUUUAAGGAUCUUUCAACCACUAACUCCUUGGAUUUUACCCCGGACUUUUGAGAAUGAAUUUAAAAUACCCAAGCACCUACAGUAUGUUAGACUCCACCUAUCCACCCUUGUAACGAGCAUUGAGGUCGGUGAUUCCCAACCAAUGAAGGCUUAGGGCACCAGGUUUUAAAGAUUUUCACCAUAUACCCUUCGAACCUUGCUCGGGUUUCAAGGCAAGCAAACAUUUUUUCUUUCUUUUUUCUUUCUUUUUUCAAAGACUCAUUGGCUUUUAUAAGGUGUCCCAACACUAUUAAAUGAGGUCAAAGGUACCAAGUUUAAAAUUUUCCUAAGUCAAGAGGGAAAUAGUUUUUCAUCUUAUAAUCAGAACCUAUUGUGCACAGUGUGUGAAUAGCUUAAAGUGGAAGACAUAAGCUUGAAUUCAAUAGAAACUUCAACAAUUCAUCAACUUUAAUAAACAUAAUACAAAAUCUAAGUCAAUUAAAAAGACAAAAAAUUCAAUUUCUCCCUUUUCAUUUUGAAAAUUUUUCCUUAAUAACCAUGGAGAGUAGAAUAAAAACUUUUAAAUUUUUUUAAAAAUUAAGCAAAAAGCAACUAAAUUACCAAAAUAACUUAGCAUUAAUAACAAAAACUUCCUUCCUCAACUCUCCCCCCAACCAAGCUGAACAUUGUCCUCAAUGUGACAAAAGUGAUUGAAAAAUAGGGAGGAAGUGGUACCUCCUGAGUGACAUGGAGUCUGAGUCAUGUAGGAGAAACCACACGUUUCAAAAAAAACAACAGAGUUAGUGAGUAGAGGAAAUAGAAAUAUGCCAAGUUUAAACAAAAAUGAUGUCUAUAUAUGAUGCAUCAUCAGUAAUACAUCCAAUCCUAGAAUAUAAGACAUCAAAAUAUGGAAUUAUAAAAGAAAUACAUAAAGUAAAGUAUGUAAAUGAUCAGAAAUGGGGGGGAUGAUGCUGGUAAGCUGAUGGCUCAAGUAGAUGUCUCUGUAUCUUCAGUAGCCGGCUCAGGAGGGGCAUGAGGCUCUGUGGCCUCUGAGUGGGGCACUGUAGUGGUAGGGGUGAGGUGCUCAGUAGCUGAUGGAAGACCCAGAUGGUGCUGAAGUUGCCUCAGAAUGGUAGUGUGCUGAGUCUGAGUGGCCAAGAUGGUGCUGAAGCUCUCCUUGCAGACCACUAUGUUUCCCCUGUUUUUACACUUUUUAUUGCUCCAAACGACGACCUUCCUUCAAUUUCUUUGCAAUUUCUCCUGAUUUUGAUCAUCCAAAAACCUAUAUUACAUCAAAACAAAUUAAAAUUAAAGCAUUUAAAUCAAAAUUCAAACAACUAAUAAAUAAAACAAAAAGGUAUGGACUAGCUAGUCUUUAAAAAGACUAAGUCCAUCAAAAAAUUUGAUCCGGAUUCAGCUUGCCCGGAUCCCAUAUGAAGUUUGCAUCACUCACUUGAGAUUUGCUUUGUAUGAUUUUCCCAUACAAAGCUUGGAGGAAAAGUGGAGGUAUGCGUUUCUUCAUCAAUUCUUCCUUGAUGACUAUCCUCUGUGAUUUUUCAUUUAUACAGUUAUCUUUCUUUGUACUUUUCCUCUUUCUCUUUCCUUUGAUUUCCUCCCUCUUUUCUUUCUCUGUUUCACUCUCUACCUCAUGCUCUAGCUUGCAUGCGGGCAGAUCAACCUCUUUAUCACUCUCCUUAGCCUCUAUUUCAUGGAUACCCUUUUGAUUUUGAUGAGGUUGAGAAGGAAAGUUUUCUUUCUCUUGCAUUGUGUUGAGGUUGGCAAACCUUGAGAUUGAAUCUUGGAGAUUAUCUAUCUUCUGAGAUAGAUCAUUUUGUACUUCAUCCAUCUUUUUGUUCAAUGAACUCUCUACACUGUCAAUUUUUUGACUGAGAUGAGCAUUGAUGGAUUUUUUAGCUUCAACAAAGUCUCCCAUGACCUUGUUAAGAUUCAUAAUAGCUUGUUCAAGGUUUGAGGCUUGCUGUGGUGCUUGAGCAGGUUGCUGGUACUGAGGUGGCUGUGGUUUCCAAGAGAAAUUUGGAUGUUUCCUCCAAUUGGAAUUAUAGGUGUUGCAAUCACCAAACAUUUCUCUCGCCACUGGAAUGGUAGGACACUCCUUCACCAAGUGCUCAUAAGAUAGAUAAAUGGCACAAGGCAUAGCUUGCAAUGGUGUCUGAGAGAUGGCUUGCACUUCUUGCAUCUGGUUCAUUUCUAGCUCUUCCAAUCUCCUUUCCAUAGCUGCAAUCUUUGCCUUCAUGUCCAUGCCGUCAUUCAAAAUAUACAUUUCACCCUUAGCUUUAGGUUGAGACGUCAUUCUGCCCAUAUUUCUAGCAUUUGGUUCAUCCCAUCCUCUUGAAACUUCAGCCACAUAACUCAUGAAGUUCAUGGCUUCCUCUGCUAUCUCGUAUUCAAUAUGGCAUGCACAACUAGCAAUUUGUGAAUUAAAAACAGAGAAAACAAAAGAAAAUAAAAUUCUAAAGAAAAUUAUUAAGAUUAACUAAAAACUAAAUAAAAGAUAUACUAAAACAUGAACAAAGAAAAAUAAAAUAAAAAGAGUUAGUAAAAGGAAAAGAAAAUUCACCAAACUUGUGAUGAAGAUCACAAGUACUCUGAAAAGGUCAUAUCACUGUAAAGUGGCACCAUCCCCGGCAACGACACCAUUUGAUUCGUGUCCAGUCGGUGUAUCAGCUGAUUCAUGUCUAGCUGGUGCUCCUUGAUUGAGGGAGUAAUCAACAAAAUUUAUAACCUAUUACACCAUGAACUAGGGUAGCAAAGACAAAUCUACUAUAGCAUAGUGGCUUUAGGAUCGUUCACUGGGAUGGGUUUUCACUUCACAAUUGAUAUUAAUUCAAAGCUGAAUUGGUGUCUUUUCAUUUCAAGGUUAGCUUUAAAAGAAAACAUAAUCUUUAGCGGAAAAAGGUUUGGUUUUAAACUAACCAAAAAUAGUAACUGAUUUUACUUAUAAAGAAAAGUGUCUCUUGGAGUUUAGAUCACUGGGUUCAGAUUCCUCAUACAAAAAGGAGAGUUCCGAUCACUUGUUUAUUUUCCUCGCAUUGGGGAUUUAACAUAUAGUUAUUUCCCGAACCGGUGUGGUACAGAUGCUUCCCAUUAAUGGGUUCAAACACUAAAUCCCUCUCACUGAUACACCUUGCAAUGGCUCAUACCUCUCACCUAGCACUUGCCAUUCAAGGUGAUCUUUAACCUUGGAUUACCCGUCAAAAGCUCGUAAGAGAUAACUAAUGGAUGUCUCUGUGGAGUCCAAAAACUUACCAAGUGUUGGCUAUUCUAGAAAAUCCUACCUUCAAACCACCUCCCAAAGGCUCGCAAGAGAUAAACUAGUGCAUCUCUAUGGAUGGAGAUCACUUGCCUUAUCAAGUGUUGGCCCAGGUGAUUUAAAGGCGUUUUAGGUUAACUAAAAAGAUAAAAACCAUUAACGGGUCACACUUUCUCUUCAUUAAAAACUAAAACAACAAAACUUCCAAUUUAUGCAUGUGGAAAUUUACCCGGCUUUCUUCACUCCAAGAGACAAAGAGCCUAGCCUCUCAUCCUUUGAGGAAAAAUCCUUAGAGUUUGAUUAGCUAGAAAGAAAAUAACGAGAAAACAAAAUCAGAGCAAGUGCUUUGUAUUUUACUUCCUUCCAAAAACUGUACAAAGGAUGCGUCUCUGAGAACAAGCUCCCGAGAUCCCAUCGUUCAAAGAAGAUUGCAAACUAUAUAUAAGGGGUUAUUUAUCCUUUGUACUUACUUAAAGACUAAGGAAUCCUAUGAUAGGUGGGUUACAAGGAGACUUUGGGUAUUUAGACAUCAAAUAUCUAAAACAAAAUAUCUAAAGAUGUCGGUCGCAAAUAUCGGGAAGCUUUAGGAGAACAUCGCGGCACUGUGCAAAAUUGGCUGCGAAACUCUCUGGGUGAGCGUUAUUAGAGGAUCCGGAUAUGUAUAUCCGGAGAAGUUGAAACGCCCUCCUCUCCUAUCCGGCUCCUGAAUUCCGGAUGUGAUACAUCCAGGUGGAAAGUGGCGGCAGCCGGAUGGAAUUCCUACCCGGGUGGAAUGAGCUAUGAUUCCCGUCCGGGUGGAAUGAGCAGGAUCCCAUACUCCUUGUAUUCUGGAUUUGCUUAUGGAUUCCAAAGAACUCUCUCAAUCUCAGAUUGCUUUGGUGAUAAAAAAGCUAUCAAAACACCAAAACUUAACACAAUUUGAUUAGAAUUGAUUGCAAGGGUCCUUAAUAUGUUAAUUGGGUUAAAAGGUGAUAACUACUACUCAAAAGUGUUUAAAAGAGUUAAUUACAAGCUAUGAAAUAGUACUUUUUGAGUAGUAAUCAAACGUCAAACUAGGAAGUGAUGAUGAUGGCUCUAAAUACCGAAACCGAGGAAUGCGACAAUGAUGGCUCUGAACGCCAAAACUGAAAAUGUGAUGAGGAUGGCUCCAAACGCCGAAAUCGAAAAUACGAUGAGGAUGCCUCUAAACACCGAUACUGAGAAGUGAUAACGAUGGCUCUGGACGCCGAACGAAGAUGUGAUGAUGGCUCUGAAUGCCGAAACCGGGAACGCAACUCUGAAUGUCAAACUAGGAAGUAAUGAUGGCUCUGAUCGCCGAAACCGAGAAUGCGACAGUGAUGGCUCUGAAAGUCAAAAUUGAAAAAUACGACUCUAAGUGUCAAUCUGGGGAGUGGUGACGGCUUUGAACACCGAAACCGAGGAUAUGACUCUGAACGUCAAACUGAUGACCGAUGAUGGCUUUGAACCCCGAAACUGAGAUAGUGACUCUAAAAUCUAACUAAAAAGUGAUGAUGAUGACUCUGAACAUCAAACUGAAAACACGAUGAUGGCUCUGAACGCCGAAACUGAAAAAUGAUGGUGGCUCUGAACGCCGAAAAACUGAGAAUGCAACUCUGAAUGCCUAAACUGAGAAACGAUGGUGGCUCUGAACGCCAAAUGAAGAAGUGACAAUGAUGGCUCUGAACGUCGAUACUGAAAAACGUGACUCCGAACGUCGAACGAAGAUGUGGAUCUAAACGCCAAACAAAAACAAAACACGACUCUUAACGCCAAACCAAAACUGAUAACUAUGAGCGUCAAGCUAAGGAAGAUGACUCCGAGCGUAAUAGAUGAGAAGACAUAGUGGCUCUGAACGUCGAGCUGAGAAAUGAUCAACGACUCUGAACGCCAAAAAACAACGAUACCUCUGAAUGCCGAAAUGAAACGACGACUCUGAAAUCCAAACCAAAAGAAACAUCGAUGAAUGCCAAUUUGAAACAAAAGCUCUGCAUACCCGAUUAAACUUUGCACUAGGAAUGUCAUGCUGAGAAAGACGACUCUGAACAUCGUAAACGAGAAGACAUGGUGGCUCUGAACUCCAAGCUGGAAAGGGAUAAUGGCUCCGAACGCCAAAACUGGAUAGAUGGCUCUGAAUGCCAAAUGAUGGUGGACUACGACUCUGAAUGCUGAAUGGAAGAACUAACAUUGGCUCUGAACACCGAAACUAAGAAACGACGGUGGCUCUGAACGCCAAAACUGGAGAAGUGGCUCUGAACACCGAAAUGAAACGACGGCUCUAAACGCCAAACUGCAAGGAAACGAUGAGGGGGAAAUGUGCCCUAGUGUAGCACGCUAUCACAACCCUCAAUCCACUGGAAGGGUCCGAAAGAGACUCUAUGAGUCCCGAAAGAUGCUCUGCCAGAAGAAUCUAUCGUCAUCCCGAACGGAUAAUCCGAUAGUCUCAGGGAGUAGUCUGGUAAGAGACACACCACGAUCUCAACAUAACAAUCCACUGAAUAGUCCCGGCUGAUGGGGCGAUCAAAACACGAUCAUUGUGCUCUACUGGAAGCUCAUCUCGACGAACAUCACAGGAAUAGCGAUCAGUAAGGCAAAUACAAUAUAUCCCGGCUGAGGGAUGGAAAUUGUAAAGGAUCUGUGAGAGAACGAUCGCCUCCCCGACUAAAUGAGGGAAAUAUGCCCCAGUAUGGCAUCGUAUGUACCCGAUCUGUCCUGAUAACUCAAGAGUAACUCCAUGGGGACGUACAAAGGAUCUAACAUGUGCUUCGCUGAAAGGGUGAAGAGGGAAUCCACGCGUUUGAGAUAACUCUGUCCAAGAAUCACGACUAUAUCAGAAAAUAAUGAAAUCGAAUCAUCAAUCCGAUGUGUAUCUCAAAACCGAUGGUGAUCAUGCAAAUCAGUGGGAGAUCUACAAAUCUCGAUCAAAAUAGGAAACACGCUCCGGUGUGGCAUCCAAAUGUGAUAGGUCAAAAAAUCAAAUGAGCUCAAAUCAUCCGUCAUCGAAUGCGCGAUCCACGUCAUCUAUGUCUGUAACUGAAUCAGACCCACAAAUCAAAGAGGCGUAUCCUGGGAGGAAGCAUGAUGACAUAUAAGUACCGAAAGGUGCAGACCUAACUGGAUAGCUCCAGAGAGACUCUAUUGGAGCGUCAUCAUCUCAAUGUGUAUCUCGUAAGUGGGGAUGAGCAUGUAACUCCAUGAAGAUCUGUAAAUCUCAAUCGAAAUGGAAAUAUGCCCUAGUAUGGCAUCAUAUGUAUGGUAAGUCGAAAAUCGAGUGACAUGAAACCAUCAAUCGUCAAAUGUGCGAUCUCCGUAAUCCAAAUCGAACCCAAACAUCAAGGAAAUGUCUCUCAGAGUAAGGAGCAUGAUUACAUACAAAUGCUAAAAAAUACGGGUAUGACUGGAUGGCUCAAGAGAGGCUCCACCGAGGGACCAUGAUAAAAUAACGAACACAUCCUCGUCUCGGUGUGCAUCCCGCAAGUGGGAGUGAUCAUGUAGCUCCAUGAAGAUCUAUAAAUCUCGUCCAGGUCGGAAAUAUGCCCCAGUAUGGAAUCAGAUGUGGAAUAAGCCAAAAAUCGGACAACAUCAAAUAAUCUGUCAUCAAAUGUGUGAUCCCAAUAAUCCAAAUCCAUAGUUGAAUCCAACCCACAUAUCAAAAGGCGUAUCUCAAAAGAAGAAGCAUGAGGACAUCUAAAUGUCAAAAGUGUGCGCCUGAUUGAAUCACUCAAGAGAGGCUCUCCUGGGAGAUCAUGAUAAGAUAACGAACACGUCCUCAUCUUGGUGUGCAUCCCGUAAGUGGGAGUGAUCAUGUAACUCCGUGAAGAUCUAUAAAUCUCGUCCAGGUCGGAAAUAUUCCCCAGUAUGGCGUCGAAUGUACGAUAGGUCAGAAACCAGGUGACAUGGAAUCAUCUAUCAUCGAACAUGUGACCUCCGUGAUCCAAAUCAAGUCCAAACAACUAGGGAAUGUCUCCUAGGAUAAGAAGCAUGGCGGCAACCAAAUGCCGAGAAAUGUGGGCCUGACUGAAUGGCUCCACAGAGGCUCCACUGAGGGAUCAUCAUAAAAUAGCGAACCAAUCAAUCAUCUCAACGUACAUCUCGCAAGUGGGGAUAAGCAUGCAACUCCCUGAAGAUCUAUAGAUCUCGCCUGAAACGGAAUAUGCCCUAGUAUGACAUCGAAUAUGUGAUAAAUUAGAAAAAUCAGGUGACAUCAAAUCAUCCAUCGUCAAGGGCAUGAUCUCGGUAAUCCAAACACAGCUGAAUCGGAUCUAAACAUCGAAGAGACGACUCUCAGAAGAAGAAGCAUGACGAUAUCUAAAUAUCAACCAAAUCUCAGACACCUGUCCAAGUAGAGGCUGUCGAAGACGACAUCUGAUCCCAUGGCCUCAGGGUAGUCUUAAGACACGGGACGUAACGUAGGCCAAGGUGAUAGGGUGAUAGAAAUGAAGGAAAACUAGGCUCAAAUACCCAAUGAUAAAAAAAACCAUGCCCUCAUAUAUGAAAUGCAACAUGUAUAGUGAAUCUUGUGAGCCAUGGACCUGAGGAUGCCUAACGUGAAUAUGAUGUCGAUAAGGAGAUAAAUGAAGCAAAAUGAACUGAUAGUGAUAUGUGUAAUGAUGAUGCGAAGAGAGUAUCAAACCCGAGAUGGGUUGCCGUAAGAAAAGAAUAAGACGUGAAGUGAAAAUGAUGAAUCAGAAGUGAAAACGAGGGUGAUGAUGGAACAAAUAACACAAAUAGGAGUAGUGAUCAACUCAAAUCAGACAUGAAGUGAAGUCACAUCAACAAUGAACGUAAUGAUGGAAGGGACAAUGACCUAGAGCUCCUAGGAGAAGGUCACUCAUCUCACUCUCGAAACAUACAAUAAAAAUGAAUACAAAGCAUGGAGGGCCUCAAGAACCUCACAUACGAACUCCCAUCAACAAACAUACUCAAUCAAGUGACCCUCGAACAUCAAUAUACACACUCAAUGAUAAAAAAUAAUACACACUUGCGUUUUUUUUUUUUUCAAUUUUUUCAUUCUUUUUUUUUUUCUUUUCAAUUUUUUUUCAUUCAAUUUUUUUUUUUUUUUUUUUACAUAUAUACAAAUGUACACACCCUGAACAUGAACAAAAUAAGCCCCAAAGAUGAUAUCAACGAUGGAUAGACACACUCUCAAAACUAAGGUAACAAAAAAUCUCUCUAACAAGAUGACCUUCUCAAACUAAGAAUCUCUGAACCAGUGUCCAUAGAAUAAAUAGUGGAAAUGAUGUGACUAUCCUCCAUGUAAUGAACUGAGGAGGAUCACCACUCAGGAUGGAGAGGAUAUGAAACAAAACAAGCAGUAGAUAGAACAAAGAAGAAAAGAUGAAGGACAACCACUAAGAUAUGAUGGAAUGCAGUAAUGUGAUGGUAGGAAAAAAAUGAUGAGAGAAAGAUGCACCUGUAGGUCCAAGACUCAUGAGACUCCCAAACAAUGCAUGCAUACACUAAAGGGCCCCUAUCCCGGUGUAGAAAUAUGUGCAAGGUGAUAAGAAAGAAAGGUUAUAAUGCACAUGUGAGGCUCAAUGGGCUAGCAACGAUCUAUGUAUCAAAAUGGUGAAAGUGUAUAUGGCUAACCGAAAUGAUGGCCACCCAUCCUGCGACCAUGGUCUCAAACAUAGUUCCUCUUUAGCUGAUCCACAUUGGUCGACUCUGAGAAUCGGUUUCCAUCUAGAUCCAUCAACCAUGCAGCGCCCUUUGAGGUCAACUCCCUGAUGAAACAAAGUCCGCUCUAGUUGGGUCCGAACUUCCCUCUAGGAUCUCUAAUCAAUCCUCUGAUGAACCUCAAGACUAAGUCACCUCUCUAUAAUGGUCAAUCAACAAUCUUUGCUAUCUUGCCCCAUCAGCGGGAGAUGAAGGAAGAAAUGGACUCAUCUGAUCUCUGUCUGAAACCCUCAAGCUCUCUCAUCGACACAUCUACGAUAAUACUAAAUGAAAACUAUCACAGAAACUCCUAAGCUAGGUCAUCCCAUGUCCUGCGUCGCGAGGACUCCAAAGAUGCGAACUAAUGUUGGGUUGUGCCACUCAAAGAUAAAAGAAACAUGGUGAUCAUCUGUGACUCGUCUAACCCAUGGACCCUCAUCACAGUACUGUAGAGUCGAAGAUGAAUACAUGGACAACCAACGCCCGUGUACCCCUCAAUGUCAGGCAUCCUGAACUUGGCUUGUAGACUGGCUACUGGUAUACUAUCAAGAUCAUCCCAAGUCGAUGAACUGUCAGAUACUCUCAACUGCCUAAUACGCUACUCAAUACGAUCCAUACAUGAAUGAGUAUCCUCAAGGACUGUCUACUCUGCUGACUGUUUAUCUCCUGCCUGAGACUGGCCAAGGCCUCCUAAAUAGAAGCCAUGACGGCCGUGAACUGAUCAACUGUGACAACCCGUUGAUCCAUGUCUGAUCUCUCAGAAAAGAGAACUAAUAUCCACUCUACUCUGACCCAAGAUGACAAAUCCACACUGAGAAUGAAAAACCAAUCCUGAAGAGCAUGAAACAUAAGAUACCUAAAUAAAUUCCAUGGCGUCUGUGAACUAGCCAACUGUAACAGUCUGCUGAUCUAUGCUUGACCUCUCGGAAAACUGAACUAAGCUCCUUUGUACUCUAACCCAAGAUGGUAAAUCCACACUGAGAAUGAAGAACCAAUCGUGAAGAGCAUGAAACACGAGAUAUGGUAGGCACAGGGAAAACAUGGAAAAAAUGCUAGUCUGAAUUGGAAUGAGCAAGGCAUCAAAACCAAAGACGGACCGUCUGACCGUACCCAAAUUCGUACUGAUCUCGGUGCACUCUCACUAGAGACUAAAAGAAGGAAUACUGAACCCCUACUAUGAUCAAAGAGGCUCUAAAAGCCCUUAGAUGCACCCACAUGUAGGGAGGGAGUGUUAAUUGAAGGAUCUACGGCUCGACCUACGAGGUCAAGGUGGCUCUAAAAGGAUAAGGGUGGACUUUAAAAGAUCCCUUAGUAGAAGCGAUCAUACCCUCCGACGGUACGCAACCCUCUGCACGUCUCCGAAGAGAUGGGGUGCUUCCAUGCAAGGUGGUUAUCACCUCCACACAUGCACUACCUCGACAUCCCAGGGGGUUUCCUAUGGUGAAACCUCUCAAAACUCUCAACUCUCAAUGGUCAGCUAGAGUGCGUAGUGACGGUGUGGGCGCAUCCGAUAACCCUAAGGAGCUAAAACAGGAAAGGAAACACACUAGCCACACAAAUAUCCAUGAAACCUAGCUUUGGGCUAUACAAGUCUUCAAUGAUCAAACUCUAAUCGACAUCAAAGUGUCGCUCUCCUCUAGAAUGCUCCCGUGCAUCGAUAUAGCCCGUCACUAGACCUUACUCCUAAUAUUUGGCUCGGUCAAAGAGCAAGCACAUUGAAGGUCUCACACUUGUAAUAUUGAGAACCAGGAUGAAAGGAAUGACCGAAACCAAGAGAGUUUGAGGUAAGGGGAUAGAAGUGCGGCCCACAUGGACAAGCGACAUGCAAUCAAGCAGAAGAAAGGUAGUCAUGCGACAUGCGGUCAAACAGAGUACAGGACAUAUCACUCAUGUAUACAUACAAGCCGUGACAAUAAGGAUGAAUAGUAAUAAGAAUACCAUGCUCAAAGAUGAUCAAGAGAAUAUAUAUUCCAGAGAAUCGACAUGUCAAAUCAAACGAUGUAUAACAAUGAAUCCAUACAUGCAAGGCGAUCAAAACAAUCAUGGAAAAUAUCAAAAUCACUAUGCUAAGCGAAAUAAGAUAGGCGAUCAAUACAAUCAGCAUGUCAAUAUCUCAAACGAAUAUGGCAAUGAAGCACAGAGAAAAUAGCUAUCUCAGAAUCCUCUAUCAAGACGAAUCAAUCAUCAUAACCAACAUGUCAAAUAUCUCAAACAAAUAUAUCAAUGAAGCAUGAAGAAACUAGCUAUAUCAGAAUCCCUAAUCGAAAUAAUCAACCAACAUGAUCAACAUGUCAAUGUCCCAAGUGAAAACUCGGGAACUCUCAAUGUGCAAUCAAGAGAUGAGUACCCACUGAUAGACUCACCAAACGCCACAUUUGCUUCACUUUAAGUUCAAGCUUGACUCUCUAAACGAUCCCCAUUGGAGUCGCCAUUUUAUGGACCCCGUAUUUUGUCUCAUGCAUUUCCCACUCGAUGGCAAGCUCGAUUUUUAUUUUGAAAAAUGAUUUCAUUUAUUAGGAAAAUGACUUGGAGUCGCCACUUAUUUUUGUUUUAUUUUUAAAAGGGUAAAAAAAUAAGAAAGAAAACCCUAAGUGCGACUCCUUAUUUUGGAAAAGGUGGUCUGUGAAAAACCGGAUCGGGCUCGGGGGUCGGUUACUUAUUGGGUAGGUACGAUAAAAACCAUAGCACCCCUCUAAGUCCCUAAAAUCAGGUCUCUACUAAUAAAAUGAAGCUGACAUGGCAAUCAAUAGGAAAAUCAAUGGAUACUCAAAUCGAUCAUGCACAUAUGGGGCAUUUGAUUUCUACGUGUCAGCUUUCCAAGCCUUUGGCAUCUAUCACAGCUCCUACACAUGGUGUGGGCAUCUUUGAAAAGUGAUAGCCAACUGAAACCUGAUUGCAACACCUUCAUGGCUAUUUUCUAAGAGGCAAAGUGGCCUCCACAUGCACUUUCAUGGCAAUGACUGAGGAUUCCCUGUUGCUCUUGUUCAGGGACACACUUCUUUAUUAUUUGAUCUGCACAAUAUUUGAAAAGAAAAGGUUUUUCCCAGUAGUAGGCAUGAAUUUUUGCAAAGAAGUGCUUCCUAUCUUGUGUUUUCCACUCACUUGGAACUUCACCAGUAAUUAGAUAGUUAGCAAUAUGAGCAUACCAAGGAACAUCUUCUAACAGCAUGAGUGACUCCUCCAUAAAAUCAUCAUUAAUAGGUAAAACAUGGGAAUUAUGUGCUAUAGCCAACCUUGAAAGAUGGUCAACUACCACAUCCUCCACUCCUUUCUUAUCUUUGAUUUGGAGAUUGAACUCUUGCAGUAAGAGAAUCCAUCUAAUCAACCUUGCUUUUGCAUCUUGCUUUGCCAAUAAGUACUUCAAGGCUGAAUGGUCACUGAAAACCACAAUGAAAGACCCUACUAGAUAAGCACGAAAUUUGUCUAAGGCAAAAACUACAGCUAACAAUUCUUUCUCUGUGGUUGUGUAGUUUUUUUGUGCUUCAUUCAAUGUUUUGCUUGCAUAGUAAAUCACAUAGGGCUUUCCAUCCUCUCUUUGACCAAGAACAACUCUUAUAGCAAAGUCACUGGCAUCACACAUCACUUCAAAAGGUAGUUGCCAGUUAGGAGCCUUCACUAUUGGAGCGGUUGUCAAUAACUGCUUCAGUUGCUCAAAACUCUUUUGACAUCUCUUAUCCCAUAAAAAUUUAGCAUCCUUACCCAAUAGUUCACAAAGAGGUUUUGAAAGUUUAGAGAAAUCUUUAAUAAACCUCCUGUAGAACCCAGCAUGGCCAAGGAAUUGCCUUACUCCUUUUACAGUUGUUGGGGGUGGCAAUUUGAUAAUAAGUUCCACCUUUGCUUUAUCAACUUCAAUGCCUUUCUUGGAGAUGAUGUGGCUAAGGACAAUUCCUUGCUGUACCAUAAAAUGGCAUUUCUCCCAGUUAAGCACUAAAUCCUUUUCAAUGCAUCAGUUCAGAACCGCUUCCAAGUUAACUAAGCAUUCCUCAAAUGUACUUCCAUAUAUGGUGAUAUCAUCCAUAAAAAUCUCCAUAAUACACUCCACCAUAUCACUAAAAAUGCUUAACAUACAUCUUUGGAAUGUUGUAGGUGCAUUGCAUAAACCAAAAGGCAUUCUUCUGUAGGCAUAUGUUCCAAAUGGACAUGUGAAAGUGGUCUUCUCUUAGUCUUCAACAUCGAUUUCUAUUUGAAAAUACCUAGAGUAGCCGUCCAAGAAACAAUAGAAAGGAUGACCUGAGACUCUCUCCAACACUUGAUCAAUAAAAGGCAAUGGAAAAUUAUCGUUCCUUGUCACAACAUUCAAUUUUCUAUAAUCAAUACACACACUCCAACCUGAAGUGAGGCGUGUAGAAACUUCUUCUCCCUUUUCAUUUUGCACCACUGUGAUCCCUGAUUUCUUUGGUACUACUUGACUAGGACUCACCCAUGGGCUAUUUGAUAUGGGGUAGAUGAUACAGGCUUGAAGUAGCUUAAGAACCUCAGCUCGCACCACCUCUUGCAUAUGGGGAUUCAAUCUUCUUUAAGGUUGACGAAUUGACUUAGCUUCUUCUUUCAUGUAUAUAUGAUGUGUACAGACUAAAGGAUUGAUGCCUUUCAAGUCAGAUAUUUGCCAUCUAUUGCUUUCUUACAUCUCCUGAGAACUUCAACUAAACACACCUCCUGAGGAGUAGUAAGAGAUGAAGAUAUAACAACAGGGCACUUCUUAUUCUCUUCUAGGUAUGUAUACUUCAACUCCAUGGGCAGGGGCUUUAGAUUAAGCUUUGGGGACUCCUCUUUAAUAGGUUCUUGUACCUCCUCUUUAUUGAAUAAAUGUAGAAUUUCUUCUAUCCUCCUCCAAGCUGGUAGAGUAGCAAACAAAUCUGAGGGUUUAGGCAACCCUUCAUCAAGAUCCCCAAGACUUUCAUUCAACUUCUCUUGCAUUUUCUGAUUACAAUGCUCCUCCACUAAAGUGUCAAUGAUGCACACCUCUUCUGGACCUUUCUCUUCUUCCUGAUUGAUUGACUUUUUGGACAUAUAGAAGAUAUUGAGCUCCAAUGUCAUGUUGCCAAAUGUGAGUUGCAUGAGUCCAUUCCUACAAUUUAUGAUUGCGUUUGAUGUAGCUAGGAAUGGUCUUCCAAGUAUGAUAGGAACAUAAUUAGUUUCCUUGACAAUUGGUCUAUGUCAAGAACAAAAAAAUCCACUGGAUAGUAGAAAUUUUCAACUUGAACUAAGACAUCUUCAAUUAUCCCUCUUGGAAUUUUCACUGAUCUAUCUGCUAGAGAUAGAGUGAUUGAUGUUGGCUUUAAUUCACCAAGUCUCAAUUGCUUGUAGACAGAGUAUGGUAGCAAAUUCACACUUGCUCCUAAGUCUAACAAAGCUUUCUCCACUAUAGUUCCUCCAAUCAUCACUGAGAUGGUAGGGAAACCUAGAUCUUUUUACUUCAAUGGAGACUUGCACUGUAUGAUGGCGCUUACUUGCUCAGUCAAGAAGGCUUUCUUAUUCACAUUCAACCCUCUUUUGAUAGUACACAAGUUCUUCAAGAAUUUUGCAUAAGUUGGCAUUUGUUUAAUCAUAUCUAGCAAUGGGAUGUUGACCUUCACCUGUCUCAAUACUUCAAGAAUUUUUGAUGCAUUUCUGAUUCCCUUUUUCCUAUGCAAAGCUUAAGGAAAAGGUGAAGGUAUGUGUUUCUUCAUCACAUCUCCCUUGAUAACUAUUUUCUCCGGAUUUUCAUUCACUGUUGAAUCAUGGUCCUCUUUCCUUUCACUGCUACCUUUCUUAUUUCCUUUGAUUUUCUCAUCUUUUCUGUCUCUUCUUUUUCUUCCUCUUUUUCAACAUGUGGCUUGGGUGUUGGCAGCUCAACCUCUUUACCACUCCUUAGAGUGAUCAAGGCUUUGACGUCUCUCACCUGUGAAGAUUCUCCUUCAUGAGCCUCCACUUCAUGGAUACCUUUGGGGUUUUGGUGAAGUUGAGAAGGAAACCUCCCCUUCUCUUGUACUGUGUUGAGGUUAGUGAGCCUUGAGAUUGAAUAUUGGAGAUUAUCUAUCUUUUGAGAUAAAUCAUUUUGCAUUCCAUCCAUCCUUUUAUUUAAUGUAUUCUCUACACUGUUAAUUCUUUGACUGAGUUGAGCAUUGAUGGAUUUUUGAUCUCCAAAAAAAUCUCCCACGACCUUACUUAGAUUCACUAUUGCUUGCUCGAGAUUUGAAGCUUGCUGAGAUGCUUGGCUUGGUUGUGUGUACUGAAGUGUUCUUGGCUUCCAGGAGAAAUUUGGAUGGUUCCUCCAAUUUGAAUUGUAGGUAUUUCCAUAUGAAGCAUUGUUGUUGGGCUUGAAUUGUCCAAUAACAUUCGCUUGAUCUCCAAACAUUUCUCUAAUAGCUGGAAUUGUAGGACACUCCUCCACCAAGUGCUCAUAAGAUUGACAAAUAGAAGAAGGCAUAAUUUGCACUGGUGUUUCAACAACGGCUUGCACUUCACGUAUCUUUUUUAGUUCUAGCUCCUCCAAUCUUCUUAUCAUAGCUGCAACUUUUGCUUUUAUGUCAAUAUCUUCAUUCAAGGUAUACAUCCUAGCCUUAGCAUUAAAGGCAUUUGGUUGAGACUUUGUCUUCCCCACUUCUCCUUUGUUCAGUUCAUCCCAUCCUCUUGAGACUUCAGCAACAUAAUUCAAGAAAUCAAUGGCUUCCUCUUGAUUCUUGCUCAUGAAAUCUCCUCCACACAUAGUCUCGAGGAGUUGCUUCAUUGAGGAAGACAUACCGUCAUAAAAGUAACUCACCAACAGCCAUUUAUCAAAACCAUGGUGAGGACAAGCAUUGAUAGCUUCCAUGUAUCUCUCCUAACACUCAUAGAAUUUCACAUUCUCUUUAGCUGAGAAGUUUGAAAUUUGCCUUUUCAAGCCAUUUGUCCUAUGAGUAGGGAAAAAUUUCUUGAGAAAUUCAGCUUGCAAAUCAGUCUAAGUUCGGAUACUCCUUGGCCUUAAAGAAUUAAACCAAAUCUUGGCCUUAUCCUUUAAAGUAAAAGGAAAUAGCUUUAGCCUCAUCAAGUUGAUUGAAGCUCCUUUCUCUUGGAAUGUAUUACAAACAUCUUCAAAUUCCUUGAUAUGGGCGUAGGGAUUCUCACUUUCCAUCCCAUGGAAAGUAGGUAGAAGUGGCACAAUAUGCGGUCUGAUUACUAGCUGCUCUGUAGGAGGCACUAUACAUGAUGGUGCACUCAUACGAGGUGGAUGCAUGUGGUCCCUCAUUGAUUUGAAUGCAUUGGGAUUGUCCUGGUGACCAUGGUGACUAUGUUGAUCUUCAGGUGUAGCUUCCAUGAUGUUCAAGCACAAUUCCAACUAUGUUUUGUGAGGUGUUUCAAUUUUCACAAGUCUUCCUCCAUUGUCUCAUAUCCAAUAUGGCAUACACAACUAGUAACAACUGUAACAAAAACAAAGAAACAAAAGAAAACAAAACUAUAAAAAGACUAAGAUUAAUUAAAACUAAAUUAAAAGAUAGGCUAAAAUAUGAACAAGUAAAAGAAACAAUUAAAAAGAGUUAGUAAAAUGAAAGAAAAAUCACCAAACUUGUGAUGAAGAUCAAAAGUACUUUGAAAAGGUAAUAUGACUGUAAAGUUGGCACCAUCCCUGGAAACAACGCCAUUUGAUUCAUGCCUAACUGGUGUGUGUCCUAUUGAUUGGUGUUCAAUCAACUGGUGUACCUUGAUUUUAGUCCUCAGACGGGAGUAAUCAACAAAAUUUAUAAACCUAUUUCACCAUGUACUAUGAUAGCCUUAGCUGGCAUAGCAUAGUGGCUCUAGGAUCGUUCACUAGCAUGGGUUUUCAAAUUACAAUUGAUAUUAGUCCAAAGCUGAAUUGGUGCUUUUUCUUUUCAAGGUUAGCUCUAAAAGAAAACAUAAAGAUGUUUGAAAAGGUUGGUUUUUAAGUGAAACCAAUAAUAAAGUAACAGAAAUUACUUAUAAAGAAAAAUGUUUUUUGGAGUUUUUAGAUCACUGGGCUCAGGUUCCUUUUACAAAAAGAGGGUUAAGGUCACUUGAAUAUUUUCCUCGCAUUAGGGAUUUAACAUAUAAUUAUUUCUCGAACCGGUGUAGUACAGACGCUUCCCCUUAAUGGAUUCAAGCACUAAUUCCCUGUCACUGAAUCAUCUUGCAAUGGUUCAUACCUCUCACCUAGUAUUGGCCAUUCAAAGUGAUCCUUAACCUUGGAUUACCCAUCAAAAGCUUGCAAGAGAUAACUAAUGGAUGUCUCCUUAGAGUCCAAAAGCUUACCAAGUGUUGGCUAUUCUAGAAAAUCCUACCUUUAAACCACCUCCCAAAGGCUCGUAAGAGAUAAACUAGUGUAACUCAAUGGAUAGAGUCCACUUGCCUUACCAAGUGUUAGCCCAAAUGAUUUAAGGCAUUUUAAGUUAACUAAAAAGAUAAAAACCAUUAACGAGUCACACUUUCUCUUCAUUAAAAACUGAAACAACAAAACUUUCAAUUUUUGCAUUCAGAACCUUACCCAGCUUCCUUCACUCCAAGAAAAAAAAAGCCUAGCCACUCAUCCUCUGGGAAAACAUCCUCAGAGUUUGUUUGGCUAGUGAGAAAAAUACAAUCAAAAUGAGUAGGUAAGGCAAAGCAAAGCUCUGUGUAUUACUUUCUUCAAAACUAUACAAAAGCUGGUCUCUAAGAAAAAUUCCCGAGAUAUCUUUUUAAAAGAAAAGUUACAAUAGAUUAUAUAGAAAGGUUAUUCACCCUUCCUUCUUACUUCCUAACAAAGAAAUCCUAUGAUUGGUGGAUUACAAGGAGAAAAUAGGGAUUUAAAAAACAAAUAUCUGAAGAAAAAAAUCUAAAAGAGUCGGUCACAAAUAUCUGGGAGUACACAGGUGGAUUUCACAAGUUGAAACAUGACUUGUGAAAAUUUCUCAAGUUGAAAGUGUCCAUUUCGCAAGUUGAAUUUGUGAUUUCGCAGCUCGCAAAAUUGUCUUUCAACAUGGUGUAGUCGUCUUCCAAUGGCCAUAACUUCUUCAUUUUAGCUUCGAUUUGCACACUAUUUAAAGCGUUGGACUUCUGACUUCCCAAGAUUUGAAACGAUAUAUAGUAUGUAUAAAAUGGACUCCAAGAAGUGCUCGAAAUGUGUCCUGCAGCUGCUCUCCUCUUGAAUUUCUUCAUGUUAGAUUCCUCUCUUUGUUUUUCCUCCUUGGAUUCUUGAUUUGGCUUUAGCAAAGGACUACAAAGCUCCAAAGCUUGGAUUCUUCAUGUAAAUGAGCUUCCAUUUGCUUUGCCAUGGAUUAUACAGAGCUCUCCCUCAAUCUUGGAUUGCAUUGGUGAUCAAAAAUCUAUCAAAAACACUAAAACUUAACAUAAUUUGAUUAGAAACGGUUGCAAGGGUCCUUAACAUGUCAAUUGAGUUAAAAGGUAAUAACUACUACUUAAAAGUGUUUAAAAGAGUUAAUUACAAACUAUAAAAUACCACUUUUUGAGUAGUAAUAAAGUAGUAUUUAUUACAUUUUAACUCAAUUGGCACAUUAAGGACCCUUGCCAGUGUUACUAAUCAUUUUUUGGCAAGUUUUUGUGUUUUUGAUAGCUUUUUGAUCAUUAAAACGAGCCAAGAAUGAGGGAGAAUUUUGUAUAGUCCAUGGCAAGGCAAGUUAAAGCUCAAACACAUGAAGAAUCCAAGUUUUGGAGAGCCUCGUAGCCUUUGCCAAAUAAAUCAAGUAUGCAAGGAAGAGAAUCCGAGAAGAAAUCUAACAUCCAGCAAUUUCACAUGGCUAUGCGAAAUAUUCGCAAAGCAUGCGAAAUAUUCGCAAAGCAUGCGAAAUAUUCGCAAAGCAUGCGAAAUAUUCGCAAAGCAUGCGAAAUAUUCGCAAAGCAUGCGAAAUGCCCAAAAAGAGUACAACCUGCAGGACAGAGAGCAAGGAUGUGAAGAAUGAAUUUUGCAUCCUGUGUGAAAUUUCACAAGCCUUGCGAAUUUCCUCUUGUGUAAUUUUCAGAUAUUUUUGCACCGACUCCGUUAGAUUUUUAUCUCAAGAUAUUGUUUAAUUACCUAUUUUCUCCUUGUAAUCAGCUAAAGAUAUUUUUAGAUAUUUAGGAUAUCUAAAUGAGGGGUUAAAAAUAUCUCUCUAUAUAUGACUUAAAAUAUCUCUUUUUGUAAUAUCUCAUAAUCUUGGAAGAAAUUCCUGAGAACACUUGUACAUUCUUUUAGUAAGAAAUACACAGAGCUUUGCUCUGCCUUACCUAUUCAUUUUUUUUUUAAAUUUUAUUUCUAGCCAAACAACCUUUGAGGAUGUUUUCUUAUAAGAUGAGUGGAUAGAUUUUUCAUUUCUUAGACUGAAGAAAGCUAGGUAAGGGAUUUGGAUACAAAAGUGGGAGUUUUCCUUGUUUUAAGUGAGGAAAGUUGUGACCCGUUAAUGGUUUUUUAUUUUUUAAUUUAACUUAAAAUUCCUUAAAAUCACCUGGGCCAUCACUUGGUAAGCUUUUCGAACAUCCUAGAGAUCCAUUAGUUAUCUCUUGCGAGCCUUUGAAGUGUAAUCCAAGGUUAGGAUCACCUUGAAUGGCCAAUAUUUGCUAAGCUUUUCACAGUGAGAGGUGAUUAGUUAUCUUUUACGAGCCAUUGAAAGAUUAUUCAUAGUGAGAGAUCUUUAGUGUUUGAAACCAUUAAUGGGAAGCAACUGCAGUCUUUCAUGGACCAGUGGGAUCAAAGCUUGAUUGCUAAAUACACACCGGUUUAAGUGAUAACCAUUCUUUAUGUUAUUAUCCCCAACACGAGGAAAAGAUCUAGAAUCUCCCCCUUUUGUCUAAGGAACUUGAACCUAGUGACCUAAAACUCCAAGAAACCUUUUCUUUGUAAUCAAUCUCAGUUACUAUUUUUUGUUAACUUAAAACCAACCUUUUUGAACCAAAGAUUAUUUUUUCUUUUAAAACUAACUCAUAAAUGAAAAAGCACCAUUUCAGUACUUUAACUAAUAUCAUGUGUGAUAUGAAAACUCAUCCCUAUGGAUGAUCCUAGAACCACUAUACUAUGCUAACUAUGCUACCCUAGUGUAUGGUGAAUUAUGUUUAUAAAUUUUAUUGAUAACGCCCAUUUGAGGACUGAAUCCAAAAGAUCACCAAUUGGGGACGAAUUAGUCAUGAGUUCACGAUUAUAGAUGUAUGAACAACUUAGUGCUAUGGUUGACAUGAAUGUCUUCGGGUCGUGAGCUUAAGGCUUUAUAUGUUAUGAAAAUGCCAGGGCUAUGGAUGACACGAGUGACUUUGAGUUGUGAGCUCAGGGGUGUGGUUUACAUGAUUGACUUGAUGUUAUGAUCUUAGGGCUCUAGAUGCUAUUAAAAGCUUAGGGUUGUCGAUGACAUGAACGAUUCCAGGUCUUUAGCUCAAGGUUCUAGAAUUUAUGAACAAAUCAAGGUUAUGGUUGACAUGAACGACUCUAGGUCAUAGAAUCAAGGCCCUAGAUGCUAUGAACAACUUAGGGUUGUGGAUGAUAUGAGCUACUCUAGGUCGUAAGCUCAGGGCGAUGGAUGUUAUCAACAACUCAUCAUUGUGGAUGAAUGAACAACUCCAAAUCCCAUGAACUCAUGGCUCUAGAUGUUAUCCACACAUAAGGAUUGUGGAUGACAUGAACGACUUCAUGUCAUGAGCUUAAGCCUCUAGAUACAUUGAANNNNNNNNNNNNNNNNNNNNNNNNNNNNNNNNNNNNNNNNNNNNNNNNNNNNNNNNNNNNNNNNNNNNNNNNNNNNNNNNNNNNNNNNNNNNNNNNNNNNGACUCUGGGUCGUGAGCUCAGAGCUCUAGAUCCUACGUGUAGCUUAAGGUUAUGGUUGUCAUAAAUGACUUCCAAUCAUGAGCUCAUGGCUCUAAAACCUAAGAACAACUCAAGAUUGUGUAUGACAUGAAUGACUUCAGGUCAUGACCAUAGGGCUCUAAAUCCUAUGAAAAGCUCAGGGUUGUGGAUGACAUGAAUGACUCUAGGUCAUCAAUUGAGGGCUUUAUGUGCUAUGAACAACUUAGGGUUGUGAUUGAAUUGAACGACUCUAGGUCAUGAGCUGAGGACUCUAGAUGCUAUGAACAACUCAUGGCUGUGGAUGAGAUGAACAAUUUCAGAUCAUGAGCUUAGGGCUCUAGAUGCUAUGAACAUCUUUAGGUUGUGAUUGACCUGAAUGACUAUGGGUCCUAAGCUUAGAGAUCUAGAUGCUACAACUUGCCUAGGGGUGCUGUUGAAAGGAACAAUUCUAGGUUGUAAGCUCACAACUCUCGAUGGUAUAAACAACUCAAGACUUCAAAUGACAUGAGCUACUCUCAAUCGUUAGCUCAAUGGUCUGGAUGUUGUGAAUAACUCAAGGUUGUGGAUUAUGUGAACGACUCAGGAUCCCAUGUGCUUAGGUCACUAGAUGCUAUGAACAGGUCAGGGGCGUAGUUGGUAUGAACGAUUCUUGGUCGCGAUCCUAUGGCUCUACAUACAAGGAACAACUCAGGAUUGUGGAUGACAUUGACAACUUCAAGUUGUGAGCUCAAGGCUCUAGAUGCUAUAAACGACUCAAGCUCUAAAUUCUAUGAACAACUCAAGGUUGUGGUUGACAUGAAUGACUCUAAGUCUUGAGCUCAGGGCUAUAGAUGCUGUAAACAACUCAAUGCUAAGGUUGACAUGAAUGUCUACGAGUCAUGAUCUUAGGGCUUUAUAUGCGGUGAAAAUGAUAAGGGUGUUGAUGACAUGAAUGACUUCGGGUUGUGAGCUCAGGGCUUUAAAUGCUAUGAAUGGCUUAGGAGUGUAGUUGACAUGAUCGAGUCAAAGUCGUGAGCUUAGGGCUCUAGAUGCUAUUAAAAGCUCAGGGCUGUGGAUGAAAUGAAUGACUCCGGGUCAUGAGCUUAGGGCUUUUGAUACAAUGAACAACUUAAGGUAGUAGUCGACAAGAGCAACUUUGGGUCAUCAACUUACAACUCUAGAUACUAUGAAAAGCUUAGGGCUAUGGAUGACAUGAACGACUUCGGGUCAUAAGAUAAGGGCUUUAGAUGUUCUAAACAACAUAGGGCUGUGAAUGACAUGAAUGACUCUAGGUUAUGAUCUUAGGGCUCUAGAUGCUAUCAAUAGCUAACAAUUGUGGAUGUGAUAAAUGAAUUUGGGUUGUUAACCUAGGGCUCUAGAUGUAAUGAAAAGCUUAAGGUUACAGAUGACAUGAACGAUUUCGGGUCGUGAGCUUACGGCUUUAGAUGGCAUGAAAAGCUUAGGGUUUUGGAUGACAUGAAUGACUCUAGGUCAUGAGCUCAAGGUCUUAGAUUUCAUGAACAAAACACAACAGUGAUUGACAUGCAUGACUUCAGGUUGUGCACUAAGCAUUCUAGAUGCCAUGAACAACUCAUGGUUGUGGUUGACAUGAAUGACUCUAGGUCAUGAGAUGAGGGUUCUAGAUUCUAUGAACGACUUAAGGAUGUGCAUGACAUGAUCAACUUUGUGUGGUGAGCUCAGGGCUUUAGGUACUAUGAAUAACUGCUGACUAUGGUUGACAUGAACGACUCUUGCAUGUUAGCUCAAGGCUCUAGAUGCUAUGAGUAACUUAGGUCUAUGGACGACAUGAGCUACUCCAAGUAGUGAGCUCAGGGCUCAACAGGCUAUUAAUAGCUCAACAUUAUGGAUGAUAUGAAUGACUUGGGAUCCCAUUUGAUCAGAACUCUAGAUGCGAUGAACAGUUCAGGGUUAUGCUUUACAUCAACAACUCUAAGUUGUGAGCUCAAGGCUCUAGAUGUUAGGAACAUCUCAGGGCUGUGGAUGACAUGAACGACUCUAAGUCAUGAGUUGAGGACUCUAGAAGCUAUGAAUAGGUCAUAGUUAUGGUUGACAUGAAUGAUACUGGGUCAUGAGAUUAGGGUUCAAGACACUAUGAAUAGCUCAGGGCUAUGUAUGAUAUGAUCAACUUGGGGUCAUGAGCUUAAGGCUUUAGAUGUUAUGAAUAGCUCAAUGUUAUGGUUGACAUGAAAGACUUGGGGUCAUUAUCUCAGGGUUCUAGAUGCUAUGAAUAGCUCAAGGCUAUGGUUGAGAUGAACGUAUCUUGGUUGUGAGCUUAGGGCUCUAUAUGCUAUGAAUAGCCCACGAGUCUGGAUGACAUGAGUUACUCUCGUCGUUAGCAUAAGGCUCUAGAUGCUAUGAAAAGCUUAGGGUUUUGGAUUAUUAGAAUGACUUGGGAUCUUGUCGACUUAGGCCUUUAGAUGCUAUGAACAGCUAGGGGGUGUGGAUGAUAAGAACAAUUUGUGGUCAUUGAUUCAUGCCCAGUUGGUGUCUCAGCUGAAUCGUGUCCAGCUGGUGCUCCUUGAUUGAGGGAGUAAUCAACAAAAUUUAUAACCUAUAACACCAUAUACUAGGGUAGCAAAGAAAAAGCUACUAUAGUAUAGUGGCUCUAGGAUCGUUCACUGGGAAGGAUUAGCAAGCUAUCAAUGAUACCAAUUCAAAGUGAAUUGGUCUUGUUUCAUUUCAAGGUUAGCUUAAGAAAUAAAACACAAACUUUGAUUGGUAAAGAUUUAGACUUAAACUAACUAACACAAUAAGUAAUAGGAAUAACUUAGGGAGAGAAACAUUCCUUGGAGAGUUAGGUUCACUGGGGUGGUUCCUCAUGCAAAAGACAUAGCUCCGGUCAGAUGGUUCAUUUCCUCGCGUUAGAGAUUCAACAUAUAGUCAAUUCUCUAACCGGUCUUGUACAGAUACAUCCUUCAAUUAGAUUUCACUUUAAUUCUCUCACUGAUGCAACUUGCAAUGGUUUAAGCCUCUCACUAAGCCUUAACCAUUCAAGGUGAGCUUUAACCUUGGACUUCCCUUCUCAAGCUCGCAAGAGAUAACUAAUGGAUGUCUCUUUGGAGUCCAAAAGCUUACCAAGUGUUGGCAAUUCCAGAAAAUCCUACCUUAAAGUCACCUCCCAGAGGCUCGCAAGGGGUAAACUAGUGCAUUUCCAUGGUAGGAAAUCACUUGCCUUACCAAGUGUUGGCCCAGGUGACUCUAAGGUGUUUUAAGUUAACUAAAAACAUAGAAAUCACUAAAGGAUUUCACUUCCUCUUCAUUACUAGCUAAAACCACAAAGCUUUGCAUUCUUGCACUUGGAACCUUCCCCGGCAACCUUAGCUCCAAGGAAUUAGAGGUUUAGUUACUCAUUCUUUGGGGAAAACUCCUCAGAGAAUUCAUAACUUAGAAAGAAAUAAAAAAAUACAAUGUGAUAAGGUAAGGCAAUACAAAGAACUGAACUUUACUUGCUUACUCAAAACUUUACAAAAGGAUCUCCUCUCUGAGAACAGGCUCCCGAGAGGUAUUUAUAUGAACAUAAUAUAAAAAUAAUUAUUACAUAGAUAUUUUCUAUUUUUACUAACUUAAAAGCUAAGGAAACUUGUAAUUGGUGGCUUACAAGGAGUAUUUUGGGAUUUAGACAACAAAAAUCUAAUGGAAAAUAUCUCCCAAUGUCGGUAGCAAAUAUCGGGAUGCUCCAGGAACCAUUUCGCAAGAGAAAAUGGUGUCUGCGAGAUUUCGCAGACACUCAAGAGGGCUGCGAAAUCAUUUCGCAACAACAUGCUAUCUUCGCAGGGCUGCAAAGUUGGCUUCCACCUUGAGGUUCCCAGCUUCCCUCUCGCGGUAUAUGUCGGGCAACUUUAGAAGGAAAUACACCCUACUAUACAAAAAGGCUGCGGAAUCACUUCACAACAAAAGGGUGAUUUCGCAGCACUUUGCAAAAUGCUUCCUUCAGCUCGGAGUGAUUGGCUUGCAAUGGCUGCAACUUCUUCAUUUCAACUCCGAAUUGCACACCGUUUGAAGGAUUGGAUUUUUGACUUCCUGAGCUUUGAAAUGGUAUAUAGCAUGCAUCAAUUGGACUUCAGAAAGUGCUCCAAAAGUGGCUGCUACGACUGCCAUCAAGAAUAUGCUUCAUGGCAGAUUCUCUUUACUUUUUCUCCUUGCAAUCCGGAUUUACUCUUGGCAAAUGACUUCUAAGCUUUGCCCAAGAUUCCUCAUAACUCUCCUCAAUCUUGACUUGCUUUGGUGAUCAAAUUACUAACAAAAACACCAAAACUUACACAAAGUGAUUAAAAUCCCUUUUAAGGGUCCUUAACAUGCUAAUUGAGUUAAAAGGCCUAAACUAUUACUCAAAAGUGUUUAAAAGAAUUAAUUAUAAGCUAUCAAAUAGCACUUUUUGAGUAGUAAUCACUCCCCCCAACCGACAUAUUGCUAGUCCCUUAGCAAUAAAGGAGAGAAAAAUGAAAAUAAAAAGCAACCUAUACUAAAAUUUACAACAUCAUGCUAAUAAAAAAAUAAUUCUCAAGUGGCAUGAUGAUCUAAUUCUCUCAUGAAGCAUUAAAGAAAUACAAACCCAAAUUUCAACAAGAGUUAUAACAAACUAUGCUAAACACUGUCAAUCAAGGGAAUGCAUUAUGCAAACUGAAGUUUUAAAAUCAUUUCCACUUUCAAAGAACCAAACUUUAAUCUUCCACAAAAAUCUAUGUGUAUUGGUUCCUUAGGUUCCGAGAAUAAUAUGCUAAACUAAUCUUUCCCCCCAACCUAUCUCUUUUCAACACUUAGCAAACUGACCAAAAUCAAUAAAGAAAGAACACACUUUCUUUUUUUUUUAUUUUUUUACAAAGGCUUUAUGGGGUACUCUUUCUGACAUGUCCAUGUAAUGGGGGUCCAUCGAUGACUCCCAACCAAUUAAGGUUUAGGGCACCAAGCUUUAAGGAUCUUUCAACCACUAACUCCUCGGAUUUUUCCCCGGACUUUUAAGAAUGAAUUUCUAAUACCCGAGCAUUUACCAUAUGCUAGCUCUACCUAUUCACCCUUAUAACGAGCAUUCAGGUCGGUGACUCCCAACCAAUUAAGGCUUAGGGCACCAGGCUUUAAAGAUUUUCACCAUAUACCCCUCAGACCUUGCUCGGGUUUCAAGGCAAGCAAACAACUUUCUUUAUUUCAAAGGCUCAUUGGCCUUUUGCAGGGUGUUUCAAUUUUAUUAAAUGAGGUCAAAUAUACCAAGUCCCAAAAUUAUCCUAAGUCAAGAGGGAAAUAGCUUUUCAUCUUAUAAUCGGAAUCUAAUGUGCACAGUGUGUGAAUAGCUUAAAGUGGAAGAACUAAAUUCAAUUUCAAUAGAAGCUUCAACAAUUGAACCACUUAAGUGAGCAUAAUCCAUACUCUAAGUCAAGUGAAAAACAACAGUUCAAUUUCUCCUGGUUUAAUUUGAAAAUUUUUCCUCAAAAUUCAUGGAGAAUAGAGUAAAAAGAGUAAAAAGUAAAAAUUACAACUAAUUUACCAAAAUAAUUGCAUUACCAAAAAAAUUUAGCAUACUUCCUUCCUCAUUUCCCCCCAACCGAAAUGAGCAUUGUCCUCAAUGUGAUAUGAGUGACUGUAAUUAGAGGGAGGAAGUGGUACCUCCUGAGUGAUAUCAAAUUCGCAUAUUGAUUGGAGAAACCACAUGUUUCAAAAAGAAUAGAAUAUGUGAGAAAAGGAAAUAAGAAUAAGUUAAUGCUAACUGUCAAUACUUGUAUUACUUUAAAUUCAUUCGAGUACAAUGCAAAAGAAAAGUAAAACAAGCAAUCCCAAAUAUAGUACCAAAAUAAUGGGAUUUCUUUCAAACUAAAAAAAAACGAAAUACAUAAAAAAACAUAAGCAGUAGAUAUAUAUAAUGUCUGAUGAGUGGGUGGUGCUGGGGCUAGGCAGAUGGGUCUGCCUCUUCAAUAAGUGCUUCAGCUGGGGCUUGGGGCUCUGGAGGAUGAGACUCUGAGGGAUGAGAGUGUGGCUCUGCUGGAGUAGAAGUGGAGGGCUCUACAGCUGGCGGCAAAUUGAAAUGAUGCUGGAGCUGCCUUAAGAUGGCAGUGUGUUUGGCCUGAGUGGCCAACAUCUGCUCUUGGCAUGCUCUAAUGGCUGCAAUCUCUUGAGCAAGACUGCUCUGAGAAGCUGUGAGAGUGUCCAAUGAACGGCACAACUCUCUAUAUUCAGAUAUAGGAAUGGCCAUCCUCAGUUCAGCUGAAGUGGAUGGCUGAGAUGAAGCUGGUGCAGCUGGUAGAGCUCUAGGAAUGGCAGGAGCAGCAACUAUUAUACCCUCAGGUAUGUGUCGUGGGGAUGCUCUCCUUGCAGCAGGCUGAGGCUGCUCAGGCUGAUCAACUUUGUAAGCUGUCAUGUUGUUCCAUUUGUUGAGAGUAAAUAGAUCACGACAAAUGCGCUUUCUCUCCAACUGAGGCUUAGAAGGAUAUCCUAAGUGCUCCAGAAUUUGGCAUAGCAGCCUUGGAAAGAGGAGGGGAAUGCAAUUAGCUCUCUGAAGCUUCUUUUUGUGUACCUUCUCUUCGAAAUAGAGAAGGGCUGCCAAAAUCAGAUGAUGAGGCCCAAAGAAAAAUCCUUCAGACAUCUUGUACAGGGCUUCUAAGAGGACUCCUCUUCUUUGAGUCCAAUGCUGCAGUGGGUAGAGAUUAUGACGCAAAAAUGCAUCAAUCAAAAACAUAAUUGGAGGAAGCUCCCCCCUCAACAAAUGUGAUCGAUUGGCAGCUCCUCUGGAAAGGGUGCGCACCAUCUCCAGCUUAGUAGGAUUGGUCCAAGCUCUAAAAUUAUCGAAUUGGGUUGGCUCAUAGGGAAUUUGCAAGGCUUCAGCAAUAUGGCGUGCUCCAAUAUGCCAUGCCUCCCAUCAAUAGUGAAAUGAAUCAAAGUUGGAUCCCUGACCUGGUUGGUUGUCAUGGAUUGAUAGAAAUCCAUGGCUAUCCUGGGGUAGAAAAAGUCUCUCGGAGUCAGCAGGUGCUCCAUGUGGUACCUUCUCAGCAGGUUGAACGAUUGUGUAAGCUCUGGCCUCACUCUGAAUGCUGCUAUGUCGAAGAAUAGCUCGGAAUGGAAUGGCCGAGCUCUACAAUCCAAAUUUCCCUCAAUUGGGGGCUGAGUUAGCAUUGGCCUCCUGAUUACUUCUUCUGGAGCUAUUUCAGCUGGAAUUUGGGGCUUGGGAAGUGGUGGCUGAGGCUCCUGCGGCUUUGUUUGCGGCGCCGGAGAUGGCACCGGAGAUGAAACUGGCAAGGGACUCGGCGAGGGAACUGGAGACGGCACUGGAGUUGGAACCAGUGAUGGAAUUGGCGAUUGCUCAGUCAAAUCGAUGGGUUCUGAGCUCUCUACCCUGGGUCUCUUUUGCAGUGGCCGACCCCCUGACCUGGUAAGGUAACGCCUCAUCGGCGGUUUUGGUGGCACUGGCUUCACCGGAGGAGGAAUUGCUUUCGGCUGCGAAGGCUCAGGAACGGGAUCCAGAACUGGCUCCUUUCGCAGGCUUCUCUUGCGGUUUGAAGGAGAUGAAUACUUAGCCCCUCUGGUUUGCGCCAUUUCGGGUUGCCGAAAUUUGGCCGGAGCUGCUAAUCGAAGAAGAUGACCGGAGGCUUGCAUGGUGAGUCUCAAGGAAGGAGAUGAACAGCCUGCGAGAAUGGCGCGCUCUGAUUUUGAAACCCUUUUCGCAUCUCAAAUGACCAGUAUAUAUAGUAAUAACGGAAGACUAAGGGUCAGUUUGAGUUUCGCAACAAAACGCCAAUUUCGCAGCAAAAUGCCAAUUUUUGCAGCCACUUCGCAAUGCGUUUCGCAGCUGUGAAAUUAAUGUUACUGUUUUGCAAAGUGGCACACGUGUGCCAAAAUCACUUUCGCAAUUGCGAAAUACCUUGCGGAAUGGGACUUUUGUUGCGAAAUCAGGCCUUUCCUCUUCGCAAUGCGUUUCGCAGCUGCGAAACAGAUGCUCCUGUGCUGCGAAGUGGCACUCGUGUGCCAAACUCGCUUUCGCAAUUGUGAAAAUUCUCGCAGAGACUUCCAAAGUGUUGCGGAAUGGUUUGGCAACAAAAUGCUCAUUUCGCAGAAGUUUUCUUCAGCCUGCGAAAUCUCGCAGAGCUCUGUUUUUGCUCUGUUUUCACUCUGUUUUUGCUCCGAUUUGAUCCGAUUUUUUUCUUUCAAUUUCCUUGAAAUUUCUUCUACCUGAGAUCAUUCAAAAAGAUUUAAAACACACCUAAAAACAUGAUUUAAGAUAAAAAAACUAAGAUCAAAUGUAUGGAAAAAACAUGAAAAUUUACAAAUUUUACAAAAAUUUUGGACUGUGGUAUAACCACGUCCAGCAAACCCUUCUUUGCUUAGGCUUUUUGAGGUUCAAGGAGGUUGAUUUCCUCUUUUUCUGGUUUAAAUGGCUCCAUGAAUGGCUUGAGACGAUAUCCAUUGACUCUAAAGUUGUCCUUGCCAUUGGAAUUCAAUAAUUCCACCACUCCAUUGGAAUAUACUCGGUGAAUUAUGAACGGGCCUAUCCACCUUGACUUGAGCUUCCCAGGAAAGCUAUGGAGUCUUGUGUCAUACAGUAAAACUCUUUGCCCUUCCUGAAAUUCCUUGUUGGAGAUGAGUUGGUCAUGCCACUUCUUCAUCCUCUGUUUUGCGACUUUGGAAUUGAUAUAAGCAUUAUUUCUUAAUUCCUCCAUCUCAUUAAGGUCUAGAUAUCUCUUUUCUCAUGCUCUAAUCAAGUCCAUAUUCAGCUUCUUUAUUGCCCACCAAGCUUUGUAUUCAACUUCCACAGGGAGAUGGCAUGCUUUGCCAUAGACAAGACGAUAAGGAGACAUCCCAAGAAUAGUCUUAUAAGCUGUUCUAUAUGCCCACAAUGAAUCAUGAAGCCUAAUAGACCAAUCUUUUCUGCUGGAAUUCACCACUUUCAUCAAUAUAUUCUUUAUUUCCCUGUUAGCUAGCUCAACUUGCCCGGAAGUCUGAGGAUGAUAAGGUGUAGCCACCUUAUGCUUCACUCCAUACUUGGAUAACAGAGCUUCAAAAGGUUUGUUGCAAAAAUGAGCACCUCCAUCACUGAUUAUGGCUUUGGGUACCCCAAAUCUCGAGAAAAUGUUCUCUUUAAGAAACUUGAGAACCACCCUGUGAUCAUUUUGUUUACAGGGGAUUGCCUCAACCCAUUUAGAAACAUAAUCCACCCCCACCAAGAUGUAAGAAUUACCAAAAGACAUUUGGAAAGGUCUCAUGAAGUCAAUGCCCCAUACAUCAAAUAACUCAACUAUUAGAAUGGGGUUCAUAGGCAUUUGAUUUCUUUUUGUUAGCUUUCCAAGCCUUUGGCAUCUAUCACAACUCCUACACAUGAUGUGGGCAUCUUUGAAAAGAGAUGGCCAAGUAAACCCUGAUUGCAAUACCUUCAUGGCUGUUUUCUGAGAGGCAAAGUGGCCUCCACAUGCAUUCUCAUGACAAUGAGAUAGAAUCCCUUGCUGCUCAUCUUCAGGGACACACUUCCUUAUUAUCUGAUCUGCACAAUACUUAAAAAGAAAGGGCUCUUCCCAAUAAUAAGCAUGAAUUUUGGCAAAGAAGUGCUUCCUGUCCUGUGCAUUCCACUCACUUGGAAUUUCACCAGUUACUAAAUAAUUAGCAAUAUGAGCAUACCAAGGAGUUUUCACUAGGAACAUGAGUGAUUCUUCAGGAAAAUCAUCAUUAAUAGGCAAGGGAUGGGAAUUAUGUGGUAUAACUAACCUUGAAAGGUGGUCAGCUACCAUAUUCUCCACUCCUUUCUUAUCUUUGAUUUGAAGAUCGAAUUCUUGUAACAAAAGAAUCCAUCUAAUCAACCUUGCUUUUGCAUCUUGCUUUGUCAAAAAUACUUCAAGGUUGAAUGGUCAGUAAAGACAAUGAUGAAAGACCCCACUAAAUAAGCACGAAAUUUGUCCAAAGCAAAUACCACAGCUAACAAUUCUUUCUCUGUAGUUGUGUAGUUCCUUUGAGCUUCAUUCAGUGUUUUGCUUGCAUAGUAGAUCACAUAGGGCUUCCCAUCUUCCCUUUGGCCAAGCACAGCUCUUAUAGCAAAGUCACUGGCAUCACACAUCAGUUCAAAAGGUAAUUGCCAGUUAGGGGCUCUCACUAUUGGAGUUGUUGUUAAAAAUUUCUUCAGUUGAUCAAAACUAUUUUGACACCUUUCAUCCCAUAUAAACUUAGCAUCCUUAGCUAACAGCUCACAAAGAGGUUUUGAAAGACUUGAAAAACCUUUUAUAAACCGCCUAUAGAACCCUGCAUGGCCAAGGAACUGCCUUACUCCUUUCACAGUUGUUGGAGAUGGUAAUUUGACAAUGAGCUCCACCUUUGCUUUAUCAACUUCAAUGCCUUUUUCAGAGACGAUAUGGCCAAGGACAAUUCCUUGACGUACCAUAAAAUGGCAUUUCUCCCAGUUGAGCACCAGGUCUUUUUCAAUGCAUCUGUGAAGAACUGCUUCCAAAUUAACUAAGCAUUCCUCAAAUGUACCUCCAUAUACGGUGAUGUCAUCCAUGAAAACCUCCAUAAUUCGCUCCACCAUAUCACUGAAAAUACUCAACAUACAUCUUUGAAAUGUAGUAGGUGCAUUGCAUAAACCAAAAGGAAUUCUCCUAUAAGCAUAUGUUCCAAAUGGACAUGUAAAAGUGGUCUUUUCCUGAUCUGCCAAAUCAAUUUCAAUCUGAAAAUACCCUGAAUACCCAUCCAAGAAACAAUAGAAUGGAUGUCCAGAGACUCUCUCCAGCACUUGGUCAAUAAAUGGCAAUGGAAAAUGAUCUUUCCUGGUUACAACAUUCAACUUUCUAUAAUCAAUACACACCCUCCAACCUGAAGUGAGGCGUGUAGUAAUUUCUUCCCCUUUUUCAUUCUGAACCACUGUGAUCUCUGACUUCUUUGGUACCACUUGAGUAGGACUCACCCAAGGGCUAUCAGAUAUAGGGUAGAUGAUUCCUGCUUGAAGUAGCUUCAACACUUCAGCUCGCACCACCUCUUGUAGAUGAGGAUUCAACCUUCUUUGAAAUUGACGAAUUGGCUUUGCUUCCUCCUCCAUAUAUAUAUGAUGAGUACAAACUAAAGGACUAAUGCCUUUCAAGUCAAAUAUUUGCCAUCCUAUUGCCUUCUUACACCUCUUGAGAACUUCCAUUAAACAAUUCUCUUGAUGACUGGUCAGAGAUGAAGAUAUCACAACAGGACAUUGAUUAUUUUCUUCAAGAUAUGCAUAUUUCAGCUCCACAGGUAAAGGCUUCAGAUUGAGUUUUGGAAUUUCUUUUUUAGCAGAUGCCUCCUCUUCUUUAUUGAAUAAAGGUAGAAUUUCUUCUAUCUUUCUCCAACUUUGUAGAGUAGCAAGCACAGUAGGAGAUUCAGACAAACCUUCUUCAAAAUCCACAAGACUUUCAUUCAACUUGUCUUGCAUAUUUUGAUUACAGUGCUCCUCCACCAGAGUGUCAAUAAUACAUAGCUCUUCUGGACCCUCUUCUUCUUCCGGAGUGAUUUUCUUUUUAGACAUAUAGAAAAUAUUGAGAUCCAGUGUCAUGUUGCCAAAAGUGAGUUGCAUCAGCCCAUUCCUGCAGUUGAUGAUUACAUUUGAGGUAGCAAUAAAUGACUUUCCCAGGAUGAUAGGAACUAAAUUAGCUUCCUUUACAGUAGGAUCUGUAUCAAGAACAAUAAAAUCUACUGGAUAGUAGAAAUUAUCCACUUGAACCAAUACAUCCUCAAUUACCCCUCUUGGAAUUUUCACUGAUCUAUCUGCCAGAGAUAGAGUGAUUGCUGUUGGCUUCAACUCUCCAAGUCCCAAUUGCUUGUAGACGGAAUAUGGAAGCAAAUUCACACUUGCUCCCAAGUCUAACAAGGCUUUCUCCACUACCUUUCCUCCAAUCAUGACUGAAAUGGUAGGACUUCCCGGGUCUUUGUACUUCAAAGGAGACUUACAUUGUAAGAUUGCACUUACUUGCUCAAUCAAGAAGGCUUUCUUGUUUACAGUCAACCCUCUUUUGAUAGUACAUAAGUCCUUUAGGAAUUUUGCAUACGUUGGAACUUGUUUAAUCAUAUCCAGUAGUGGAAUAUUAACUUUCACUUGCCUCAAUACUUCAAGGAUUUCAGCUGCAUUUCUAAUCCCCUUUUUCCCAUGUAAUGCUUGAGGAAAAGGCGGAGAAGUUGAUUUCUUCAGCAUUUCUUCCUUGAGAAGCUCCUUCUCUGGAAUUGCUUUCAUUGUUGAAUCAGAGUCCUUCUUUUCUUCACUGAUCUCACUCUCUUUAUCUUCCAUUUCCUUCCCUUUCUUUAUCUCUUCUUCUUUCUCAACAUGUGGCUUGGGUGUUGGCUGCUCAAUUUUUUUACCACUCCUUAGAGUGAUCAAGGCUUUGACAUCUUUCACCUGUGAUGACUCUCCUUCUUGGCUUUCCACUUCAUGGACACCUUUGGGGUUUUGGUGGGGUUGAGAAGGAAAUCUUCCCUUUUCUUGCAGUGUAUUCAAAUUUGUAAGCCUUGAAAUUGAAUAUUGGAUGUUAUCAAACUUUUGGUUCAUAUCAUUUUGCAUUCCAUCCAUCCUUUUAUUCAACAUACUCUCUACUCUGUCAAUUUUUUGAUUCGGUUGAGCAUUGGUGGCUUCUUGCUUUCCAACAAAAUCUCCCACUACCUUGCUGAGAUUAGCCAUUUCUUGUUUAAGACUUGAAGAUUGCUGAGAUGGUGGAUCCGGCUGUUGGUACUGAGUUGCUCUGGCUUUCCAUGAGAAAUUUGGAUGAUUCCUCCAACUUGAGUUGUAGGUAUUUCCAUAAGGCGCAUUGUUAUUGGGCUUGAAUUGUCCAACAACAUUUGCUUAAUCUCUAAACAUUUCCCUUUCAGUUGAAAUUGCAGGGCAUUCCUCCACCAAAUGUUCAUAUGAUUGACAUAUAGGACACAGCUUCACUUGCACUGGUGCUUCGGCAACAACUUGCACUUCAUGUAUUCUUUUCAGCUCCAGCUCCUCCAAUCUUCUUGUCAUAGCUGCCAACUUUGCUUUCAUAUCAUCAUCUUCUUUCAAAGUAUACAUCCCAGCCUUUGCAUUAAAAGCAUUCAGCUGAGACUUCAUCUUUCCCACUUCUCCUUUGGUUGGUUCAUCCCAUCCCCUUGAAACUUCAGCCACAUAGCUCAAGAAAUCCAUACCUUCCUCUGGAUUUUUGCUCAUGAAAUUUCCUCCACACAUUGUCUCGAGGAGUUGCUUCAUUGAAGAGGACAUACCAUCAUAGAAAUAACUCACCAGUAGCCAAGUAUCAAAGCCAUGGUGAGGACAAGCAUUUAUAGCUUCCAUGUAUCUUUCCCAACACUCAUAGAAUUUCUCAUUCUCUUUAGCUGAGAAGUUUGAAAUUUGCCUUUUCAAGCCAUUUGUUCUAUGAGUGGGAAAAAAUUUCUUAAGGAAUUCAGCUUGUAAGUCAGUCUAAGAACGGAUACUCCUUGGCCUAUAAUAAUAAUAAUAAUAAUAAUAAUAAUAAUAAAUAUAAUUAAGGAGGGGAUGAUGAGUUUGAAGUAGAUAAUAAUAAUAAUAAUAAUAAUAAUUAUAAUAAUUAUGAAGGGGAAGAUGGGUUUGAAGUAGAGAAUAGGGUUCCCUUCCUUCCCCCUCGACCUUGAUUACUGAUCCCUACCUAAGUAGGGAUAGAUCUUGCGAAGAUCCACCUUGAUGGGUAUUUUCGUUACCCUUAUUAAAAGCAUCUCCUAAUAUUUGGAAGCAUAUUUGAAAAUCACAUUAAAAAUUCAAAAAAUCACUUCUGAACAAUUACUUCAUAGGUGACCAAUUCUUCCAAAAAUCCAUUUUUGGUAAUAUUUAGUUUACAUCAAAACACUAAGUGGUUAUUCAUAAAAAUAUUUCUAAUGAGAGCAAUACUAUUAAAAGCGUUACAUACUAAGAGCUCGCUCGAGAGUAAUUUGGAGAGAAGUUAAUUAAAAAUGCUUCAUUAUAAAAAAUAUUUGGUCAAAAUUUUUUUUUACUAAGAUAUUUUGGCUACUAGCAAGAUCAAAACCAAAUAAACCCUUAACCAAUUGUAAUGAUCUGACCACCCACUUCCCCUUGUAUAAAAAUUGGUUCUCAUCGGAUUAAUUAUAUAUGUAUAGUUAGGAUUCUCACAUAAAUGUGUGGGAUCGAAUUUAAUACUAUUUAUAAUGAUCUAUUCCAUCUCAUGUAGGGAUAGUCUACUCUAGGUAUAAUAUGCUCGUAUGACUAUAAAAUAUGACAACAUAGUUUAGAGGACUGAUAUGGGAUAUCAGACCAAUUUAUAUUUAUAUGAGGGGCUAAUGAAACAUAUUAAAUGAUGGUUUUGAAUACCCAUAUAUUUGGAUCCCAUAUAAGUGUUUGUGGUACAAGAUAUCACCAUUGAAGUAUUUGGUAAAAUAACUAGAAUGUAUAAGAAAUUGCUUAGAAAAUUUUAUGAAUUUGGAUGGAUAUACAUGAUCCUCAACAAAACAUUCAUUAUAUAAUAUCAUCUCACAUAAGUAAGAAUAAUAUUAAUAAAGUAGAAGGUGCACAAAUUCCUAAAUUAACACACAUUUUAGAUCAUAGUCAGUUGACUUGUAGCAACUUAUAGUGUUCAAUCUUUAGAACAAAACAUACUAAAGAUAUCUAACUUAUUUAUUAAAAAAAAAAAUCAAGACAUCUAGAGAUAAAAAUCCUUCCAAAGUCGAUUUAAAUAAAGGAAACAUCAUUAGCAGAAAUUUCUCUACCACAAAUGUUAAUCUAUGCAUCUCCUCAAAAUAAAAAGUCCAACAUACCUAAAAAAGGACAUUAAGAACAAAGGCCCUUCAAAGAUGUAAUAAUAUACAUGCACAAAAGGAAAAAAAAAAAGCAAUUGAAGGCGGUGUUUCACUCACAUAGACUAUGUAGAAAAACCAAACACCUCUUCCUUGUUUUGCAUUCGAAAAAUGAAAUUAGUCUUCUUCAAAAUCCUCAUCCCUAAAAUCUGAAUUGAUAGAAUCCAAUUUUUCAGAAUCUUCCUCUUUAUAACCCUAAGCAUUUUGCCAACAAAGAGACUCAUAUUAGGUAGGAAAGAUGAAAAUUACAAUGAUGAAGGUUAACAUAAUUAGGACGAAAAUUAAUUUGGAUUGGAGGGUGAAUCAUAGAAUGCUAGAUCAAACUAAUGCUUCAUAUUAUCCUUGUGUUCUUUGAAAGUGAUAUUAUUUAUUUAAUGCAUAUUCUUAGGUUACAUUUAGGUAACAAUAUUGAUAAAGAUUAUAAAUUGCCUUAAGUAUUAACUAGUUCUUCUAUAUAAAAAUGAGACCCUCUAUGUAGAAUCUUGGUGUAGAACUUCAAAUAAUUGUCUACCUUUAACUUUUAAAAAAAGGAAAAAUAUUGUCAUGACUAGUAAUAUCCUAUAUUAGAUAGAAAAAGUUUCUAUAACUUUAUGGUGGAUUUCUCUUAACUAGAUAGAUGAUUUUUAAUGGUGUGAGAGCUCAUUAGGACCAAAGUGGAUAAUAUUUACAUAACAAGAACAAAUUGUCACAAAAGAUAUUAGAGUUAAUCUCUAAGCUUAGGAUGGGAUGAGGUCAUUACAUGACCAUUUAAAUUAUUUUUUUCUAAAUGCUCUAUGUUUUUGUUGACAAAAUCAAAGAUGAUAAAAGACUACACAAUUGAGAAUUCUUACAUUACCUUCUUCCCUUAAAUGAUGUUUGCACUAUCAAAAAAUAAUUUUUUAGAUUGAAAUGGAAAUAGGACAGAUUUCCUUUUUUCUUUUUAUUUUUGCUAUUUGGGACUAGCUAAAUUGAUACUUUACUAAACCCAACACAAUAUCCUUCACUCUUUAGGUUUUAGCAAGAUUUUUUAUUAUUUAUUUUUUAUUCAAUUAGACUUCUUAAUCUACAAACCAAAAGAAAAUGAGAACAUUGUCCAUAAUAGGUAAAUAUCCCCAUUCAAUAUCUCAUAGUAGUUCAAAUAUAUAUUAAAUCUCAAACAAUUUUGAAAAUUCAAGAAUCAUAUAUCUUCAAACAUGUGAUGAUAACUUAGGCCUCUCCCCCAAACUCUAGCUUAGCAAAUAAAAGUUAAAAAAGAUUUUGUUGAAUUUUCUAGCUUGCUAAAGUAGGGCUCAAACCCCAAUUCUAGAACAAUUCUAACUUGUAAGACAUCUUUUUAUCAAAGCUAAUGUGGUUAUUCAAUGAACUUAUCACAUUUCUUGCUCAAAUUAUUCUAACUUGAUUAUUUAACCAAGUUAAAUACAAGAUUAGCUCUUAUGUCUAUUCUAAAUUAGUUUUUUAAUCACAAUACUGGACUCCUUGCUCUCUACCUUUGGAUUUGGUUAAACAUACAUACAUAAACUUUUUGACAAGUACUUUAUAGUUGUUGCACCAACUUGGACCUUCAAAAUUUUUUGCCAAAACACAAUAACUUGAACCUUCCAAUAUUUCUUAAAUAAUCAAUGUGUUGUUUAAAAAAUAAUAGUAUCUCCCAUAUAAGAUGUAACAAUUUUUAAAGAAUUACCUUGAAAGGAUAAUAGUUUCUAAAAAAUUGAGGUAUUAAAAAAAUUUUGCUUUCUCAAAUUUUAAAAUUUUAAAGAACAUAAAGUAAGUUCAUACUUUUUGUAUAAGAGUUCCUAUAUUUUAUAUAGAAUGUGCUAUUAUCUUUUUCUUGAAAAACAAAUAAAUAAAGAAAGUGUAUCUAAAUGAAACCUUAAGUAUCAAAUUUUUUUAUCUAACUAUUCUAACUUGAUAUCCUAACCUCUAGCUUCAACUAUAAUGCUUGUUUCUCUUUGUAGUUUUGCACCUGAAUUAACUAAUGUGUGUGUGUGUAUAUAUAUAUCUAUGAACUUUUUGGUAGACACUUUUUACUUCUCAAGUCACAAGAAAGCCUCAUGACUUCUUAAACAUGUUAAGAAAUCAAAAUAUGAAAGAGUGAUGAUGUCACCAAGGCAACAAACAAUAUCAAGACAGUUUGCUUAUAUUAAGAAAUUAAACAUGUUCUUUUAGACUUGAAUAAAAUGAAAAUUCUAUAGGCUUGUUUUGAGUCUUUUCUUCAUACAAAAUAAAUUAAGAAUUUUGUUGGGAGUGAUUUUGAAAGGUGUUAAUAAUACUUCUUAAUGCUUGAAAACAUUUCUUAUAAAAAUUAGGUGUUUGACAAAAUUUUAAAAGUGGUAAAAAAUAUGAAGUGAUGAUUCCUAGACAAUAACUUCAUAAAAAAAAAAUCAUUUUGCUGUUAUAUAAAACAAUACUAUGAAAACAUUUUUUUUUAGUUUAUAUCCAAACAUGAAGUGAUUCUUUUUAAAAAUGUUUAUGAGGGAAAUGUUAUUAAAAAAAAUGUUAAAGAUAAAGACAUUUUAAGUAGAAUAACCCCAAAUAACCUUUAAGACAAAUAAGAUUAAAGUAGUAUUUACUAUAUUUAUAGAAUAGCCAAGGAAACGAUGAUAUUAGGAGUAAAAAGAAUUAGUUAGGGGAAUUACUCCAUUCAUACCUGUUCCAUGAACUUCUUACGUAUGGUGGUAUUCAGGUCAUCUUGCCAAUAUUCUUCGAAAAAAUUCAUCUUGUACACUUUUUAGCCUUGGUGCAUUUAAGACUCCCUUGCAAAAAAAUUCCAUCCCAUGACAUUCUCCCACCUUCAUUGUUUCCAAGGAUGGGAAUUUGAAGACAUAUCUUGUUGAUGAGCAAAAGCUUUUCAGAUUUGGCAAAUGAUAAAAUGUCAAACUCUUUAAUCUGGUGAACUCAAUCUCAUUAUCUAUUAGUUCAUGUCCAUCAUUUCCCACUAUUUCUACUUGGAUAACCUCAUUCACUGAAUCACACAUUCUCACCUCUAGUUUUUCCAGAUUAUGUAGUAUUUGAACCAUAUUCGAGGGAAUCACAACUGAAAUACCAUGAUACUCCUUUAUUGUCAAAACGCUUAACUUCGAAAAAGACACCCUUGAAAAUUGGCCUCGCCAUAUCUCCACAGUGCCCUUUAAGCUCAAUGUUAGUUCUUCCAAAUUAGGAAAUGCUUCCUGGCAAACCAAGUUACAUAAGAGGAAUGACAUUUCAUUUAUGUGAUUUUUUUUAAUAAAUAAAUAAGUUAUAUAUACACACAUAUACAACAAUCCUCUUUGAGCUUGCAAAUAGCUCAAUAAAUGAUAAAAAUAAACAAGCCUUCAAGUUCAAACUCACGACCACUUGAAAAAUAAGGCUAUAAUACCAUAGUAAAUAGAAAAAACUAUAAAUCAAGUUCAUUUCAUCUACAAACCUAACAUUUAUAUAUUUAAUAAUUAUAUUUCCUUCUUGAUCAAAGAGCUAUUAGGAGAAAAUAAGUAAACACUAUUAUUGUUAUUAUUAUUAUAAUUGUUGUUGUUGUUGUUUUCCAUAUAAGGCAUAAUGAAUUACUGUGUCUAAAUAAUCAAGGUACACUUUGACAAGUUUUGAUGCAAUGUGGCUAAAAACAGAUUGGAUCAAUAUUGCACAUUAAUUCAAAUAAAACAUCAACAUUUUUUUUUUAUUAAAUUCUAAAUAAACACCACUAUAAAUUAAUGCAAUUUUGUAUGAAAUUCAAUUAAAUAAACUCGUUCUUAAGGCAUCACAAGAAGUGUUUAAGUCUAAUUAAUAUUAAUUAAAAAUUAUUAUAUUAAAAAAAAUCCAAAGUAAUUUAUUUUUAUCAUAAGUCAAAUAGGAUAAUUUUAUAAAUAUUUGGUUCUAGUUUCUAGUAUUCUUGUACACAAUCGCUAUGUUUGUUGCACCUCCAAAAAAUCUAUUACUUGUAAUUAAUUGUAUAUUAUUCUCCAUAUUCACAUCAGUUUAUGUAGUAUGAUUAAUUUAGCAACAAAAUAUAAGUUUACUUGAAAUCGCUUUAAAUUCCUAUGAUAUUAAAGUUUAAGAUUAAAACAAUGUAACAUUAGCUAAAAAAAUUAAGAUCUAUAAUGUAACAUAUAAAAUUUAGAAAAUUCAAGGAAGGGUAAACUCGCACCUGUUCUACCCAAAAGAGUGGCUCAAGUUCACAUUCCAAAUUUAUUUGUUGAAAGAGUAUCUCCACUUUAUCACAAUCGACCACUUCCAAUUCUUUCAGAAGUGGCCAGCUUGAACUAAACCUUCCAGAGCAAAAUCUUUUCAGUUGGUGUAAACUGAAGAGUGUGAGAGAGGUAAGGUUAGGGAAUAAGAGUAAAGGUGAGGCUUCAUCUUCAUUUUCAUUGGCAACAAUUGCCUCCACUCCACUCGCCGAUAUAUAUAGGUCCUCAAGUUGCACAAGAGCACUCGCCACAGAAACCGGAAAAAGGUUUAGCAAUUUGUUGCAUCCCCUUACUUGUAGUUUCCUUAAUUUGGAAAAUGAAUUUGCUGGAAGUUGGUCAAGACACAAUGCUCUUAUAUUAUCUAGUCCGUCUGUAUACAAGGACUCCAAGCCUGGGAGUGCAACCUGUGCAAUUGAUGAUCCCUUUGGUUAAUAAUAUAUACAUAUACAUUCCUAAUAAUUAGACACAUGUAAAUAGAAAAUAAGAGGUUAAAGGAGAAUAUAUCAGUAUAACAAAGCACAAAAUUUAAACUAGAUUGAAGAAGAUCAAGAAAGAGAAAAGAAAAGAAAAGAAAAGCAAAAGCCUCUAGAUUCUGAAAAUCCAAUGAAACUUAAAAAAAAAAAAAAAAAAACCUCCAAAUUUUCCUUUCGAAAUGAGGUAAUAAGAGGAUUUUUUUUUCUUUUUUCUUUGCCUCUCUUUCAAAUUUGAUUAACUUCUAUGGAAAACGGAUUUUUUUUUUUUAAACUUUUAUAUAAGAUACAAGUAAUACUUUAAAAAAAUUGUGAUAUCUAAAAAAAUUUUUGAAAAAUUAUUUUUAAAGAAAUAAGGUAAAUCUAUACUUUUUGUAUAAGAUGUUCUACCUUUAUAUACAAAUUUCUGAUUUUUUUUUUUUUUGUUUAAAGUGUACCCAAAUGGACACUAAACUAUCUAGUUUUUAAUUUUUACAACUUUGAAUUGGAUUUUAUGGUAAACUAAUUUACAAUAUAAUGCAUGGAUUAAUCUUAGAUUCCAUCUAUAAAUUUUUUUAAUUAUCUAAUAUAAGACAUUAUAUUAAUGGAUUGAAUUAAUAAUGUAAUUAUAAUUUAUUUGGCAACUUUCUUCCUUCAAAUAUAUAAAAUGAAAACAAAUUUUAAAAAAUAAAAAAAUGAAAAAAAUAAAAAAUAAAAAAAGCUUUUUUUUAUAGUUUUUCUAAGAUGAUUUUGUAGAGUACUGUUAGUUUAUAGUUUUAACUUUAUUUCAUUUUACUUUUAACUUUAUUUAUUGAGGUAUGUUCUUUUUUGAAACUCUUGUUUAGAUUUUAUGGAGAAUAUAAAUUUUAAGAAAAAAAUGAAAUUUAAAUAAGAUAAGAAUAAAGAAACGCAAAAGGUGGAUGAAUUUUUUUAAGGCAAAAGUUUGAUAAUUGACACUAUCAUGUAAGAGGUGAAAUUUUUAAAUACUCAAUAAAGGCUAGUGAAACUUAAAUUAAAAGCAUGACAUGUACCUUUUUGACCAAAAAGAGCGAUUAUUGAAUUUUGUUGUCAAGUUCACCUAUCAAACCUAUUUCUUGAAAUAGUAUCUCCAUUUUACCACAAUUGAGCACUAUCAAUUUUUUUAAAAGUGCCCAUCUUGAAGUAAACCUUCUGAAGCAAAAUCUUUGGAGUUGGUGUAAAGUAUUGAGUAUGAGAGAGGUUAGUCUAGGGAAUAUUGCAUAUUAAUUCAAAUAAAACAUCAACAUUUUUUUUUUGUUAAAUUCUAAAUGAACACCACUAUAAAUUAAUGCAAUUUUGUAUGCUCAAUUAAAUAAACUUGUUCUUAAGGCAUCACAUGAAGUAUUUAAGUCUAAUUAAUAUUAAUUAAAAAUGAUUAUAUUAAAAAAAUCCAAAGUAAUUUAUUUUUAUCAUAAGUCAAGUAGGAUAAUUUUAUAAAUAAUUGGUUUUAGUUUCUAGUAUUCUUGUACACAAUCGCUAUGUUUGUUGCACCUCCAAAAAAUCUACUACUUGUAAUUAAUUGUAUAUUAUUCUCCAUAUUCACAUCAGUUUAUCUAGUAUGAUUAAUUUAGCAACAAAAUAUAAGUUUACUUAAAAUCGCUUUAAAUUCCUAUGAUAUUAAUGUUUAAGAUUAAAACAAUGUAACAUUAGCUAAAAAGAUUAAGAUCUAUAAUGUAACAUAUAAAAUUUAGAAAAUUCAAGGAAGGGUAAACUCGCACCUGUUCUACCCAGAAGAGUGGCUCAAGUUCACAUUCCAAACUUAUUUGUUGAAAGAGUAUCUCCACUUUAUCACAAUCAAGCACUUCCAAUUUUUUCAAAAGUGGCCAGCUUGAACUAAACCUUCCAGAGCAAAAUCUUUUGAGUUGGUGUAAAUCACGGAGUGUGAGAGAGGUAAGGUUAGGGAAUAAAAAUAAAGGUGCUGCUUCAUCUUCAUUUUCAUUGGUAACAAUUGCCUCCACUUCACCCCCCGAUAUAUGUAGGUCCUCAAGUUGCAUAAGAGCACUUGCCAUAGAAAGCGGAAAAAGAUUUAGCAAUUUGUUGCAUUUACUUACUCGCAAUUUCCUUAAUUUGGAAAAUGAAUUUGCUGGAAGUUGGUCAGGCCACAAUGCUCUUAUAUUAUGUAGGUUGCAUACAAACAAGGACUCCAAGCUUGGGAAUGCAACCUGUGCAAUUGAUGAUCCCUUUGGUUAAUAAUAUAUACAUAUACAUUCCUAAUAAUUAGAUACAUGUAAAUAGAAAAUAAGAGGUUAAAGGAAAAUAUAUCAGUAUAACAAAGCACAAAAUUUAAACUAGAUUGAAGAAAAUCAAGAAAGAGAAAAGAAAAAGCCUCUAGAUUUUGAAGAUCCAAUGAAACUUAAAAAAAAAAAAAAAAAAAAACCUCCAAAUUUUCCUUUCGAAAUGAGGUAAUAAGAGGAUUUUUUUUUUUCUUUUUUCUUUGCCUCUGUUUCAAAUUUGAUUAACUUCUAUGGAAAACGUAUUUUAACUAGCUAUGGAAAACGGAUUUUUUUUUUUGAACUUUUAUAUAAGAUACAAGUAAUACUUAAAAAAAAUUGUGAUAUCUAAAAAAAUUUUUGAAAAAUUAUUUUUAAAGAAAUAAGGUAAAUCUAUACUUUUUGUAUAAGAUGUUCUACCUUUAUAUACAAAUUUCUGUUUUUUUUUUUUUAAAGUGUAUCCAAAUGGACACUAAACUAUCUAGUUUUUAAUAUUUACAACUUUGAAUUGGAUUUUAUGGUAAACUAAUUUACAAUAUAAUGCAUGGAUUCAUCUUAGAUUCCAUCUAUAAAUUUUUUUAAUUAUCUAAUAUAAGACAUUAUAUUAAUGGGUUGAAUUAAUAAUGUAAUUUUAAUUUAUUUGGCAACUUUCUUCCUUCAAAUAUAUAAAAUGCAAAUAAAUUUUAAAAAAUAAAAAAAGCUUUUUUUAUAGUUUCUCUAAGAUGAUUUUGUAGAGUACUGCUAGUUUAUAGUUUUAACUUUAUUUCAUUUUACUUUUAACUUUAUUUAUUGAGGUAUGUUCUUUUUUGAAUCUCUUGUUUAGAUUUUAUAGAGAAUAUAAAUUUUAAGAAAGAAAAUGAAAUUUAAAUAAGAUAAGAAUAAAGAAACGCAAAAGGUGGAUGAUUUUUUUUAAGGCAAAAGUUUGAUAAUUGGCACUAUCAUGUAACGGGUGAAAUUUUUAAAUACUCAACAAAGGCUAGUGAAAUUUAAAUUAAAAGCUUGACAUGUACCUUUUCGACCAAAAAGAGUGAUUGUCGAAUUUUGUUGUCAAGUUCACAUUUCAAACCUACUUCUUGAAAUAGUAUCUCCACUUCACAAUUGAGCACUAUCAAUUUUUUUAAAAGUGCCCAUCUUGAAGUAAACCUUCUGAAGCAAAAUCUUUGGAGUUGGUGUAAAGUAUUGAGUAUGAGAGAGGUUAGUCUAGGGAAUAUUGCAUAUUAAUUCAAAUAAAACAUCAACAUUUUUUUUUUGUUAAAUUCUAAAUGAACACCACUAUAAAUUAAUGCGAUUUUGUAUGCUCAAUUAAAUAAACUCGUUCUUAAGGCAUCACAUGAAGUAUUUAAGUCUAAUUAAUAUUAAUUAAAAAUGAUUAUAUUAAAAAAAUCCAAAGUAAUUUAUUUUUGUCAUAAGUCAAGUAGGAUAAUUUUAUAAAUAAUUGGUUUUAGUUUCUAGUAUUCUUGUACACAAUCGCUAUGUUUGUUGCACCUCCAAAAAAUCUACUACUUGUAAUUAAUUGUAUAUUAUUCUCCAUGUUCACAUCAGUUUAUGUAGUAUGAUUAAUUUAGCAACAAAAUAUAAGUUUAUUUAAAAUCGCUUUAAAUUCCUAUGAUAUUAAAGUUUACGAUUAAAACAUUGUAACAUUAGCUAAAAAGAUUAAGAUCUAUAAUGUAACAUAUAAAAUUUAGAAAAUUCAAGGAAGGGUAAACUCGCACCUGUUCUACCCAGAAGAGUGGCUCAAGUUCACAUUCCAAACCUAUUUGUUGAAAGAGUAUCUCCACUUUAUCACAAUUGUCCACUUCUAAUUUUUUAAGAAGUGACCAGCUUGAACUAAACCUUCCAGAGCAAAAUCUUUUGAGUUGGUGUAAAUAACGGAGUGUGAGAGAGGUAAGGUUAGGGAAUAAGAGUAAAGGUGCUGCUUCAUCUUCAUUUUCAUUGGCAACAAUUGCCUCCACUCCACUCCAGGAUAUCCAUAGGUCCUCAAGUUGCACAAGAGCACUCGCCACAGAAAGCGGAAAAAGAUUUAGCAAUUUGUUGCAUAGAAUUACUUCCAAUUUCCUUAAUUUGGAAAAUGAAUUUGCUGGAAGUUGGUCAGGCCGCAAUGCUCUUAUAUUAUCCAGUGUGCCUACAAACAAGGACUCCAAGUUUGGGAGUGCAACCUGUGCAAUUGAUGAUCCCUUUAGUUAAUAAUAUGUACAUAUACAUUCCUAAUAAUUAGAUACAUAUACAAAGCACAAAAUUUAAACUAGAAUGAAGAAGAUCAAGAAAGAGAAAAGAAAAGAAAAGAAAAAGCCUCCAGAUUUUGAAGAUCCAAUGAAACUUAAAAAAAAAAAAAAACCUCCAAAUUUUGCUUUCCAAAUGAGGUAAUAAGAGGUUUUUAUUUUUAUUUUUAUUUUUAUUUUAUUUUAUUUAUUUUUUUAACUUUUAUAUAAGAUACAAGAACUCUUAGAGGGUUACAUUAUGUAAGUAAUACUUUUAAAAAAAUGUUUAAAAAAAUUAUGAAUACUAAAAAUUUUACUACCUCGGAUUUUAAAUUUUUAAAAAAUUAUUUUUAAGGAAAUAAGGUAAAUCUAUACAUUUUAUAUAAGAAAUUUUACUUUUAUAAACAAAUUUCUGAUUUUUUUUUUUUGAAGUGUAUCCAAAUGGACACUAAACUAUCUAGUUUCGAAUUUUUACAACUUUGAAUUGGAUUUUAUGGUAAACUAAUUUACACUAUGAUGCAUGGAUUCAUCUUAGAUUCCAUCUAUAAAUUUUUUAAUUAUCUAAUAUAAGACAUUAUAUUAAUGGGUUGAAUUAAUAAUUUAAUUAUAAUUUAUUUGGCAACUUUCUUCCUUCAAAUAUAUAAAACGAAAAUAAAUUUUAAAAAAAUAAAAAAAAUGAAAAAAAAGCUUAUUUAAUAGUUUUUCUAAGAUGAUUUUGUAGAGUGUUAGUUUAUAGUUUUAACUUUAUUUCAUUUUACUUUUAACUUUAUUUAUUGAGGUAUGUUCUUUUUUGAAACUCUUGUUUAGAUUUUAUAGAGAAUAUAGAUUUAAGAAAAAAAUGAAAUUUAAAUAAGAUAAGAAUAAAGAAACGCAAAAGGUGGAUGGAUUUUUUUAAGGCAAAAGUUUGAUAAUUGGUACUAUCAUGUAACAGGUGAAAUUUUUAAAUGCUCAACAAAGGCUAGAAAAAUUUAAAUUAAAAGCUCGACAUGUACCUUUUCAACCAAGAAGAGUGAUUGUUGAAUUUUGUUGUCAAGUUCACUUUUCAAAUCUAUUUCUUGAAAUAGUAUCUCCACUUUAUCACAAUCCCACACUUCCAAUUCUUUUAAAAGUGGCCAUCUUGAAGUAAACCUUCCGAAGCAAAAUCUUUGGAGUUGGGGUAAAGCAUUGAGUGUGAGAGAGGUUAGUCUAGGGAAUAAGAAUAAAGAUGUUGCUUCAUCUUCAUUCUCAUUAGCAACAAUUGCCUCUAGUACUUCACAAAAGGAUAUCUUUAGGUCCUCAAGUUGCACAAGGACUUUCGCCACGGAAAGGGGAAAAACAUUCAGCAAUUCAUCACAGCCAAUUAAUUCCAAGCCCUUUAGUUUGGAAAAGGAAUUUGUUGGAAGUUGGUUGUGCCACAAUGCUUUCAGAUUAUCUAGACGACGUACACGCAAGGACUCCAAGGCAGGGAAUGCAGCCUAUGCAAUUGAUCAUCCAUUUGAUUAAUACAUUCUCAAUAACUAGACACGUAUAAAUAGAACAAGAGAGGUGGAGGUGAAUAUGUCAAUAUGAAAAAGCACAAAAUAAAUUCAUAAUUUUAUCUGCGUAUUUUCUACAUUAUAUGAAACUAAACUAGACCUCACUACAAGCAGCUUGAAACUCAUUUAGAAGGAAAGUUUAUUUUUAUUAAUUGUCUAAAACUAAUAGACUUCUCAUUAUAUAAUACUUUGGUUUUAGUAUUUUUCAUUUAUUCAUUCUCCAAUACAAUUUUACUAACUUAAAACAAGUAGAGCAUUUAUAUGUUGGAGUAAUAUGUAUAUGAUUAUUUUAUCCUAAAUUUUUUUGAUUAAUUAAUUAUCAUUUUUAAAAGGUUUUAUUGAUGUGAUUUGAUAAAUGGUCAUAUUAAUAAUAUUAGAACAUAAAAACAAAUUAACUAUAUUUUAUCUAAUAUUUACCAAAAUAUUGAUUUACUAUCACAAAUUAUGUAAUUAAAAAUAUAAAAUAAAAUAUUGGUUUCCAAUAACUCCAACCUCGUCAUUUUAUUAAUAUCUAUAUUUUGUUUUUCUUUUUCUUCUUCUACAUUUUGUUUGGUGAUAGUUAUUUUUGGGCUAUAAACAAAGUAUUUCAUAUUUUAAAACUUUAUAACUCUUAUAAUUAGUAUUUCAUUCAUUCCAAAAUCGAUUCUUCUCCCUUGCUAUUGGUUUAGAAUACAAAAAUAAAUUUAUAAGUUUCUUUAAACGAUAUUAGUAUCAAUUAUUCCUUUCAUGAAAAUAAAGAGAGUUUAAUAUUGAAAGAAAAUUAACAAAAAUAUUUAUGUUAAAAAUAGUUAAGCAAAAAAUCAUAUAAUAAAAAAGAAUGAAUUAAGCCUUCAAAUUAUUAAAAAAAUUAACAUAAUAAAUUCAUGAAAAAAGAAAAGUGAAGAUUAGGCCUUAAAAUUUAUUCAGAAAAAUAAAAUAAAGAUAAUAAAUGUAUGAUAAAUAAGAAAAUAUAAGAAAGGAAGGAAGACAAGUACAAGUACAUUUUACUAAAAUUUUAUAUAAUUUUGGUUUUAAAGUUUACUUUUUAAUUCUGGUUUUUAUUUUUUAGAAUAUAUUUAUUUAGUGUAAAAGUAGUGUAAAUAAAUACUAGUAAUGGCAGAAAUUAGAUAUCGAGUAGUAAGAUACCUGUUGACUGAAAAAUGUCAUUGACUCCUGGGUACCACUGCAUCUUGUGGAGUAGAAGCUAAUGAGCUCUGGGAGAUCACUCAACUCCAAAUGUUGCAGUUGAGGAAAAGCUGAUUCCCUUCCAUGUUGUGUGGGAAGAGAGAAAACAUAUUUCAACCUCUCACAACUCUCUAGUCUUAGAAUUCUUAAGUUACCAAAAGACCCCAUCGGAAUUGGGCCAUGGCAUACUGCCUCCAAGUUAUCUAGGCCAUCAAGGAUCAGUUCCUCCAACAUACAGAAGGUAUUAGGUGGUGGAACCCAUUCCACUGAAGUACUGGAAUGAAGGAUGUAUUGAACGGUAGGACAUCCAGAGAGAGUGAGAUACUUGAGUUCAACGAAACCUUCCUUGUCUAACUCAUAAACCACAUGCUUAGUAUCAUCCAAUUCCCCCAAGUCUAGAACUUGACUUCUCUUCAACAGCUUGGAGAAGCACUUCACCAUAUAAAGACUUGUAACCCCUUGAAACACCAACCUUCUUGAGGAGGCUUUAUACUCAUCAUUUCGUAUCCGGUAAGGGCUUAUUACUAUUGAAUAUCUGGUCAAGUUGAGGUUUUCGAAGGGCACGCCAUCUUCUGGAAACAAACUGAGAUUUGAUAGUUGUAACUCCAAAGUCCUCAAACUAGACAGGUGUUUCAGCUCAGAAAGGCAAGCAUUAAUUCUUUCUCCCCUAUUAAAUCCUUCCGCCUCCCAUUCAAUACGAAAACUUCCUUUCAUACUCAAAUACUCUAAUUGGGAUAGACUUGAUAUAACAUUUCGUGGAAUUACUUCAAGGCUAUCGCAAUACCGCAAAUCCAACAUCCUUAGAUCACUCAAUUGCGCCACUUCAUUUGGCAGCUGUUCAAUGUUGGACUCUGCCAAACUAAGGACUUGUAGUUUCUUCAGUUCUCCAAUUACUGUUAUGUCUUGGAUCUGGCAUUGAUUUAGACGCAAUGUUUGAAGAUUUGAAAGAAAACCAAGUGAUGAAGGAGAUGGUGUAAGAGACACUUUAGACAAAUCUAAAAUUCUGAGUUGUUUGGUGUCUUGGAAAAAGGCAUCUGGAAUUUUCAAAUAAGGAUCAUCAUUACUUGAAUUCAAUAAAAAGAAUUCAAGUUGCGGACAUACCAAGCCCUGUGGAAGCUCAUCCAUAUUUCUGCAUAUCAAAGAGAUGCGAGUGCAAUUUCUGCACUCAUCCGUCUUCUGCCAUUCUCGUAAUUCAGCAGCUUCUUGUGAUCCAACAGCUUCUCUCACCACAAAUCGAUGAGGAUCUUUGGAUGCAAUUGAUCUGGCAACAUCACGAACAACAUCAUGCAUUCUGACAAAAGCUUGAUCAAAAAGCAAGCUCGAAGAGCUAUCACCAUCUCCUUCAUGGUCAAGCAACAAGCUUGAGACUUUGAGGUUUUCCACCAAUGUAAUUAGUUUAUUUAUUGCUUUCUCCCAUGAAUAUGUUCUUUCAAACAAAUUCAAACACAUAGCAAAUUGUAGCAAGCGAUCCAUGGAAAUAUCACCAUCCCCCAGCAAAGCGCAAAGUAAAAACAAUGACUUUACUUCAUCACCUUCCAAAUGGUUGUAGCUCAGCUCCAGACAUGAGUAGACGCCUUUAGUUACUCCUCUGAUGUUUGUUGGUGCAGACCUUCUCAGUUCUUCCAACGCAUUCUCCCAUACACCCACCAUCUCACCUCUUAAUGCAUUUGCAAUGGUGACAAUUGCAACUGGUAGACCGUCACAUUUUUUAGCUACAUCAACUGCUAUGGGACGCAGUUCAGGCUUCUCCACGGAUUCACCUGCUGUCUUCUUGAAUAAAUUCCAGGCUUCAUCUUCACUUAAAUGUUGAAGAUGGAACUCCUUUUGAGUAUACAUAUCUUUAGAUAAAACCUGACGCUCCCGGGAAGUCAGCAGCACUUUGCACCCCUUGUGAUCAUCUCCAUAAGGAAUUCCUAUUUUUCCCAACCCAAGUUUCUCCCAGAUAUCAUCUAAGAUCACCAGGAUUUUCUUCUCUCUCUUCAACCUUUGCAUCAGGCGACCUGCUCUAUCCUCCCCCGCCUCAAAUUUCAAACCCAACAUUCUUGCAAUUUUUUCUUGAAUUUCUGUGAUGUUGGGAGUUUGGGAUAUGUGUAACACCAGGACCACCUUGUGAAAGAGCUUGUCUUCCUCCGCUUGUUGAGCUACUUGUUUGACAAGAGUGGUUUUGCCCACGCCGCCCAUUCCCCAGACACCGAGCAUGCGCAUAUCUUCGUUUCUCAAGGCCUCCAUAAUUUGGUUAAAAGUAGACUCUCUUGACUGGAAAGCCUCAUAAUCUUUGAAAGAUGCAGAGCUGAUGAAUGGAGGAGGAGGAGGAGGAGCGCGAUGCGAUACUCUGCCACCAAAGUUAUGAGCUUCUUGGAUUUUAUCAACAAUCUCCGCAGCCUGCUUCUUUGCUUGCUUGCUUAGCUGGUAGCGGGACUUUAAAUAGAAACAGCUCUUGCUUGCUUUCCUUUCAUCUUCAUUGAAAUCAUCUCUCUUUUGGAUGAUCCCUUCUGCAUACGUCAGCCACUCCUGAACAUCAGAAAAGAUUUCAUCCCUUUGCCUAUUAGCAUCAUCCACAGGUAUCUGCAGCCUCUCCCUUUCAAGAUGGAGACUCUGAAUUUUUUGGUUGAGAUCCGUAAUGUUGUGACGGUAGUUAACCACAUAACCCAGUGGACGUAUAAUUGGACCAACCAGGUACUCUGCAACUUUUGCUGCAACGGAAAUAACAAUGUCAACCAUUUCCAACUUCUUUUUUCUAGAAAUAGAUGGGAAUUGAGCAAAGGCAGAUAAAGAAUUAAUAGAGCAACCACAGCAGGAGAAAGACAAUACACGAGAUUGAUAUUUGAUUGAAACUGUUGUGACAGAAGAAAUGGAAGGCUUGAGGUAUAAAAAGAGCAGAGUUUGUGGAAGAGAGCUGGAUUGUUUUUUUUUCUUUCAGGAAGAGAGGAGAGGAGAGGAGAGGAGAGACAGAAAUCAGGAAAGUGGAAAAGGAGAGUGAUUACUGGUAAAGAAGAAGAAAUAGUUGAUAAAAAAGAGAAAAGGGUUACAGAGUGAAGAGAUUGAGAAAGCUUUGGAUUUUGGAAUUCAGUGAUCCCCAAAACGAAAUAAGUAAAAGGCUUUCUGGCAAGAGGGAGAGACGGAGAGAAGGAAAAUGAAAAAAUGGGAAACAGCAGUGAGUAUUGGGUGAUAAAUCGACGAGGAAACGGUUGUUUUGGUGAAAGGAGAAAGGAGAGCAGCAAGCCAACUUCAGAAUAGCAGAACAGCAGAAUUGCAGAUUCCUGAAUGUGAAAAUAGUUUGGUUAGAAGGAAAGGGUGUUUUAUUAAUAAUAGGAAAACAAGUGAUGGCACGCAUGGAAUCUUCUGAGUUCUUGCUUUAUGGACUUUCGCCACCUAACCUCCAUUACUCACCAUCAUCAUACUAUUAUUAUAUUCACAGAAUUUUUAAAAAAUAUAACAAUUAAAACUUCCAUUUCUAAAUUUACGGUAUCUCAUGAUAACUCAAAUAAAAAAUUGCAUUCAAUUUAAGCAUCAUAUUUUGAUGUUAUAUUUUUCAGAUAUAACUUUAAAUUUUAAAAUUUAUACCAAAAUUGUUUUUUUCAAAAAUAAUUAAUAUGUACCUAUAAUUAAGAAGACUUCACUAUAUUUAUAAUCUCAAAAACUUUAUGGAAUAUUAUAAUAUCACUCUAUUAAAAUUAUUUAUUUAUUUGAAAAAAAAAUUAUUCAUUAUAAAUCUCAAAUUAAUAAUUAUUAUUUUUUAAUAUUUUUAUUUAAAAGGUUGUGAAAAUAUUAAAAUCCUUUGUUUCCAUGGAUGUUGGAUUAUGAAUCACCUAUUGUGCCAACUAAAUUAUUUUUAUUUAUCAUUUAUUGGGAUUUAAUCUCAUUAUUAUGUACCAUCAUAUUAUGAAAUUUUAAACCCUUUUAUUUAUAGUAAAAGAAAAUAAAAAAUAAAAAAUAAAAAAUGAGCAUGAAUAUUAGUUCACAUUAUAAAAUUUUAUAAUUAGAAGGGUCCAUUAAAAAAGAAAGUCAUACAUUUUUAUUUAUAUUUUAUUAUUUUUAUAAUUUUAUGAUUUUGAUAUUUGAUUUUAUGUAAAUAGUGAAUAAAGUUAUGUAUUAUUGAAAUAAAUAAAGAGAAUUCAGUCUUGGGUUAACACCUUGGAGGCAGCAAUGAAAUAAGGCCCUCACAUGAAAUGAGAAAAAUUAGAAAUUAAUCAAAAAAAAAAACCUAUUUGAAAACCCACACAUUAAAAACAAUUGAAAAUUUUAUAAAAAUAAUAAUCUUCGAGAAAUUUGAAAACAACAAUAAUUAAGUGUAUUUUCAUCAAAUUUCUAUAAUAUUAAUGAAAUUAACCUUUAAAAUACUUUUAAUCAUUUACUUUUAAAAAAUAGUUAAUUUUUUUCACACCUCUAGGUUUAGUAUAUCAUUAGUUUCAAAUUUAUCAUUUCAUCAUAUAACACCGUUAUAGAUAUAUUUUAUUUAUAAAAUUUAAUUUUUUUUAAAAAAAGAAUUAUGUUUUUUAGAAAAUUAUAAAAUAUACUUAUUUCAUAAAUCAUUUUUGAAAAAUAAAUUUUAUAAAAAUAAUAAUUUAAUAAUGGUGCUAAGGGAUGAAACUUGGAUUCAACAUUGAUUAAGUGUAGUUUUAUUAAAUUUCAGUAAUAUAAAUGGAAUUAUCCCUUUAAAAAUUAAAAAACCCCUUGAAGAUUCACACUUCGGGUUGAAAAUUGGAAGUUUCAUAAACAAUCGUGAAAAAUGUAAGAGUGAAAACAACCUAUUAAAGAAAAAGAAAGUUCCAAAAAAGGGUUUGUAAACCAACAACUUGAAAAAGGAUUAUUUCAUUAAAGGAAUGAAAUAAUUAUUGAUUUAUAAAAUCUCACCUUCUACGUCUUUUGGGCUUAAAAAUAUUCAUUUUUAAUAAAAAUAUGUUUUAAUUUAAAAAAAAAAAUUUUUGUAAAAUUUAUAAAUUUUAAUUUUUAUAAAUUUUAUAAAAAUAAUAAUUACUUUUUUUUUAUGGAAAUUAAAAGAGAGUGAUUACAGGUGAAGAAUGAGAAAUAGUUGAUAAAAAAAAAAAUUGAGAAAAAGGAUUACAGAGGGAAGAGAUUGAGAAAGCUUUGGAUCAUGGAUUUUACUUCUUGGAAGCAAAUGGAAAAGAAGCAGAGUAUAAGUUGAGGUCUUGAGGGGAAAAAGAGGAAGAGAGCAGGAAGGGAAUUAGAUACUGAGUAUUUUAGUCAUCUCAUGUAUCAUCUACAAUCAUUUUUAAAUAUGGAGGUUUAACAAAUAAAAUUAUUAUUUAAAUUAAUAAAAAUAAAUAUUAAUUAAAAUUAAUAAAGGUAAAUACCUCAAUUUGAUUAUAUAAAAUAAAUUUUAACUUUGUGGAGCAAUAUUAAUACGUAAAGUAAAAACUAAAGUAAUUUAAUUAUUAUGUUUACAGUUAUUAAAAAGAAUUUCUACUUGUCAAUUAAAAUUAAAUAAUAAAAAAUUCUCAUUCCAAUUGUAUGCAUAUUCAAUCAAGACUUUUGUGGUAUUCAAGAAUGGAGAACUAGUUGCUUUAUUGAUUCUUAUCAACAAUUCUUUUCAAGGAAUUUGGACCGCUUAUUCAAGUGGUCCCCAUGGAUGCUUCACUUUACAGCUAAUGAUGUGAAUAAUGGGACUUAAAAUAAAGUGAAGCAUAAAUGAUGGCUCUCAAAAUAAUUUGAACAUCAAAUAUCUAUAAAAGGUUUGGCCUAUUUUCAUUGAUUUUCAAUUGAUUUUUAGAUGAGAUAGUCAAAGUUCUAUACAAAAAUUGGUAUGGAUUUACGUGUGUAUUUUCUAAAAUUCUUGUUCUAGGGGGGAAAAAUAACCAUAUUUUCCGCAUCCAAUCUUUGUCUUAGGAUUCUUGCAACCGUUAUAAAAAAUGAAAGCGAAAAAGAAAGAGGAAAAGAUGAAAAAGGAUUAAUUUAUAUAUAUACACAUAUACCCAAAGUGCUUAUUUAUUCCUUUUUCGCUUUUCGUUUUUGCAUGCCUUCUUCUUCUUUAGCUGCAAGUGCUUUUCAGACACCGCAAUCUAUGCUUAAAAUCAUAAACAAGAGAAUUAUGAAACGAUCUCAUUCCCAUGUGAGUUUGGUAAUGAGUCGAUUCUCCAUUAUUCACAUCAUUAGCUGGACCGCUUUACCUGGACCAUCAUUCACAUCAUUAGCUGUAGAUGCAAGUGGUCCAGGUAAAGUGAAGCAUAAAUGGGGACCACUUGAAUAAUGGGUCCAAAUUCCUUGAAAAGAAUUGUUGAUAAGAAUCAAUAAUGCAGCCACCUAUCCAUUCUUGAAGACGACAAAAGUCUUAAUUGAAUAUGCAUACAAUUGGAAUGAGAAUUUUUUAUUAUUUAAUUUUAAUUGACAAUAGAAAUUCUUUUUAAUAAUUGUAAGCAUAAUAAUUAAAUUAUUUUAGUAUUUUGGAGAUGGGGUUGGAAUUGUGUUCCUUCAUUCUCUCACUUUCUCUCUCCCUCUCGGUAAUCCCCCAAACCCAAUUUAGGGGUAAAAUCGAAAUUUAGAAAUUAAUAAUUAGUUAAAGUAAUUUAAUAAGGGUAAAAAUGUCUUUUCGUAUUUAAAAUCCCUAUAUAUAAAUUAGAUUUUUCUUAUCUUCUCUAUUCAGAAAACCCUUUUACACAGAGAUAAAAAAGAUCAGAGAGCAUAAGGCUGAAGAUUUGUAGGUUUAGGGUUUGAAGAUCAAUUUUUCAGGUAAGAUUUUAAUCCUUAAAUUAAUAUUUUAUAUUCGUUAAUUAGUUUUAAAAACUUUAGAUAUUCUUUGGAAGAUCUCAAUCUAGAUUAGGGUUUGUUAAAUUAAUUUUUAGAUCAAAAGACUGGAAAUUUAUGAAUGUGAAUUAAUUUGUGAUGAAAAUAGGAAAAUUUAGAAAUUUUCUAUUAAAUAGAAAACGAGAUCAAUGAAAAAUCAAUGGAAGAAAAGAAAUUUUAGAUUUAGAAAAUAAAUAAAUAAAUUGUUUGUGUAGGCUUUACAUUUGAAAAAAAAUAAAUUGGAGUACGCAUGUGACUUAGGCAUUGGAAAAGAUUGUAUAUGUAAAUAUAUUUUUAUAAUAAUAAAUAAUGAGAAGAAACAUGAGGCUUAUUGUUUUAUUCUUAGGGCUUUGUGCGUAUAAUGAAGAUAGGAGGGUAAUGGAUUGGUUAUAUAUUGAAUUUGAAAAUUAAUAAAAAUUAUAAUAUUUAGUUUUAAGCUAACAAAGGAAAUAUUAAUAAUAAUAAUAGUUUCCUAUAUAGGUUUUAAUUUAAGUUAAGUAUAUAAAGAAAUAAAUAGUGAGGGUAAGAUUAAGAAAGAAAAUGAAUUUUAUAAUAAUUUGAAAACUCACUAAAUUAAUUUAUUAUUGUUUAGUAAGUUGAAAAAUAAUAUUGGGUAGUAAUAAUAUUAACAUAAGAAAUUAAUUAGGAUCCUAAUACUAAAUAAAAUAUUUUUAGGAUUUUCAAAUUUAUAUGUUUGGAUAAAUAAUCAAUAAUCAAUAAUCAAUAUUGUGUAUGAUAUUAUGUUAGGUGAGGAGGAAAUUCUUCAGAGUUAAAUACUUUAAGAUUUUGAGUGCUUUUUCAAGGUAAGGGAAACUCACUAAAUUAAUUUAUUAUUGUUUAGUAAGUUGAAAAAUAAUAUUGGGUAGUAAUAAUAUUAACAUGAGAAAUUAAUUAGGAUCCCUAAUACUAAAUAAAUUAUUUUUAGGAUUUUCAAAUUUAUAUGUUUAGAUAAAUAAUCAAUAAUCAAUAUUGUGUAUGAUAUUAUGUUAGGUGAUGAGGAAAUUCUUCAGAAUUAAAUACUUCAAGAUUUUGAGUGCUUUUUCAAGGUAAGGGAAAUUAAUGCAGAUUUUUAUAAAAGAAAAUAAUUUUUUUUUUAUGUUGUAUUUUGAAAUGUGUAAAAAUAUUAUUUUUAUCUUUUCGCAUGGAUCAAAUAUGUGUUUUGUAUGGAAAGCAUAUUUGAGAAUUUUCUUUGUUUAUGAAAAGAGAAAAAUUGAGGAGAUAUGAUAUUUUGUUUUGUAAGUUUGAAUUAAUGAAAUAAAGUGUUUGACUCUAGAUUAUAUGGCCUUAGUCAACGGAUUAUAAUAGUUGACAUUAUGGCCCUAGUCAACGGGCUAUAAUUGUUGACAUUUGUAUGACUCUAAUCAACGGGUUAAAUAGUUGAUAUUAUAUGGCCCUAGUCAACGGGUUAUAAUAGUUGACUUUAUGACCCUAGUCAACGGGUUAUAAUUGUUGACAUUUGGCUUUGUUCACCUUAACUAGAACAAAUUUGAAACUAACCACUCAUUUAUGAAGUCCCACUUAAUUGGGCACCAUUUGUUAUUUGAUAACCAAAGUAAAUAUAUUUUGAAUGUAUUUGAUUUGGUUUUUAUGAGAAAUUGUUUUGAAAUGGAUAUGAGAAAGUUUUGUUGAAAAGUUUGAAUGUAUUAGUAUUUUGAACUCAAAACUUUUUAUGAAAAUAAAUAUAUGUUAUAUCUCCUAUUUGCAAGCACGACUGAAAAUGUUUGAUUCAUGAAAUUGUAUUGAUGUUCUUUAUUGAGCUUUAAGAUCAUGCCCUUUUGUUGUUAAUUUUUCAGGUACUUUCAGUUCGGGCGAGGAGUGAUGGCUAGGCUUGGGAAUUUUUCUUUGUUAGGAUUUUGGUUCAAACUUUAUUUUUGGACAUUGUUUAGAUGUUAAAAUUUAAUUCCCGUUUAAAUUAUUUGAAUUUGGAGUUAUUUGGACAAUAACAUUCUGAUUGAUGUGUUGGUUUUUUUUUUAAGUUGAUACUUGGAAAUUUUAGAAUUUUGUCCUACUACUUUGAACAUGAAUUUGGUAAUUGGUAAAUUUCUAGUUACAAUACAAAUAUUUGUGUUGUUUCCACUUUGAGCCUUUGGGUUUGGGGUGUGAAAUAACCAUUAUGCCAUUGGAGUGGAUUUUGGGGCGUGACACUGUAGACCCUCAAUUUUUUCCUCAUAGCACAUGUCUUAUUAGAUACUUAUUCGAUACUUUACAGUAACUCCUUGGUGGCCCAUAUCUACUCACAUUACUUACCUUUUCUUGAACCACCUCGGAGACUCUGAUUGAGGGAUUGCCCAACCCCUUAUUAUGACCUUGACAACUCUAAUUUAGACUUAGACACUUUCCUAAACGCCUUAGGCCCACUUAGACACUUCAUUGGGCUUAGUUUACUUAGGUCCACUUUAGCACUUUUUUUUUUUAAACCCACUUUUUAUAUGACUUGCAUGAUUGCAUGGCCUACAUGACUUGUAUGGCUUAUAUAGAUUUCUUUAUUAUUUUUAUUUUAUUUUAUUUUAUCUUAUUACAAGUUUUCUAAAUCAUAUUUCUUGGCUUUUUGGGCAUGAGGAAACGGGCCGCCACCUAUUUGGAAGGAGAACCAACAAAAUUUUGAAAAAGAGGAGAUUUUGUUUUUUUUUAGAAGGAUAGCACAUAUAUUAUUUCCAUGGGGGAAUCGGUCGUAAAAAGGAAGGCAUGCAUUACAUAAAAAAGGAAAGAGAAAAAAGGGAUUUUCCUCGAGCAGAUUUGGGGAGUUCUUUGGGGGAAGACUGAUAUAUAUACAUGAGAGAGGAAGAAAAAAUGAAUUUUUUGGAGGAUUCUUUGAUGGUCAAGGGCAGAGAGAGAGGUUGUCAAGGGAAGAGGAAGGAAGCAUGGAAAAGACCAGUGGGAAAAAUCUGAGAAUACAAAAACCAGUGGAGAUUUUCUCACCGAAAGGAAGUGUUUCCAGGUAUGUUUACUGUAGACCCCUUCUUGAUUCCGAUUAUCCUUUUGAUGUAUGAAUUUUUGUUGGAUUCUGAGUCUCGUUUGGAUGCUAGGGGGUAGAAUGACGGAGGUCAUAUGUUUGUCUACAUUAGUACUUGAUUGCUUCUAUAGAUGUUGUUGAUUUGUCUCUUUGGAGUUCUCUAAUUUUGAUUUAGGGGUGAAAAGUUCUAUUUUUUUAAUUUCCUAUGCAUUACAUGAGAACUAUGGCUAUACUUGUUUGCUGGAAUAUGCUCGUACCUCUCUCACCAUUCCAAGCCCAUUGACAAAGCAAUGGAAUGUUGGCUUGGUUUGGUUAUUCUUUUUUUUUUUCUUAUCUCUACUCUGUUUUCUAGAGCUCUUUCUCUUUGUGUUCGUUUCUUCUUUUCUUUUCUUUUUCUAGUUUCUUUUUUUUUUGGGUACCCUGUUUCCGUUAGGCAGUAAUUUCUGGAACUCUUGGAAUGGGAAGAAUUCUGUCCGGCCAACGUUCUACCUUCUCCGGAUAUCUCACAUCCGGAAUUCUGUCCGACCGACAUUCCACCUUCUCCGGAUAUCUCACAUCCGGAAUUCUGUCCUGCCGACAUUCCACCUUCUCUGGAUAUCUCACAUCCGGAAUUCUCUCCGCUGACAUUCCACCUUCUCCGGAUAUCUCACAUCCGGAAUUUUGUCCCGCCGACAUUGCACCUUCUCCGGAUAUCUCACAUCUGGAAUUAUGUCCGGCCAACGUUCUACCUUCUCCGGAUAUCUCACAUCCGGAAUUCUGUCCGGCUGACAUUCCACCUUCUCUGGAUAUCUCACAUCCGGAAUUCUGUCUGACCAACGUUCCACCUUCUCCGGAUAUCUCACAUCCAGAAUUCUGUCCGGCCAACAUUCCACCUUCUCCGGAUAUCUCACAUCCGGAAUUCUAUCCAGUCGACGUUCCACCUUCUCCGGAUAUCUCACAUCUGGAAUUCUGUCCAACCAACGUUCCACCUUCUCCGGAUAUCUCACAUUCGGAAUGUCCGACCAACGUUCCACCUUCUCCGGAUAUCUCGCAUCCGGAAUAUCCGACCGACGUUCAACCUUCUCCUCUAUUUGCUUCUUUGAUUGGGAAUUUAUUGUUUUUUUAAUUGAAUUUUUGAAUCAUUUUUCAACUAAAUAUUCUCAGCAUUGAAAAAUCCAUCUUUAAUAAUCCUUUGCUGCCAUUUUUCCUCUUGGCAUGCACUUCCACUAUUUUCUUUGACUUUCAACCAUUUUCUUGAUUUUCUUGAUUUUUCACAAGCAUGAACAAAAUUCAUGAUUCCAAAUAAUGGAAUUUAUAGAAUCAACUCAUGCAAAAUUAAUUAGGGCUUUGGAGGGGGGCCCGACAUUCAUGAUAUUUCCUCAAAUAUUUUUUGUUUGAUAUUCGAUUGAUUGUGCUUCAUUUUGUGGUAUAUAUGAGAUUAUUUUGGAUAUGUUAUUUGGCUAAUUUUGUUUCCCAUAAAGGAGUACUAGCUUGCUACCCAGGUAUGCUCUUCCUCACUUAUUUUCGAGAAUUAUGUGGGCACGUAUGCUAUUGGUGAUUAGAUCCAUACAUGAUGUGAUUCUUAGAUGUUCAGAUACAUGCUUGAUUUGCUUAGAUAAAACAAAUGUUGUAUCACAUCUUCAAACUAAUCUUUGAUGUCUUGUGAUAGCGCUUAAGAAGCAGUCCAAGUACGUACCCUAAAUCUUCUUCAAGAUUGUGAUUGGUUUUCCUAUUAAGCAUGCUUUUUUUCAAAAUCACCUAGCCUACUUAGAUAUCCAUGAUUAAUCGUUUAAUCGCUAUAUUUCCCUCAACUUAGUCAGUAGAGACCUUUUUAGGGCUUAGAGGGGUGCUACCUCCUAGAGGUACCUUUCCAAUAAGUAACCUGAUCCCCGGACUUAGACUCAGGUUUCCCAAAGACAUGCUUUUUUCCAAAACUAUGGAGUCACUUUUUAGGGUUUUUCUUUCUUGUUUUACUUUCCCUUUAAAAUAAAAAUAAAAUAGGUGGCGACUCCAACUUUUCUAAAAUUAAUUUUUCACAAAUAAAAAAGCGAGUUUUGCCGAUCAAGUGGGGACGCACGUGAAAAAUGCGGGACCACAAAUUGGCGACUCCACUGGGGAUUUUGAGGAUCAAGCUUGAACACUAGUUGAAGAAAAUGUGGCGUUUAAUUGGUCGAUUAGUGGGUACCCCUUUUUUUAGGAAAGGUGAUUUGAUUUGCUUGCUUGUUUGGUUUUCUAUCUUAACAUGUUUGAUUGCCUUGGAUAAUCACUUGAUUGUUUUGCUCACUUUAACAUGAUUCACUCUCACAUAUGUUAGAUAGGACUUUUGUUUGUUUGAUAUUUAUCUGCUUAGCAUGACUGUUUGUUGCGUUUGCCUUGAACGAUCACUUAACUGUUUGCUCACUUUAGCAUGAUUCACUCUCACAUAUGCUAGGUAGGACUUUGAUUGUUUGAUAUUUAUCUGCUUCGCAUGAUUGCUUGUUGCAUGACAACCCUUUCUCUUGCAUGUUUGUAUGAUUGCUUGUCUUUGUUCACUAUCUCACUUUAGAUCUUAGGUUUUUUGGAUGCACCCACAUCCUUCAUUGUGCACUUUAGAUUAUCCUUGAGUGUUGAGAGAUGGGAGAGCCUUCACCAUUAAGAAACCCCUUGGGAACGCGAGGAAGUGCAUGUGUGGAGGUGAUGACCACCUUGCAUGGAAGCACCCCGUCCCCUUAGAGGCGUGCAGAGGGUUGCGUACCGCUGGAGGGUACGAUCGCUUCUGCUAAGGAUCCUUUAAACCACCCAUUCCAACCUAUAGAGCCACCUCAACCUUGUAAGUUAACCUAGACCCGAUUAAGACUUCAUUCCUACACAUGGGUGCAUCUGUGGACCUUCAGAGCUGCCUUGGUCACGAUUGCGAUUGGUUAUCCCUUCCGUAGUCUCUUUUUGGUGUGAUCAGAGAUGGGUAUCAGAUUGAGUACAUUUAGGUUUUACUUCUACGCACUUGAUUCCUACAGAGUCACAUUCGUACCGUACCUUAUCCAGUGUUUCCAUAUUUGUCCAGAAGCGUUUACUUUGACCGAUCUGGAUUUGCCCUUGUGGAUUAGAGUUAGAGGUAGAUUAACCAGAGUAUCAGACCAGUCAGAUCAAAGAUCAGAUCAGAGGGAUAUGGACUCACAGAUAGUUACCGUUGACCAGUUUUCCACAGCCAUGGCUUCUAUCCAGGAGGCUAUAGCUAACCUUGGUCAGAGAAUAGAUGGACAGCAAACCCAACAGGUCCCAGUUCAGGAGAGUGCCCAGUUCGAUACCAUAGUACCGCCACCAUCUCUGCCUAGUCAGUCAGUACCACAGACUGUACCUUUCACUCUGCAUAGUCAGAUCGAGGUUGCCCCGCCUCCUGUCACAUCGCCUAUCCCGACUUCAGAGGACCCACACACACGUAUGGAUAGACUUGAGUAGAAGUUGAGACAGAUGAGGGCUUCAGACGGAGUUGUUACUUGGGAGGAUUUUGAUGGAGCACCAGUGGCUAGUUUGUCGGCCAAGUUCAGGAUGCCCGAGAUUGAGAGAUACACAGGCAUAGGCUGUCCUCGCAUCCAUUUGAGGCUCUAUAGUACAGUUAUAAGGGCCCACAGACUGGAUGAGGCCUAGAUGGUUAUGCUUUUCCUUAUGUCUCUGAGUGGUACGACACAACGUUGGUUCGAUUCAUUAGAUGUAUCACGCCGUAGGAUUUGGGAUGACUUGGCCCAGGAGUUUUUGAGACAGUUUGCAUUUAACACUGUCAUUGAUGUUUCGAGGAGAGAGAUUGAGGCAUUACAUGACAGAGUACUCAGUGCAUUUGAUAUCCCGCCUAGACCCAUUGAGAUACUUAUUUGAUAUACCUGCAUUGACUGGUAGACUGAUGAGAUGGCUCGUACUUUUGAUAGAGUUUGAUAUCCAGUAUGUUUCUUAGAAGUCUAUUAAGGAAAGUAUUAUCGCCGAUCACCUAGCCUCACUACCGACAUAUGAGGAUAGACUAGUUGAUGAUGAUUUUUCAGAUGAGGAGUUUGUUGCUAUGACCAGCUUAUCAGGAUGGUGCAUGUACUUUGAUGGUGCAGCCAAUCAGUUAGGGUAUGGGAUAGGUGUUCUGUUGGUUUCCCCUCAGGGUGAUCAUAUUCCGAGGUCCGUUCGUUUGGCAUUUUCUGAUCGACAUCCUGCCACGAAUAACAUAGUUGAGUAUGAGGCUUGUAUCCUUGGUUUAGAGACCGCAUUAGAGCUUGACAUUAGACAGAUGGAGGUAUUUGAUGAUUCCAAUCUGGUACUUAGACAGAUUCAGGGGGAUUGGAAGACUAGGGAUGUGAAGCUUAAGCCAUAUCACGCCUAUUUGGAGUUGCUGGUUGCGAGAUUUGAUGACUUGAGAUAUGUUCAUCUACCUAGAGCGUAGAACCGGUUUGCCUACACCUUAGCUACCCUAACUUCUUCUGUGGACAUUCCAAUUGAUGUAGUUAUACGUCCAUUGCUGAUUGAGUUGAGGUCUGCACCCGCCUACUGCUGUUUGAUUGGAGAAAUAGAGGUCCAGGAUGAUCUUCCUUGGUAUCAUGACAUUUAUCAGUUUCUUAGAUCUGGCACAUACCCUAAGGUAGCCACUUCCAAAGACCGGAGAGCACUGAGGAAUUUAGCCACUAGAUUUGUGAUUUGUGGAUAUACCUUGUACAGAAGAUCAGUUGAUGGUAUGCUUCUAUUAUGUUUAGAUCGAGCCUCUGCAGAUCGAGUGAUGAGAGAGGUUCAUGCAGGAGUUUGUGGUCCGCAUAUGGGAGGACACAUGCUAGCCUGUAAUAUUAUGAGGACGGGUUAUUUUUGGUUGACUAUGGAGACAGAUUGUUGUCAGUUUGUUCAGAAAUGCCCAAAGUGUCAGAUUCAUGGUGAUCUUAUUCAUGCACCGCCAUCAGAGUUACACGCUUUGACAUCGCCAUGGCCAUUUUCCGUAUGAGGUAUUGAUAUUAUUGGGAAGGUUUCACCAAAAUCUUCCAGUGGUCAUGAGUUCAUCCUAGUUGCCAUAGAUUAUUUCACCAAGUGGGUGGAAGCCGCAUCAUAUGCGAGGUUGACAUCUGCCAGGGUUGCCAGUUUCAUCAGGUCACACAUCAUUUGCCGUUAUGGGGUUCCCCAUGAGUUGAUUUCAGAUAGAGGGGUGCACUUCCAAGCUGAGGUAGAUACUUUGUUGCAGAAGUAUGACAUUCGACAUCAUAGAUCUUCAACAUAUAGGCCACAGACCAACGGGGCAGUAGAGGCUGCGAAUAAGAAUAUUAAGAGGAUUUUGAGGAAGAUGGUUGAAACUUCUCGAGAUUGGUCAGAGAAACUUCCUUUCGCAUUGUGGGCAUACCGUACCUCUUUCCGCACCUCUACAGGAGCUACACCUUACUCUUUAGUAUAUGGUAUGGAGGUUGUUUUGUCGGUUGAGACAGAGAUGGGUUCUCUGAGAGUAGCCCUUGAGCAACAGAUUUCUGAGACAGAGUGGGCUCAGGCUCGGUUUGACCAGCUUAACCUUUUAGAUGAGAAGAGACUGAGAGCAACUGAUCAUAUUCAGGCCUAUCAAAGGAAGAUGACUCGUGCCUUCAGGAAACGGGUUAAGCCUAGACCAUUACAAAAAGGGGAUUUAGUUUUGAGGAUUCUCAGAGGUUUGAUUGGAGACCCUAGAGGAAAGUUCAGACCUAGUUGGAGUAGGCCUUAUGUUAUUCGAGAGUUGACUCCAGAAGGGGCUGCAUGGUUGACUGAUUUAGAUGGAAACUAGUUUUCAAAGCCUACCAAUGUGGAUCAGCUGAAGAAGUAUUAUGUUUGAGAUUAUGGUCAUAGGAUGGGUGGCCAUCCUUUCGGUUAGCCUUACACCUUAUCACCUUUAUUGAUAUAUUAAACCAUUGCUAGCCCAUUGAGCCUCACGGGGUAUGUUAUAGCCUUAUUUUUUUCUUAUAGCCUUGAUUACCAUUUCUACACCCGGGUUGGGACCCUUUGGUGUAUAUGCAUGCUUUGCUAUGAAAGUCUCAUGAGCUUUAGACUUAUAGGCCUAUCUUCUCAUUCUCGUCAUCAUCUCCUAAUUACCCCGUUUGUUCUAUUUUACUAUCAUCACAUUUUCAUUGUCUCUCUUGUGUUUAUCAUUAUUUGCUUCAUCUUAUCUCUUCUAUUUCUUGGGUUGAUGAUUCUUCACAUCUUGGUGCAAAAGAGGGCAGUCAUAUCACUCCAUCCAUCCCCUCAUUUAGCAUUGAUUCGGAGAUUUUAGUUUGAGAGGUUGUCUCAUGGGUUGGGGUUCAUGUAUUCAUUAGUGGUCUGAGAGAGUGUGUUCAUUCCUUGUAUCUUUCCCAUUGGAGUUCAAUUUAUUGAUGAUCAGAGCAUGCGCAUCCAAAAAAUAAAAAUAAAAAAUAAAAAAAAAUCAAAAAAAAGAAAAAGAAAAAAAGAGAGAGAAAAAGCGCAAUGACAUGUUUGUGUAUGGUGUCUUGCUCCAUUGGGCAUUUAUAUCACCUUUUGAGGUUUAUUUACUGGGUAUAUUUGUCAUUGUGGGUUCUUGUGAGAUUUUUAUACGAGUUUUCACUCCUUGAGCCACUCUUGUUAUGCAUUUGGAGUGUUGAGGGUUCAUGUGAGAGUUCUAUGGUAUCCUAUGCUUAUCGGAUCAUGGUUGAUAUGUAUUAGGUAUGAGAGAUGAGUAAUCUUUUUACUAGGGUCUCCGGAUCAUUGUUUUAUCCAUCAUUCUAUCAUUGGUGACAUGGGUCAAUCAUCAUCUAUUCUACUUUCUCAUUGCCUUAUUUUGUAUCCCAUUACCUCUUUCCGGAUAUUCAUUCCACCUUUUAUCUAUUCCCUACAUAUUGAUAGACAUUUCUAAUUCGAUACCUUCUUCACAUUAUUCACAUGUUUCAUUGAUGGUUUGACCACCCAUCCUUUUUCUCAUUUCGCCAUUGACAUUUCCUUCGGUUACCUUUAGGUCCAUGGCUCAUGAGAUUUUUUCUAUGCAUUACAUCUUAUACACGAGGGUAUGGGUUUGAUCAUUGGGUAUUUGAGCCUAGUUUCCCUUCAUUUCUUUCACCCUAUCACCCUGGCCUACGUUACGUCUCGUGUCUUAAGACCACCCUGAGGCCAUGAGAUCAGGCGUUAUCUUUGAUAGUCUUCACUUGGACAGGCUUUUGUAGACUGGUUGAAGUAUAGUCGUUAUCAGGUUCUCUUUUAUGGAAAAUACUUUUGGAAGAAUUUGGUCUUUCUCUUGCUUGACAUAUUGAUGCUUGAUGGAUUCUUGAGUUUGGAGACAGUUCAUUGAUGAUAUCGGAUUCAUCCUUUUGUUGACAUCAGAUAUGCAUACUAGGGCAUAUUCCCCUUUCAUUCGGUUGAGAUGAGACCCUAGUGGAGCACUUUCUUUGAACCUGGGUAUUUUCAUCGAUCCGAGAUCCCUAGUAGAGUAUGUUGAUAUCAGCUCCAGUGAAGCAUUAUUGAGCUCAUUGACAGUUUUCAGGAUUCUAGGUUCCAUCUGCGGAGUAUUUUUGAGAUCGACUAGUGGAUCAUUUUUUAGUUGGAGGCAGUUUUCAGUGCAGUGUAUAGAUCUUGUACACUGGGGUAUAUUCCCCCAUUUGGAGGUCACUAGAUUCCCAUCAGAUUUAGUUAGGGAUUCAUCAGAGACGUGCUUCUACUCUCGAGAUUAUUAUAUUCCUCAUCAUUUUGAUUAUUCAUUUGAGAUCAGAUUUAGAGAGUCUUCCCUAGGGUAUUGGCUGAUACUUCAUUCUGAUUUCUUAGCAGAUUAUUGUUGAGUUGGAGACAGUUGAUUGAUGAUGUUGGAUUCAUCCUUUUUGUGCGUUAGAUAUCCACACUAGGGCAUAUUUCCCCUUUUAUCUGAGGUUUUCUAGUUGUUGUUGGAUGAUAUGACUAUUCAUAUCCAUGGUCAUAGAGUUGUUUGAUUGAUUUUGACUGAUUCUCUAUUGUACAUCAGUUAUCCAUACUGGGGCAUAUUCCCCUCUCCAUGAUGAGAUUAUGUUCGGGCAGCGGUAUAUAGAUGGAUGAUCGUUGUUGGUUGUUUAUCUCACGACUUCGACAUCAGAUAUCAUACUGGGGCAUAUUCCCCUCUCCUUUGCGAGAUUUGUUUGGGCAAUGGUGUGAGGAUGGAUCAUUAGUGUCGUUUGUCUACCUCAUGAUUUUGAUAUCGGAUCUUAUAUUGGGGCAUAUUUCCCCAUUUUCUUUGAGUAUCCUUAAGAUCGAGACAGUGGCCAGCUCGGUUUUAGAUUGAGAUUAAUUUGGAGCUUUCGGCGAUUGAUUAUAUCAGGACCUCCCUACAUGGAUUUAUCGAAAUAGAGAUGGAUCAUAUUGGCUUUCACCAGAGGAGCAUGAUUGGAUCCUUUAGCCAGAUGUUCAUGAGAUAGAUUGCUUUUGUCAUUAUUACCUUGCAGAUUGGGUUAUCCAGACGAGCGGUAUUUUGUGCACUUUGAGAUUUGCUUUUAGAUGAGCCAUGAUAUAUGCACUUUGAGAUUUAAUUUUUGAGAUUUGUCAACAGAGCAACUUUUCAGACACAGAGAGUUCUUUCAGUUUUGAAUUUUCAAAGGUUUUUCGUGAUGCAUCGGUUUCUGACCCAUUGAUUUCAGCGGAUGAUUGAUUUAUUGGUUGUUUCAGCAGUGUGAGCACCCUGGAUACUGGGGCAUAUUUCCCUUCUUGAGUUCAGUAGUCCGAACCUUGGCAUUUUAAGUAUACGAAUUUGAGCCCAUUUACUUCCUAUCCCCUUUCGAGUUGGUCUUCUUUAUCUGUUCCUUCUAGGCCUUGAGCCUCAUAGCCCUGAGUUAUCCACUCCUUUUAGACCCUGAGUCUUAUGGCCUUGAUUUAUCUGUUCCUUUUAGGCCGUGAGCCUCAUAGCCCUGAGUUAUCCAUUCUUUCUAGACCCUGAGUCUUAUAGCCCUGAGCUCUCUUUCUUCCCUUAGGUCCUAAGCCUGGUAGCCCUGAGUUAUCAUUUCCUAUAGACCCGGAGUCUUUCCAGCCCUGAGCUGAGCCUUCAUCAUUUGGUCGCCCAUGAGUGUUUUGACAGGGAGUUUGCGUAUCGCAUUCUCCUUUUAGUAAAUCAGUCAUAGAGCCCGGAGCUCAUAGCCCUGAGCUAUUCAUUGUAACCCCGAGUUACUCGUUGCAUCAUGACCCAGAGUCAUUUAUGUCAUCCAUAGCCCUGAGCUAUUCAUCGUAACUCCAAGUUGCUUAUUGCAUCAUGACCUAGAGUCAUUCAUUCCACCCAUAGCCUUGAGCUGUUCAUCAUAACCCUGAGUUACUCAUCGCAUCAUGACCCAGAGUCAUUCAUAGCAUCCCGAGCCCUGAGCUUACGACCCAGAGUCAUUUGCGUCCUUCACAUCCCUAAGACAUUUUGUUUUAUCAUUCUAGCCACUUGCAAGUGGCCUCGACCCGACACCAUGAGCUGGAAAACAUCCUGAUCGGCUACCAUUUAGAGCCUUGAGCUCAUGACCCAAAGUCAUUUAUCUUAUUUAUGACCCAGAGUCAUUCUUUCCAUUUAGAGCCCUGAGCCCGUGACCCGGAGUCAUUCACUUCAUCUAUGACCCAGAGUCAUUCUUAGCAUUUAUAGCCCUGAGCUCAUGACCCAGAGUCAUUUAUCCUAUUUACGACCCAAAGUCGUUCAUCCAAUUUCCGACCCAGAGUUGUUUGUCCUAUUUUUGACCCAGAGUCGUUCAUCUUGUCCAUGACCUAGAGUUAUUCAUCUCAUCCAUGACUUCGAGUCAUCAUUUUCAUCUUUUUCCAUCUUUGUGCUACUCGUUACAUACCUUUCUCUCUUCACUAUCAUUCCCCCACGUAGAGUUGUCCCUUCCUUGUCGUUGUAGCCCCAUGUUCUGAUCUUACUCUCGUCAUGUGCUAAGACAAAAUCUCUGGUCCUUCUUUAGUUCUUCAGUAUAGUUCACUUCAUUUGGCUCAUUACUCAUAUUUCUACUCACAUUCUCUACGCUCGUGAUCCAUACCGAAGAGGGGCAUAUUUGUAGACCUCAAUUUUGUCCUCCUAGCACAUGUCUUAUUAGAUACUUAUUCGAUACUUUACAGUAGCUCCUUGGUGGCCCAUAUCUACUCACAUUACUUACCUUUUCUUGAACCACCUCGAAGACUCUGAUUGAGGGAUUGCCCAACCCCUUAUUAUGACCUCGGCAACUCUAAUUUAGAAUUAGACACUUUCCUAAACGCCUUAGGCCCACUUAGACACUUCAUUGGGCUUAGUUCACUUAGGUCCACUUUAGCACUUUUUUUUUUAAAACCCACUUUUUAUAUGACUUGCAUGAUUGCAUGGCCUACAUGACUUGUGUGGCUUAUAUAGAUUUCUUUAUUAUUUUUAUUUUAUUUUAUUUUAUCUUAUUACAAGUUUUCUAAAUCAUAUUUCUUGGCUUUUUGGGCAUGAGGAAAUAGGUCGCCACCUAUUUGGAAGGAGAACCAACAAAAUUUUGAAAAAGAGGAGAUUUUGUUUUUUUUUAGAAGGAUAGCACAUAUAUUAUUUCCAUGGGGGAAUCGGUCGUAAAAAGGAAGGCAUGCAUUGCAUAAAAAGGAAAGAGAAAAAACGGAUUUUCCUCGAGCAGAUUUGGGGGGUUCUUUGGGGGAAGGUUGAUAUAUAUACGUGAGAGAGGAAGAAAAAAUGAAUUUUUUGGAGGAUUCUUUGAUGGUCAAGGGCAGAGAGAGAGGUUGUCAAGGGAAGAGGAAGGAAGCACAGAAAAGACCAAUGGGAAAAAUCUGAGAAUACAAAAACUAGUGGAGAUUUUCUCACCGAAAGGAAGUGUUUCCAGGUAUGUUUACUGUAGACCCCUUCUUGAUUCCGAUUAUCCUUUUGAUGUAUGAAUUUUCGUUGGAUUUUGAGUCUCGUUUGGAUGCUAGGGGGUAGAAUGACGGAGGUCAUAUGUUUGUCUACAUUAGUACUUGAUUGCUUCUAUAGAUGUUGUUGAUUUGUCUCUUUGGAGUUCUCUAAUUUUGAUUUAGGGGUGAAAAGUUCUAUUUUUUUAAUUUCCUAUGCAUUAAAUGAGAACUAUGGCUAUACUUGUUUGCUGGAAUCUGCUCGUACCUCUCUCACCAUUCCAAGCCCAUUGACAAAGCAAUGGAAUGUUGGCUUGGUUUGGUUAUUCUUUUUUUAUUUUUAUUUUUUUUCUUAUCUCUACUCUGUUUUCUAGAGCUCUUUCUCUUUGUGUUCGUUUCUUCUUUUCUUUUCUUUUUCUAGUUUCUUUUUUUUGGGGUACCCUGUCUCCGUUAGGCAGCAAUUUCUGAAACUCUUGGAAUGGGAAGAAUUCUGUCCGGCCAAUGUUCUACCUUCUCCGGAUAUCUCACAUCCGGAAUUCUGUCCGGCCAGCAUUCCACCUUCUCCGGAUAUCUCACAUCCGGAAUUCUGUCCCGCCGACAUUCCACCUUCUCCGGAUAUCUCACAUCCGGAAUUCUGUCCCGCCGACAUUCCACCUUCUCCGGAUAUCUCACAUCUGGAAUUAUGUCCAGCCCACGUUCUACCUUCUUCGGAUAUCUCACAUUCGGAAUUCUUUCCGGCCGACAUUCCACCUUCUCUGGAUAUCUCACAUCCGAAAUUCUGUCCGGCCAACAUUCCACCUUCUCCGGAUAUCUCACAUCCGGAAUUCUGUCCCGCCGACAUUCCACCUUCUCUGGAUAUCUCACAUCUGGAAUUCUGUCAAGCCAACGUUCUACCUUCUCCGGAUAUCUCACAUCCGGAAUUAUGUCCGGCCGACAUUCCACCUUCUCUGGAUAUCUCACAUCCGGAAUUAUGUCUGGCCAACAUUCCACCUUCUUCGGAUAUCUCACAUCCGGAAUUCUGUCCGGCCAACAUUGCACCUUCUCCGGAUAUCUCACAUCCGGAAUUCUGUCCCGUCGACAUUCCACCUUCUCCAGAUAUCUCACAUCUAGAAUUCUGUCCGCCGACAUUCCACCUUCUCCAGAUAUCUCACAUCUGGAAUUCUGUCCAGUCGACGUUCCACCUUCUCCGGAUAUCUCACAUCCGGAAUUCUGUCCAGCCAACGUUCCACCUUCUCUGGAUAUCUGACAUCCGGAAUGUCUGGCCAACGUUUCACCUUCUCCGGAUAUCUCGCAUCCGGAAUAUCCGAUCGACGUUCAACCUUCUCCUCUAUUUGCUUCUUUGAUUAGGAAUUUAUUGUUUUUUUAAUUGAAUUUGUGAAUCAUUUUUCAACUAAAUAUUCUCAGCAUUGAAAAAUCCAUCUUUAAUAAUCCUUUGCUACCAUUUUUCCUCUCGGCAUGCACUUUCACUAUUUUCUUUGACUUUCAACCAUUUUCUUGAUUUUCUUGAUUUUUCACAAGCAUGAACAAAAUUCAUGAUUCCAAAUAAUGGAAUUUAUAGAAUCAACUCAUGCAAAAUUAAUUAGGGCUUUGGAGGGGGGCCCGACAUUCAUGAUAUUUCCUCAAAUAUUUUUUGUUUGAUAUUCGAUUGAUUGUGCUUCAUUUUGUGGUAUAUAUGAGAUUAUUUUGGAUAUGUUAUUUGGCUAAUUUUGUUUCCCAUAAAGGAGUACUAGCUUGCUACCCAGGUAUGCUCUUCCUCACUUAUUUUCGAGAAUUAUGUGGGCACGUAUGCUAUUGGUGAUUAGAUCCAUACAUGAUGUGAUUCUUAGAUGUUCAGAUACAUGCUUGAUUUGCUUAGAUAAAACAAAUGUUGUAUCACAUCUUCAAACUAAUCUUUGAUGUCUUGUGAUAGCGCUUAAGAAGCAGUCCAGGUACGUACCCUAAAUCUUCUUCAAGAUUGUGAUUGGUUUUCCUAUUAAGCAUGCUAUUUUUCGAAAUCACCUAGCCUACUUAGAUAUCCAUGAUUAAUCGUUUAAUCGCUAUAUUUCCCUCAACUUAGUCAGUAGAGACCUUUUUAGGGCUUAGAGGGGUGCUACCUCCUAGAGGUACCUUCCCAAUAAGUAACCUAAUUCCCGGACUUAGAUUCAGGUUUCCCAAAGACAUGUUUUUUUCCAAAACCAUGGAGUCACUUUUUAGGGUUUUUCUUUCUUGUUUUAUUUUCCCUUUAAAAUAAAAAUAAAAUAGGCGGCGACUCCAACUUUUCUAAAAUUAAUUUUUCACAAAUAAAAAAGCAAGUCUUGCCGAUCGAGUGGGGACGCACGUGAAAAAUGCGGGUCCACAGACACUCUCAACAAUUUUUCAGCCCUUAUUCUAGUUUGGUUUCGUAGCUUAGAUGGUGGUAGAGGCUAUUUGUGAGACUGAGGACUACUUUUGCAUUAGCAAAAGCUUAUUAUAAGCCUUACAAAUCGCUCUAGUGUCCAUCAACUCACUACCAUUUGAGAAGCUUGAAGCGUAUUUUGGGAACUAUAUUUUAAAAUAGUUUGCUUAGUCUAAGAAACAUUAUUUUCCAAACUCAAAAUUACAUUUGAUAGAUUUUGAUAGAGAACAAUGUUCUAAAAAUAGUUUAUUUUAUGAUAAUAUAUUUAAUUUUUUUAUAAUUGUUUUUAAAAAUAAUUAUACAAAUAUAGAAAAUGAUUAAAAAUACUGUACUAUAGAUAAAAAUUAUUUUUUAAAAAAUAUUUAAAAAUACAAAAACAUAAGUUGAGAACAUUCCAAAACUUUUAGAAAGUAUCAAAAAAUUCAAAAAAUAUUUUUUAAGAAUUGUUUUUGAAAAUCUUGUAAGACAGGCAUUUGAGUGUUUGGUAAAAUUUAAAACUUAUUACUUAACAUAUUAAGUUGAUUUUAAAUUAAAUUAUUUUUAAGUUGUUAACUUAAAACUCAACGGUUAGUUUUCACUUUAUGUAUUAAGAUUGUUUGACAAAGUUAACUUAAAAUUUAUUUUACAUAAUCAAAUUAACAUAUUUACCUUUAUUAAUUUUAAUUAAUAUUCAUUUUUAUUGAUCUUAAAUAAUAAUUUUAUUUGCUAAACCUCCAUAUUUAAAAAUUAUUGUAGAUGAUACAGGAGAUGACUAAAAAAUUUUAACAAUAAAAAAAUGAGUUAUGGAUGUGGAGUUAUGAUUGUAAAAUAUAUUUUCAUUAGUGUGAAUAAAUAUGACAAAAAAAAAUUUAAGAUUAAGAAUUAAAACAAAAUAUAUGUAGAAAUGAACAUAUAUUUUGUAUGAUGCCAAAAAGUCCAAACACUGCAAGAAGAUAAAUAGAUAAAGUGAAGGAGUAGUGUCCUUUUUUUGCAACACUGAACACUAGAUAGUGGUACUCAAAUGGCAAACAUAUCACAAAGUUAAUGUACUUAAAAAAUAAGAAAAGGGAAUGCAGUUGAAAUAAAAUAAAAUAAGGGAAAUACAUGAGAUUUCUUAUAAUAAGAAAUUUCAUAAUCAAUAUGUAAAUCAUAAAUACUGAUAUGUUUGUGGCAGACAAACAAAAAUAAUUCAAAAUUUUCUCAAAAACAAAGAAGAGAUUUGAAGGGAAAAUUUAUAAGACAAAACAGUUAGAAUAUUAAAGCACAUGCUACAAUUCAGAAUACUUCCCUCCUUAUUUUUCCUUCCAAAUCAAUCCUUAUUGUGAAAGAGCACUUGACUUUAAUUUUAAUAAAAUAACAACCCUCCAUGAGCUAAUUAACACUCAACACUAAAUUUUUUAUUUUUACAAAAAAAAAAAAUAUUUUUCUCAAUACUUUUUGAAAACUACAUGUAACAUCAAAACAAAAGUUUAAUAUUUAAAUUAUUAUAUAACAUGUAAAAUUUUAGAAACUCAAAGAAGGCUAGACUCCAACAUUUUUCACCCAAAAGAUCACUAUUGAAUUGUAUUAUCAAGUUCAUCUUUCAAGUAGGGAUGGUAAUGGGACGAUUUUAGGAUAGGUCACCCCCAUCCCGUUUAUUUAUAUAUAUUCUCAUUCCCACAAAAAAAGAAAGAAAUAAAUAAAUAAACGAGACAAGGUGGGGUGAGGGAAGUAUGGGAAAUUCUCAUACCUAACUCAUCUUGCCCUGUGUAAAAAUUUUCAACAAUUUUCAAUUUUUCAUUUUUAAAAUUUUAAUUUUUUAUAAAAAAAAAUUGAAUAUAAUUUAUAAAAAAAAAUUAUAAAUAUUUAUAAUUACUUUUAUGAAAACUAAUAUUUUAUUUAUGUUUAAAAAGUUAAAAAAUGAAAAAAUAAUUAAAAUAAUUUUUUAUUUAAAAUUAUAUAUAAUUAGGGCAAGCCAGGGCAAGACAAAGUCAUUACCAGAACCCACCCACACCUAUUUUGGGAUUUUAAAAACUUCGCAAACCUAUCUCAAACCUGUUUAUUUUUAUCCCAAACCCUUCUCAAAGUGGAUACUUGGUUCAUUGUCAUCCUUAUAUCUAAGCCUAUUUUGUAGACCAUAAACAUUUAAGGACUCCAAGCCAAGGAGUGUAGUUUGUGUAAUAAUUUAUUACAAGCCCUUUGGUUAAUAAUAUAUACAUAUACAUUCCCAAUUGCCAAACAUAUGUGAAUAGAAUAUGAGAGAUAGAAGGUAAACAUGUUAAUAUGACAAAGCAUAAAAUAAAAUUAGAUCGAAAGAAAAAGAAACAAAAAAAAUACAACCGUCAUAUUUUGAAAAUCAAAUGAAACUUAAAAAGACCUUCUAUAUUUUGAUUUUUUUUUUCUCUUUUUGCUAAUUUAUUUUGGAUAAUGGAUAUAAAGUAGUCAAAAUAGUCAUUUAUUUAUUUGUUUUGAAGCCAUCUAAGAAUGAUUCAAUUUUUUUUACCUUUAAUAAAAUUAGAAAAAAAAAGCUAUUAAUAUAAAUAUUUUUCUUCAUCUAAUUACAACCUAUAAAAAAUGUGAAGUUUUAUUUCUUUAUUUUUUUAAAAAAAAUUUGUUUUUUUUUUCUUUUUCUUCAUUUUCUUCAACAAACCUUUUGUUGUACUAGAGUUCUCAUCAUAUCAUACUUUAGUUUUAUUAUUUUUCGUUUAUACAUUAUCCAAUAUAAUUUUUAUUUCCUCAAAUUGAGUAGAUAACGUGACUGUCUCAUGUUAUUUAAGUUUAGAUAAUUGAUAUUAUAUGCUCAUUAAUCCAUCUUUAUCUUCUUCUUGUUUUAUCCCUAAAAUGCAUAUGAUUAUUUUUAUCUGCAAGUAGAAAUUUUGAAGGUUACUAUAGACCCCUUUUAAAAACCAAAUGCUAUUAGUUUUAUUUAUUGCCUUUAUAGCAUUUGGAGGUUUUUUUUGCUCUCACACUUGGGAAGAGCUGGCCACACCUUAAAGGAGUGGAGGACCCCUUUCUGCCGGGAACCAGAUGCAUGGACCUGUGGUGAACAUCAGCAGCUCGCCCAUGGUGGUGGUUGAAGAUGGGGACUUGCCGAGAGGUGAACAGGGGAGUGGAUAGUGGCUUGCGAGAGAAGACAUAAACAGGGGAGGAGAGUAUGGGGAUUUCGAGGAGAGUUUUUUUUUUUUUUUUUUGGGCUGGAGGAGAAAGCAGAUCGGUUUUUCUGGGUUAGUUUGAGAAGAAAAACAGAGGGAAGGCUAGGAGAUGUCUUGAGUGAAGGUUUUUGAGAGAUAUUUUAAAGAGGAGGGAGUUUGCAGCUCACUAGGAACCAAGUGACUUUGCUCCAAAGGAGUCAUUCAAGUUUGAUCAUCUCUCACUUUAGGUUCUUCACUUUUACAGUCAUACUUCACUCAUUUCUAAUGUUUGGGAUGUUUACUUUUAACUGUCUAAGACGUUAAGCUUGCUUUUCAUCUCUGUUUGCUUGAUCUCUGUUUCUUCCCGUAUGAGUUACAUGAUGAUUACGUUGUCUGUUUAUAUGUUGAAACCACUCAAACUGUCCCACCAGUUUUUUUUAGCUCUCUGAUUUCCAUGAAGUGAAGCUGUGUUUAAUGGAGUUAUCUUCUCUUGUAUGCACUCUGUUUUUUUCUUCACUUUAUCCUCUAUUUCUGACAAUCUUCUGGAGUGUUGGAUAUCUUGUUUGGGUCGGUCGUUUGGAUUGGAAUGUUCCUAAGGGAAAGCGGUGCCAGAGUCUUCGAAGAGGAAUCAUUUCAAGUUGAACGAAAGAGGAGUUUGUCAUUUUGGGUAUAGGAUUUUUCGAUAUUUAUUCCUCUACUUUUGGUGCGUUUGAAGAAUUGAGUAUCACAGUUGGUCCGACUACUUACUAGGUUGAUAGUUUAUGGUGGAAGUUUUGGGUAUUAUUCAUGUUAGUAAGGAGGACCAAAAGAGCGUAUUUGACUUGCUUGCUGUAAUUUCGUGGAUGGAAAAUGCCUCAUUUGCUAUGGUUGAUGAUUAAAAUCAUGUUGAAGCUAUGGCAGAUGAAGGUCUGAUCAAUGUUACUAAGUCAAUCAGAUGGAGUGUUGAGGGUUUAAAGUAGGUCUCAUCAACUCACAGGAUGAGGGUUGGAAGUGAUACAUUCUUUUGGGAUGUUCACUGAGGAAGGACAACUGUCACUGGUUUCAUUACCCCUUAUCCAUAUGCUGAGCUCAAAAUUGCCAAAGGUGUCUAAUCUGUUGAAGUUCCUAAGGUGGUAACGUGUGGAAAUACCUCUCUAGAGCCAUCUGAUACUCACUGUUAAUGAUUGGCUCCAUCAACACACCCAUCCCCAUUCAUACCUUCAUUUUUCAAGGCCCACCGAACCCAUUCUAUUUCACCUUGUUUCCACCAUUCAUGCCCGUCACACCCAUUUCUUACCCAUGCAUACGAUAAUCAUGCUUCAAUUCCCAUACCCACGUUCUCGUUAACCACUCCCCCAUGAAACCCAUUGCUUUCAUACCCAUUCUCUACAUCCCCAUACCCAUUCCACAUAGUCGCCCAUUUUCUCACUGCCCGUGUUUAUGCUUCAUAGCCUUUACCUCCAUUCCCAUGCAAACACCUCACUAAUCACCACAUCACUCUCCAUAUCCGCUACCCAUAAUUCGCCUUGCACAGUUUCCACCACCACGCCUCCACAUCUUGAUACCCAUUUCUUCUCUUCCAUACACACCAUUUUUCGUUCAUCUCCAAUACCAUACCCAUCAUCCACCACUAAUACCCACACCGUUACCACCCCGACAUAUCCAAUGCCAUGCACCAUUCAUCCCACCCCAUGCAUGUCACAUUUCUUUUUUAACACCACUUGUUUUUAUACUCCUAUCUUCAUGCCCACUACCUUUCCAUACCUAAAUCUCAUGCCCCCCAUGCAUAUACUCGUCGAGCCACCCCACAUAAACCCACUUCUCUCUCUAAGUCUUCACAUACCUAUCACCACAUUUUCUCUCUCUACACCACACCACAUACCCAUUUUUUCUUCAAAUGCCCUUCAAACUCAUUCCCUUCACCUUUGCAUGGCCAUGUUAACCUCCAUACCCGUAUCUCAUACCCCCAUGCAUACCCAUCUAACCACACCAUUAAAAUGCCUUCUUUCUCUAUACCCUCAUGCCCACGCCGUAAUUCGCCCCUCUUAGCUUAAACCACCCUUCAUACCCACUGUCCAUUUCCCACUUAUAUGACCCACAUGCUAUCCCGUGGUUGUAUCCCCAUAACGUACCUUUUUAUUGAUUUCAAAGAACAAACUCUCAUAUCUGAUGAGGGUCCAGAAGCUCGUCCUCAGCGUAUCUAGUGAAUAAAGUGGAGAUAAAAAUAAAAUAUACUUGAAAUGAUGCUUAGAGGUGGGUUCGGACCUAGGUAGUCGAAGCUUGGGUCAUCAUGGAUCUUCCUUUUUGGAGUGGACUUCUUGAACAAUCAAGUUGAUGGAAGGAUUGCCGAGUCAGACAAUGGUUCAACAUGUAAUCAAGCUGCUAUGUGUUCAUUCAAUGUGGCUGCAGGCUUGAUCGUCCCUGAUAAGGAUGAAGAAACACAGAAGGUUAGUAUAUUGCCCAAACAUAAGCGUGUGGUUAGACAUGGUAUGCACUACAGGAAGAGGAGUUAAGAUUAAUUACACUGAAGACACGGAAGCCUCAACAUCAGGUAGAAAAUAUGAUCGCCUACCAACUCACAAGGUUGAUAAAGUGCAAGAAGCGCUUAAACCCAGUUCUUUGGAGUUGCGAGCUCUGGUGAAAGACCCUCUUCCUGAAGCAUUGCAGUUGGCUAAAGUUGUAUUAUCUGCAUGGCACGCAUGACAUUUUUUUUAGCACGUACAGAAAUGCAUGAAGACACUUGAAAGCUUCUAUGCCACGUACUGGUGUAUUCUCAAGCAAAGAACAAUUGAUCUUAGUCUUUGCCCAAGGGAUCUGCAACCUGGCCAGAGAAGAAGAUUCUCACUCCUAAUUCACUUGUAUCAUCUAUAAUGUGCGAAUCUCAGUACAAGUUUAAGAAAAUAUCUUGCUAGAGCAUGUUUGGUUCUCCUCAAGCAUGGAAAGGUGGUAGAACACGAGAUUAUACAUGACCAUGUGACCAAACGCUCCCAAGGAUUUGGGUUCAUUGUAUUUGACAAUGAACAGGUUGUUGAUGAUCUACUGACAAACGAAAAUAUGAUUGAUAUGGAGGGUACUCAAGUUGAGAUCAAGAAGGCAGAACCAAAGAAAUCCUCCUCAAAGCUAGGUCGCACCUUUUCAUUUGGUGGUGAUUCUAGGACGCAAAUGUACAAUGAUGAUUUUAGUGGAUACGACAGCGAUCCUUAUAGUGGUCUGGGCAGUGGUGGCUAUGGGCCUGAUUCCUACCGGGCACUUGGAGGUAUUGACAGUAGGCUUGGUGAUUAUGGUGGGUAUAGUGGAAGUGGCAAUGAAUUUGAGGCCACGUGUCAUCGCCCACUUCCUCGUCCCAUGAUUUUCAAAAUAAUUUUCCUGAACAUCAUUUUAUUAAUAAUUCCUCCAAUUGUUUUUGUUUUUUAGAUAAUGUCAAAUCUCCAAAUUCUUCAUCCUUGUUCUGUUUUCUUAAAUGAUUUCUCACAUUCCUAGUUUUCAAAUAAUUUUUUAAAAUUAUUGUUUUCUUAAAUAAUUUUCCAAUUUCCAAAUCCUUCAAACAAUUUUUGCUUUUCAAAUUUUUCAUCCUUAGAUUUUUUUUAGGUCCUAAAAAUCCCAUUUUCUAUGAAAUUUGGCCACCAUUUUCUUUCUGGCAAGCCAUUUUUGAAUUUUCUUUGAUUUUUAAAAUAUUUUAAAAUAAGUGUGAAUUUAUUUUUGUAAUUAUUAGUGAUGGAAUUUACAAGAUUGAUUCACUCAAAAAUAAAUUGGGCUUUGGUGGGGGCCCAAUAUUAUUGGAUGUUUCCUUUGAAAAUCAAUUUGAUUGAAUUGUGAUAUGUGAUGAUUUCGUACUCGAUUUAAUGGCAUAUGAGCUAUGUUUUAUGUCAAUUAUUUAUGCACUAACCCUAUUUCAUGAUAGCGCGUUGCCGUUUGCUGAUUAGGUGCACACCCGCUCUCACUCUGGCCAUUCUUUAUUGAGUGUUUUGAUUCUCACAUGUGCAUGAUCGUUUUGGGUAUCCAUUAAUUUCCUUACCAAUUGCCAUGAUUGCUUCAUUUUAUUAAUAGAUACCCGUUUUUAGGAACUUAGAGGGGUGCUAUGGUCUUUACUAUACCUUCCUGAUAAGUAACUUGACCUCCAAACUCGAUCCGGUUUUUCACAGACCACCUUUUCCAAAAUAAGGAUGUCAUACUUAGAGUUUUCUUUCUUAUUUUGUUUACCCUUUAAAAAUAAAACAAAAAUAAGUGACGGAUCAAAGUCAUUUUCUUAAUAAAUAAAAUCAUUUUCAAAAUAAAAAGCAAGCUCGCCGUUGAGUGGAAGCGCAUGAGCCGAAAUACGGGGUCCACAGUUACUUUUUUUUUCUUAGAAUUUAUUUAUUUAUAGUAAAAAGUAGAGUAAAUAAAAACCAAUAAUGACAUAAAAAUAUCAUUAACUUUAGGCUACUAGUAUUUAUUUUAUUCACAUUUCACCAAUUUUAUAUUUUAUCAUUUUUCUUUAUAUUUAUUAAUUUUAUGAUGUUAUAUUUGAUUUAUGUAAAUAGUGAAUAAUCAUUACAUAUUAUUAUAAUGGUAAUUAUAAACAAAAAGAAUUUUGUCUUUGGUUAACACCUUUCUCUUUUUAAUUGGGAGGAGCCUUGAAAUGGGGCCGCCCACAUGACAUUUGAAAAAAGUUGUUAAAAAACCCACAUUUUAAAAGAAGUGGGUUGAUAAUGCUUUUGAUCAUUUGCUUUUGGAAAAGUUAAAAAACUAUUUGAAAAAUUAAAAAUCUAUUUGUAAACCUAUGCUUUGGGAAAAGAGGGUGAAACUCGACGCCAUAAAGAAGAUAAGGUUUUUAAAAAGCUGUUUGAAAACCAACUUUUUGAAAUUGGACAAUUAUGGGUAUUGGUGUUCACAUUCGAUGAUUAGGCAAACACUCCUAAAGAUGUAUAAUUGAUGUGAAGUUCUUGAAAAUUUAUGAACAAAAACAUCUUUUAUGUACAUUUACACAUUUUAUUUAUUUUUAUAUUAAAUUAUUGGAAAUAUUGUUUACAUGCAUCUAUAAAAAUCAAAUAUAAUUUUUAUUUUUAUUUUUUAUAUUUUCAUAUAUAUACAAGGUACAUGUACUAAAUAUAUAUGAUAUUUGUACUAAUUGUAGAAGACAUGUAUAAGUUUGUCUAUUAUGAAUAUAUUUACGCAUUUUUUUUACUAUUUUUCAUACCAUUAGAAACAUCAUUGACAAAUAUACAUGAAUGUCACAUGCAAUUUUAUUUUUUAAAAUUAUCACACAUGUACAAGGUACUUGUAUUAAAUAUAUAAGACAUUCAUAUUAAUUGCAAAAAGUUUGUACAAAUGUACUUAUUAUAAAUAUAUUUACAUGUUUUUAUGAAUGUUCGUAAAUUUUGAAAAUGUGUUAUACAUUUAGUAUAACUAUGUUGUAUAUCUAUGAAAAUGCCAAAAAAAAAAAAUUAUAUUUGACAUUUAUGCAUAUGUAUCUAAUAAUUUGUUAUGUACAACUAUUAUGCAAAUCAUGAAAAAGAAUAAUAAUAGAAUAAAAGAAUAAGAAAAACGAAAUCAAAAUACACAAAUCAACCAAUCAUGCUUCUAUUUAUGGAUGAGAGGGAAUUAUUCUACUAUAAAAGAAUACUACAAAGCCUCCUUGUAUCCAUAUCCUAAUGAGCCCUCUCGCUCUAUUAGGUAUCUCUUGUUCUUCCUCAUAUUUUUAUGUAUUUACACGUUUUAUUUCUUUUUUAUAUUAAAUUAUUGGAAAUAUUUUUUUACAUACAUCUAUAAAUGUCAAAUAUAAUUUUUAUUUUUAUUUUUGAUAUUUUCAUAUAUAUACAAGGUAUCUAUACUACAUAUACACUUCAUUUGUAUUAACUGUACAAGACAUGUAUAAGUUUGUCUAUUAUGAAUAUAUUUAUGGUUUUUUUACUAUUUUUUAUACUACUAGGAACAUUGUUUACACAUAAACGUGAAUGUCAAAUAUAAUUUUUUUAAUUAAAUUAUCACACAUGUACAAGGUGCUUGUAUUAAAUGUAUAAGGCAUUUGUACUAAUUGUACAAGGUUUGUACAAACAUAUUAUUGUAAAUAUAUUUAUGUGUUUUUAUGAAUAUUUGUAAAAAUGUAAAAAUGUGUUGUACAUUUAGUAUAACUAUGUUGUUUGUGUGAAAAAUCCAAAAAAAAAAAAAUUAACAUUUAUACAUGUGCAUAAAUAAAUUUUCUAAUAAUUUGGCAUGCAAAAAAGAAAAAGAAAAUGAAGAACAACAUGUAAUAAAUUCUUGAUAUACAAGUUUGCACAUGUCUUACACAAUUUAUAUGCAUGCAAAUAUAAAGAAAAUGAAUUUGACAUAUUUAUGUCGAACAUUGUUUUCUUGCGGUUUAAUAUGAUGUAUAAAAAACAAAAUCAAGAAAAUAUUUUAAGAAAUUGAAAAUAAUAUAUCUUGUAUCUUUCUUGUUCAGUUAAUGUGCAUUUACCUUAGAUAUCAUCUCUAAAAGUGAAGCAAAGGAAUUGAUAUAAUAAUCACUAAAAUCUCAAAUAAAUAAUAUAAGUAAUUAACUAAAAUUUGAUUGUUAUUAUUUAUCAUUUGAAAUAUCCUAGUAAGCCAUAUUAUCACUCAUAAUUUAAAUUAAAGAUAUAUGUGGACCCUCACCCGAUCCACCGGACCGACGCGACUCGCUUUUAAAAGAAAAGAAAGAAAUGAAAAAGUUGGUGUCUUCCAAUUUUGAAAAACCCGCCCCCGGUGAGGAACGGUGUUGUUUGGAGUCUCCACUUACUUUUUAUUUUUGUUUUUUAAAAUGGGGAAAAUUAAGUAAGAACAAAAACCCCUAAUGACCCCAGUAUGGAAAAAACGGUCUAUGAAAACUAGAUUCUAGGUCUGAGGAUCAGGUUACCCGUUGGGAAGGUACCUCAUGCGAGGUAGCACCUCUCUAGGCCCGAAACUCGGUCUCUACUAAUGAAUUGGGUAUGUGGGAGCAUAUGGGUCAAAGGUCAAAUGAAAUCCUAGGCUAAAUAGAUGUCAUGAAUCACACAAUCCUAAUUGGUAUUUGGCAUGCAUAUGAAUUCAACCAAACAAAACAAUGGGUGCGUACCUGUGGUCCUUAGCCAAGCGCUGCACAAAAGGUCAGCCAAACACAUAUAAACACAUAACAAACAUUCAAGAUUAAGCACCAUGCAUGCAUAUGAAUUCAACAACCAAAGCCAACGAUGAGUACCUGUGGUCCCUAGCCAAGCGCUGCAGGAGAGGGUGAGUCAGUCACGCAACAUGUAUUCAAAAUCAAGCAUCAAAGCUUGUGCCAAAAAGGAAGAUAGCUGGUUGAAAUGAGGUAAGAGACUUCCCAAAUGUCAUACAAAUCGAACUAGACUCAUCUAGACCACACCACCCAUAACUUCAAAAUUGCUCAUACUAACUGAAAUCAAACACUGACUUAAACCUUCAAGAUGGCUCACAAGUGCCCUAUAACAAAUGGGUUUGAGCCCCCCAUGGAUAAGGGCUCGAAAAAUGCUAAAAUCGAGGGCUACCUAAAGUCCUCCAGUAGAACAGGUUGAACUAGUUCUCAACUGGUACAACCUAUUGAGAAGAAUUCCCAAAUUUUUCUAGAAAACUCCUAAAUGAGUGAGGAUUCAAACCAAAGAAAUGACACUCAAUCCCGAGCCCGGAUGAGUGAGAACCAGACAAAGAAAGGCAGGUGUUCCUCAUGGCUGACAGAGGCUGCCAGCUAUGGUGCUGAACCGGUUCCCAACCAGUACAUCCGGUUGAUAAAAAAUCCCAAAUUUGGUAAGAAAGUUCCUAAGUGAUUAAGGAAGCAAACAAAAGAAACGGUUCUCAAUUCCGAGCCCGGAUGAGUGAGAACCAGACAAAGAAAGGCAAGUGUUCCUCAUGGCUGACAGAGGUUGCCAGCUAUGGUGCUGAACCGGUUGAACCGGUUCCAAACUGGUUCAGCUGGUUGGUAAAAAAUCCAAAAUUCAGUCAAAAAGUUUCUAAGUGAUUAAGGAAGAAAACAAAAGAAACGGUUCUCAAUUCCGAGCCCGGAUGAGUGAGAACCAGACAAAGAAAGGCAAGUGUUCCUCAUGGCUGACAGAGGCUGCCAGCUAUGGUGCUGAACCGGUUGGUAAAAAAUCCCAAAUUCGGUCAUAAAAUUCCUAAGUGAUUAAGAAAGCAAAAAAAAGAAACGGUUCUCAAUUCCGAUCCCGGGUGAGUGAGAACUAGACAAAGAAAGGCAAGUGUUCCUCAUGGCUGACAGAGGCUGCCAGCUAUGGUGCUGAACCGGUUGAACCGGUUCCAAGCCGAUUCAACCGGUUGGUAAAAAAUCCCAAAUUCGGUCAGAAAGUUCGUAAGUGAUUAAGGAAGCAAAAAAAAAGAAACGGUUCUCAAUUCCGAGCCCGGAUGAGUGAGAACCAGACAAAGAAAGGCAAGUGUUCCUCAUGGCUGACAGAGGCUGCCAGCUAUGGUGCUGAACCAGUUGAACUGGUUCCAAGCCGGUUCAGCCUGUUGGUAAAAAAUCCCAAAUUUUGUCAGAAAGUUUCUAUGUGAUUAAGGAAGCAAACAAAAGAAACGGUUCUCAAUUCCUAGCCCGGAUGAGUGAGAACCAGACAAAGAAAGGCAAGUGUUCCUCAUGGCUGACAGAGGCUGCCAGCUAUGGUGCUGAACCGGUUGAACCGGUUCCAAACCAGUUCAACCGGUUGGUAAAAAAUCCCAAAUUCGGUCCAAAAAUUCCUAAGUGAUUAAGGAAGCAAAAAAAAACAAACGGUUCUCAAUUCCGAGCCCGGAUGAGUGAGAACCAGACAAAGAAAGGCAAGUGUUCCUUAUGGCUGAUAGAGGCUGCCAGCUAUGGUGCUGAACCGGUUGAACCGGUUCCAAGCCGGUUCAGUCGGUUGGUAAAAAAUCCCAAAUUUGGUCAGAAAGUUCCUAAGUGAUUAAGGAAGAAAACAACAACAAUCAUGUGUGGCCUUUAUUAUCCACACCCAAGCAAUACAAUCUUCAUAUCAAAGGGAAGAAAAGAUGAUGAGGAAGGAGAAAAAGCAUAUGAAGACAAGGAAGAUAAAGUGUAAGUAAAGAAAAUUCAGCAUGCUUACCUCAGAAUCUCCACCAAAUAUGAUCUGUGUAUGCAGAUGAUGACUUCUAAAACUGAGAUGAUGUCACUCUCCUCUUCAAAAAACCACAGUGCUGAAGCUUUCCCCCACGCUCUCAACUUAGAAGAUGCUACUGACCUUUUGUUUUUCUCACCAGCAAAAUUUCCCCUCUCCAAAAUGUCUCCUCCUCCUUUGCUCUCCUAUCCUCUCACCUUUUAUACUCAUACCCCUCUUAGCAUUUGAGCCUCCUGGAUUCCUUCCCCUUCAGCACCAAAAUCCCCUUCAUCAGCAUGGGAACCACACCCCUCAUUACUUCUCUUAAACUUACAAGGCCAGCUCACUCCUUCAGUUUUCAGCUUGCUUCACCACCAAGAAUCCAUAUGGAUUCGUGGUGGGCUGCAAGGAACCCAAACCAAGGCCCAAAAUGGACCCACAACAUUGCCCAAAACUGAUCUGGAGCUUACGGGCCUGAGCCAUGUAGGAUUUGGGCCUCAAAAUUACUAGAAUUAGUGUUUUACCUCAGCUAACUCAAGGAACCGGCUGAACCGGCUGAACUGGAUACCAACUGGUCGAACUGAUGGAAAAAAAUUCUGAAAAUUUUAAAGAAUGUUCCUAGUAGAGCAAGGAAUCCAUUAAAAAAAACGGUGCAUGAUUCCAAGUUCGGAAGAGGGAGAUAUGAUCAAAACAAUUACCAAAAAUCAGUGUUCUACACCGGCUAACUCGAUGAACCGGCUGAACUGGCUGCCAACCAGUCGACCGGAUGCAAAAAAUUUUGAAAAUUUUACAGAAUGUUCCUGGAAGAAUAAGGAAUCCAUAAAAAGAAACGGUUCUUGAUUCUGAGUUUGGAUAAGGGAUAUACGAUCAAAACAAGCCUGAGUGCUCCGAACCUCAACAUGCCCCUAUAAACUCCAACUAAGCUAAGACAUCGGGAUGACCCCACUUCCUUCCUAUAGCAUGAUAUGAAUGACUAGGAAAAUGGCCAUGGUGACCCUCCAAAAUGAACCACAUAUGCACCACAAUGGACCACAAACAAACCCACAUGAGGCUCGGACACCGACUAAGCCCAAAAGGGGCCCUAGUGGUGCCAUAUGCGAACGAUGGGUAGAUGUGACACCCGAAGGAUAAAUGCCAGUGUCGAGGGACAAAAUUGAGGGUCUACAAAUAUGACCCUCUUCAGUAGAGUGAAUGAACGAGUGAAUUGUGAGUGCGAAGUGCAUGUAAUGCAAGAGUGAAAUGAACUCUAGUGAAGAACCCAAAUGACCAACAAUUUUGUCCCCACCCAACAAUAAAGAAGGCUAAGGGAAAUAAGUCAUGCUGACCGAAUGGACUAUGGGAUCUAGGCACGAUGCCGGAGAAAGAUAAAAGGAGACCCGAUCAUGAUGCCAGGAAAGAUUAGGGAUUUGAUCCGGGCAAUUACUGGAGAAGGGUUCGGGCAAGUACUGAAAAAUGGUGGAAUCCGGGUGAGUACCGGAAAAGGGUUAGGGCAAGUACCGACAAAUGGUGGAAUCCGGGCGAGUACCGAAAACGGGUAAAAUUCGGGCGAGUACCGGAGAAGGGUCCGGGCGAGUACCGGAGAAGGGUCCGGGCGAGUACCGGAGAAGGUUCCGGGCAAGUACCGGAGAAGGGUUCGGGCAAGUACCGAAAAAGCUCCGGGCGAGUACCGGAGAAGGGUAAAAUUCGGGCGAGUACCGAAAACGGGUAAAAUUCGGGCAAGUACCGAAAACGGGUAAAAUUCGGGCAAGUACCGAAAACAGGUAAAAUUCGGGCAAGUACCGGAGAAAGGUUCGGGCAAGUACCGAAAAAGCUCCGGGCGAGUACCAGAGAAGGUUCCAGGCGAGUACCGGAGAAGGUUCCGAGCAAGUACCGGAGAAGGGUCCGGGGCGAGUACCGGAAAAGCUCCGGGCAAGUACCGGAGAAGGGUCCGGGUGAGUACCGGAAAAUGGUGGAAUCCAGGCGAUCGAACUCGAGCAUGAUGCCGAGGAACCACCGAACUAAAAGGGGGUAGGGAUGCCAUUACUAAGGCUCAAAACACCUAAACAGACAGAGGAUGCCUUAAAACAAAACUCAGAGUAAAAUAGGGGGACUCAAGAUGCAACUGUUGAUAUACUAACCAUGAUAACAAAGGGGUAUGCCCCAGUAUGACGUCCAGGGACUGCCAACAAAUGACUCGAAGAAGCCAGAAUCAAACACCUUCAUCAUGACAAAAGAAAGGGGUAUGCCUCGGUGUAACACCAGAAAAUGCCGAUAAAUGACAAGCGAGAAAUCACAAUCACCACUAACAAAUGGAAAGAAGGGGGUAUGCCCCUAUAGGACAAACUCACAAAUGUGACCAAGGGUGAAAGGAAGGAGUUAUGCCCCAGUCUAAGAUAUCAAUAUCAUGUCAGAAUCCCAUAACCGCACAUAUGGUUAAAGCCAGAGAGCUGAAAAUAUCACAAUCAUCCAUUUCUAAGGAAAAAAAACCCUUCACUCUAAUCCACAACAUCCAAUAUCCACAAAAACUGAUAGGGGAUAUGCCCCAGUGUGUACAUCUGAAACUCAAAUAUCUUAAUGAAAACUCUGGAAUACAUUGCUGAAGACCCAUGCAUUUGAACUAACGAACAAGACAAUGGAUGGGGUAUGCACCCCUACUGGGUCAAUGAAUACCGUGAAUCUGAUCUCGGGUCAGACCCCAGAAGCACUCUGCUAUAUGAAAAAACUGAGCUGAAUGCGGGUCUUACUCAAACUUUGAUGUCCAUAACAUUGUUAGGCGAAACAGAAUGCCUGCGUACAUGUAUAAAGAGCCAAAGCCAGCAUGCAAGGAUGGGAGCAUGCCCUAGUAUAAAUGUGUCAAAACAUUAGGCAAAGGUGCCCUCAACGAUCCCAACUCUCUGUAUCAUCUAUCUCUGAUCAUGGACCUGAGGCAAGUAAACUGAAUGGAAAGACAAUAUGUGACCCUCGAUAUCCCCCGAAGUAAUGGAGACCUGUCAACAUCCCAUACUCAAUCAGUAGACGAAGCCUGUCCGAAUGAACCGCAUCGAAGCAAACACGAGAUCUCAUGGCCUCAGGGUGGUCUUACGACUCGGACCGUAAUGUAGGCCAGGGGUAAAAGGUGAAUGAAACGAUGGGAAACAAAUGCCCAAAUCUCCUAAUAGAUAAUGCCAAACCCUUGUGUGCGCAAUGUCAAAUAUCGCAGGACCAUGUGAGCAAGGUGACUCAACCCUGCAUCCAAAUAAAAAACAAACAAUAGGUGAUACACACCAAAGAACUCAUUGUUCAUGAAGUGAAACGACGAUCGACGAGGAUAGAAGCAGACGAAAAGGGACAAGAUGAAUGAUGAAUGGGUGUAGAAGAAAAUGGAGAAACCAACUGGGAUACAAAUAUAACAAUAUGUGACAACGACGAAUAACUCAUCCUAAGAACGCCAAAUCAAAGCAAGUCACUAUAUGAUGGGAAUGGUGAUGUAGACAAUGAUCCAAGGGCCUAGUGCCAAGGAAACCCAAACCUCACUCCCAAUGUGUCACCCAAAUCCAUGGUGAGAAGGAUCGUACAAUGCUCUCAUCCGACUCUUAAAAGAAAAAGAAAUCUCUCAAACCCAAAACCACCUCUGAUGAUCCCAAGUAUAUCAACGAAUACCAAACAAGCACAAUUUUUCCUUUUUUUCAUUUUUAUUUUAUUUUAUUUUUUCCUUUUUCCUUUUUUUUUUUUUUGGGGCCGAAUUCCAUACUAUCACAAUCCAACAAAAAGAACCCCAAACCUCCAAUCUUGACCGACCCCUUCAACCUAAGAAUCUUGGAUCAAAGCCUACAGGCGGAACGAAGGGUGUGACAAACCUGACUGGUAGCUCUGGGACGAGAGCGCAUCAUCAUCACACAAGGGAAAACAGAAGCGAAGUGAAUAGAGAUGAUAGAAACUGGACUAACAGGUAGACGGUGUGAAGAUGCAAAAUGGAGACGAAAAGAAACAGGCAAUGAUGCAAGAAAGAACAAACAAAGAAUGACACCAUGCCCACAAUGCUCAUAGAUCCAAUCAAUAAAUACAAAGCACACAAGGGUAGGCCCCCAAACCAGGUCAAAAAAGGUAUGCAAGGCUGAAUGAAAGAAAAUGUCAUAAUAAACCACGUGAGGCUCAAAGGGCUAGCAAUAGUAUAUAUCAAUGUAUGGGUGUGCAAUAGGGAAUAUGACUACUCAAAGUGACGACCACCCAUCCUCUGACCAUGAUCUCACGCAUAAAACUUCUUCAGCUGAUCCACAUUAACUGGCUCUAUGAACUGAUUUCCGUUUAGGUCUGUCAACCAACCAGCUCCCUCUCGAGUCAGAUCUCGGAUGACAUAAGGCCCGCUCCAACUCGGUCUAAACUUACCUCUAGGGUCGUUAAUCAAUCCCCUGAGGACUUUCAAGACUAGGUCACCUCUCUGGAAUUUCCUAGGCUUGACCCUCUUUCUGAAUGCACGGGUCAUCUUCAUCUGAUAGGCCUAAACAUGAUCUGCCGCCCUCAAUCUCUUCUCAUCCAACAGGCUAAGCUGAUCAUAACGAGACUGGGCCCACUCGGCCUCGGAUAUAUGCUGCUCUAGUGCUACUCUCAAAGAUCUCAUCUUAAUCUCAACAGGUAGCACUGCCUCCAUACCAUACACCAAAGAAUACGGGGUAGCUCCAAUAGAGGUACGAAAAGAUGUACGAUAAGCCCACAAUGCGAAAGGGAGCUUCUCUGACCAAUCCCGAGAGGUCUCGACCAUCUUUCUCAAAAUCCUCUUGAUAUUCUUAUUUGCGUCCUCAACUGCUCCAUUAGUCUGCGGCCUGUAUGCAGACGGUCUGUGAUGCUGAAUGCCAUACUCUUGAAUCAACGUGUCCACCUCGCCCUUGAAAUGCACCCUCUGUCUGAGAUCAGCUCAUGNNNNNNNNNNNNNNNNNNNNNNNNNNNNNNNNNNNNNNNNNNNNNNNNNNNNNNNNNNNNNNNNNNNNNNNNNNNNNNNNNNNNNNNNNNNNNNNNNNNNUCUCCAUGGUCAACCAAAAGUAGCCAGUCCUCAUGAUCUUACGUGCUAGCAUAUGACUUCCCAUGUGUGGGCCACAAACCCCUGCAUGAACCUCUCUUAUCACUCGAUCUGCAGAUGCACGGUCUAAACAUAAUAAUAACAAGCCAUCAGGUGAUCUCCUAUACAGCGCAUCCCCGCAAACAACAAAUCUGGUGGCCAACUGUCUCAAUGCUCUCCUAUCCUUAGCCGAGGCUAACUCUGGGUAAGCGCCGCAUGAUUGAAACUGAUAAAUAUCAUGAUACCAUGGCAACUCAAUCUGAUCCUCUAUCUCUCCAAUUAGACAACAGUAAGUUGGUGCAGACCUAGUCUCAAUUAACAAUGGCUUAACAUUCACCCCCGCAGGAAUCACAAUCAGAGAAGCCAAGGUGGCUAAUGCAUAUGCAAACUGAUUCUCCGUCCUGGGCAAAUGUAUAUACCUUAACACAUCGAAUCUAUCAAUCAACAAGUCCAAGUAAGCAUGGUAGGGUUUCAGCUUCUCAUCCCGUGUCCUCCAGAUACCUUGAGUCUGCUUUAUAACCAAGUUGGAAUCCCCGUGGAUCUCCAAUUGUCUAAUGCCAAGAUCAAGUGCAGUCUCCAAACCUGUAAUGCAAGCCUCAUACUCUACAAUAUUAUUCGUCAACCGGUGAUGAUCAGAAAAUGCUAAUCGAACUGAUCUGGGGAUAUGAUCACCCUGUGAUGAUAUCAAUAAGAUACCAAUGCCAAACCCGACUGAUUGGCGGCACCAUCAAAGUACAACCGCCACCCCGUAAUACUAGUCAUUGAAACAAUCUGCUCAUCAGGGAAAUCAUCAUCAACUGAUCGGUCAUCGGAUAUCGGCAAAGAAGCUAGAUGAUCUGCAACAAUGCUUCCCUUUACUGACUUCUGCGUGACAUAAUGAAUAUCAAACUCUGUCAACAAUACCAGCUAUCUCAUGAGCCUACCGGUCAGAACAGGCCUGUCAAAUAGAUACCUCAACGAGUCCAAUCGUGAGACCAAGAGCACAAAAUACUCUGUCAUGUAAUGUCUAAGUCUCCUAGUGGCCCAAACCACUGCUAAGCAAAGGCGCUCAAUCAUAAUGUACUUGCACUCAUACUCAAGCAUCCUUUUACUCAAAUAAUAGAUGGCUCGCUCCUUCCUCAAAUCAUCAAGCUGAGCUAACAUGUAUCCUAAGGCCAUGUCUGAAACUGAUAAGUACAGAAGCAAAGGACACCCCGGUGUGGGAGGCACUAAAACUGGAGGAGAAAGGAGACACUCCUUAAUCCUCUCAAAAGCGCGCUGACAAUCAUCAUUCCAAACUGUAGGCUGAUUCUUCCUCAGAAGGCAGAAGAUAGGCUCACAAAUGUCUGUCAGUCUAGCAAUGAAACGACUGAUGUAUUGCAAUCUACCUAGGAAUCCCCUUAUCUCUUUCUCAGUCCUCGGGGUAGGCAUGUCAAGUAUGGCUCUGAUUUUCUCUGGAUCAACCUCUAUACCUCGCUCACUAACAAUGUGUCCCAGCAAUUUUCCAGAAGUCACCCCAAAGGUGCACUUCUUGGGAUUCAAUCUUAGCCUGAACUGUCUGAUCCUCUCAAAAAACCUUUGUAAGGCUGCUAAGUGAUCUGCCCUGUCUCGGGACUUUACUAUCAUGUCAUCCACAUAGACCUCGACAUCUCUAUGCAUCAUAUCAUGGAACAGAGUAGUAGCAGCUCUCUGAUAAGUGGCUCCCGCAUUCUUCAACCCAAAUGGCAUAACUCGGUAGCAGUAAGUACCCCACUCAGUAAUGAAAGAAGUCUUCACCAUAUCCUCUGGAGCCAUCAAAAUCUGAUUAUACCUAGAAAAACCAUCCAUGAAGGAUAACAUCGGAUGCCCUGUAGUGCUAUCAACCAGCAUAUCAAUGUGUGGAAGGGGAAAAUCAUCCUUAGGGCUGGCCUUAUUCAGAUCUCGAAAGUCAACACAAACUCUAACCUUGCCGUCCUUUUUGGGAACAGGGACGACAUUAGCCAGCCACUCAGGAUACUUAACCACUGACAAGAAGCCAACACUAAGUUGCUUCUGAAUUUCUUCCUUAACUUGCAAACUCCAUCGAGGGUGUAGUCUCCUCAAUUUCUGCUUAACGGGCCUAGCAUGUGGUAAAAUGGGCAGGUGAUGCUGCACUAUGGUGGGGUCAAGGUCCGGCAUGUCCUCAUAUGACCAUGCAAAUACAUCCAAGUAUGAUCUAAGCAGGUUAAUCAAUCUACUCCUCUCAUCAGGAGAUAGAGAAGAGCCAAUCCUAAUCUCCCUGAGCUGAUCUGGUGCCCCAAAAUCUAUCAACUCUGUGCUACUAGAAAUGGGUGUGACUUUCCUAUCCUCUGUAUCAGAAUCACACUCUGACUGACCACCCAGUGGGUCAUCUGUAUCUCCCACAUCAUCAACAUCAUAUAUAUGUGUCGUGGGUGCUGGUGGUGCAAUCAAAGGAAAAUGUUGUGACACAUUCAAGUACUCGAAAAUACUCAUAUCAUUAUUACCAUCAGAAAUAUCAUCAAAGCGGGUGACAAACCUGGACAUAGUGUCAAAAGAAAGAGGUGGGUCCACAGAGUCGGACGCUCCCUCAACAGAAGCAAAAUCAGAAGUAACGACAUCAAGGAUUGACUCAUCAUCAAGUACGGAAACUCCAGAUAUGUCAAAAGUAGAAAGGGACCCGCGUGGGGCUGCAUCAAGGAUAUGACCAAUGCCUAUAAAAUCCAUAUCAUCAAUGUAGGCAUCAGGAAUAGAGUCAUCCUCAUCAGUCUUGAGUACAAAAACUCUGAACAUGUCGAAAACAGUAUGGGGCCCAUGUGGCGCUGCAUCGAAGAUACGGCCUAUGCCGAUCAUGUCCAUCUCGUCAGUGCCAUAUCCCAAAUCCAUAGGUAGGUCAUAGUCAGGGACCUCCUCGGGGAAACACAUAGAGAACAUACUAGCUCGGUCCGGUGAUGGGGGUGUGACUAUCAUGGCACCAGGUGCCUCAGUAGUCCUGGUGUCCAAAUGAAUCUGACCCAGGGCCUGCUGGAUGUCCUAAAUCUCAACUGUCUUUGGAAUAUGAACAGUCCCCUCUGUGCGAGGUGUAUGCUCUGAACCCCUAAUGAAGUAGUCGGCCAACUGGAAAGUGUAUGGGCGGAGGGGAUAAUCAAAUGGAAUGCCAGACAUGCGAGCCCUCACCCUAUCCCUGCGCAGCUGUGACAUAUAACGUGCAUCAGCCUCUAUGGGGAUGUAACCUAAUCCGUAGGGCGUGUCGUGAUCAACAGUGAAAGUAAACUCGUGGGGCCCCUGCUGGCAGCGACCCAAUCCCAUACCAGGCAAAUAAGACAUGCCUCUCAUCAUGUUGAGCACCAAAGUGCUGCUGUGCUGGUCAAAUGACAUAAGUACCAUAUCUCUGCUGCCAUCCUCUAAGCUGACAACCAGAACCUCAUCGAACGUAAACCCGGUCAAAUGUAAGUCAUUCUCACUAUGGCUGAUAUGUAAUACUGGCUCAGACGAAGUGAUAAUAUCUCUAUCAGACUAUAUCGUGAUAAUGCGCCCCUCGUGUAUGAACUUCACCUUCUGAUGAAGGGAAGAUGGUAUAGCACCGGCCUCAUGAAUCCACGGGCGGCCAAGAAGCAGGUUAAAGGAUGACUGAAUCCUCAAAACCUGAAAUACUAUGGAGUAACUAACUGGCCUAAUCAUGACAUGUGUACUGAGUGUACCCAUAAUUGUCCUCGGAGUCCCAUCAUAAGCUCUAACAGUCUGUGUAGAAGGCCCAAAAUCAUCUGGUGAAAACCCAAGCGCAAUGGCAGUAACCAAUGGACAGACGUUCAGGGCAGAGCCAUUGUCCAAUAGAACAGACGACACCCAACGGCCUAAACAAGCAACAUCAAUGAAUAAGGGUCGAACAUGAUUUGAUCCCUCUGGUGGCAAGUCAUCAUCAGAAAACAUUAUACAUGUAGCUCUAUUAGCUGUCAACAUGUGAAUAAGCCCCUCUGGGGUAGUAGCAGUGUCAACCCUAAUCUAGCCAAGGGCUCUGACUAAUGCAUCUCUGUGUGUACUAGAUGAGGCCAAAAGGCUCCAAAUGGAUAUGCGAGCCUGAGUAGUGCGUAACUGGCGUAAUAUCUCAUCAUCUUCUCUCUGAACCUCCUCUCUAGCAGCUAUACCAGCAAAUGGCCUGUCAACGGGUGGAGGUUGUGCUACCCUUCCACUCCAUGUAACUAUCUGAACAUCUCUAUGAGGGGGCCUAUAUUCCUCUGGGAACAGAAUGAAGGGUGUCAUAGGUGGCACAUGCUGUAAGUAUACUAGUGAUACUGGAGGCGGCCCAUAAAUCUUGUCCGAGGUCAAAUUGAAUGGCCUGGGGAUCUGCUGUCUAGGUAUAUAUCCAACAAAAUCUGACUCCUCAUAUAGACUGAUCGGCUGAGGAGCCUCUCCAUCCCAACCCAUCAUAAAUAUCUCAUCCCCUGCAAACUCAAUCAAAUGUACCCCUUCCGGGGGUGGAGGUACCGCUCUAGUGUCAUGAGUAGGUAGCGGGUCUGUGGCUACACCCGGGCGCCCCAAAUCAACCAAGCCCUGAUCAAUCAAAUCCUGAAUGGCAUGUCUCAGUGCUGAACAACUGUCUGUAUCAUAGCCUGCUCUCUGAUGGUAGGCACAGUGAAGAUCUGUCCUGAAUCCUGGGGGGGUAGGCUGUAGUGGUGGUCUAGGCGGUAGUGGGGCAAUCAGUCCCCUCUCAACCAAUCUCUAAAAAGCUCGGCUCAGUGGCAUCCCAAGCUGUGUGAAUUUUCUAACUGGCCUUGGUGGAGGCGGUGCUCUAUACUGAUGAUGGAACUGCAUAGGCGGCCUCUGGGGUGCCUGUGUAGCAUAUACCGGCUGUGGUGGCGGAUGUAGAUAAGUAGGCCCUACUGGCCUAAUGGGAGCAACUGGUCUGUAUUGACCAUGCUGUAUCAUCUGAUAAGGAGUGCCUAAAAACUGACUUUGAAACAAAGGACGACGUGAAGACCGGUGUCCUGUCAUGCCAAUAGUACCAACAUCUGAGGACCUUGAUUACUACUCAAAAAGUGCUAUUUGAUAGCCUAUAAUUAAUCCUUUUAAACACUUUUGAGUAGUAGUUUUGGCCUUUUAACUCAAUUGGCAUGUUAAGGACCCUUGAAAGCAAUUUUGAUCACUUUGUGUAAGUUUUGGUGUUUUUGUUAGUAUUUUGAUCACCAAAGCAAGUCAAGACUGAGGAGAGCUAUGAGGAAUCUUGGGCAAAGCUUAGAAGUCAUUUUCCAAGAGUAAAUCCGGAUUGCAAGGAGAAAAAGUAAAGAGAAUCUGCCAUAAAGCAUAUUCUUGAUGACAGUCGUAGCAGCCACUUUUGGAGCACUUUGUGAAGUCCAAAUGAUGCAUGCUAUAUACCAUUUCAAAUCUCAGGAAGUCAAAAAUCCAAUGCUUCAAACGGUGUGCAAUUCGGAGUUGAAACGAAGAAGUUGCAGCCAUUACAAGCCAAUCACUCCGAGCUGAAGGAAGCAUUUUGCAAAGUGUUGCGAAAUCACCCUUUUGUUGCGAAGUGAUUUCGCAGCCUUUUUGAACAGUGUAAUGUUUCUCCUUCUGACGAUGCCCGAUUUAUGCCGCGAGAAGGAAGCUUGGAACCUCAAGGUGGAAGCCAACUUCGCAGCCCUGCGAGUUUAGCUUGGUGUUGCGAAAUUAUUUCGCAGCCCUCUUGAGUGUCUGCGAAAUCUCGCAGACACCAUUUUCUCUUGCGAAAUGGUUCCUGAAGCCUCCCGAUAUUUGCUACCGACAUUGGGAGAUAUUUUCCAUUAGAUUUUUGUUGUCUAAAUCCCAAAAUACUCCUUGUAAACCACCAAUUACAAGAUUCCUUAGCUUUUAAGUUAGUAAAAAGACUAAAUAUCUAUGUAAUAAUUAGUUUUAUAUUAUGUUCAUAUAUAUACCUCUCGGGAGCCUGUUCUCGAAGAGGAGAUCCUUUUGUAAAAGUUUUGGUAAGCAAGUAAAGUUUAUUUUCUUUCUACUGCCUUACCUUCUCACUUUGUAUUUUUAUUUUAUUUCUAAGUUAUGAAUUCUCUGAGGAGUUUUCCCCAGAGAAUGAGUAACUAAACCUCUAAUUCCUUGGAGCUAAGGUUGCCGGGGAAGGUUCCAAGUGCAAGAAUGCAAAGCUUUGUGGUUUUAGCUAUUAAUGAAGAGGAAGUGAAAUCCUUUAGUGAUUUCUAUGUUUUUAGUUAACUUAAAACACCUUAGAGUCACCUGGGCCAACACUUGGUAAGGCAAGUGAUUUCCAACCAUGGAAAUGCACUAGUUUACCCCUUGCGAGCCUCUGGGAGGUGACUUCAAGGUAGGAUUUUCUAGAAUAGCCAACACUUGGUAAGCUUUUGGACUCCAAGGAGACAUCCAUUAGUUAUCUCUUACGAGCUUUUGACGGGUAAUCCAAGGUUAAAGAUCACCUUGAAUGGUUAAGGCUUAGUGAGAGACUUAAACCAUUGCAAGUUGCAUCAGUGAGAGAAUUAAAGUGAAAUCUAAUUGAAGGAGUCUCUGUACAACACCGGUUAGAGAAUUGACUAUAUGUUGAAUCUCUAACACGAGGAAAUGAACCAUCUGACCGGAGCUAUGUCUUUUGCAUGAAGAACCACCCCAGUGAACCUAACUCUCCAGGGAAUGCUUUUCUUCCUAAAUUAUUCCAAACUUCUGUUAUGUUAGUUAGUUUAAGUCUAAACCUUUACCAAUCAAAGUUUGUGUUUUACUUCUUAAGCUAACCAUGAAAUGAAACAAAACCAAUUCACUUGGAAUUGGUAUCAUUGAGAGCUUGUUAAUCUUUCCCAGUGGACGAUCCUAGAGCCACUAUACUAUAGUAGCUUUUUCUUUGCUACCCUAGUAUAUGGUGUUAUAGGUUAUAAAUUUUGUUGAUUACUCCCUCAAUCAAGGAGCACCAGCUGGACACAAAUCAGCUGAGACACCAAUUGGGCACGAAUCAGGCCUGGGGCUUGAUCCCUACUUCUUCCCCUUUGAGUCUGAAGGGGAAGAAUCUGCCCAUAAACCUCUAGAUAUACCAUCCUCAAUGCAUAGAGGGCUUGCACUAAUGAGCCAAAGUCUGUCUGAGGGAAGCCCAUGAGAUGCCUAGCAAAGCGGGGUUGAAGGCUGCGCAUAAUCAUACUGAUCUGAUCGUGCUCUGAAGGUCUAUCAAUAAUAUGUGCUAUCUUCUCCCUCCAACAGAAGAUGAAUGAAGUGACUGUCUCAUCCGGCCCCUGCCUAAGGGCCUCUAACUCCCUCCGGGAUAUAUCCACUAUAGUAUUGAAAGAAUACUGUCUAAUAAACUCCUGUCCCAAAUCAGCCCAUGUCCUACGUCUCGAAGGGUCCAAUGAGGCAAACCAACGUUGAGCAGCACCACUCAAUGACAGAGGGAAUAACAUAAUCAUUUAUGCCUCAUCCAGUCUAUGCCCGCGCAUAACAGUGUUGUAUAACUACAAGUGAAUACGGGGGCACCCUAUCCCCAUGUAUCUCUCAAUGUCCGGCAUGCGGAACUCAACAGGCAAAGCUGCUACUGGCAUAUCAUCAUAUCCAUCCCAACCCAUAAUCCCAUCAGAAACAUGUAGUGAUCUCAUUCUCUGCUCAAUCCUAUCAAUACGAGCCUGGGUAUCAUCAACAAUCUGUGUCGGUGCCACAACAAAAUGCGGCGUAGUCUCAGUCUGACCAUGCAACACAAAUGCUCUAGCCUGGGGAGCUGACUGAACCAGUGGUGGUGGUGGUGGUGGUAGUGGAACUAUGUAGUCCUACUGUAUAGUAGGUUCAGAUGGCCCAGAUGGUGGUGGUGGUGGUGGUGUGGUAGAGUCAUGCAGGGUGCUCCCCGGAAUCGGCAAUGGUUGGGCCUGGUGCCCAUCAAUCCUCUGACCCAAUCCUAAGAUAGUGUCCCUAAGUGACGCCAUGGUAUCGGUAAUCUCAGCCAACUAGUCAACGGUAGCGUACUGAGGGUCUAUAUCUCUAUGAUCUGGUAUCUACUCUAACUGGCUGGGUGAAUCCGAUCCUCUAACCAGUCUAUCUCCAAUCCGGAUCCAAGCUCGGGAACCCAGGUCGAUCUCAAUCAAUAAUCCUAUAAAAGGAAAGGGGUACGUCAGUCCCCGUGACUAUCAAUCCUGAAAUCAAACUAGGAACGUAUAACUAAAAUCUUCCGAGAGAAUGAACUGACAUGUGAUGUCAAUAGCUAAACUGAUAUACAGUUCCACAGGCAGGAACGAGAUUCUGACAUGGUGAUACCUCAGGGGUAAUAUGGCUCAAAAGUAAAAAAAAAAAAAGAGAAAAGGCAAGUCCUAAAAGACUAGAUGACUGUACCCACAAGGAUACGCAACCUAAGGUCCUAACUAACAAUCAAUCAACAAUCAAAGUGACAUGCUGGCCACGCAUGUAUCCAUGAAAUCCAGCUCAGGGCUAUACAGGUCUUCAUUGCUCAGAUAUCCAUCUUUUCCAUAGUGCUCCCAAACAUCGAUAUAGCCUUUAUGCUAGACCCUAUUCCAAACCCCUAGCUUGGUCGAAGGCGAACAAUUGGGAAUGACUCCCAAGAAACACAAGCAAUCCAUGAGGAAUAGUUGACCAAGACUAGUGAUUCGGAAGUAAGGGGAUACACAUGUGCCCCACAAACACAAGCAGCAAGCAGUCAUGCAAGGGAAUGAGCAGUCAUACAGCAAAUAGUCAUGCACAAAGAGAUAGCCUACCACACAUCUACACACAAUCUAAUCAUCUAAGUCUAAUCCCAAAUGUCAUAGCUAGAUACCAAACAACAAUGAGCAAGCAUGCUAGAAUCCAACAGGUGAACACACAAGCAACAACACAUCAUAGGUGCAAUCCAAAUACCAGCCAACUACGUGAUCAUCAGUCAUCUAUGUAGCCUAAGAGUCUACUUAUCAAUGAACCAUGUGCUCCGAUAUACCCAACUCAAGUUCAAGCUUGAUCCUCUUAUGAAACCAGAGAUUCUGGGUUCGAUCCCCAGUGGAGUCGCCAAUUUGUGGACCCUCACCCGAUCCACCGGACCGAUGCGACUCGCUUUUAAAAGAAAAGAAAGAAAUGAAAAAGUUGGUGUCUUCCAAUUUUGAAAAACCUGCCCCCAGUGAGGAACGGUGUUGUUUGGAGUCACCACUUACUUUUUAUUUUUGUUUUUUAAAAUGGGGAAAAUUAAGUAAGAACAAAAACCCCUAAUGACCCUAGUAUGGAAAAAACGGUCUGCGAAAACUAGAUUCUGGGUCCGGGGAUCAGGUUACCUGUUGGGAAGGUACCUCAUGCGAGGUAGCACCCUUCUAGGCCCGAAACUCGGUCUCUACUAAUGAAUUGGGUAUGUGGGAGCAUAUGGGUCAAAGGUCAAAUGAAACCCUAGGCUAAAUAGAUGUCAUGAAUCACACAAUCCUAAUUGGUAUUUGGAAUGCAUAUGAAUUCAACCAAACAAAACAAUGGGUGCGUACCUGUGGUCCCUAGCCAAACGCUGCAUAAAAGGUCAGCCAAACACAUAUAAACACAUAACAAACAUUCAAGAUUAAGCACCAUGCAUGCAUAUGAAUUCAACAACCAAAGCCAACGAUGCGUACCUGUGGUCCCUAGCCAAGUGCUGCAGCAGAGGGUGAGUUAGUCACGCAACAUGUAUUCAAAAUCAAUCAUCAAAGCUUGUGCCAAAAAGGAAGAUAGUUGGUUGAAAUGAGGUAAGGGACUCACCAAAUGUCAUACAAAUCGAACUAGACUCAUCUAGACCACACCACCCAUAACUUCAAAAUUGCCCAUACUAACUGAAAUCAAACACUGACUUAAACCUUCAAGAUGGCUCACAAGUACCCUAUAGCAAAUGGGUUUGAGCCCCCCAUGGAUAAGGGCUCCAAAAAUGCUAAAAUCGAGGGCUACCUAAAGUCCUCCAGCAGAACAGGUUGAACUAGUUCUCAACUGGUACAACCUAUUGAGAAGAACUCCCAAAUUUUUCUAGAAAACUCCUAAAUGAGUGAGGAUUCAAACAAAAGAAACGACACUCAAUCCCGAGCCCAGAUGAGUGAGAACCAGACAAAGAAAGGCAGGUGUUCCUCAUGGCUGACAGAGGCUGCCAGCUAUGGUGCUGAACUGGUUGAACCGGUUCCAAACCGGUUCAGCCAGUUGGUAAAAAAUCCCAAAUUCGGUCAUAAAAUUCCUAAGUGAUUAAGAAAGCAAACAAAAGAAACGGUUCUCAAUUCCGAUCCUGGAUGAGUGAGCACCAGACAAAGAAAGGCAAGUGUUCCUCAUGGCUGAUAGAGGCUGCCAGCUAUGGUGCUGAACCGGUUCCAAGCCAGUUCAGUCGGUUGGUAAAAAAUUCCAAAUUCGAUCAGAAAAUUCCUAAGUGAUUAAGGAAGCAAAAAAAAAAAGAAACGGUUCUCAAUUUCGAGCCCGGAUGAGUGAGAACCAGACAAAGAAAGGCAAGUGUUCCUCAUGGCUGACAGAGGCUGCCAGCUAUGGUGCUGAACCGGUUGAACCGGUUCCAAGCUGGUUCAUCCGGUUGGUAAAAAAUCCCAAAUUUGGUCAGAAAGUUUCUAAGUGAUUAAGGAAGCAAACAAAAGAAACGGUUCUCAAUUCCAAGCCCGGAUGAGUGAGAACCAGACAAAGAAAGGCAAGUGUUCCUCAUGGCUGAUAGAGGCUGCCAGCUAUGGUGCUGAACCGGUUCCAAGCCAGUUCAGCCGGUUGGUAAAAAAUCCCAAAUUCAGUCAGAAAAUUCCUAAGUGAUUAAGGAAGCAAAAAAAAGAAACGGUUCUCAAUUCCGAGCCCGGAUGAGUGAGAACCAGACAAAGAAAGGCAAGUGUUCCUCAUGGCUGACAGAGGCUGCCAGCUAUGGUGCUGAACCGGUUCCAAACAGGUUCAGCCGGUUGGUAAAAAAUCCCAAAUUCGGUCAGAAAGUUCCUAAGUGAUUAAGGAAGCAAACAACAACAAUCAUGUGUGGCCUUUAUGAUCCACACCCAAGCAAUACAAUCUUCAUAUCAAAGGGAAGAAAAGAUGAUGAGGAAGGAGAAAAAGCAUAUGAAGACGAGGAAGAUAAACUGUAAGUAAAGAAAAUUCAGCAUGCUUACCUCAGAAUCUCCACCAAAUAUGAUCUGUGUAUACAGAUGAAGACUUCCAAAACUGAGAUGCUGUCACUCUCCUCUUCAAAAAACCACAGUGCUGAAGCUUUCCCCCACGCUCUCAACUUAGAAGAUGCUACUGACCUUUUGUUUUUCUCACCAGCAAAAUUUCCCCUCUCCAAAAUGUCCCCUCCUCCUUUGCUCUCCUAUCCUCUCACCUUUUAUACUCAUACCCCUCUUAGCAUUUGAGCCUCCUGGAUUCCUUCCCCUUCAGCACCAAAAUCCCCUUCAUCAACAUGGGAACCACACCCCUCAUUACUUCUCUUAAACUUACAAGGCCAGCUCACUCCUUCAGUUUUCAGCUUGCUUCACCACCAAGAAUCCAUAUGGAUUCGUGGUGGGCUGCAAGGAACCCAAACCAAGGCCCAAAAUGGACCCACAACAUUACCCAAAACUGAUCUAGAGCUUACGGGCCUGAGCCAUGUAGGAUUUGGGCCUCAAAAUUACUAGAAUUAGUGUUUUACCUCAGCUGACUCAAUGAACCGGCUGAACCGGCUGAACCGGAUGCCAACUGGUCGAACCAAUGGAAAAAAAUUCUGAAAAUUUGACAGAAUGUUCCUAGUAGAGUAAGGAAUCCACUUAAAAAAAAAGGUGCAUGAUUCCAAGUUCGGAAGAGGGAGAUAUGAUAAAAAAAAUUACCAAAAAUCAGUGUUCUACACCGGCUGACUCGAUGAACCGGCUGAACGUGCUGCCAACCAGCCGACCGGAUGCAAAAAAUUUUGAAAAUUUUACAGAAUGUUCCUGGAAGAAUAAGGAAUCCAUAAAAAGAAACGGUUCUUGAUUCCGAGUUUGGAUGAGGGAGAUACGUUCAAAACAAGCCCGAGUGCUCCGAACCUCAACAUGCCCUUAUAAACUCCAACUAAGCUAAGACAUCGGGAUGACCCCACUUCCUUCCUAUAGCGUGAUGUGAACGACUAGGAAAAUGGCCAUGGUGACCCUCCAAAAUGAACCACAUAUGCACCACAAUGGACCACAGACAAACCCACACGAGGCUCGGACACCGACUAAGCCCAAAAGGGGCCCUAGUGGUGCCAUAUGCGAACGAUGGGUGGAUGUGACACCCGAAGGAUAAAUGCCAGUGUCGAGGGACAAAAUUGAGGGUCUACAAUAUAUUUCUUAAUUUGAACAAUUAAGUAAUAUUAAGUCUUAUCAAGAUUAAAUAAAAAUAAAAAUAAUAAUAAUAAUAAUAAUUCUCUAAAAGUGAAGCAAAGGAAUUGAUAUAAUAAUCACUAAAAUCUCAAAUAAAUAAUAUAAGUAAUUAACUAAAAUCUGAUUGUUAUUAUUUAUAAUUUGAAAUAUCCUAGUAAGCCAUAUUAUCACUCAUAAUUUAAAUAAAUAAAUAAAAACUAACAUAAUAGUUGUGGCUUGGGCCUACCCAAAAACCAUCCGCUAAGUCGGGUCGGUUUGGGCCAGGAUUAAAAGCCCAACUAGCCUAAUAAUAAUAAUAAUAAUAAUUAAAUUAAUGAAAAAUAAACUAACAUAAUAGUUGUGGCCUGGGCCUACCCAAAAACCAUCCGCUAAGUCGGGUUGGUUUGGGCCAAGAUUAAAAGCCUAACUAGCCUAAUGGCUCAGCUAGCUUAAAUAGCCCAACAGGUAAAAUGGGGAAUAAAAUGUGAGAGAACAAUCCACGAGGAGUGGAGGCAGUUAACACUUAAGGCGGUAACUAUUUGGAGUGGCCAAAAGGUGCUUUUGUGAUCUCCAUACCAAUCAAUAGCUAAAAAUUAUAUGAAUGCAAGAAAAAUAGGGACACGAAAAAAAUAUGACAUUUUCUAAAAGAAAAACCCUAGAUAACUUAAUCAUUAGAGUGAUCCUAGGGAAAAACCAGACUAGCCUUGUGUGGCAGGUACAAGGAAGCGUGCAACAAGAAGAGGAUAAUUGCUCAAGAAAUUCUCAACUCCAACAAGUGGCAGUUAACACUUGAGGCGGUAAAAGUUUGGAGUGGCCAAAAAGUGCUCCUGUGAUCUCCACGCCAAUUGGUAGCUAAAAGGUAUAUGAAUGCAAUAAAAUUAAGGACAAUAUACAUAUAUAUAUAUAUAUAUAUAUAUAUAUAUAUAUAUAUAUAUAUAUAUAUAUAUAUAUUGUUAGUCCAAGGAUUCUCCUAAUCAGGUUUUGAUGAUAACAAACCAUUGUUAAGUUACUAAAUGGUUUGAUUUAUAAAGAAUUUCAGGUGUUAAUUUGAAAAUUCAUCAAAUGACCUAAUGAAUGCAAGAUCAAGACCUUUGGAAGACCUUUAAUCAUAGGAAACAUAUGGAAGAUGAAUGAAUGGGUGUACUUAGGUUUUACAUAUCAUUUCAUGCAUAUUUCAAAAACUCGGUUUAUUAUUUAAAGUUACAGUUUCAUCAAAACCCGAGUUUUAUCAAAUGAACCUUAGGCAAAUCUUUUUCAAAAUUAGCAUGUUAAUUUACCUAAAGACCUUGCCUAAGUAUUAGAAGAGAAAAGAAUAGAAAAAAAAUAGGUUUUCGGGCAAAAAAUGGUGAACCAGUUGAGGCACUGGCCAACCGGCUCAAUCGAUUAGGGGUGUCGAUCGGCCAAUUCCCUUUUCCCGAUCGAGGUCCGGUCAAGAUGAGCAAAAAACACUUUCUCUCUUCCAGUAGACUUUUCUUCCAAGUUGAGGGCCGGUCGAGGGUAAUGGUCAUUUACCAAGCAUUAAAUGCUCCAAUGGCUAGUGAACCGGUCAACCCCUAGCUCGACCGGUUGAGACUACUUUUUGGUUUUCUUGACUCCCGAGGUUAGAAACCUAUAAAUAGAGAGCUUCGCUUCAUUUAUGAGUAAGAGAACACCUGCAUUUAUUCAUCUACCCACUUGUUCUUGCCUUAAAAGCUCUCAUUCUUUUCUUGGUGCAUUAAAUCCCCAUUUGCAUAUUCUUUAGUGCACCUUUGUGAUUCAUCCCAGCCUUAAGUUGUAUUUGAGAUAUUGUUGAGCUAGGUUGAGAGAUUCAUUCUUGUUAAUUGAGUGUUAAAGCCUUCAAGUGAGUUGAAACUUGAAGAGAUUGUGUAAAAGCCCACUGGAGUCGGAAUCCAAGUGUAAAGGUGAUUAGAAGCUUCAAGGUAAUGGAACCCUCACUUGGUUAGGAGCUUGAGGAGAGUGGACAUAGGUAAUGAAGUGCUAAACCACUAUAAAAUCUGAGUUUGAUUUCUCUAACUCUAUCUCUUUAUAUUUGCUUUUCUUGUGCUUAAAUUUGUUGUGUUUAAUUUUUUUUUCUAAAAAAAAAAAAACCCAAUUCACCCCCUUCUUGGGUGUUUUUCUCAUUUAAGAUUAGCCUUUAUUUUCUCAAUUGGUAUCAGAGCUAGACCUCUUGUUUAAGACUUAAUCAUCUAAGAAGAAAUGGCUAAUCUUGAGCUCAUUUCACAUUGAAAUUUUUGCAAAAAAUAAACCUCCAUUUUUUACAGGAACCGAUUAUCUCUAUUAGAAAACUAAAAUGACUUGGUUUUUACAAUCAACCAAUUUAGACAUAUGAGAUGUCAUUGAAGAUGGCCCAACUUUUCCUUCAAAACUAGUUGACGGAGUCAUGGUUCCAAAACCCAAGCAAGAAUGGGAUGAGUGUGAUAGAAGAAAUUUUCAAUUAAAUGCUAAGGUCGUUUAUGCUUUGCAAUGUUGUAUGGAUAGAAAUGAAUAUAGUAGAAUAUGUCAAUGCAAAUCGGCUAAAGAAAUUUGGAGAUUGCUUGAAAUAACUCAUGAAGGAACAAAUCAAGUGAAAUAGUAAAAAAUCAAUUUACUUGUUCAUAGCUAUGAAUUGUUUUUUUUUUUAAAGAUAAUGAGACUAUUGUUGAGAUGAUCACUAGGUUCAUCGACAUUGUCAAUGGUCUUAAAGCCUAGGGAAAGACCUAUAAUGAAUCUAAAAAGAUAAUGAAGAUCUUGAGGUCACUUCCAUCAAUGUGGCAUACAAAAGGUCACCGCAAUUCAAGAAGCCAAAGACUUGAUCAAGCUACCUUUAGAGGAGCUCAUAGGGUCAUUGAUGACAUAUGAGAUCAAUUUGGAAAAUAAGCAACAAGAAGAUGAAGACAAAAAGAAGAAGAGCAUAACUCUCAAAGCUACAACUAAGGAAGAAGAAGAAGUUGAAGAAGAAAAACAAAGUGAAGAAUAUGAAGAUUUAGCCCUCAUCAUAAGAAAGUUCAACAAAUUCAUGAGGGAUGAAAGGUUUAGAAGAAUAAGGUUCACUUUUAGAAGAGGCUUUUCUAAAAAGGAAUCUUCAUCUCAUGGUGACAAGGAGAGAUGCGAAGAGAAAAGAGACUUGGUGUGUUUCAAAUGCAAGAAACCGAGACACAUUAAAUAUGAUUAUCCUCUCUACAAAAGUGAAGCCAAGAGGAGAAAAAAAGAAGGCAAUGAUGACCACUUAGAGUGAAAGUGAAGAAUCCUCCGAAGAAGAAAAUGAGAAAGGAGUGGCAAACAUAUGCUUCAUGACAAUAGAUGAACUUGAUGAGGUAAACUCUAACCUUAGUGAUGAAAAUAUACAUGAUGCAUUUGAAGAAUUGUAUGAGGAUUUUGAAAAACUUAGUUGAAAAAUAUUUCUCUUAAAAAGAAAGUUCAACAACUUGAAAAAGAACUUGGAGAAGUAAAAGAAAAAUUUUCAAAUGUCGAAAUUUCUAAAACUCAUCUCGAAAAAGAAAAUGAGAUUCUAAUAAAGAAAAAUGAAUGGUUGACCUCCUUUCUUUCAAUAUUUUCUUGUGGACAAAAAUCUUUUGAAAUGAUUCUAGCUAGCCAAAAAUACGUUUUUGACAAACAAGGGCUAGGAUUCAAAUCUUCAAAAAAUCAAAGUAUUUUAAAAACUAUUUUGUAAAGGAAUCCACAAGUACAAAUCUUUCCACUAUUGGCAACUUUUGUGGAAGAGAAGGGCACAUUAGUAAUACACGUCCUUUAAGGAAUGGUUCUCAAAAGAAUUCAAAUGCAAAAGUUAAAAAGAUUUGGAUUGAAAAAUCCAAGGUCACUAACCCUCAAGGACUCAAAAAGAUAUGAUACCUAAAUCAACUUGAGUUUUAUGUUGUAGGGUUCAAAGAAGGAUAAGUGGUUCUUGGAUAGUGGAUGCUCAAGACACAUGAUCAAGGAUGAAUCCAAAUUUGCUUUUCUUACAAAGAAAAAUGGAGGAUAUGUUAUCGUUGGAGACAAUGCAAAAGGAAGGAUCAUUGGUCAAGGCAACAUUGGUAAUGACACAUCCUCUCUCAUUGAAAGUGUUUUAUUAAUAGAUGGUUUAAAACAUAACCUUUAAAGCAUUAGUCAACUUCGUGACAAAGGUUUUAAAUUAACUUUUGAAGUAUCUCAUUGCAUCAUCAAAGAUAUUCAAAAUGAUAAAACCAUCUUCAUGGGCCAUAAAUGUGAUAAUGUUUACACUAUAAAUAUUUCAAAAUAUGAUGGCCAUGAUAGAUGCUUUUCAAGCAUGCAUGAUCAAAGUUGGUUAUGGCAUAGGAGGUUGGGACAUGCUAACAUGGACCUCAUUUCUCAACUCAACGAAGAUGAACUUGUUAGAGGCUUUCCCAAAAUAAAUUUUCAAAAAGAUGAAGUUUGUGAAGCUUGUCAAGUAAGAAAGCAAAUAAAAAACUCUUUCAUAAACAAAAACUUCAUUUCCACAUCUAGGCCACUUGAGUUGUUGCAUAUGGAUUUAUUUGGUCCCUCUAGAAUACCAAGUCUUGGAGAAAAGUCUUAUGCAUAUGUUAUUGUAGACGACUUCUCUAGAUACACAUGGGUCUUGUUUUUAAGUCAAAAGAAUGAAGCCUUUUAUGAGUUGUCAAAGUUUUGCAAUAAGGUUCAAAAUGAAAAAGGUUUUUCAAUUACUAGUAUAAGAAGUGAUCAUAUGAGAGAAUUUGAAAAUAUUGAUUUUGAAGAAUAUUGCAAUGAGCAUGGAAUUGACCAUAAUUUUUCAGCUCCUAGAACUCCUCAAUUAAAUGGGGUAAUUGGAAGGAAAAAUAAAACUCUUCAAGAGAUGGCAAGAACCAUGCUAAAUGAAAAUAACUUACCAAAAUAUUUUUGGGAUGAAGCGGUUAACACUUCUUGUUAUGUUUUAAAUAGAAUAUUAUUGAGGCCCAUUCUUAAGAAAACUCCCUAUGAGCUUUGGACAAACAAGAAGCCCAACAUUAGCUAUUUCAAAGUCUUUGGAUGCAAAUGUUUUAUAUUAAACACCAAAGACAAUCUUUGAAAAUUUGAUGCAAAAUUGGAUGUUGGAAUUUUCCUUGGUUACUCAACUUUAAGUAAAGCUUUUAGGGUGUUUAACAAAAGAACCAUGAUUGUAGAGGAGUCUAUCCAUGUUAUUUUUUAUAAAUCUAACAAAUUUCUCCAAGAAAGAGAGAGUUUUGAUGAUGAUUUAGGUUUGGAGACCUCCAUGGGAAGAUUGCAAAUUGAAGAUAGAAUACAACAAGAAGAAAAUGGAGAGGAUCCUAAGAAAGAAGGAUCACCAUUGGCACUACCCCCUCCUCAACAAGUGCAAGGUGAAUCAAGCCAAGACCUUUCUAAAGAAUGAAAGUUUGUCAUCAAUCACCCACAAGAUCAAAUUAUAGGUAAUCCAUCUAGUGGGGUAAAAACUAGAUUCUCUCUUAGAAAUAUUUGCAAAAAUCUAGCUUUUAUCUCUUAAAUUGAGCCUAAAAAUAUAAAUGAUGCUUUAGAUGAUGAAAAUUGGAUGAUUGCUAUGCAACAAGAGUUAAAUCAAUUUGAAAAAAGUGAAGUAUGGGAAUUAGUACCAAGACCUUCAAAUCAAAGUGUUAUUGGAACUAGAUGGGUCUUUGGAAAUAAAAUGGAUGAAAAUGGCAUAAUUGUUAGAAAUAAAGCAAGAUUGGUAGCCCAAGGUUUUAAUCAAGAAGAAAAAAUAGAUUAUGAAGAAACCUUUGCCCCUGUAGCUAGGUUGGAAGCCAUUAGGAUGCUACUUGCCUUUGCAUGUUUUAAAGACUUUGUUUUAUAUCAAAUAGAUGUGAAAAAUGCUUUUUUAAAUGGUUUUAUAAAUGAAGAAGUAUAUGUUGAACAACCACCCGGCUCUCAAAGUUUCAAUUUUCCUAACCAUGUUUUUAAGCCUAAAAAGGCACUUUAUAGUUUGAAACAAGCACCUAGAGCAUGGUAUGAAAGAUUGAGUAAAUUUCUUUUGAAAACAGGUUUUAAAAUGGGAAAAAUUGACACAACUCUUUUCAUAAAAACUAAAGAAAAUGAUAUGCUCUUAGUUCAAAUAGAUGUUGAUGAUAUCAUUUUUGGUGCUACUAAUGUCUCUCUUUGUGAAGAAUUUUCUAAGUUCAUGCAUAGCGAGUUUGAAAUGAGCAUGAUGGGAGAACUCAAUUUCUUCCUUGGGCUUCAAAUCAAGCAACUAAAGGAAGGCCCAUUAGACACCACACUAGGUCCAUUUAGUCACUUUAGGCCCAUUAGGCACCAUCCUAGGCCCACUUAGGCACCCUAGGCCCAUUUAGGCACCCUUAGCCCAUUUAGGCACCUUAGACAUGAAUGCAUGGUUGCAUGGCUUCAUGGCUCACGUUUUUGCAUGAGAGAUUUAUCAUUGGAGAGUUUGGAUUCUUUAGGAAAGGAAACUUGGAGGCUGUGAUUGAGAGAUAUUUAGUCCACGUUUGAAAAUAAUAAUAAUAAUAAUAAUAAAGAAAGGAAAGAGAGACCCGGGAUGGAAAGAUAGGAAGAUGCUUUUUUAGGCCAUGAGGUAGACAGAGAGUGAGUCCACGUUUAAAGAAGAUGGGGAAAGUGUAGCCGCAUGAUUGAAGGAAAAAAUAUGAUUUUUUGGGCAAGGAGGAGCAGAUAUGGGGAGAAUUGACAAAACAUUUUAUGGUGAGCUGAAUGAAUCUGACUUUCGGGAAAGAUACAAAGAGGUUUUGAAAGGCAUUAUGCGGAUUUUGAGGUGUGAUAUUCAGAGUUUUAUUUAGAAAGAAAUGAGAGUUUUGGGAUAGAGAAGAUUCAGUCGGAAAAGUGGAGGAAGAGGGAGAUUUCUAGAGGGAGAGAGGACUGAAAGAAAAAAAAAAAAAAAAACAAGGGUAAUUUGGAGAGGCCACACCUUGAGAGAUUUUUUUCGAGAACAAUCGCACGAAGUGAAGGAAGAGAAGAGGUGAUAUGGAGAAGCGACACCAAGUGAAGGAAAGAGAAAGGUGAUCUGGAGAGGCCGCACCCUUGAGAGAUUUUCCGGAAGAGCCGCACCAUUGAGAGGAAGAAGGAUCUUCAUCCAAUUGUACUGUUCUUCAAGCAAGCAUUUUUUGAGGAAUCAUAUAAACUAUGCAUGCUAUCCAGGUACGCUCUCUAUCACUUAUGUUUUGAAAUUUUAUGAAUAUGCAUGUUGUUGUGAAUUUUAUUUAUUCUUGAUGUGAUCCUUAGGUGCUUAGAUGUAUGCUUGAUUGCCUUAAUAUAUGUUUGAUUGUUUGAUUUGCCCUUAUUAAAAAAAAUGUUGUGUGUUAUACUUCCAAACUAAUUUUGAUGUGUUGUAAUAACGCUUAAGAAGCAGUCCAGGUACGCACCCUAAAUUUCCUUUAUGAGUAUGAUUGGUUUUUCUUGUUUGGCAUGCUAGUUUGAAAUCACCUUAGCCUACCUAGGUAUCCAUGAUCAACUAGUUAAUUACCACAUUUCCCUCAACUUCGUCAAUAGAGACCUUUGUAGGGCUUAGAGGGGUGCUAUCUCUUAGAGGUACCUUCCCAAUAAGUAACCUAAUCCUCGGACCUAGACUCAAGUUUUUUAAAGACACGGUUUUCUAAAAACUAUGGAGUCACUUCUUUAGGGUUUUCUUUCUUGUUUUAUUUUCCCUUUAAAAUAAAAUAAAAUAAGUGGCAACUCCGAUUUUUCCAAAAACAAUUUUUUCACAAAUAAAAAGCGAGUCUCGUAGAUCGAGUGGGGGCACAUGUGAAAAAUGUUGGUCCACAAAUUGAAAACUCCGUUGGGGAUUUUGAGAAUCAAGCUUGAACACUAGUUGAGGAAAAUGUGGCGUUUAAUUGGUCGAUUAGAGAGUACCUCUGUUUUUUUUAGGCAAGAUGAUUCAGUUUGCUUGCUUGAUUGGCUCGCUAUCUUAACAUGUUUGAUUGCCUUGAAUGAUCACUUAACUAUUUCGUUCACUUCAACAUGAUUCACUCUCACAUAUGCUAGAUAGGAAUUUUUUUGUAUGACGCUUAUCUGCUUCGCAUGACUGCUUGUUGCAUGACAAUCCUCUCCCUUGCAUGAUUGUAUGAUUGCUUAUCUCUGUUCACUAUCUCACUUUAGAUCUUUGGUUUUUUCGGAUGCACCUAUAUCCUUCACUAUGCACUUUAGAUUAUCCCUGAGUGUUAAGAGAUGUGAGAGCCUUCACCGUUAGGAAACCCCUUGGGAAUGCUAGGAAGUGCAUGUGUGAAGGUGAUGACCACCUUGCAUGGAAGCACCCCGUUUUCUUGGAGAGUGUAGAGGGUUGCGUAUUGAUUCGACUCAUGGUAGCUUAGCUUUAAAGGCGUAUCAACAAAAUUUAUACCUUGAAUACUAUUACUAAAGUAGCCAAACUACUAUAGCAUAGUGGUUCUAGGAUCGUUCACUGGGAAGGGUUUUCGCAAACACAAGUGAUAUUCAAAUUAGGAAAAUAGGUGAUUUUCUUAUGGAUGUUAGCUUUAAAAGAAGAUGUAAAUGUUUUAGAAAGAUUUAAACUAAUCUAAGCUAACAUUAAAGACUAAAAUGAAAGGGUGUAAAAACAAGUUUCUCAAAGAUAGGAUAGCUAUGCUCUGGCUCUUAUGCAAAUUGGAAAUCUCAGGAUAGGCUCCUCGCGUUGGGGUUGCAACUAUGGUGAUGCUUGCUUCUCGAACCGGUAUGGAUUUAGCAAAUCAAGUUUUAAUCCUUUAAAAUGGCAAAACAGAUGGUAGUGAAUUUCAUCAAUGGUUAUUCACCUUAGACUUCCUUUGAAUGGCUCGUAAGAGAUAACUAAUGGUCUAAAGCCAAAAGCUUACCAAAUAUUGACAACUCAAAGUCAUUCCAAGUGAUAAACUCACCUUUCAAUGGCCAUUGAAAUUGGUUCUAACGGAUUAAUGCAAAACUUGGAAUUGAAAACCUCACCUUCCAAUAGCUCGUAGGAGAUAACUAAUGGAUAGAAAUCCAAAAGCUUAUCAAGUAUUGGCCGUUGGAAGUUGUCCAAAGGAAAUAAAAACCAAACUUUGCAUUAAUGAACCAUUAAUGAAAAAACGUCUACCUUACCUUCCGGGUGCGAGAAAUUUCCAUGGGAUUGCAUCCAAGCUAUCACAUAACAUUCAUACUUUGAGAAACUAAAAGUUUUAGCCAAUCAUCCUUUGAGGAAAAGCCCUCAGAGGCUGUUUGGCUACUAAGAAAAUAGAAAUGGGGAAGAACAGGAGAAGAGAGAAAAACAGAGCAAGGCUCUGUAUAUUCUAUAUAUUGAUCGAUAUCUAUUACAAUGGAUGCAAGGGAAUAUAUAUAGAGAAGGUUUUCCAACCUUCCUAGCUAAGAAAUUACAUGAGUGGUGGAUUACAAGGAGAAGAAUGGAAAUUUAUACAAAAAUAUCCAAAAGAAAAGAUCUCGUGUGGAGUCGGCAGAAACAGGGGAAAAUUCGCACCAUGCAAGGGGGUGUGCGAAUUUGGAAGGUGUUGUGCGAAAAUUUCGCACACCCCUGGAGCAGUUGUCUUCCGAAGGCCAUAUCUUCCUCAUUUCAGCUCCAAAUCGUACACAGUUUGAAGCGUUGGAUUUUUGACUUCCUGAGCUUUGAAACGGUAUAUAGCAUGUAAAAAAUGGACUUCGGGAAGUACUCCAAAAGUGCCAAAGAAGACUGCAGAUGCUGUCCUCUGUUUUCCUCCUUGCUUCUCUUUACUUUGCUUUCCUCUUCUCCAUUGUUCUUUCCUUGCAUACUUUGAACGAAUUUGGCAAAGGGAUAUGGAGCUCCAAAGCUUGGUUCUUCAUGAAUUUGAGCUUCCAAAAGCUUUGCCAUAACUUGUCCAAGUAGCUCCUCUAUCAUUUGGCAUGCUUGAAUUGAUUCACAAGCUGAUAUAAACAUGUAAACUUGCCACAAAAUGGUUAAAACCAAUUACUAAGGACCUUAAUGAAUUAAUUGGGUUAAAUGAAUAUGAUUACUACUCAAAGGUGCUUAAAACCAUUAUAAUUAGGUCUACAAAAUAGCACUUUUUGGUAGUAAUCACGUAUUGUCAGAGGGUACAAUCGCUUCUACUAGGGAUUUAUCUUAUAGAUCCACUUCAACCUUGUAGGUUAGCCUAGACCCAAUUAGGAUUUCAUUCCUACAUGUGGGUGCAUCUAUGGACCUUUAAAGCUGCCUUGGUUAGAAUUGGGUUCGGUUACCAUCUCCAUAGUCUCAUUUUGGUAUGAUCGGAUACGAGGAUCAGUUUGAGUAUACAUGGGUUAUAUGCUUGAUUACCUUUUAGUCGGUUCCUACAAAGCUACCCUUGUAUAACGUCUCAUCUAGUGUUUCCAUGUUUAUAGGAGUAUUUUUAGUGCCCAGUCUAGAUUCGCCUUCUUGAACCAGAGUUAGAGGCAGGUUGACCAGAGUAUCAGAUCAACCAGACCAGAGAGUAGAUUAGAGAGAUAUGGACUCCCAGGUAGUCACUGUUGACCAGUUUGCCGUAACCAUGACUUCGAUUUAGGAAGCUAUAACCGGCCUCGGCUAGAGAAUAGAUGGGCAGCAGGCCCUACAGGCCCUGCCUCAGGAUAGUGCACAGUAUGACUCUGCGGCACCACCACCCCCUCCACUCAGUUAGUCGGUUCCACACCCUACACCGUAUGUUUUACAUAGUCAAACUGAUGCUACACCACUUCCUGUUGUAGCACCCAUUCAGGAAUUAGAUGAUGCACAUGCUCAUAUGGAUAGACUUGAGCAGAGGAUGAAACAGAUGAGGGUUUCAGAUGGAGCUAUCAAUUGGAAUGACUUUGAUGGGGCACUAGUGGCCAGUUUACCAGCCCAGUUUAGGAUGCUAGAGAUUGAGAGGUAUACAUGCAUGGGUUGCCUUAAGAUUCAUUUGAGGUGAUACAGUAGUAUGAUGAGAGCCCAAUGGUUGGAUGAGGCCCACUUUAUUAUGCUUUUUCCCAUGUCCUUGAGUGGUACAACACAACGUUGGUUUGCUUCUUUAGAUGCUUCACGUCGUAGGACUUGGGAUAAUUUGACCCAAGAGUUUUUGAGACAGUUUGCUUUUAAUACUGUCAUUGAUGUCUUGAGGAGAGAGCUCGAAGCCUUGAGAUAGAGACUAGAGGAGUCAGUGACUUCAUUUAUCUCCUGAUGGAGGGAAAAAAUCGCCCAGACUAUUGAUCGUCCUUCGGAGAAAGACUAGAUUAGUAUGAUUUUGAGGAGCUUACAACCCAGAUUUGUCAGACAUUUGAUGGGAUUUCCCCACACAGAUUUUGGAUCCUUGGUAUAGGCUCUGUACGAUAUAGAUGAGGGCAUUGCUAAAGGAUUGUGGCCCGAGUCUUCCCUUACUGACUCAAAGGAGAAGAAGCCCUCAGGAGGACAGAGACCUGAAGAUGUGGGUACUAUCAAUUUAGAAAGAUCGAGAUCUCCCAGGCGCUAUCAGACAUUUGGGCAGACUUCAAGAGCCUAUUACCCAUAGCUUUAUGUUUAGUAUAGAUCGCCCAGGCCCAUGACUCCUACAUACCUACAUCUGACCCUAGAGCCUGUUUUUGCUACAUAGGUCUCAAAGAGACCUCCUACCUUAUACCCUUGGCCCUGAGUCCCAUAGACUGCUAUUCCUCGUGCACAGAGGUCGAUACGACAAUUCUCUUAGCUAGGUAUGCCCUUGAGUCGAGCUUUCCAAAAGCUCAUAGAGGGUGGUUUGUUGACUCAGUUAGCUUCUAGGCUUAUACCCCAACCCGUGCCACCUCAGUUCAAGAUGGACCUUCACUGUGCUUAUCAUCAAGGUUUAAGACAUGACACUGAUCGUUGCUCUGCUCUAAGACAUGCUAUAUAGGACUUGAUAGACCAGGGUUUGGUUAACUUAGGGCAGCCAAGUGUAACCAUGAACCCUCUACCGGGUCACUCUAGGCAUGCAGUGCCACCAUCCUCGGGCAGUAUCCAUCACAUAGAUUUUGUAGAGGAUGACAGUAUACACAUGCUGAGUUGGGAUGAUGGAUUGCUAGAGUCGAUUGUUUUGGAUGAUGGUUAUGAGGUUGACACAGUGGGUUCUCAAACUUUUACAUCGUCUAGUUUGAUUUCAAAUUGGGUACCUUUUGAGGUGACUCCUACUACACCGUCAGCUACGGCACGUCAGGGCUCGUCCAUCCCAUUUACCCUAUAACCAAAUGAUGAUGAUUUGGAGGAGAGAGAUGUACAGAUUGUGAACCAUAGUGGGAGAGUAGCUCAACCCCCACCUCUAGUAGCUAGGCCAUUUGAUGGCGUAGUUUCUCAUGAGGAGGUUAGGAGAAAGGAUGAUAAGAUACUUUGGCAGUUACUGAGUACACAGACCCGCAUAUCUAUUUGGAGUUUGCUAGCAUCUUCUAGUACUCAUAGAAAUUCAUUGAUUCAGGCUUUAACCCAGAUCCGUGUGGAGACCACCACUACCUUAGAGGGGUUGAUUCAUAUUAUGACGGCCGACAGGGCCACAUGUAUUAUGUUUUCAGAUGAUGACUUGUCACCAAAGGGUUCAGACCAUACACGCCUCUAUAUAUUACAGUUGGUUGUUCAGGUCACAAAGUUCCAUCCGUCCUGUUGGACAAUGGCUGGGCCUUAAACGUCUGCCUAUUGUCUACUACUAUUGCUCUUGGUUAUGCACCUUUAGACUUUGGUCCCUUUACACAGACGGUCAGAGCAUAUGACAGCACUAAGAGGAAGGUCAUGGGUACUUUGAUGAUAGAGUUGCUAAUUGGUCCGGCUACAUUCCCUAUACUAUUCCAAGUUUUGAAGAUUCCCACAUCCUUUAACCUACUUCUGAGCCGACCUUGGAUUCAUAGGGCCAAGGCUAUAUUCCAUCUUCCCUUCAUUAGAAGAUGAAGUUUAUACAUGACAGACAGGUCAUCAUAAUAUAGUCUCCUAGAGAUAUGUUUGCCUCCUCCGAGCCGGUGCUUCAGAUCAAUCAUAGUGAGGAUGACCUAUUUUUUAUUGGGUUUACAUUUGAUGAGGUGCAAACUCUCGAGGUUGGGGACUUCUGCAAAGAUCUCGUAGCUAUGUCAUUUGAUCAGGAUAGCAGUACGGUGGUACUCAACAUGAUGAGGGGUAUGUCUUUUAUGCCUGGUUUGGGGUAAGGAUGACGUCAGCAUGGACCCAUGGAGUUUGUGGCUACUAUCGAUCAUGCUACACCAUUUGGGCUUGGGUUUGUUCAUACAGAGGCUAACUAUAGGAAUAUGGUGCAUCUACACCAGGAGAGAGUGAGAGCCCGUCUAAUUUGCACACCAUUCGAUUAUCCUAUUCAUCCUUAUAGGAUGAGCUUGGCAGACUAUUUUGUUAGAGGAUUAGAGACCCAUCCUCAUAUGAGGGAUUUUGACGUUGUGACUGAUAUAAAGGGAGUGGAUGACCUUCAGCAUCAAUUUCACCAUUUACAGUUAGGAGAUGAGACUUUUGGCGUACUAGUGUUAGUGAUGAUUGUUCAUUCAUUACCAGAUCGAGCCAGCUUCUUAUCUCUGUGUUUUCCAAAGGAGACUACUAAUUGUGGAGUAGACGUUGAGCCUACUAGGGUGACUGAUGGAGUUGUUCCUUGUGAUGAGUAUAGGAUUGAGAUGGAUAAGAUGAGUAUGAGUUAGAUUAUUGAGAUGAUUCAACCUGAGUCUGCUUCACCGUUCGAUCUGUUUGGGGUGUCUACUAUCGAGGUUGUCGAGGAGAUCUAGACAGUUCUUACUCUAGAGCUUAUGGAGGAUGUUACAGUUGGUGAUGAUGAGUUUGAGGACACUUUUGGCUUUAUUAAGGGAGUGUUCGACUUUGUGGACCCACCUCUUUUAUUUGACAUUUUAUUGGGAUUCAUUUCCUGCUCUGACGAUGUUUAUGAUUUCAUAUCUAUGGAUUUUCGAGUAUUUGCUUGUAUCUUGUGAUAGUAUUUAUAUAUCUGCACCCUACUUCCUCAUUCCACAUAUACUUGAUAUAGAUGAUGAGAUCGCACAACCUGAUUCAAAUAGAGACUCUUCUGAUCAUGACUCAGAUUCCAUAAAUGAGAGAGUUUCACCUGCUACAGAGGAUGUUGAGACUAUUGAUUUUGGUAUAGAGGAUCAGCCUAGAAAGCUAAAGAUUGGUCCACCCCUGUCUAUAGACGAGAGGGAUAUACUUAUUCAUUUACUCAAGUCAUACUUGGAUGUUUUUGCAUGGUCUUAUGAGGACAUGCCGGGUCUGGAUCCCUCUAUAGUCCAACACCAUCUGCCUAUCUUGCCACAUAUCAGACCCGUUAAGCAGAAACUGAGGCAAUUGCACCCAUGUUGGAGUCUACAGGUGAAAUAAGAAAUUUAGAAACAACUCAGUAUUGGAUUUAUAUCAGUGGUUGAGUAUCUAGAGUGGUUGGAUAAUGUCGUCCCUGUUCCCAAAAAGAAUGGCAAAGUUAGAGUUUGUGUUGAUUUCAGAGACCUUAAUAAAGCUAGUCCUAAGGAUGAUUUUCCUCUCCCACACAUUGAUUUGUUAGUUGAUAGCAUUAUAGGUCAUUUGAUGUUGUCCUUCAUGGAUGGAUUUUUCGGGCAUAAUCAGAUUCUGAUGGCUUUAGAGGAUAUGGAGAAGACAACCUUCAUUACCGAGUGGGGUACCUACUGUUAUAGAGUUAUGCCAUUUGGGUUGAAGAAUGCAGGAGUUACUUAUCAGAGAGUUGCUACCACUUUGUUUCAUGACAUGAUGCAUAGGAAUGUGGAAGUUUAUGUAGAUGAUAUGAUUAUGAAAUCCCGAAGCAGAGUGGAUCACCUAACGGCUCUAGAGAGAUUCUUUUAGAGGAUUCGAAAAUUCAGGUUGAGGCUAAACCCCAAGAAAUGCACCUUUGAAGUGACUUCUAGGAAAUUGUUGGGGCAUAUGGUCAAUGAGCGGGGUCUAGAGGUUGACCCAGAUAAGAUCAGAGCCAUACUCGACAUGCCUGUGCCGAGGACAUGAGAAAGAGAUUAGGAGUUUUCUGAGCAGAUUAUAGUACAUCAAUCGUUUCAUAGCCAGAUUGACAAACAUAUAAGAGCCCAUAUUUCGUCUUUUCAGGAAGAACCAACCAACGGUUUGGAAUGAUGUACUUGGGGUACUUGAUGAUGAUACACAUGAUCUCAUGUUGCAAGAGCAUGACUUGCGUACUCCUUUAUGGUCGUUUCCUCACCAAAGUGUUCAAGGAUGUCAACAUUGACUUAAGUAGAGAGACAGAUUUUGAGGUUCCUAGUACUUAUGACAUGUGUGAUGAUCAAUCGAUGGCGAGGAUGAAAUUUGAGAAGGUUCCCGAUGGUUCUUGGGUAAAGAAAGCAGAGGGAGCACCAACAUAGGCCUUAGGAUAGGGAUAGGCACAUCUCGGAGUAGAAAAGGAGGCCGAGAUACGAGAGAUGGAGGGAAGAGUAGACCCUUAGAGUGGCUAUCGGUAGAGAGAGCUCGAGCUUGACAUUCUUCCACUUCAGUCAGAGGUUGUUCAGUUUAAGGCUACCUUCUCUAAGCCGAUGAUGUUUGAGCCGACUUAUACAACAGAACCAUCUACUCAGCCGUCAUUCAUUGAUUGUUCCUCUAGACCUGGAUUCACUGAGCCUCUUCACACUGAGUACCACCUCCUCAGGAACCUCUCGUUUCUGACCAUACUCCUUGGAUGAAUAUAUCUGCUUAGAUUAGCUCUCUAGGUAGUCGCAUGGAGGAGCUUGUUGUAGUAAGUGAUACUCAGUUCUAUUCCAUGGAAGAUCGCAUGAUCAAUAUCAGGCUAGUUUCACUUCACAGUUUGAGCAUCUCCAAUAGAGGUUUGAACGUAUUGAGGAUCGAAUGGAUCAGCAUCAGGCUGGCUUCACUUCACAGUUUGAGCAUCUCCAAUAGAGGAUUGAGGAUCGCUUGGAAAGUUAGCAUGAGGAGAUGAUGGCUUACAUGCGUUCUAUGUUUCCACCUCCACCUCCUUAACCUUGAUUUCGUAGAGACCCCUUUUGUUCCUUUUUAUGUUGCCAAAAGGGGGAGAUAUUUAGUCUAUAGGAGACUUACAUGCAUCUCAUUGUCAUAUCAUAUGUUUGGAUCGUACAUAUUGGAUAGUGAUACAUUUGACUUAUAUAUGAUAUGUUUAUUUGUUUCAUGUCCAUUUGACUUAUAUAUGAUAUGCUUAUAUAUUUCAUGACUUAUAUUGUUUCUUAUUGCAAAUUCAUUCUAUCUAGCAUGCCUUGAUUUUCUUGGUUUUAACUUCGUAAAUUUUGAUUGUUGACCCAUGAUUGGUUUGAGGGGGAGAUUCUUCUUCUCCUAGAUAACCAAGGUUUGUCAUCAUCGAAAAAUGAGAGAUUGUUAGCCUAAGGGUUCUCCUAAUCAGGUUUUGAUGAUAACAAACCAUUGUUAAGUUACUAAUUGGUUUGAUUUUUAAAGAAUUUCAGGUGUUAAUAUGAAAAUUCAUCAAAGGACCUAAUGAAUGCAAGAUCAAGACCUUUGAAAGACCUUUAAUCAUAGGAAACAUAUGUAAGAUGAAUGCAUGGGUGCACUUAGGUUUUACAUAUCAUUUCAUGCAUCUUUGAAAAACUCGAUUUAUUCUUUAAAGUUACAGUUUCAUCAAAACCCGAGUUUUAUCAAAUGAACCUUAGGCAAAUCUCUUCAAAAUUGGCAUAUUGAUUUACCUAAAGACCUUGCCUAAGUGUUAGAAGAGAAAAGAACAAAAAAAGAUAGGUUUUCGGGCCAAAUAUGGUGAACUAGUCGAGGCACUGGCCAACCGGCUCAACUGACUAGGGGUAUCGGUCGAUUGAUUCCCUUUUCUCGAUCGAGGUUUGAUCGAGAGAAGCAAAAAACACUUUCUCUUUUCCAAUAGCCUUUCCUUCCAGUUCGAGGUAUUUGCCUUCUUGGUCAACCUCCGGUUGAGGGUAACAAUCACCUGCCAAGCAUUAAAUGCUCUAAUGACUAGUGAACCGGUUGACCCCCAACUCCACUGGUUGAGGCUGCUUUUUGGUUUUCUUGGUUCCCGAGGUUAGAAACCUAUAAAUAGAGAGCUCCACUUCAUUUAUGAGUAAGAGAAUACUUGCAUUUAUUUGCCUACCCACUUGUUCUUACCUUAAAAGCUCUCAUUCUUUUCUUGAUGCAUUAAACCCCCAUUUGUAUAUCCUUUGGUGCACCUUUGUGAUCAUCCUAGCCUUAAGUUGUAUUUGAGUUAUUGUUGAGCUAAGUUGAGAGAUUCAUUCUUGUUAAUUGAGUGUUAAAGCCUUCAAGUGAGUUGAAACUUGCAGAGAUUGUGUAAGAACCCAUUGGAGUCAGAAUACAAGUGUAAAAGUGAUUAGAAACUUGGUUGAAGCUUCAAGUUAAUGGAACCCUCACUUGGUUAGGAGCUUAAGCAGAGUGGACAUAAGCAAGGAAGUUUUAUAAUAUGAUAAGUAUUUAUUGCUUUAUAUUUUGUUCCUAUUUUUUUGCACCUUUGCCUUAUUACUUUGUAAUUAAUCCUAUUUUCUUUUGUGCCUUCAUCCCAUUAUUUCAAUCCUCAAGGUAAAAAAUUUAACAACUAGAUCUUGAUUUGGUGCCUUAAACUUUUUCAUUAUUUAUUUUCGUCAUUAUAUAUAUUAUUAUAUUGGCAAAUUUAAAAAAUUGUUCAUGGUAUUGAAAAAAAAAUAUCAAUUUUUAAAAAUAUUUCUUAAAAUAUGAUAAGUAAAAAAUUAUUCUUAAACUUAUGGUAUAAUAUGAUAAAUCAAGAAGUUAUCUUUUAAGACAAGCCAGUUAGAACAUUAAACCAUAUGCUACAAGUCUAUCAACAAAAAGACACACGCCUCUUGAAAUUGAUUGAAUAAAUCAUCAAUACAUGGUAAUGAACAUCGAUUAAGAAUGGUAACCUUAUUAGAAUCUCAAUAAUCUAUGCAAAACCUCGUAUUACCGUCCUUGUGUACAAAGAGGACAUGGGCUCCCCAUGGUGACACACUUGAUCGUAUGAGUCACAUAUCCAAUAACUCCUAUAAUUGGACCUUCAACUCCCUAAGCUCUGUUGGAGCCAUACGGUAUGGUAUGGCACCUUGGAUGUUGGUGUAGUUCUUGGCACCAAGUUUAUGGCAAAGUCCAUCUCUCUCGCUGGUGGUAAUCUAGGUGAUUACUACCAAAAAGUGCUAUUUUGUAGACCUAAUUAUAAUGGUUUUAAGCACCUUUGGGUAGUAAUCAUAUUCAUUUAACCCAAUUAAUUCAUUAAGGUCCUUAGUAAUUGGUUUUAACCAUUUUGUGGCAAGUUUACAUGUUUUUAUCAGCUUAUGAAUCAAUUCAAGCAUGCCAAAUGAUGGAGGAGCUACUUGGACAAGUUAAAGCAAGCUUUUAGCUACACCAAAGCAAGCCAACAAAAGGAGAAAAGCAAAGAGAAGCAAAGAGAAGCAAAAAGAAGCAAAGAGGAAAACAGAGGACAGCAGCUGCAGUCUUCUUUGGCACUUUUGGAGCACUUUCUGAAGUCCAUUUUAUACAUGCUAUAUACCAUUUAAAAUCUCAGGAAGUCAAGAAUCCAACGCUUCAAACCGUGUACAAUUUGGAGCUGAAAUGAGGAAGAUAUGGCCUCCGGAAGACAACUGCAUCAAGCUGAGGGACAAUUUCGCACGAUGGAAAUCAAGGUGCGAAUUCCUCAGUCCAAAGUGUGGGAAUUUCGCACACCUGAAACCAAAGUGCGAAAUUGGAACUACAACGUGCGAAAAUUGGAUAUUUUUGCCGACUCUUUUUCUUUUGGAUAUUUUUGUAUAAAUUUCCAUUCUUCUCCUUGUAAUCCACCAAUCAUAAGAUUUCUUAACUAGGAAGGUUGGAAAAACUUCUCUAUUUAUAUCCCCUUGCAUCCGUUGUGACAAAUAGGGGGAGAUUGAUAUAUUGAUAUAUUGAUAUAUAGACUUAGAAUAUUUACAGAGCUCUCCCGUUUCUAUUUUCUUAGUAGCCAAACAGCCUUUGAGGGUUUUUCCUCAAAGGAUGAUUGGCUAAAACUUUUAGUUUCUCAAAGUAUGGAUGUUAUGUGAUGACUUGGAUGCAAUCCCAUGGAAAUUUCUCGCACUCGGAAGGUAAGGUAGUCGUUUUUCAUUAAUGGUUCAUUAAUGCAAAGUUUGGUUUUUAUUUCCUUUUGACAACUUCCAACGGCCAAUACUUGAUAAGCUUUUGGAUUUCUAUCCAUUAGUUAUCUCCUACGAGAUAUUGGAAGGUGAGGUUUUCAAUUCCAAGUUUUGCAUUAAUCCGUUAGAACCAAUUUCAAUGGCCAUUGAAAGGUGAGUUUAUCACCUGGAAUGACUUUGAGUUGCCAAUAUUUGGUAAGCUUUUGGCUUUAGACCAUUAGUUAUCUCUUACGAGCCAUUCAAAGGAAGUCUAAGGUGAAUAACCAUUGAUGAAAUUGACUACCAUCUGUUUUGUCAUUUUAAAGGAUUAAAACUUGAUUUGCUAAAUCCAUACCGGUUCGGGAAGCAAGCAUCACCAUAGUUGCAACCCCAACGCGAGGAGCCUAUCCUGAGAUUUCCAAUUUGCAUAAGAGCCAGAGGAUAGCUAUCCUAUCUUUGAGAAACUUGUUUUUACACCCUUUCAUUUUAGUCUUUAAUGUUAGCUUAGAUUAGUUUAAAUCUUUCUAAAAACAUUUACAUCUUCUUUUAAAGCUAACAUUCAUAAGAAAAUCACCUAUUUUCCUAAUUUGAAUAUCACUUGUGUUUGCGAAAACCCUUCCCAGUGAACGAUCCUAGAACCACUAUGCUAUAGUAGCUUGGCUACUUUAGUAAUAGUAUUCAAGGUAUAAAUUUUGUUGAUACGCCUUUAAAGCUAAGCUACCAUGAGUCGAAUCACUAGGCAAGUCUUUUAGAAAAGCCUCUAGAAACUCACAUGCCACUGGUAUGUCCUCAAGUCAUGGCUCUAUAGCAUGACUAUCCACAACAUGAGCAAGGAAACCCCAACAACCCUCUCUUAUCAAAUCACUGCUUACAUCGGUGAGAUCAAAUAUAGUGGUGCUAAGACCCUUGAACACUUAACUCCAACCUCAAGGGCACCUGGUAAUUUGAAAAAUAAUUGAUAAAAGCAUGAUAUGUGGCUAACCAAUCUAUCAUGAGAAUAACAUCAAAGUCUUGCAUAGUCAUGAGUACCAAGUCUACUUGCAACUCCCAGUAACUAAUGGUCACAACACAUCCUCUAUAUAUCAUGUUUACAAUCACCCCAUCCCGAUUGGAGUAUUUUUAUUUUUAUUUUUAUUUUUAAAUUUUCAAAUGAUAACUUAAAAUAAAAAACACUAAUAUAAAAUUAUAAAACUAAUAAAACGAGAAUAAAAUUAAAUUAUAAAAUUAAUUUUUUUAUUUAAUAAAAUUAAAGAUAUUCAUAUAUCUACAUUUUAUUCACAUUUCACUAAUUUUAAAUUUUUUCAUUGCUAUUUAUAUUUUAUUAAUUUUAUGAUGUUAUUAUUUGAUUUUCUAUAAAUGGUGAAUAAUCAUUAUAUAUUAUUAUAAUGGUAAUUAUAAACAGAAGGAAUUUGGUCUUUGGUUAACACUGAUUCGUUCCCAAUUGGUGUCUCAGUUGAUUCAUGUCCUCUCAAUGGUACCUGACAGUGGUGCCAUUUGAUACGUGUCCAACUGGUGUCCCUUGAUUGUGGUCCUCAGGGAGUAAUCAACAAAAUUUAUAACCUAUUACACCAUGUACUAGGAUAGCCUUAGCUAGCGUAGCAUAGUGGCUCUAGGGUCGUUCAUUGGGAUGGGUUUUCACUUCACAAUUGAUAUUAAUUCAAAGAUGAAUUGGUGUCUUUUCAUUUCAAGGUUAGCUUUAAAAGAAAACAUAAAGAUAUUUAAAUGAAAAAGGUUUGGUUUUAAACUAACCAAAAAUAGUAACUGAUUUUACUUACAAAGAAAAGUGUUUCUUGGAGUUUAGAUCACUAAGCUCAGGUUCCUCAUACAAAAAGGAGAGUUCUGGUUGCUUGUUUAUUUUCCUCGCAUUAGAGAAUUAACAUAUAGUUAAUUCUCUAACCGGUGUGGUACAGAUGCUUCCCUUUAAUGGGUUCAAACACUAAAUCCCUCUCACUGAUGCAACUUGCAAUGGCUCGUGCCUCUCACCUAGCAUUUGCCAUUUAAGGUGAUCUUUAACCUUGGAUUACCCGUCAAAAGCUCGCAAGAGAUAACUAAUGGAUGUCUCCUUGGAGUCCAAAAGCUUACCAAGUGUUGGCUAUUCUAGAAAAUCCUACCUCUAAACCACCUCCCAAAGGCUCGCAAGAGAUAAACAAGUGUAUCUCAAUGGAUGGAGAUCACUUGCCUUACCAAGUGUUGGCCCAGGUGAUUUAAAGGCGUUUUAAGUUAACUAAAAAGAUAGAAACCAUUAACGGGUCACACUUUCUCUUCAUUAAAAACUAAAACAACAAAACUUCCAAUUUAUGCAUGUGAAAACUUACCCGGCUUUCUUCACUCCAAGAGACAAAGAGCCUAGCCUCUCAUCCUCUGAGGAAAAAUCCUCAGAGUUUGGUUGGCUAGAAAGAAAACUAACGAGAAAACAAAUAUAUAUGAAAAGCAGAGCAAGUGCUCUGUAUUUUACUUCCUUCCAAAACUGUACAAAGGAUCCGUUCUAAGAACAAGCUCCCGAGAUCUAUAUAUAUAAGAGGUUAUUCACCCCUUUGUUCUUACUUAAAGACUAAGGAAUCCUAUGAUAGGUGGGUUACAAGGAGACUUUGGGGAUUUACACAACAAAUAUCUGAAGCAAAAUAUCUCACGAUGUUGGUAGAAAAUUUCUCAAGAUGUCGGUCGAAAAUAUCUCAAGAUGUCGGUCAGAAAUACUAGGAAGCUUCAGGAGAACACCAUGACACUGUAUACUGACAGAAAAACUCUCCGGGUAAGCGCUAUCAGAGGAUCCGGAUAUGUCUGACCGGAGAAGUUGAAACAUCUUCCUCUCCCAUCCGACUGUGAGAUAUCCGGAUGUAAAAUGUCGGCGCACGGAAUUCCGGAUAUGAAAUGUCGGCGCAUGGAAUUCCGGAUAUGAAAUAUCCGGAGAAGGUGAAAAGUCGGCCGGAUAGAAUUCUUCCCCGGGUGGAAUGAGCUAUGCUACGCAAGGGGGACCGUCCGCGUGUGCAAGGUGUAGGGACCCCUCUCCUGGAUGACACAGAGCGCGCAAGGCUAUCCGGAUCAACUCCAUCCGGAUUCCCCAAGAGGACAUGUGGCGCGCUCCCCCUAUCCGAACUCCCUCAGGGAGAGGCACACGACACUCGUGAACAUCACACCCGGACGAUAGCAUAUCCUAUCCGAAUAUGUUGUCUGGAUCAUUGACUAAAAGUGAGCAAGUCUUGCUACGUCAUUCGGACAGCCUGCCAUAGACCAUGUUCCGCCGCCAUCCUGUCCGAACGCCCUGUCCGGACAUCUUUUACUCUUUGCAUUCUGGAUCUGCUUAUGGCAAAGGACUUUAAAGCUUCGGUUCUUCAUGUUUUUGAGCUUUCCAUUGCUUUGCCAUGGAUUCCAAAGAACUCUCCUCAAUCUCUGAUUGCUUUGGUGAUCAAAAGCUAUCAAAACACCAAAACUUAACACAAUUUGAUUAGAAUUGAUUGCAAGGGUCCUUAAUAUGUUAAUUGGGUUAAAAGGUGAUAACUACUACUCAAAAGUGUUUAUAAGAGUUAAUUACAAGCUAUGAAAUAGCACUUUUUGAGUAGUAAUCAAACACCUUUCCCCUUUUACAUAAAGAAGAGCCCUAAAAUGGGGCUGCCCACUACCCACAUGACAUUUGAAAUAUUAAAGUUUAAAAAAAGCUGUUUGAAAACUCACAAUUUAAAAAAAGUUUGGGUGAUAAUAGUUUUGAUCAUUUGCUUUUGAAAAAAAUUAAAAAGUUGUUUGAAAACCCAUUGAUAUGUGUCUGGAAAAUUAAAAAUCUAUCUGUAAACCUAUCCUUUGGAAAAAGUGGGGCGAAAACCGAUACUUCAAAGAAAUUAAAGUUUCAAAAGGCCAUUUGAAAACAAACUUUUUAUGACUAGGUGUACCUUAAAAGAUGUAUAAUUGAUGCUAACUUCAUGAAAAUUUAUGUACAAUAACAUCUUUUAGUAUUCACACAUGUAUUUACACCUUUUUCCUCAUUUUCAUUAUUUACUUUUUAUAUUAAAUUAUUGAAAAUAUUAUUUACACGCAUGCAUAAAUAUCAAAUAUAAUUUUUAUUUUUAUCUUAUAUAUAUAAACACUUGUAUUCAAUGUACACGACAUUUGUACUAUUAAUAGAAUACAUGUAUAAGUUUAUAUAUUUAUGCAUUUUUUUCAUUUUCUUUGACUAUUUUUUUUAUAGUAUUGGAAACAUUAUUUUCAUAGAUGCAUGAAUGUCAAAUACAAUUUUUUAAAUUUGUCACACAUGUACAAGUUACUUAUACUAAAUAUAUAAGACAUUUAUACUAGUUGUAUAAGGUUUGUACAAAUGUACAUGUUAUGAAUAUGAAAAUAUUAAAAUGUUGUACAUCCUUUUUAUCCGGUUAAUAUGCAAAUAACUUAUAGAUCAUCUCUAAAAGUGAAGCAAAGGAAUUGAUAUAAUGAUCACUAAAAUUGCAAAUAAAAAAUAGAAGUAAUUAAUUAGAAUUUGAUUAUUAUUAUUUAUAAUUUGAAAUAUCCUAUUAACCCAUAUUAUCACUUAUAAUUUAAAUUAAAGAUAUAUUUUCUUAAUUUGAACAAUUAAGUAAUACUAAGUCUUAUUGAGAUUAAAUAGUAUGCAAUUUAAUAUAAUUCUAUAGUUUAAUUGUAAAUAUGUUGUUACUUAAUGAAAUUUCAAAAUUUUAAAAUAAAAAAUUAUAAUAAUUGAACCUUAAAUUAAUAAAAAAAUAAACUAAGAUACACUACAACAAAUAUGAGGUUUUGUCAUAAAUUAAUUUUUUAUUAAAAGAUAUUAUUUUGUAGUAGAAGAUUUUUUUCUUCCACAAAAAAAAUUAUUUGUGGUGAGUUUGUUGCUAUAAACCCAUGAGCAAUUAUUUUUAACCAUAAAUUUUAAUCUUAUAGCAAAAACAAUUUUCUACAAAAUAAAAUGUGGCAACAUAUCAUUUUUUUUAUCAUAAAAUAAGUUUAUAGCAGCAUGUCAUUUUUGGCAUGAAAAUAUUCAUGGUAAAAGGUUGAUGACCAUGUUCCAGGCCAAUGUGAACCAUCGGCCAUCCAAGUAGCUUUUGGAACAUUAAUGGCUUCCAAAAGAUGACCAAUUUCAGAAAAAUGGUAAAAAUAUGGACCUUGAGAAGUCACCACGACGUCCAUCCCUAUUAUUUUAGGGUCCAGAAGACAUUGCCAUUGUUACUCUCAUCAGAUUCCAUGUUAUCCAAGUGGAGAACUCAGGAUAAUAUAUUGUAUUGAUAGUAGUCUCAUUUCUAUGAUAGAAAUAUAGUCCACUCUUUGUAGACAGGAUGGCAUUUAUGAGCAUAUCUUUACGUUUAACUCUUCUUAAUUUUUUCCUCUUUGUAUAAAGAAUCCGCUAUUAUCAACACAUAUUUAAUACAGCUCUUAAGUAAUUCCUAACAUAGUUUAAGUUUGAGAAACUAUUCAUGAACAGGGCAUACCUUAUCAGCUGCCUCCUUGGUUUAGGACAAGUGACCACAUCAUUCUGACCAAGACAUGAUUUAAGUAGGAUAAACACGUAAAAAUUGUGAGAAUUCCACAUUUAAACUAGAAACUGAAGUCUGGUAGUAGCAAAUUUAAGGUAGCCUUGAAUUCUUAGCAACCAAACAGACCAUUAACCAGCAAAAAAAUGCAACUGAACCACUUCUUUUUAACAUGGAGAAAAUCGAAGAAACUCAAACAAAGAUCCAGCCUUCAUUUUCUCUCAUUCCAAAUGCAGAAAACCCUAAGCCUUGAAUUUUUCACUCUCGUCCAAAUGGAGCACAGUAAACCUUAAUUUACUUUGUAGAUGAAUUAACAAUGCCUGACCAAACAAACACAUAAUAUUUUUAGCAAUUAGAUAAAAAGAUUUAAUGGUUUGAAAUGAUAUUGUAGAUUUUUUCAUAAAAUUAGUAAUAUAAUAAAAUUAGUAUUGAAUGAUCCUAAGCAUCCUAUUUAAUACUAGUUAAAUUAUAAGAAAAUUAAAUAAAAAUUUAAAGUUGAAAGAAGUAGAGCCCUAACUCUCUUGUUGUCGAAGGUGUUUAGUUUUUUGAGAAUAAAGAGUUAGGGCUUGCAUAGAAAUUAUUUUUUAAAAUAAUAUUUUAUUCUCUGUAACAAAAAAUUGCUUUUAUAACUUAAAAAGCACGUUUAACAAAUUUUUAACAACAAAUAUUUUUUUUUAAGAAUUUGUUUUGAAAGUAAACUGUUUUUUAUAUUAAAUUUGAGGUGUUUUCCAUUGUUUUUUGUACAACAUUCUAAAUAAUAAUUGAAAAUGUAAAGAAUAUUUUUAAAAUGCAAUAAUAAUAAUAAUAAUAAUAAUAAUAAAUAUAAUUAAGGAGGAGAGGAUGAGUUUGAAGUAGAUAAUAAUAAUAAUAAUAAUAAUAAUAAUAAUAAUAAAAUAUAAUUAAGGAGGAGAAGAUGGGUUUGAAGUAGAGAAUAGGGUUCCCUUCCUUCCCCCUCGACCUUGAUUACUCAUCCCUACCUAAUUAGGGAUAGAUCCUUGCGAAGAUCCACCUUGAUGGGUAUUUUCGUUACCCCUAUUAAAAGCAUCUCCUAAUAUUUGGAAGCAUAUUUGAAAAUCACAUUAAAAAUUCAAAAAAUCACUUCUGAACAAUUACUUCAUAGGUGGCCAAUUCUUCCAAAAAUCCAUUUUUUGUAAUAUUUAGUUUACAUCAAAACACUAAGUAGUUCUUCAUAAAAAUAUUUCUAAUGGGAGCAAUACUAUUAAAAGCGUUAUAUACUAAGAGCUCGCUUGAGAGUAAUUUGGAGAGAAGUUAACUAAAAAUGCUUCCUUACAAAAAUUAUUUGUUCAAAAUUUUUAAAUAAAGGAAACAUCAUUAGCAGACAUUUCUCUACCACAAAUGUUAAUCUAUGCAUCUCCUCAAAAUAAAAAGUCCAACAUACCUAAAAAAGGACAUUAAGAACAAAGGCCCUUCUAAGAUGUAAUAAUAUACAUGCACAAAAGAAAACAAAAAAAGAAAAAAAAAAAAAAAACAAUUGAAGGCAGUGUUUCACUCACAUAGACUAUGUAGAAAAAACAAACACCUCUUCCUUGUUUUGCAUAUGGAAAAUGAAAUCAGUCUUCUUCAAAAUCCUCCUCCCUAAGAUUUGAAUUGAUAGAAUCCAAUUUUUCAGAUUCUUCCUCUUUAUAACCCUAAGCAUUUUGCAAACAAAGAGCCUCAUAUUAGAUAGGAAAGAUGAAAAUUACAAUGAUGAAGGUUAACAUAAUUAGAACGAAAAUUAAUUUGGAUUGGAGGGUGAAUCAUAGAAUGCUAGAUCAAACUAAUGUUUCAUAUUAUCCUUGUAUUCUCUGAAAGUGAUAUUAUUUAUUUAAUGCAUAUUCUUAAAUUACAUUUAGGUAACAAUAUUGAUAAAGAUUAUAAAUUGCCUUAAGUAUUAACUAGUUCUUCUAUAUAAAAAUGAGACCCUCUAUGUAGAAUCUUGGUGUAGAACUUCAAAUAAUUGUCUACCUUUAACUUUUAAAAAAAGGAAAAAUAUUGUCAUGACCAGUAAUAUCCUAUAUUAGAUAGAAAAAGUUUCUAUAACUUUAUGGUGGAUUUCUCUUAACUAGAUAGAUGAUUUUUAAUGCUCUGAGAGCUCAUUAGGACCAAAGUGGAUAAUAUUUACAUAACAAGAACAAAUUGUCACAAAAGAUAUUAGAAUUAAUCUCUGAGCUUAGGAUGGGAUGAGGUCAUUACAUGACCAUUUAAAUUAUUUUUUGCUAAAUGCUCUAUGUUUUUGUUAACAAAAUCAAAGAUGAUAAAAGACUACACAAUUGAGAAUUCUUACAUUACCUUUUGCCCUUAAAUGAUGUUUGCACUAUCAAAAAAUAAUUUUUUAGAUUGAAAUGGAAAUAGGACAUAUUCCUUUUUUUCUUUUUAUUUUUUCUAUUUGGGACUAGCUAAAUUGAUACUUUACUAAACCCAACACAAUAUCCUUCACUCUUUAGGUUUUAGCAAGAAUUUAUUUAUUUAUUUUUUAUCCAAUUAGACUUCUUAAUCUACAAACCAAAAGAAAAUGAGAACAUUGUCCAUAAUAGGUAAAUAUCCCCAUUCAAUAUCUCACAGUAGUUCAAAUCUAUAUUAAAUCUCAAACAAUUUUGAAAAUUCAAGAAUCAUAUAUCUUCAAACAUGUGAUGAUAACUUAGGCCUCUCCCUCAAACUCUAGCUUAGCAAAUAAAAGUUAAAAAAAAAUUUGUUGAAUUUUCUAGCUUGCUAAAGUAGGGCUCAAACCCCAAUUCUAGAACAAUUCCAACUUGUAAGAUAUCUUUUUAUCAAAGCUAAUGUGGUUAUUCAAUGAACUUAUCACAUUUCUUGCUCAAAUUAUUCUAACUUGAUUAUUUAACCAAGUUAAAUUAAAGAUUAGCUCUUAUGUCUAUUCUAAAUUAGUUUUUUAAUCACAAUACUGGACUCCUUGCUCUCUACCUUUGGAUUUGGUUAAACAUACAUACAUAAACUUUUUGACAAGUGCUUUAUAGUUGUUGCACCAACUUGGGCCUUCAAAUUUUUUUGCCAAAACACAAUAACGUGAACCUUCCAAUAUUUCUUAAAUAAUCAAUGUGUUGUUUAAAAAAUAAUAGUAUCUCCCAUAUAAGAUGUAACAAUUGUUAAAGACUUACCUUGAAAGGAUAAUAGUUUCUAAAAAAUUGAGGUAUUAAAAAAUUUUUACUUUCUCAAAUUUUAAAAUUUUAAAGAACAUAAAGUAAGUUCAUACUUUUUGUAUAAGAGUUCCUAUAUUUUAUAUAGAAUGUGCUAUUAUCUUUUGCUUGAAAAACAAAUAAAUAAAGAAAGUGUAUCUAAAUGAAACCUUAAGUAUCAAAUUUUUUUUAUCUAACUAUUCUAACUUGAUAUCCUAACCUCUAGCUUCAACUAUAAUGCUAGUUUCUCUUUGUAGUUUUGCACCUGAAUUAACUAAUGUGUGUAUAUAUAUAUCUAUGAAUUUUUUGGCAAACACUUUUUACUUCUCAAGUCACAAGAAAGCCUCAUGACUUCUUAAACAUGUUAAGAAAUCAAAAUAUGAAAGAGUGAUGAUGUCACCAAGGCAACAAACAAUAUUAAGACAGUUUGCUUAUAUUAAGAAAUUAAACAUGUUCUUUUAGACUUGAAUAAAAUGAAAAUUCUAUAGGCUUGUUUUGUGUCUUUUCUUCAUACAAAAUAAAUUAAGAAUUUUUUUUGGGAGUGAUUUUGAAAGGUGUUAAUAAUACUUCAUAAUGCUUGAAAACAUUUCUUAUAAAAAUUAGGUGUUUGACAAAAUUUUGAAAGUGGUAAAAAAUAUGAAGUGAUGAUUCCUGGACAAUAACUUCAUAAAAUAAAAAAAAAAAUCAUUUUGCUGUUAUAUAAAACAAUACUAUGAAAACAUUUUUUUUUAGUUUAUAUCCAAACACGAAGUGAUUCUUUUUAAAAAUGUUUAUAAGGGAAAUGUUAUUAACAAAAAUGUUAAAGAUAAAGACAUUUUAAGUAGAAUAACCCCAAAUAACCUUUAAGACAAAUAAGAUUAAAGUAGUAUUUACUAUAUUUAUAGAGCCAAGGAAAAGAUGAUAUUAAGAGUAGAAAGAAUUAGUUAGGGGAAUUACUCCAUUCAUACCUGUUCCAUGAACUUCUUGCGUAUGGUGGUAUUUUGGUCAUCCUGCCAACAUUCUUCAAAAAAUUCUUUUUGUACACUUUUUAGCCUUGGUGCAUCUAAGACUCCCUUGCAAAAAAAUUCCAUCCCAUGACAUUCUCUCACCACCAUUGUUUCCAAGGAUGGGAAUUUGAAGACAUAUCUUGUUGAUGAGCAAAAGCUUUUCAGAUUUGGCAAAUGAUAAAGUCCCAGGCUCUUUAAUCUAGUGAACUCAAUCUCAUUAUCUGUUAGUUCAUGUCCUUCAUUUCCCACUAUUUCUUUUAUCAUGUGGCAUUCUUGUAUAAUAAGCUUUUUGAGUUGCACCAGUCUUUUGGCCAUUAAUGGUGUUACCAAAUUUAUCAAACUCCCACAACUAAUUAUCUCUAGAGCUUGAAGACUUUGAAAAUAUGGGCCUAAUCCAAAUAGAUGAAUUAGAAUAGGUAGAUCCUUCAAGCAUAUUUCAAUUAAUCGUGGAAGUGUCUCAACAUGAAAUUCUUCACUUGGAAGCCUUUCUACUUGAAUAACCUCAUUCACUGAAUCACACUUUAUCACCUUUAGUUGUUCUAGAUUAUGUAGUAUUUGAACCAUAUUCAAGGGAAUCACAACCGAAAUACCAUGACAAUAGUGUAUCAUCAAAUCGCUUAACUUCGAAAAAGACACCCUUGAAAAUUGGCCUCGCCAUAUCUCCAUAGUGCCCUUUAAGCUCAAUGUCAGUUCUUCCAAAUUAGGAAAUGCUUCAUGGCAAACCAAAUUACAUAAGAGGAAUGACAUUUCAUUUAUGUGAUUUUUUUUAAAUAAAUAAAUAAGUUAUAUAUACACACAUAUACAACAAUCCUCUUUAAGCUUGCAAAUAGCUCAAUAAAUGAUAAAAAUAAACAAGCCCCUUCAAGUUCAAACUCAUGACCACUUGAAAAAUAAGGCGAUACCAUAGUAAAUAGAAAAAACUGUAAAUCAGUUCAUUUUAUCUACAAACCUAACAUUUAUAUAUUUAAUAAUUAUAUUUCCUUCUUGAUCAAAGAGCUAUUAGGAGAAAAUAAGUAAACAGUAUUAUUGUUAUAAUUAUUAUAAUUGUUGUUGUUGUUGUUUUCCAUAUGAGGCGUAAUGAAUUACUGUGUCUAAAUAAUCAAGGUACACUUUGACAAGUUUUGAUGCAAUGUGGCUAAAAAUAGAUUGGAUCAAUAUUGCACAUUAAUUCAAAUAAAACAUCAACAUUUUUUUUUUUGUUAAAUUCUAAAUAAACACCACUAUAAAUUAAUGCAAUUUUGUAUGAAAUUCAAUUAAAUAAACUCGUUCUUAAGGCAUCACAAGAAGUGUUUAAGUCUAAUUAAUAUUAAUUAAAAAUUAUUAUAUUAAAAAAAAUCCAAAGUAAUUUAUUUUUAUCAUAAGUCAAAUAGGAUAAUUUUAUAAAUAAUUGGUUUUAGUUUCUAGUAUUCUUGUACACAAUCGCUAUGUUUGUUGCACCUCCAAAAAAUCUACUACUUGUAAUUAAUUGUAUAUUAUUCUCCAUAUUCACAUCAGUUUAUGUAGUAUGAUUAAUUUAGCAACAAAAUAUAACUUUACUUGAAAUCGCUUUAAAUUCCUAUGAUAUUAAAGUCUACGAUUAAAACAAUGUAACAUUAGCUAAAAAGAUUAAGAUCUAUAAUGUAACAUAUAAAAUUUAGAAAAUUCAAGGAAGGGUAAACUCGCACCUUUUCUACCCAGAAGAGUGGCUCAAGUUCACAUUCCAAACUUAUUUGUUGAAAGAGUAUCUCCACUUUAUCACAAUUGUGCACUACCAAUUGUUUCAAAAAUGGCCAACUUGGACUAAACCUUCCAGAGCAAAAUCUUUUGAGAUGGUGUAAACCACGGAGUGCUGCUUCAUCUUCAUUUUCAUUGGCAACAAUUGCCUCCGCUUCACUCCCCAAUAUAUGUAGGUCCUCAAGUUGCACAAGAGCACUCGCCACAGAAAGCGAAAAAAGAUUUAGCAAAUUGUUGCAUCCACUUACUUGCAAUUUCCUUAAUUUGGAAAAUGAAUUUGCUGGAAGUUGGCUAGGCCGCAAUGCUCUUAUAUUAUCCAGUGUGCCUACAAAUAAGGACUCCAAGCUGGGAGUGCAACCUGUGCAAUUGAUGAUCCCUUUAGUUAAUAAUAUAUACAUAUACAUUCCUAAUAAUUAGACACAUGUAAAUAGAAAAUAAGAGGUUAAAGGAUAAUAUAUCAGUAUAACAAAGCACAAAAUUUAAACUAGAUUGAAGAAGAUCAAGAAAGAGAAAAGAAAAGAAAAGAAAAGAAAAGGCCUCCUGAUUUUGAAGAUCCAAUGAAACUUUUAAAAAAAAAAAAAAAAAAAACCUCCAAAUUUUGCUUUCCAAAUGAGGUAAUAAGAGGAUUUUUUUUUUAAACUUUUAUAUAAGAUACAAGAACUCUUAGAGGGUUACAUUAUGUAAGUAAUACUUUAAAAAAUUUGUGAUAUCCAAAAAAAAUUUUAAAAAUUAUUUUUAAAGAAAGGUAAAUCUAUACUUUUUGUAUAAGAUGUUCUACCUUUAUAUACAAAUUUCUGAUUUUUUUUUUAAAGUGUAUCCAAAUGGACACUAAACUAUCUAGUUUCAAAUUUUUACAACUUUGAAUUGGAUUUUAUGGUAAACUAAUUUACAAUAUAAUACAUGGAUUCAUCUUAGAUUCCAUCUAUAAAUUUUUUAAUUAUCUAAUAUAAGACAUUAUAUUAAUGGGUUGAAUUAAUAAUGUAAUUACAAUUUAUUUGGCAACUUUCUUCCUUCAAAUAUAUAAAACGAAAAUAAAUUUUAAAAAGUAAAAAAAAUGAAAAAAAUAAAAAAUAAAAAAGCUUAUUUUAUAGUUUUUCUAAGAUGAUUUUGUAGAGUGUUAGUUUAUAGUUUUAACUUUAUUUCAUUUUACUUUUAACUUUAUUUAUUGAGAUAUGUUCUUUUUUGAAACUCUUGUUUAGAUUUUAUAGAGAAUAUAAAUUUUAAGAAAAAAAAUGAAAUUUAAAUAAGAUAAGAAUAAAGAAACGCAAAAGGUGGAUGGAUUUUUUUAAGGCAAAAUUUUGAUAAUUGGCACUAUCAUGUAACAGGUGAAAAUUUUAAAUACUCAACAAAGGCUAGAGAAAUUUAAAUUAAAAGCUCGACAUGUACUUGUUCGAGCAAAAAGAGCAGUUGUUGAAUUUUGUUGUCAAGUUCACUUUUCUAACCUAUUUCUUGAAAUAGUAUCUCCACUUUAUCACAAUUGAACACUCUCAAUUCUUUUAAAAGUGGCCAUCUUGAAGUAAACCUUCCGAAGCAAAAUCUUUGGAGUUGGGGUAAAGUAUUGAGUGUGAGAGAGGUUAGUUUAGGGAAUAAGAAUAAAGAUGUUGCUUCAUCUUCAUUUUCAUUAGCAACAAUUGCCUCUAGUACUCCACAAGAGCAUAUCUGUAGGUCCUUAAGUUGCACAAGGACUUUCGCCACGAAAAGGGGAAAAACAUUCAGCAAUUCAUCACAGUAACUUACAUCCAAGCCCUUUAGUUUGGAAAAGGAAUUUGCUGGAAGUUGGUUGUGCCACAAUGCUUUCAGAUUAUCUAGACGACAUACACGCAAGGACUCCAAGGCAGGGAAUGCAGCCUAUGCAAUUGAUGAUCCAUUUGGUUAAUACAUUCUCAAUAACUAGACACAUAUAAAUAGAAUAUGAAAGGUGGAGGUGAAUAUGUCAACAUGAAAAAGCACAAAAUAAAUUCAUAAUUUUAUCUACAUAUUUUCUACAUAGGAAACUUUACUAUUAUGAGGGAUCUAAAACUACAUAUAAUACUUUGGCUUUGUUAUUUUUCAUUUAUACAUUCUAUAAUAUAAUUUUUAUUAACUCUAACUUUACAAAUCAUUUGAGUACCACUCACCUUUUGAAAAAUUAAUUUCAAAUCCUCUUUCAAGAAACUAAACUAGACUUCACAACAAGCAGCUUGAAACUCAUUUAGAAGGAAAGCUUAUUUUUAUUAAUUGUCUAAAACUAAUAGACUUCUCAUUAUAUAAUACUUUGGUUUUAGUAUUUUUCAUUUAUUCAUUCUCCAAUACAAUUUUACUAACUUAAAACAAGUAGAGCAUUUAUAUGUUGGAGUAAUAUGUAUAUGAUUAUUUUAUCCUAAUUUUUUAUUUAUUAAUUAAUUAUCAUUUUUAAAAGGUUUUAUUGACGUGAUUUGAUAAAUGGUCAUAUUAAUAAUAUUAGAACAUAAAAACAAACUAACUAUAUUUUAUCUGAUAUUUACCAAAAUAUUGAUUUACUAUCACAAAUUAUGUAAUUAAAAAUAUAAAAUAAAAUGUUGGUUUCAAUAACUCCAACCUCGCCAUUUUAUUAAUAUCUAUAUUUUGUUUAUCUUUUUCUUCUUCUACAUUUUGUUGGGUGAUAGUUAUUUUUGGGCUAUAAACAAAGUAUUUCAUAUUUUAAAACUUUAUAACUCUUAUAAUAAGUAUUUCAUUCAUUCCAAAAUCGAUUCUUCUCCCUUGCUAUUGGUUUAGAAUAUAAAAAUAAAUUUAUAAUUUUCUUUAAAUCAUAUUAGUAUCAAUUAUUCCUUUCAUGAAAAUAAAGAGAGUUUAAUAUUGAAAGAAAAUUAACAAAAAUAUUUAUGUUAAAAAUAGUUAAGCAAAAAAUUAUAUAAUAAAAAAGAAUGAAUUCAGCCUUCAAAGAGCAGAGUUUGUGGAAGAGAGCUGGAUUGUUUUUUUUUCUUUCUUUCAGGAAGAGAGGAGAGGAGAGGAGAGGAGAGGAGAGGAGAGGAGAGACAGAAAUCAGGAAAAUGGAAAAGGAGAGUGAUUACUGGUAAAGAAGAAGAAAUAGUUGAUAAAAAAGAGAAAAGGGUUACAGAGUGAAGAGAUUGAAGAAGCUUUGGAUUUUGGAAUUCAGUGAUCCCCAAAACGAAAAUAAGUAAAAGGCUUUCUGGCAAGAGGGAGAGACGGAGAGAAGGAAAAUGAAAAAAUGGGAAACAGCAGUGAGUAUUGGGUGAUAAAUCGACGAGGAAACGGUUGUUUUGGUGAAAGGAGAAAGGAGAGCAGCAAGCCACCUUCAGAUAUUGACUUUUGGGAAGGCAGAAUAGCAGAAUAGCAGAAUUGCAGAAUUGCAGAUUCCUGAAUGUGAAAAUAGUUUGGUUAGAAGGAAAGGGUGUUUUAUUAAUAAUCGGAAAACAAGUGAUGGCAUGCAUGGAAUCUUCUGAGUUCUUGCUUUUUGGACUUUCGCCACCUAACCUCAGACUCGCUCAUUACUCACCAUCAUCAUACUAUUAUUAUAUUCACAGAAUUUUUAAAAAAUAUAACAAUUAAAACUUCCAUUUCUAAAUUUACGGUAUCUCAUGAUAACUCAAAUAAAAAAUUACAUUCAAUUUAAGCAUCAUAUUUUGACGUUAUAUUUUUCAGAUAUAACUUUAAAUUUUAAAAUUUAUACCAAAAUUGUUUUUUUCAAAAAUAAUUAAUAUGUACCUAUAAUUAAGAAGACUUCACUAUAUUUAUAAUCUCAAAAACUUCUUUGCAUUAAUUAAUAUGGAAUAUUAUAAUAUAACUCUAUUAAAAUUAUUUAUUUAUUUGAAAAAAAAAAUUAUUCAUUUUUAGAAUAAACUCUUAUUCUUUUAACUAAAAGGAUCAAACAAGGAUGCAAAUAUCAACGUAGUAAAGAAUGCAAAUAUGAAGAGUAGUGAGAACUCCUAUGAAAGCUCAAAGAGUAGAAUAUUGAGUUAAACGUUGACAAAAUGACUACUACAGAGAAAGCUGAAAACAUCAACGUAGGAUUCAAUGCAACAAAAAGAAAUAAUGGACGGCAAAAUGAUAGAUGAUUGAAAACUCCAUCGGCAGUCGGCUGUUUUAUUGUAUUUGAUGUGGUCAACCUCACAACAUUGAGAGGUCUUUGUUUUUUUGGCAACCUCACUCUCACUCCCAUUAAUAUUUUAUUCUCAUCAUCACACUAAAAAUUUAUUAAAAAGAUAUUUUUCUUUAAAUAAAAAAGAAAUAAUGGACGGCGAAAUAGCAUGAUUGGAAACUCCACCCGUUGUCGGCUGUUUUAUUCUAUUUUAUCUACUCAACCUCAUAACAUUCAGAGGUCUUUGUUUUUUUGCCAACCAGGCUUUCACCUCAUUAUAUACUACAAUAUAACUCUAUUGAAAUUAUUUAUUUAUUUAACGUCUAAAUUAUUUUUAUAAUUACCAUUUUUAAAAUAUGUUAUUUAAAAAGUUGUACAAAUAUUAAAAUCUUUCAACUUCCCAAGUGUUGGAUUACGACUCCCUUACUAUGACUACUAAAUUAUUAUUUGUACAAAUAUUAACAUUUCCACGUUCAUACCUAUGCCUUUGCUUUGUCCAGUCCAUAACCUGUUUUGGCAUCCAGUGCAUCUAGUUUAUUACUUCCAAAUGAUAGGAAGGCAUGCUUGUCUACUCAUUUAUAUUAAAAAAAAAAUUAAAUUAAAACUAUACGUAUAAAGUUCUUCCCAAAAAUUAUAAAUCUUAUCAUAUAUGUUGCAAUAGUACGUAUGCCACGUGUUGUAAAAUCUUACACCCUUUCACGUUCUCAAAAAAUAGGAGGAAUAUAUAUAUAUAGUGAACCCUGCAAAUUUCAUGAGUUGAGUAAUCAGGAAAUGAAUUUUCUCCUUUAAUAAACUUAAUUUGAAAAUUAGGAUUUAAAAUAAUCCAAUCAUACUUAAUUGUUUUCACAGAUGUGAAAACAACUUCUUAAAAAUCCUUAGUUCAAAAUAUCAAUUUGAAAUUUUGAAAUGCAUAAAGGGAUGCUUAAAAUUUCUUUUUGAAUGAGAUUAUGAAUGAGUUGGGUACCUAAUAUCUUAGGUGGUACAUCUAUUCCAACAAGAUUAAUCUCUUAAUCACAAGGAGUGAUGGUUACAACAAGAUUAGCAAAUUCAAAAAGAAUUUCCUUAUCAAAGAGCUUUGUUCUUAUACCUUGGUGUGGACCCCGUAUUUUGGUUCAUGUUCUUCCACCUGAUGGCGAGCUCGAUUUUUAUUUUGAAAGUGAUUUUAUUUAUUAAAAAAAUGACUUGGAGUCGCCACUUAUUUCUGUUUUAUUUUUAAAAGGGUAAACAAAAUAAGAAAGAAAACCCUAAGUAUGACUCCUUAUUUUGGAAAAGGUGGUCUGUGAAAAAUCGGAUCCGACUCGGGGGUUAGGUUACUUAUCGGGAAGGUACGAUAAAGACCAUAGUACCCCUCUAAGUCCCUAAAGUUGGGUCUCUACUAAUAAAAUGAAGUCGACGUGGCAAUCAAUAGGAAAAUCAAUGGAUACUCAAAUCGAUCAUGCACAUAUGGGAAUCAAACACAUGCAUAAAGAAUGACCAGAAUGGGAGUGGAUGCGUACCUGGGCCACGAACGAGCAAUGCACUAUCAUAAAAAUGGGUUUAGUGUACAAUAAAGAGUACAAAACAUAUCACAUGCAUCACCAAACAUAAAUUAAAUCUGUUUGAGGGAAAACUAGAUUUUUGAAAUUCAUUUGAAAAUUGGAGUCUUAGAGAUUAUUUGAAAAUCGGAGUUUUAGAGAUUAUUUGAAAAUUGGAUUUUUAGGAAUUAAAUGUAAGAAUAAGACUUUUAGAAAUUAAAUUUGAAAGAAAUUGGAAUUUUGAAAAUUAUUUGAGAGUUUGGGACUAUGAAAAUUGAAUUAUAAAAAUUGGAAAUCUUGGAAAUCGUUCGAAGGCGGAAUUUUUAGAAAUGAUAAUAAUAAAUUAAUAACUGAAUAAAUUUGAGAAUUGGAGUAUUGGAAACUGAAAAUUAAGUUCGGAGAUAGAAAAAUUGGAAUUUUAGAGAACUAAAUUUGGAAAUCAAAAUUUUGAAAAAUUAUUUAAAGACGGAAUUUUAAAUAAAUGAAUAAGUGAAUAAAUAAAUGAAUGGAAUAAUAAUAAUGACGAAAUAAUAUUAAUUGGAUAAAUAAUUGCGAAAAUUAGAAUUUUGGAAAUUGGAAAUUGAAUUUAGGAAUUGGAAAUUUAAAGGAUUAUUUAGAGAUGAAAUUUUAAAUAAACGAACAAAUGAAUAGAAUAGAAAAAAUAAUAACGAUUGGAUACAUAAUUGCGAAAGUUAGAAUUUUGGAAAUUGGAAAUUGAAUUUAGAGAUUGGAAAUUCAAAUGAUUAUUUAGAUAUGAGAUUUUAAAUAUAUGAAUAAGUGAAUAAGUAAAUGAAUGGAAUAAUAAUAAUAACGAAAAUGAUCAUUAAACAAAUGAAUGUGAAUAGUGGAAUUUUUUAGAUUGGAAAUUAGAUUUGAAAGUCAGAUUUUUGAAGGAUUGUUUAAAGAUGGAAUUAUUUUUAUAAGAAAUAAAUAAAUAAAUAAAUGGAAUAAUAAUAAUAAUAAUAAGGAAAAUAAUACUUAAGCGAAUGAACGUGAAUAGUGAACUUUUUUAGAUUGAAAAUUAAAUUUGAAAAACGGAAUUUUGAAAAAUUGAACUUUAAUUGUUGGAAUUUUUAAAGGAAAUAAACAAACAAAUAAAUGAAAUAAUGAUAAUAAUAACGAAAAUAAUAUUUAAAUGAAUGAACGUAAAUAAUGGAAUUUUUGAGAUUGAAAAUUAAAUUUGGAAGUCAGAUUUUUGAAGAAUUGGACUUUAAUGAUUUGGAAUUUUUAAAAUAAAUAAAUAAAUAAAUAUGGAAUAAUAAUAAUAAUAAUAAUAAUGAAAAUAAUAUUUAAAUGAAUGAACGUGAAUAACGGAAUUUUUUAGAUUGAAAAUUAAAUUUGGAAGUCAAAUUUUUGAAGAAUUGGACUUUAAUGAUUUGAAAUUUUUAAGAGAAAUAAAUAUGGAAUAAUAAUAAUAAUAACAAAAAUAAUAUUUAAAUGAAUGAACGUGAAUAUCAGAAUUUUUUAUAUUGAAAAUUAAAUUUGGAAGUCAGAUUUCUGAAGAAUUGAACUUUAAUGAUUUGGAAUUUUUAAGAGAAAUAAAUAAAUAAAUAUGGAAUAACAAUAAUAAUAGCGAAAAUAAUAUUUAAACGAAUGAACGUGAAUAGUGGAAUUUUUGAGAUUGAAAAUUAAAUUUGGAAAAUGGAAUUUUGAAAAAUUGAACUUUAAUGAUUGGAAUUUUUAAAGGAAAUAAACAAAUAAAUAAAUGAAAUAAUGAUAAUAAUAACGAAAAUAAUAUUUAAAUGAAUGAACGUGAAUAAUGGAAUUUUUGAAAAUUAAAUUUAGAAGUCAUAUUUUAAAAAAUUGUUUAGAGGUGGAAUUUUAAAAAGAAUGAACUUGAGAAUUAAAACUUAAAAAAAAAUGUUUGAGGAAUGAAAUUUCUUAAAGAAAUAAAUUUCGAAAUUGGAAAUGUUUGGAAAAUUAUGUGAGAUUGGAAACCAUGAAGAUUAAAUCUAAAAGUUGGGAUUUUGAAGAAUUGCUUGAAGACAUAAGUUUUGAAAAUAGGAUUUAGAAUUUGGAAUUUAGAAAAUUUAUUGAGAAAUUAGAGCUUUAAUAAAUUACGAAAAUUGGAAACUUGAGAAUUACUUAAAAUUAAAGCAAUCAAAUGGGCUAACUUAAUAUGGGUAUGGGCCAACUUAAUAAGGGUGAUCAACAUAAAGAGCAUGAGGCCUUUCAUCAGCACAUUCGGGUUUGGGCUCCAUCUCAAGCUCAUAUCCAUUAACAUGAGCAUCUCCAAACCUUCAAUCCUCAUCACGACUUGCUUCUCCACCUGGGUAUCCUCCUCAGAAAAAGCCUCCACCACCGACGACGCGAUGGAGAGAGGAGCAGUGGCUGCAGUCCUGUAGCAUCCCGAAGACGUUGCCGCUGUCGCUGGUGACCGGCACGACUGCCCACAUGGUCGGAGCAGGUCGAGGCGAACCAUGUGCCUGCGUUGGGGAAGAAUCUGUUUGUGACCUCAAGGUGCGACCGCUGCCGGCUUAGUCAACGAAGGGAAGGUUGCAGGCAAUGAACAAUGGAGGAUGGGGGAUGGUGGUGAGACGACCUUCAGACCCUUCAAUGGCGCGGUUAAUGAGCUCGCAGUCCGGCGUAGAGGUGCCAUGGCAUGAGCUGAUUAUGCAUGCCUGUUAAUGGAAGAUAGUUUGGCGGUGGUGAUGGAGGUGGCAGUCAGUCCUGGAAAUAGGUCGAAGGUAGAGAGCAUGGAGGUGAGUUCGGAUGAUGGUUUGGCAAUGGUUUGAUGAUGAGGAGAGCUACUGCAAUGGGUGAGAUAAAUGGAGAAGAUGGGUUAGUGCAGAUUUAGAGAGAGAAACGAUUUUGUGAAAAUGAGAAAGGUGUGAGUGAAGUGGGUAUUGGGUGUUUCAUGCAACUAUGGGCAAUGAGGGGAAUGGUUAUGAGUGAUAGAGAAUGGAGAGUUGAAGGGUGAUGGGUGCAUUAGGAUGAGGAGAAUGGAGAGACAAAGGUGACCGUGUGCAUGGGAGAAGGGGGGGUAUGAAAUAACUAAAAAAAGAAACAGAGCAAAAUUGAGAGAUUCAAGGAAUUAUCUGGCAAAACCUCAUUCCAUGAGGGAUGAACGGGUUGCCAACUAGUGGGACAAGUUAAGAACCCACGAUUUAAUUACCAAACAUCCAAUCUAACCCAAAAAAAAAAAAGUUAUUUACAGAGGAGAGUCCAGGGUAUCAAGAAGAAUCAAAACAGAGCAUAUUACGCAAAAUGAUAUAUUCCACUAAAGCAAACCCGUGGCCCUUGAUGUCCACAACAAACAGCAAAACAAUAUGCAUAAAUUAGCAGAUGGUGAAGUAGGACAUUAAGAGACGAAAACUUACCAAGAUCAAGGUAGCUUCGCUCUAUGGUUUUCCUCAAGUAGCUCUCUAAAAUCUCUGAAACCCAACCCAACCUCCCCAAAGCUCCACCAAUGCCUUUCCAAAAUAUCUCGCCCGUCCUCUAUCUUCUCCCGCAAGCCAUCCCCUCUUCAUUGUGCCUCACUCAGCGAAGAUGUCAUCCUCAACCACCACCAUGGCCAGCCAUGCCCUUUGCCACACAUCCCAUGUUGUUCGUUUCUCUCCAGAAAGAGCCCCCCCCCCCCCCUUUCACCCCAAAAAAAUAGAAAAAAAAUCUCUCCCGAGUGGUCCCCAAACCAAAUGAAAAACCGUUGGUCUUUGAAGGGGUCUACACUUGGUUAUCUACCCACAUAGGAUAAAUAGAGCUUAAAAAGGGGAUUCCUAGGAGGGCUUUCUCCUUAAGGUCCUUAACAAGAAUGAAGGUUUGCUUAAUACAGAUGUCAUGAUUACGAAUAUGAACAUCUGUUAAUUCAUACUUAAUGGCAAGCCUUUUGCCAUUGGCUCCAAAUAGAGACUGAUUAGUCUCUUCACAUAAUUGAAUAGGUAUAAGACCUUCUUGAAGAAAAUUCUCAGUUGCACCUGAAUCAAUAAAAGCAAUAAUGUCAAAAACAAAUUUAUCCUUGACUAUUAUAGUAAGGGAGACUUCCCACCUUUGGAAGAUAACCCUAUUAACAGUAUUAAAAAAAACAUCUGUCUCAUCAUCAUUAACUUGAGAAGAUUCUGGAAUAUCCAUGGGGUUUCCUGGUUAUUAACAAUUCUAUUGAUUUGUCCUUGGAGGUCAGAAAAACCUAAACUUGUGAAUUGUCUUAACUUCUUAAUAUCCUUCCUAUACUGCCUUACUUCUUCAUGAAGCUCCUUAAUGCUUACUACUUUGGGAGACUGCUGGUCAAACCUGUUUAAGAUUUCAUUAAGGUUAUAAGGAUUUACAAUCUUCUUGGCUUCCGGCUUAACAAUUGAUUUCUUAAACACUUCAUAAAGAUAUUGCUUAGUCUUUUCAUCUUCAAUUUUCUUUAAAAUAUCUAGGACAAGUUCUUGAUCUUGGCUUAUGACAUUUAUGGUCUUAGGACGACAAUUACAAUUACCCUUAACGCAUUCUUCUUGGUCACUAGAAGAUUGGCUAGAAACUUCACCACUACUGUCUAGUUGAUUAAUAUCAUCUUCAUUAUCUGAAUCAGUCAUUGACUCAAAUUCUGAGGAUUUUAACAAGACUUCACAGAGAAAUAUUUUUUAAAUCUUCUGAGACAUUAAGAUUAUUAAUCUUUUGUCUAACCUUACAAUAUAGUGGCCAACCUUGCCACUCUUAAAACAAAUAAUUGGCUUGGAAUCUAAAGGGGCUUCUACAUUUUUCUAGGCUUCUUUAUUCAUCAUUCUUUGGACAUGUCUUGAAUGCUUGGUUUCAUUCAUCCUAUAGUUUCCAUAAGUUCCUCUCUUGCUAUGAUAAAACUUAUCUUUGCUAGGCUUCCUGAUUGUUCAUUGCUUAGAGGGAGGCUUAGUUUCUUUUUGGCUAAAACCAAAUUGGCUACAGAAUGACCCAAAUUCAUUCUUGUAGAUCUUUUGUUCAUUCUUCAUUUGUUGCUUAAGUUUGAAGUCAUUACACAACUUAAUACCUUCAGCUAUGACAAUGCUUAUAAUCUCACCAUAGGUUAGCUUAUCAUAAGGGAUUUGACCAUUAUAAUGAUCCCUUAUCUUAAUCCUAAUUCUCUUAAAGAAAAAGUUUAGGUAGACCUAAGAUGAAUUUUUCUUUCCAAAAAGAUUGGUUACAGUCUGACCUUAGCAUGACUUUGGUUAGGAAAACUUCCUUAUACCAUCUAAAGUCAUGAAGCUUGGGACACUUAAGGUUGGUUAAGAGAUCUACAGUCUUAUUCUUAAAUUUUGCAGGUUCUCCAAUGAAGUGCUUAGAUAUUGAAUAGAUUAGAGUACCAACUACAUCUUCUAUGUCUUGUCCAUCUUCGUCCUUAAAAACUUCAUUAUUUUCAUUAAUCCUGUAGGCUUUUAGGAUACCGUUUCUAUCAUCAAAAGUGAGAUAGUUAUCCCACCAUCCCUUAUGCUGUCCUGUAAACCCAACAACAAUUGUCUGAGCUAUAGCAUGGUCGGGCAAUCUAUUGUUUAACUUAUAGGUUGUACUAACCAUGGUCAUUUCUUGAAGCUUAGUGAGUAUGUUAUACUCGGUCAUAUCAUCUAUGUUCCAUUCAUAGAUAGUACCACUGGUGUAUGAAGCUUGAGUAUACUAAUUUCUUUCCUCAAACUGCAUGUCAGGAAAGGUAGGUCUAAGAUAGUAAUUCUUAGUCUUAAAGGCUUCCAGAUUGUUGAUACUUUUUGAAACAGUUUGAUUAUAGGGUUCCUCAAACAUUUUGAUUAGUUCAUCAACCUCUUCUUUUGAACUAAUGUCACCCUUAACCAUAUUGAUUCUCUUAUGAGGUUGAACUGUCAAAGGGGCAACAAGAUUAUCCUUAAUCUUCUGUUUAAUUCUAUCAACAAAAGCUUGGUUAACUUGGGGGUUUUCCUAGAAUUCCUUAGAGAAUUCAUAAGGCUUAAUCUUAUCAGUACUGUCACUGGUGACCCAAAUCUUAGUGUUAUUGACACGCUUACAAGGGUAGUCUGGAUGUUCAUCUUGUUUGAAGAGUUCAAACCAGAUCCAAAACUUAAUGUUUUUCUUUUCUUGUCUUAAAUACGCAUAAAAUUCUUCUUGGUAGAGGGUUCUAAUUACUUUAGGGACAGUACUAAAGAACCAAUCUUUUCUUUGCUUAUUGACUUCAGAAUAGAAGUCCUUUCUUAAGAGAUCCUUGUUGAUCUCAAAGUCCUCAUCACUUAGGCUUAUAGUAUUAAUCAUUUGGGAAUAAGUAGGAGACAUAACAGGGGACUAAUCCUGUUGUGAUUCCUGUGUAGACUCAUUUUCCUCAGUGUAAAAUAGUCUGGCCACGUUGGUGUGACUUCUAACACCUAUUAGCUUAAUAUUCUUAGGAUUUGCUGAACUGGAACCUUCUUCUUCCCUAGUGGUCCUUAAUGGGAUAGAAGAGCUUGAAGCUCUAGAGGGCUCAUAAACUGAAACUCUAGGGCUACUGGAAUAAAGGAAAGAGUUGGAGAAAAUCAGAUCUCCUCCUCCAUCAGGAUAUUGAACAAUCUGUUCAACAUUUUUAGAUCUUUGUUCUAUGGCUGGAACAACAUUAGAAAAAUGCCAAUUUUCAGGAAACUAAACCUCACUCCACAAAAUCCUUUUGGGGAUUAUGAAGUUUGACUUAUCUAACAUAUCAAAGUAGAAGAUAGUAGUCUUACCCUUAGGACUGGUGCAUAGAGCUCUAGAUUCAACUCUUGUGGUCAUGCUUUGAUAGGCGAACCUGGUUAUGAUGGAAACAUGACUGUUUCCUGGUUUGAACUUAAAGCAAUGGGUCUUAACAUGAAGCACAACCGAAUCUAAGAUAUUGACAUCUAUUAGUCUAACUGUGAAGUUAGGGAAACACUAGAAGUAACCAAGACCAUCAUUCAGUCCAGCUUGGACUGCACCAAUAAUAGAAUCUCGAUAGUCGAGAUGUUUAUUAUCUCUUAGACACAUGACAAUAGAGGUGUUUAAACCUAAUCUUGUCAAAGGCUUAGCUGCAACUUGAAUCAUACCAAAGUGUAUGAAUUUGUAAUGGUCUUUCUUAUGCUUCUCAACUGACUUACUAUCUAAGAGUCUUAUGACUUGAUCGUAUUGUUCUAAGCUUACUGACAUUUCAAAGGUUCUGAUGGUAUAAUCCCUGAAGAACUUAAAGGUCUCUUUCUUAUAAAUUUCUUGAUUAGAUACCUUGGGUAACUUCCAAUCAUCUAAAUCAUUUUGGAUCUUAGGAUAAUUGAUCUCUUCACUGUUUAUAGCAGUAUCUUGAGAAUCAGUGGAUCUCCUACAUAUGGUUCUGAAAAUUGAACUCAUUUUAGGGUUUUAAUCUAGAGACUAAUAGCAGAUUGACAGACCUAAUGAGACGUCACCCCAACCCCUUACAGCCCUAACAAACGCCUAUUCAAAACCAACAACGGGCUUAACUCGACAGGGUUCGCACUCCUCGGCAUACUGCUACCUAUCUUAUGAUAGCUCAAAACACCCAAAACAAACCCAACUUCCUUUCUCAUGGCUCUAAUACCAUAGACACACAAGACAAGAUCAUAUGUAAUGAAAACAUGAAUUAUGCCAAAAUUCAAAACAAAGAAGAGGAGUAAGAAAAUACACAAGAUAAAUAAUAAGAAAUUUAAAGAGAAGGAACCACAAACUUUUAAUUACAUAAAUUAAAAACCAUCCAUGAUAGGAGGUAAAAUGAAAACAUAAAACAAAGUUAAUUACAUAGCUGAUUACUACUCAAAACAUGCUAUUUUGUAGCUUGUAAUUAGCUCUUUUAAACACCAUUGAGUAGUAAUUAUUACCUUUUAACCCAAUUAGCAUGUUAGGAGCCCUUGCAAUCGUUUCUAACAAUUGUGUUAAGUUUUGGUGCUUUUUGAUAGCUUUAUGCUCACCAAAGCAAUUUAAGAAUGAGGGAGAGCUAUUUAUAGUUCAGGGCAAAGCUUUUGAAAGCUUAAAUUUAUGAAGAAAUCAAGCUAUGGAGCCUCAUAAUCCUUUGCCUUAAUCGUUCAAAGUUUACAAGGGAGAAACAAUGGAGAAGAAGAAAACAGGGGAUGAAAAUAGGGGACACAGCUGCAGUCUUUUAGUGCAAUUUUGGAGCACUUCCCGAAGUCCAUUUUCUGCAUUCUAUAUACCAUUUCGAAGCUCAGAAAGUCAAGAAUCCAACGGUUCAAACCAUAUAUGAUUUGGAGCUGAAAUGAGGAAGAUAUGGACUUCGGAAGACAACUGCAUCAAGCUGAGGAACAAUUUCGCACACCACUGUUUAAGGUGCGAAAUCCUCAGUCCACUGUGCGAAAUUUUCGCACACCUCAAACCAACAUGCGAAAUUGGAACUCAGCGUGCGAAAAUUGGAUAUUUUUGCCGACUCUUUUUCUUCUGAUAUUUUUGUGUUUAAAUUUCCAUUUUCUCCUUGUAUUCAACCAACCAUGUAAUUCCUUAGCUAGGAAGUAUCCAAGGAAGGGUAAAACUACCUUCCUAUAUAAAUUCUCUUGUAAUCACUGAAUAUAUAUCUUUUGGGGAGCUUUCUCCAGGAGACCAAUGUAAAUUAGUUACUUAGUGAAAUACAGAGAUCUCUUUUGCUUUCUUUUUCUCUCUUCUAUUUUCUCAUUUUCUUAGUAGCCAAACAUCCUUGGAGGAUGAAAUCCCCAAGGAUGAGAGGCUAAAACCUUUUAGUUUCUUGAAGUAAUGGAUGCCAUGUGAAGCUCCCGUGUCAGGAUGGAGAUUUCCAAGCCAUGAAUGUAAGUAGCUGAGCACCAUAAAUGUUUUCAUUCAAAGUAAAGCUUUUAAUCCCUCUGACUUGCUUUGAAUGGCCAAUACUUGAUAAGCUUUUGGUCUCAGUGGAUUCUUAUUGUUAGAUCCACUGACGUUCUUUAGUUAUCUCCUACGAGCCAUUGUAUUGCAAGUCGAGGAGAUGACCUAUAUCAUUAAAAGGGCAUUUAUGAGGUUCAGCUACCCUUUUUGUAAGUUUUCAAGGACUAAAACUCAGUUGUUAAACUCAUACCGGUUCGGGAAGUAAGCAUCACCUUAGUUGCUUCCCCAACGCGAGGUGAAAAGUCCCAAAAUCUCCAUUUUUACAUGGUGAGUUAAGCAUGGCUAUCCAAAGCUUUGAGAAACUUCUUUUUCCAUCUUUUAUCCUAUUUUCAUCUUAGUUUAGUUUACAACACCUUCAUCUUUUUAUGUUUUCAUCUUAACGUAAUUUUUAUUAAGAAAAGUUCACUCCAUCCUCUGAACUUCACUAGUUAAAGUAAAAACCCUUCCCAGUGUUCGAUCCUAGAGCCACUAUACUAUAGUAGCUUUGCUACUUUAGUGUAAGGACCUUAGGUAUAAAUUUUGUUGAUACCCUUACAUGCCAAGCUACCAAGAGUCGGGUUAUCAAUAGCUUAAAAACCAUCCAUCAUAGGAGGUAUAACAUAAACAUAGUUAUAUAAGGAGAUGAAUAUCUUACAAUAGGAGAAUUGAGGAAAGCUUUGAAGAAAGCUUUAGGCUUGGAAGGCUUACAUGAUGAGAAAGAAAGAAGAGAGAAGGGAGAGCAUAAGAGAAGUGAAAAAUGAAUGGUAAAUGAGCUGUGCUUACAAACGAGAAUCAAGCCUCCUUAAAUAGCCAAAAAGAGAAUAUUAAAUAGUACUAAACAGGAGAUAAGGUACUAUCUAGUUUUUGACCAACUGUUGUGAAUAGUAAACCCGUGUAUGAAUAGUAAAAGUGAACAAUAACAUUGUACUGUAGCACUUUUAGACUUUUCAGAAGGAAUCUUAUUUUCAGCUGAAAAGACGGCUGACAAGCUACUUUGGACUGUAGAGUCACAUGCUUGAUGCUUUCGGUGCUGAUACUGCUUAGAUAGAUAAUAUUCUUGCCGGUGGAAAGUAUAAGGCUGAUGAUUACUUGGAUUUUCUUAUUGGAGGAAGAAUACCUUCACAAUCAUCACCAUUGUCAGGAAGGUAGCUUGUUGAAUCAUCAAAUUCGGCAUAAGAGUUUUCUUGGGAAAAGCUUGAGCUUCCUUCUUCAAGGAUUUUCUAGAAAUCUUAAGGGGUUUUUACUGCUGCGAGCAUGGCUUAGAGCUGUUGCUUUUUUAGGAGAAAUUGUGACAUAUCAUCACUAGCUGGGGCUUGUGUAGGAUGCUUGAGGAAAUAUUGCUUAACUGUUUCCAAGGAUGCAUCAUUUUUUAAAGUGUCCCACCAUUUAGUCUUAAAAGUCCUUCCAAGAGUUGGAAAGGUUGAUGAUUCAUCUACAAUAAUAAUGUAGUCCCACUAGACUAUCCAAGCAAGACCAAAUUUACUAAAGAAGAAUAAUAGAGGGGGAAAAGCUGAAAGUUCUCUGGGGAUAACAAAAGAACUAUUGAAUAUCUCAAAGCUAUCCAAGAUGGGCUUAGGAAGAAUCUUAAUGGAUGGACCAAAAUAAGUCCACCAAUUAUGAAACCAAAAUAGGAAGGAGGAAAGUUGAUUCUUAGAUGGAAAAUAGAACAUCCAUGAAUGAUGGAAAUCCCUAUUCUGGAUCAAAAAAGCAUUGAACCAUGCUCUCUGAUAAUCCCAAUAGUUAAAAAAUCUUGGUUUUGAAGGUUUAGAGAACUCCCUUGAAAAAUUGGGAUUUACAUCCCAUUGCUUGACAAUAAGAAUCUUAUAGAUAUGGCAGGUGGAGAAUACCAAAUCCAGAUUGUUGAAUUAAUUAGCAUUAUGCUUAAUUUUAACAGAACCAGUUUCUACGAGGAUUGCCUCAUAAAAAUCUCUUGUUUUUAAAAGGUCACCACAGGGAUAAUGACAUUUUUCAUGAAAAGCUUUUGCUGCAAUCUCUCUGGGAUUUUCAGAGAAAAACUCUCUUUCGAUAACCAAAAAGGGUUGAUUUAAAUCUUUUUGCCAAUAUCUUGAUUUUGUUGAAAGAGGUGUGGGGUUGGAAACCACCACAAUUUGCUUAUUUGAAAAAGAAGAGCUUGAUGCUAAUUCCUUUUGAGAUGGAUUAGCUUUAGUAACCUGCUUAAAGGUCGGAGACCUUGAAAUAUUGGGUAUUGGGUAACCUUGACUGGAUUAGAUGGAUCCGAAGGAUCAUAGUACAAGGUCAUCAUCUUGUUGGGCAUAGGGUUAGAAGAGUGAAGCCUUGCUUUUUCUUCAAGUUCAACUUGUUGACUCCAAAGCAUUUUAUGGGGAGAAGUAGCUUCACUGGAUUGGGUUAGGAGCUUAGGUAUUCUUUUUAGGGGCCAUGGUCUCGUGAACCCUGCAAAUUUCACGAGUUGAGUAAACAAGAAAUGAAUUUUCUUCUAUAUAUAUAUAUAUAUAUAAAGGGGAAACCUUAGGACUAAAACAUAGAUGUAAAUUUCUUAUUAAAAUUAUUUCCAUAUACUACUUCUUACUCAUUUCAUUUAUUUUAAUUUAAAAUUAAAUAAUUUAAAAAAUAUAUAUAUAUUUAAUUAAUUUUAAUUAUAUUUUAUUUUCUUUAAUAUUUUUUAUAAUGCAAUCAAGCAUGAGAAAAUUAUUGUUUUAGAUAUCAUUUUUUUAAAUACUUUCAAGAAACUAAACAAAAUAUUGGAGCGGAAGAGUAUAGAAAAUAGAAAAUGAGGAUCAAAGUUUACCCACAUUUUAAGAUUUUACAAUUAAUUCAAUUCUCACAAUCUCAAUAACAAUGUUUAUAUGCUUUUUCAUUUAUGAGACAAAUUUGAGGACACCAAUUUUGUAGAAAGAAAAAUGCAAAGAAAUUGUAUCUCUCUCUUGAACAUGGGCUUUUCUAAAUAUUGAAUCCAUGAAAUUAAUGGAAUACUCUUUGGGAAACUUUGGUUUCAAGAUAUCAAUAUCAAAAUAAUAGGAUAUUCAAAACCGAAGUUUGCUAAUUUCAAGUCUACAAUGCUAACCCCAAAAAUAUUAUGUGUUUCAUGCACUUUGGGUUGAGCUAUUUUUUAAUGCCCAACAUGCCCUCCUUGAUAUUCGUCCAAGUCAGCCUCCACAGGUUUUAAAAAAACAGAAAGACCAAAAAUAAAAAACAACUUAAUAAUAGCAGGAGCUUUCCUCAUUUAUUUAUGUUUAAACCCUCUAUUCACUUUUCCUUCUUAUCUUAUUUAUUUUCCCUCUCCCUUUGUACAUACCUAACUAGUAUAAACAACCCUAAUGAAAAAACCACAACCAUCUUCUUCAUGUUUCUUUUUGGUAUGUGGUUUACAACCGAGAGGCAACAACUUGGUGCGUGGUCUGGCAAAAACUACAUGCCCUUGGGUGCCCUUGCCACAUCACCACCACCCCCCACCCUCUCCUCACGUCCCAUCUUAAUCACCUCUCUCAUUCAACUUCCUCUUUCUUUACACCUCUCUCAUUCUCAUCCCAAGUACUCUCUCUCACUUUCUAUUUCUUUAUGUAUAUGAUCUUAAUGAUAGUGAUUUAGUGCUUAAUGCACAAUUUUCAUUGUUUGAGAAUGAUUCCAUAAUUCACAAUAAUUCUAGGGUUUUCUUAUUGAUUCUUGUCUUUUUAUUUUUUAUUUUUUAUUUUUUUUAAUGCGAACAUGCUUCAGCUUGAUUGGGCUUAUUUGAAAUUUUUAGCUUUUCUAUGGUCGAUUGCUAAGAAAAUUGUGGAAAUUGAAAGAAAAUAUAAAGUUUUGACAUUUUUGGGGAUUGAGUUGGAUGAAAGUGGAUGACUAGAUUUAUCUUUGCCGAAUGGUUGUCCAUACAUCAUUAAACUAAUAUUUUGAUAGGAAUCAUUGAUCUAAUUUAUAUUGUGUUAAUUAAAUAAGCGAUUAAGUUAUUUUUUUUUACAGAUGUUAGUCUUGUAGGAAAAUUUACAAAAAUUCAUACAUUUUUUAUUUUAUUUUUAUGUGACACUUUGUCUUGCAAGAGGAAAUUUUAGGGAAAUGAUUUUCUACAAGUGAAUGAGAAUCAAUGGAAUUCACUUAUCUAAUUAAACAAAUAUAACUUAAGGUUUUAGAUUUCAUUUUAUUUUCUAUUCUUUUCCUCGACUAUCUUAGCAAAUAAAUAGAGAAUUAGGAAGAUUCUUUGGAUUGACUUGUUUUUCCCAUAAGUAAGGUGUGGUUUGAUGCACUUCCGAUUUUUCAUUUUAAAAAAUAUAAAAUAAUAUAAACUUUAUAUAAAAUUUAGGAACUCUAAUAAAAAAAUAAAAAAAAUUUAUUUUAUAUUUUAGGUUCCUUAAACUCAUUAUUUUCUUAAUGCUUUUUAAUCUAAAUUGUUGUUCUUGAAUUUUAAAUAAGAAAGGUAUGCAAGAUGAUUUUUUUUUCUGGAAUUAAUAUUUGAAAUAAGAUUAAUGUUGCAGUCACCAAAAAAAUGAGCAUUACAUAUCCAAUUGUGUUCCUUCUUCUGUGCAUCCAUGCCCCUGAAGGAGAAAUUCCUUUCACUUAUAUAUUUCAAGUUAGCAAAUAGAUUGUCAUUUCUUAAGCAAGGAACAAAUGGAGUUACCUUCUCCACUCACUAGGCUUAUUUUUCUAUUAUGGAUUGAGUUCCUUUUCCCAGAUUCCUCUUCUCGAUAAUGGUAAUGAAGUUUAUAACUUGUAGAAAAUAAGUAGAGUUAUUCAAUGCCCUUCUUUUGCUAGGUCCUUUUGGUUGCACCUUUUUGAAAGCAUAUUCUAUUCUUAAAAUUGAAAACUGAAGGAAAAUAUUAUGGUACGUUAAGUUUUUGGAAACCAAAAAUGUUGAAGGCUAGUAAAAUAAAAUAGAAAUCACAAAAUAAAAACAUAGAACACUGUCAACUAGGCCAUUCCCUUACUUUUUAUGUAUGGACUCUGUUUUAAAGCCUGAUAUGUAGCCUUGGGGAUUUAUAGCCCAGUAGGCCAUUUCUCUGGUUUUAAAUUCACAUGUCAACACAAUUGUAUUCUUUCUAUUAAUAUUGGCAGCUUUGUACCAUAAAGGAAGCUUACAAACAAAGUUGCUAGGUUAACCCUAGAACUUUGUUCUUUUUUUUUUUUUUAAUAUUUUUGGGAAUUUCAUUAUUAUGUUUUCAUUUUUUUUAAUUGGGAAUUAUUGUAAAAUUAAAAGAUUAUGAAAAAAAAAAUUUCAUGCUUGACUACAUUUAAUUGAGGCAAAGAAUGAUGAAUUGAUUGAAGCAAUAAGUGAAAAAAGAAAAAAAAAUUAUUUAACAAGAUGAGAAUAUAAUAUACUACUAUAAUUUUUGCUCUUAAUUUAUUUUCUCAACUAUGCAUUCUUGUUCAAACUAACUUUCUUAAGAUGGCCACCAUUAGGUACUACCUUAGUGAAUCUUGGGUACUAACUUAUUGAACCUUAAGUACUACCUUAAUGCACCUUAGGUACUACCUUAAUGCAUCUUGGAUACUACCUCAGUAAACCUUAGGUACUAUCUUAAUGCACUUUAGGUACUACCAUAGUAAACGUUGGGUGCUACCUUUGUGAACCUUAGGUAUUUCAUACAUGAAUCUUAGGUACUUCAUUUGUGAAUCUUAGGUAGUUCCUUUGUCAACUUUAGGUACUACCUUUCUCAACCAUAGGACCUAUCCUUGGCAUUGAAUGAAGAUGGAAUCCAUAGUUUGAAUAUCAAUUGAGAUAUGUGUGGAACUUGUCUACUCAAUACACAACUUCUUUAAUUACAUUUGAAUAAAUAUGUCAUUAUGUUUUAAUAGGUUGGUCAAUUAGCUCAGCUUAAGAACUAGCUUACUGAACCUUAGGUACUACCUUAGUGAAACUUGGGUACUAUCUUAGUUAACCUUAGGUAGGUAUUACAUUAGUGCAUCUUGGGUACUACCUUAGUGAACCUUAGGUACUACCUUAGUGAACCUUAAGUAUUUCAUAUGUGAACCUUAGGUACUUCAUUUGUGAACCUUAGGUAGAUCCUUUGUCAAACUUAGGUACUAACUUUCUCAACCAUAAUACCUACCUUUGGCAUUGAAUCAAGAUAGAAUCCAUUGUUUGAAGAUCAAUUGAGAAAGUGUGGAACUUGUCUACUCAAUACACAACUUCUUUAAUUGCAUUUGAAUAAAUAUGGUGUUAUGUUUUAAUAGGUUGGUCAAUUGGUUCACUUUAGGUACUAGCUUGUUGAACCUUAGUGAACAUUGGGUACUACCUUAGUGAGCCUUAGGUACUGUCUUAGUUGAGCCUUAGAUACUACCUUAGUGAAUUUUAGGAGAUUGUUUAUUCCAAAUGAUUUAAUAGAGCAACAUCAACUCAAGGGUUUCAUAGUGUGUUUUUUAUCACUCAUAAAAAACAAAGGUACCACAAUUCACCAAUAUACUAUCCAUAUUAUUUAUUGAUGAAACUUCUUUAUCUUUAUUAGAUUUUAUUGAUUGUUUGGGUUCUAGUUAAAAGGAUGAAGGUUUAUCUGUUUUUACCUCCUUUUUCUUGAUUGUUUAGUGACUAUAUUUUACUACAUGUAGAGUUUAGUUGUGUUUUUUUUAAUAGUGUUUGUUCCUCAAAAAAUAUUUUAUGACAAUGUGAUGGACUCAAGAAUUUUUGCGUCAUAUUCCUUCUCACAUUUUUUUAUUCCUAUUUUUUUAUUGGAUAAAUACUUUAUAAAGCAUUCUUUCUCAAUUCUUUUUCUAAUUGACUUAUGAUGGUUAUGUUGUGGGAUGAAUUUAUAUGUUCUUUUUCUCAACUCUAUGUAUUUACUUUUGAUUUGAAUUUAUAUGCUUUUUUUUCUCAACUCUCUGAAUUUAUAUGUGGAUGUAAUGCAGACAUAGGAUGUAAAUUUUGCUAUUGAGGCUUGAAGGAAAUCACAGAAGGCUUUUGUGGCUACUAAUUUACUCGCGAAAGAGGUAUAGAAUAGGGAGAGUAUUACUUCCAUUAGCCAUUUAGGUCUCAAUGGUAGUAGAGAUUAAGUCAUCCUUGCAUAUAUAAUGUGCUCUUUCUAGUUUAAUUCUUCUAUAAGUAGGCAUUAGGAAGGGAAAAAAAACCAAUUAGACCUGCACUCACUAUAAGAAAAAAGGCUUUCCUUGACGGUGUUUAACUGUCAUGGUAAGGGUUAUAUGUCAUUGUAACAUUCUGAUUUUAUAUGUCAUCUAUGCCAGUGUCAAGAUUGAGGUAUAAGCAAUCUUGACAUAUAUGCACUAUAAGGUAGGUAUAUUUCACUACUUAUCAUAUGUUAUGAUCUCCUUAACAUAUGUUAAGAUUAAUAGGAACAUCCGUCAAGGUUGCUCUAACAUAUGUCAAAGUUAUGAACCACAUAGGUCUUGGUGGGCACCAUAUAUGUUAAGGAUAGGUAUCACAUAUGUCAUGAUUGCUCCCAUAUAUCUCAAAUUUGAGUAUGAUGUAUGUCAAGGUAGGGAACAAGUACAACUGUCAAGGUAUCCCUCGAAAAAUUUUAAAAUUAUUUUUUAAUAUGAAAAAUUGAACCUGUUGCCAUGUAUAAUCAAUUUGAUAUUAUUUAAGAAUGAUAAUGACAAUCAAAUUAUCAUGAUUUUAUAUAUAAUCAAAACAUAUUUAAUAUACAUUUGAUUAUUAAUUAAAGCACAAAUCAAUGAACUUGUUUAAAGUUGUCCCCAAUUUCUCUAUAUAGAAGAAACUCAUAUAAUAUACAAGGAAAUUAAAAACACACUAUAAGACAAUAUACAUAAACUUAAAUUAAGUUGCUCAUGUAUAUAUCUACAACCAAGUCUCUUGCCUCCAUCUUGAAGCAUUACUUUACAUGAAAGCCUUAAAUUUCCAACACCCAAACUUCGAAUCUGUAGCAAAAAUAUAGAGCAUAUUAACAAAUUAAAAAGAAAAAUGUAUAAUGAGGAGCAAUCAAAUAUCAAGCUUUAUGAAGAAUUUUAAUAGCAAGCUAGCCACUACACCUUUAUUAGACAAUAAUAGAUUAUUUCUUAAUAACACAGGUAAACAAACCAACUCUCAAAUAUUAAAAUAUUGAUAUAGCAAAAACAUAUAGAGGCUAAACCUAGGAGCAAAACCUAAAACAGAAAUCAUUUUAACCUAAUGAAGUUAUUGUUUUGAUCCAACCUCAACCAAGAUAUUUAACUAUUUAGAUCAUUAUUAUGAUUUUUUAACCUAACACUUUCCCUGAAAUGUCCAAGGUUUCCAUCAAACUACACAAGUCAAAGAUAGCAUACAAAUCAUGCACAAAUGCAUCAUUUGGUUGCUUAGAAAGACCAAGGAAAAAUGACAACACAACCAGCUAUAAUUUACAAAGCUCUACAGAAAGGUACAUGAAAAAAAUAAAUAUGACAUCAUAUUGAAUGAGGAUAAGAAAAAUAAAUGAACAAAUUUAGCAAGAACUAAAACAACUCCAAAUUUAUGUAAAUGCAAACUACAUUUAUAAAUUUUGUUUAUGACAUACCUAGAAGGGGGUGAAUAGGUAUUCAAUUAUUUUAACUCAAAAAUGAUUAUUUAAAAUUUUUCUUUUUAAUAUAGGGUACAGAAAAGAAAUAAUAAUGCAUAAUAUAGAAAAGAUUUUACGUGAAAUACCACUUACAAAGUCUCCUAAAGACUUUGUGGAUAUAAAAACCAUAAGGUCAAAGACCGUAGAUUUAUCGUCCACUAAAUAUGAAGAAGAAGUACAUAGACUCACCUGACAAUUGUUACUCCUUGAGACCUAUACCUAUUUUCGCAUCCACGGUACAAUGUUCCUUAGUGAACUCCUUAACACCUUAAGGGGAUGCAAAUCUUUCUCAUGAACCUAAGAAUGAGAAUCAUGAACUUUUGAGAGUUUCGAAUUAUGUGCAAAGAAUAAUGACUUAAAGCUUAGUCAUAUGAAUUCUUGAGAGAACUCUACCAAAGCCUAGUGAACUUGUAAUAAAUUUAGGAAUCAUAUUUUACUAAAAAUAAAAAAAUUUAUAAAGUUAAGAAUAUUAUAAAAAUUUGAAAAGAUUUCAUAUUUUAAAUUAAAAAAUAUUUGCAAAGAUUUUCCAUCUAAAGUUCUUCAUUUAAAUUCUUUUCCAAAUUUCACAAAAGAUUUGGAAAUAUUUUCUUUUAUAAAUUCUCAAUUUAAAAUUCUCUUUCAAAUUAGUUUUAUUAUUUGGAAAUAUUUUUCUUUUAAAAUUUCUUUCCAAAUUAAUGUUAUUUCUAAUUUCCAUAAGUCCACUUUAUACCUUUUAUGCCACUAUUCUCAUUUAAUUUAACUAUAUUUACCUAUUUAAUCUUGAGUUGAUUUUGUUGUAAUCUUGAAUCUUCAAAGGAGUGUAAAUCCCAAGAAAGUAUGAAAAGUCCUAAACCAGGUUAAUGAAACAAAAAAUUGUCAACUUAAUUUAAACACCCUAAUACAUUAAUAAAUUACACAUCAUUAUUUUGACAGAGCCUUUUCUAUGUACCACAAUAUUAGCUUUUCAUUUAACAAAACCUAUAAAUGAGAAGAACAAAUAAUGGUCUAACAAUAAUUUUGAGAUUCAUUUCAUAUCAAUGAUCAAAUUGGUAAAAUUCUCAAGAACUUUGUGAGGAUAAGGUGUCUUUGAUGCUUACCUUUGCUCAAUGGAUACUAAGCUACUUGAUUUGAUUCACCGAUGACAAAGUUUCAUCAAAGAUAUGAAAACUCUUUAAUUAGAUGUUGAGAUGAAUUAGGUUUUAAUUUUUUCAGAAAUAUGAAUUAGAAAGAAUGGGAUCAUUUUAAGAGCUAAUGAGAUUUUAUUCAUAGCUAAGAUUGAAUCUUCAUGUACAAAUUCCUCUAGAUUGCUUUCAUCAUUUGAUUUUUGUUUUUAUCCACUUUCUUUGUUAUGCUAUAAAUCAAUUUUGAUGAAAAUCGAUCAAUCAAUAAUCUUUUUGAAUAUUUUAGUUUAUUAUUACAUAGCAAUUCAUGUGAUAUGAUUUUCUUAUUUUUCACUUAAAUCACUAAUCAUUCCUUGUGAAGAUGACCAAACUAUUAUACAAUAACUAUUUCCUUUUUCUUUUCUCUUUUUUCCAAUUUUUGGUUUGGAGAACAAAUGGUUUAAUGACAUCCUAAUUGAUUGAGUUUUUCUAAAUUGUGAGAUUGAAUUUGGAUUGGAUUGCUUUGCAACUAAAUUUUCUCACAAAGAGAUUAAAUAUGAUAUUAAGGUAAUCAAACCAAAAAAAGAACAUGCCACAAACCAAAGUAUAUAUCAUCAUAAUACUCAAAAUAUCUUAAACAUUUCUUACCCAUGAACAUACCUCUCAUGCAAUCAAUAUAAUUAAUUAAAAAAUAGUUAGGAACAUACCCUAACCCUCAAAGUGCUCUAGAAAAGGUAAUUGAAAGCAUAAGAGAGUCCUCAUUUCCAAAAGUUUUGUUAUUCUUAAAAAUCAAAAUAAAAGUGAAAUACGAAAUGAGUAACCUUUGGGUUAUUUAAAAGGUUAAGUGAAAUCAAAAUUCUGAUGUGAUUUUUCCUCUCCAAAUAAAAAAUAAAAAUAAAAAAUUGAUAUCAACUUGUAACUUUCAAGUGAAAUUGGAAUUUUAUUUUCAAUAAUACCUAAAUUGAAACAACUAAUGUAAGGUUCUGAUUCUCACUCCUUCAAAUUUGCAAUUUAGAAAACCCCUAAUUUGAAAAUUUUGAUUUAUCACACUAAUAUUUUUAAACUAUAACCUUGAAAUCAAUUUUCAUUUCAAAAUGUACUCCCCAUUUCAAUUUAAAAUUCAAAGCUUAGGUUUAUAAUUGAAUUAGCACACUGACUUCCCUUCUCAUUCAAUUUUGAAAUCAAAAUUACCAAUUUCACCAUUUUCUAAAUUGAAAUUGUUGAUUUAUAUUGUUAGGCAUCCAUUUACACUAAAAACAAAAGUAUUUCAAAUUGCAAUUUCAACCCUUAACAAAGGCUUAAAUCAAAUUUCAAAUUUACACUUCAAAUUCACUCAAAUUGAAAAUCAUUCCCAAACCAUACUCCUUUUCUCUCCAAAACUCACUCUUUUGAAAAAUUCCCUCAAUCACUUAAAAAUUGAAAAUCUUGCAUAUGCAUCUUCCUUAAUUAUCACAUGGAUAACUCAUUUAACCUCAAAUUGGAUUGAUAAAAUUUUCAAUAAAAUUUAUGUCCAUUAUAUAAGAAAAUUACUUCUCAAGAAGCUUUAAUCAUCAACCAGGAGCAUGCUAAAUUAAACAAAAACCAAAUGUACCUUCUAGCUCACAAUAAUUCAACUUAAGUCUAUAUUUGGCCUUUACUGAGCAACAACUCUCAACAACUUCUUCAGCCCUUCUAAUAAUCAUUCAACAAGAAUAUCUUAUAACAACUUCAAGGCUUUGCAAAAUUUGCAAAUUUCUAUUAGAGCUGAAAUUAGCUAAACAAUCACACCAAAAACAAGAAAAAAAAAACCAAAUUUAAUAUGUACAUGAAACCAAGCCUUGCAAAAUGACUUUUCAAAUCUGAUACACAACUACACAGGCUCAAAUAAACACAAAAAUCAAAACCAAACAAACACUAAUCUAGAACCCCUACUAUAUACAAGGGAUAAAGUAAGCUUUGAGGCCUACUUUACCCCAUAAAUGAAAACAAUCACCUGCUAAAGUUCACCUACACUUUAAAGAUAAUUACAAAAUAAGAUAGUCCAUCAGUAAUCAUGAAGUAUUGCAUUAACAAUCAAAAUUUUAUUAGCAAUAUUUUGGAUAAUAAAUCCCUAUUAAAAUUAAAAAUUAUCAAUCUAUCGAAAAAGUCAUCAAAAUAAGAAAAAACAAAAAAACACAAAAAAAAACCUCUUAAAAUUGGAUUUCGUCAAUGCCACCAUAUUUGUGCUCUAUGGUUUAUUAACUAUUUCAAGCAUAGUGAAUUUGAAUCUCACACUCUAAUUUGACUCAAAUUAAGUCUCAUUUAUAUGCUUCAUGAAAACUUGUUUAUAAUCAUCUCUUUAAUAUCAAAGAACUCAUAUCUCUGAAGCUUAUGCAUUCUUUGUUUUAAACGUUUUUGGCUUAGUUCAAGUUCAUCAUCGUUUUGUAGAUUUAGCUCAUACUUAUUAUAAUAACUCGCACCCAACCGUGUAAAUAUUAAUAGCUCUAGGCCUAAGGGGCCCCUCAUGACUUUAAAAUGUGUUUAUAAGAUUAAGAGGAGUCCAUACUUAUAUAGCAUUAGGAAAUUUCUCCCCUAUCCGAUGUGGGACAUUACAAACACCCCUUUAUAUAGACAACAUCCUCGUUGUGUCCCAUGGGAUUACGGGGUCAAAUAGAGAAACAACCCCUACAAGGCCAAACAAAUCCCCACAUUGGGUAAAGGAAUCGACUUUGAUACCAUUAGUAAUGACCCAUUCCUAACCUUGUAGAUAUUAGUUGUUUUGGGCCUAAAGAGGUCCUCACAGCUUUAAAAUGUAUGUACAAGGUUAAAAUGAGUUCAUACUUAUAUAGCGUUAAAAACUUUCUCCUAUAUCCAAUGUGGGACAUCACAAACACUCCCCCAUAUAGACACACCAUCCUUGUUGUGUCCAAUGGGAUUAUGGGAUCAAACAGACAAACACCCCCUACAAGGCCAAACAAACCCCCACACCAUGGUCGGGGAUCGACUCUGAUACCAUUAGUAAUGGCCCACUCCCAAUAAGGUAGAUAUUGUAUACUCUGGGUCCAAGAGGGCCUUCAUGGCUUUAAAAUGCAUUUACAAGGUUAAGAGGAGUUCCUUAUAUAGCGUCAGAAACUUUCUCCUCUAUCUAAUGUGGAUAAGUGUUUGUAAUGUCCCACAUCGGAUAAAGUAGAAAACUCCUGGUGCUAUAUAAGUAUGGACUUUUCUUAACCUUGUAAAAGCGUUUUAAAGCCUUAAGGACCCCCUUGGGCCUAGAGCAGAUAAUAUCUAAAUGUUGGGAAUGAGCCAUUACAAAUGGUAUCAAAGUUGAUCCCUGACCCAAGUGUGAGAUGUUUAACCCCAUGAGGGGUGUUUGUCAGUUUGGCCCGACAAUCCCAUGGGACACAAUGAGGAUGUUAUGUUUGUAUGAGAGGUGUUCGUGAUAUCCCACAUUAGAUAAAGGAGAAAGUUCCUGACGCUAGUGUUUGCAUGAGGGGUGUUUGGGCCUAAAGUAGACAAUAUUUACACGGUUGGGUACGGGUUGUUACAAAAUGGUAUCAGAGCCAAUUCCUGACCCUAGUGUGGGGGUUAGUGUGGCACCAUGAGAGAUAUUUAUCUGUUUGGACCUAUAAUCUUAUGAGAUACAAGGAGGAUGUUGUGUUUGCAUGGAAGGAUAUUUGUGAUGUCCUACAUCAUAUAAGGGAGAAAGUUCCUAGUGUUGUAUUAGUCUAGAAUUUUUUUAACUAUGUAGACGUGCUUUAAAGCUGUGAGGGCCCUUUGGGCACAUAGCAAACAAUAUCUAUAUGGUUGGGAGUGGACAGUUACUAAUGGUAUCAAAGUUGAUCCUUAACUUUGGUGUGGGGGUUUGUUUAGCCUCGUGAGGGAUGUUUACCUGUUUGGCUCAUCAAUCCCAUGGGACACAACAAGGAUGUUGUGUUUAUAUGGGGGGUGUUUGUAAUGUCCCACAUCGGAUAAGGAAGAAAGUUAUUGACGAUAUAUAAGUAUGGACUCCUCUUAACCUUAUAGAUGCAUUUUAAAGCCAUGAAGGCCUCUUUGGGCCCAAAGCAGACAAUAUCUGCAUGGUUGGGAGUGGAUCAUUACAAAUGGCAUCAAAGCCAAUCGCUAACUCGAUGUAGGGGUUUGUUUAGCCUUAUGAGAGGUGUUUAGCUGUUUGACCCUGCAUUCCCAUGGACACAACAAGGACGUUGUCUCUACAUGGAGAGUAUUUUUGAUAUUCCACAUUGGAUAGGAGAGAAAGUUUCUAAUGCUAUAUAAAUAUAGGCUUCUCUAAACCCUAUAAAUGCAUUUUAGAGCCAUGAGGACACCUUUGGGCCUAGAGUGGACAAUAUCUACACGAUUUGGUAUGAGUUGUUACAAAAUGGUGUCAGAGCCAAUCCUUGACCCUAGUGUGGGAGUUAGUUUGACUCCAUGAGGGGUGUUUUUCUAUUUGGCCUCGUAAUCUCGUAUAGACAACGAGGACGUUGUAUUCAAUGAUGAAAAUUUCCAUAAAUUUUGGUGAAAUUUCAUCGAAAUAUCACAUUUUGGGGGUUGUGGAAGCGAAACAAGGGGUCGAAAUGUCGGAGGGCCAAAAAAUCCAAAACAAUCACCAUGUGUCGAUGAAAUUUCAGUGUUUGCCAAUAAAUUGUCGAUUUUUUCAUUUAAUCGGUGCUGACUAUGUUUUUUUUCCGAUUAUUUGAUGAUAAAUCACCAAAAAUUUCAACAAUUUUUGUCGGAAAAAUCGCCAAAAAAUUCCUCACUACCUGUCCCUCACAUUGUUAUAGGCCCUAGGUCGUCCUGCUGCUUAACACGAAUGAUGCACUACUAUUGGAAAAAUUAUUAAUUAAGUUUAGUAAAUAAUAUUAAUGAAUUACCAUAAAAAUGUAAUAUGUAAUAAAAAUAAAUUUAUUUAAUUUUUUAUUAAAAAAUAUUAUUAAAUAAAAUUAUCAAAUAAUUUUAACAUCAAAUAAUAAAAUAUGUAAAUAUGGAAUAAAAACAUUUUCCAAAAUGAAUUUUUUAUUAAAUAAGCUAAUUUUAAUUAUCACUAACAAAAUUUAUUAAACAACAUUAAACAAAAAAUCUAUUAUAAUUUUUUUUUAAAAAAACUCACCUUAAUUUAAAAAAUAAUUAUAACUAAUUAAAAUUAAGAAAAAUAUUAAAUAAUAAAAAUUGAAUAUGGAAUAAAAAUUUGAAGCAAAAUCAUCAUAGAAUUCAUCUUUAUCUUUAUCAUUUUGACAUUUCAAUAAACUUAAACAAGAGGGUUGUACAAUGGUGCACUGGGACGUCAGUUUGUACAUGUGCUAUUGUGCAUGACCCUUGUGUAGUGAAGAAUGGAUAAAUGGAGUCCACAUGUUGUUAUGUGGUACAUCUCUUAUCCAGAUAGUAGAGAAAACAGUUGCACUUGGUUCUCAAUUAAAUUACAUAUAUGUCAUCCUUAUUGGUUUGCUAUAAUGGGAGAUCAAUGACAAUUUGGUAAAUAUUUAAACAAAAUAAGGACAAAAAAAGUAAAAAAAUUACAACAAAAACUAAAUUCCAGCUUUUAUAGUGUAUAUAUAUAUAUAUAUAUAGACAUAUUAUAAAUUAUAGGUUUAUUAAUUAAUACAUACUUUUUGUGUAUAUAAAUAUCAUAUAAUCAAAUUAUUAUAAAUAAAUUAAUUUUAAUUAUCAUGUCUUUUGUAGAAUAACUAAAUACAAAAUAAAUAUCAAUUAAUAAAUAAAAUUAUCAACAUUUUAAUUAAAAAAUACUUAUAUAUUUAUUAUCAUUCCUUCUAUGUUAUUGAAUAUAUCCAAAUUAGAUAUAUAUAUAUAUAUAUAUAUAUAUAUAUAUAUAUAUAUAUGCUUUUAAGUUAUAAACAUUAUUGUUGAAUAUUAUAAAUUAUAUUAUGUAUGAGUUAAUUUCUUCAACAAAACAACUUUAAAUGUCUAUUAUAUUUUUAAUUUCAUUUCCAAGAGUUUUUCUUACAUUUUCAUGAAUUUUGAUUAAUUUUUGGCCCAUCAAUAUUUUGUAUAAAAAUAUUCACCGAUAUUUCUUCGAUAUAUCCAAUAUAUCUAUAAAAUCUAAGUGCUAAUAUAUUUGUGAUUACCAAUAUUUUCAUCCUUGAUUGUGUCUGCAUGGAUGGGUGUUUGUGAUGUCUCACAUCAAAUAGGGGAGAAAAUUCCUGGUGCUAUGUAAGUAUGGACUCCUUUUAACUAUGUAAAUGUAUUUUAAAGCCGCAUGAGUAUAAUUUUAAAAACCAAACCAGUUGGUUCGAUCAGUCCGACUACCAAUUGGUUUGACAGGUCUGACUGCCAGUCGGUCACCAUUCUGAUUUGGUUCGAUGAGUUGAUUUGUCCAAGGGUUGGAUCGGCAUCGGACUGAGUGAACUAGAGAUCAAAUUGGCGAAGAUGACAACCAAUUGAUUUCCUCCGAACCAAACAAUUCAACCAAAUUUUUUCCCCCUCAUCAAAAUGACAUCGUUUUGAUGCUUCUAGCAUUGAAACAAUGUUGUUUUAAUCACUAUAAAAGAUAGCUUCCUCCCUAGCAACAUACCCUAACUCACCCCUCCCCACACUCUAGUUGCCCAGCAUGUCCACUCUCCAGUCUAGUUGCAGCACUACUGCCAGCGUAGAGCGUCGUCGUCGUUGGUACUGUCUCCACAGGACCUACCUUGCCACCGCCGAUGAGGACACUGAUAAUCCUAUGAAAUCCUUGAUUUUAAUGCCUAUAGUGGACCUCGUAUUUUUAAUGAUGCGUUCUAACUUGAUUGGUGAGACUCGCUUUUCUUUUAUUUGGUGAAAAAUAUGAUUUUUAAAAAAGACUUGGAGUCGCCACUUACUUUUAUUUAUUUUUAAAGGGGAAAACAAGUAAGAAUAAAACCCCUAGAUGGACUCCUAAUUUUUUUGGAAAAGCUGUCUGCGAAAACCCUGAGUCUGGGUCCGGGGAUCAUGUUACUUAUUGGGAAGGUACGGUAAAGACCGUAACACCCCUUUAAGCCCCUAAAAAAAGGGUCUCUACUAAAUAAGGUGAAGCAGACAUGGGAGUUAAAUAGGAGAUCAAUGGAUACCAAAAUCAUCAUAGUUCAAAAAUAAGUCAUGAUAACGAAAUAAUAAACAAAGUGAGAGUGAGAGUGUACCUUAAUAGCAGGUAAUAAAGCGUUGUCAUAAAAACAAGGUUAGUGUACAAUGACAAGUGUAAAAAAUCUCAUACAAAACCAAAUCAAAAUCAAAUAAAAUAGAGUGCACAACUUACUUGAAUUAUUUUCAAAAGAAAUGUUAUGAAUGUCAGGCCUCCACCAAAGUUUAAUUUAUUUUUGCUAUGAAUUAAUUCUCAUAAAUUCCAUCAUUUUGGAAUUAUGACAACUUAUUCAUUUUUAUAUUUAAAAAUUUUGAAAAUAGGAAUUUUUAAAAUUAAAUUUGAAAUUUUGGAAAUAGAUUUUUUUUUUUAAUUUAAAUUUGGAAUUUUGGAAAAUUUUUGAAAAAUUUGGAAGUGGAAUUUUAAAAAAUAAGUUUGGAAAUUUUGGAAAAUUUUGGAAAUCUAUUUGAGAAUGGUAUUUCAAAAUAAAUAAAUAAAAUAAAAUAAAAAAUGAAUAAAUAAAUAAAUAAAUUUUGAAUUUUGGAAAAUGGGAAUUUCAAUAAUGGAAUUUUGAAAAAUUAAAUUAAAAAUAUGGAAAUUUGGAAAGAUUAUUUUGAAAAUGGAAUUUCGGGAAAUUAAACUUAAAAAAUGAAAUUUUGGAAAAUUAUUUUGAAAAUAGAAAUUUUUGGAAAAUUGGAAUUUUGGAAAAUUAUUUUUGAAAAUCAAAACAUGAAGAUCGGAGUUUUGAAAAUUAUAUUUUGACGCAUAAGAAUAAAUAAUAAAUAAAAGAAGGAUGGUACGUAGUCGGUGGGACUUGCAUGCCAAAGGUGGCCAUGCAAAGUGUGGGCCUGGGAUAGAAUAUCUUAUAACAUAAUAAUAAUAAUAAUAAUAAUAAUAAUAACAAUCUCAACCUUACAUACUUUAAUACUAUUUACACAUGAAAUAUUGAAAACUGACAACUGGAAUAUCAAAACAUGAGAAAAUUAAUUAAGGGAAACUAACCCUAAAAUUAUUAAGAAUAUAUACUAACAUGAAACAUUAAAAUAAAUCGACAACUAGGGAUAUUAAAAACCUAAAUUAAUGAGGAACAACCAAACUAAUGCUUGAGAUAAGACAGUGUCAAUUCCACCGCAUGAUCAUUCUCCUUUUCUCAAACAAUUCUAGUUUACGGCCCGGGGAAUCAAAACAGAUUUUCUCAAGUCUUCUUGAAAUGAUUUUGUCUGCUUUAUUUUCAGGAAUCUCUUCAGGACAAAUUGUGGCUUGCAUCACACUUUCCUCUUGAUGCUCUGAAUUCCUUAGUCAUGCGUUCUUAAACAUCCGUGCUUAGCUCUAUCAAUAGAAUAGAACUUGCAGGUAAAAAGAUGCUUUCGCCGCUGCGAUUCUUGUGAUAUCAGGAUUGAAAUUCGUGUCUUCAAACUUCAUAUUUCAAACUCAAAUGAAGAAAACCAAAAUAGUGUAAAUAUGAAAACAACCGUUCUCACAGAUCAAAUUGUGGCCCUUAACGUCCACACCAAACAACUAGAAUAAAUUCUCGAAGAUAACCAGAGAAUGAAGAAGAGUAGGAUGUAACUAGCAAUAUCAAAAUCUCAGAGAACUGUUGGACCACCAAAGACAUUGCCUCCUCUGGAUCAAUGAUCAGAAGCACAUCAAAACAAAUCACCACCGAAUAUAUGGCCUUCUCAAUGAAUUCUCCAAAGAUCCACUUUGACAAAUUUGACCAUCUCUGAGAUGAUGUUGUGGUUAGAUGAUUAUAAAACUGUUCAGCAUGCCCCAAGAAGCAAAACACAGGAAAGGAAUUCUUGGUAUAGAACGGAUAUAAGGCUUCAAAGUUUUCCAAGAAAUCCUUAUUCUUAGACAAAGUGAUUCUGAACACCAAUAACUUCUCCUGAAAUCUAUCUUUCCAAUCUUAAUAUAAACUGAAAUCAGGGAAUUCAAUUAAAAACUCAUGACCCGAUGCUCCUUUUCCAAGUAUCCCAAUUCACCACAGGCCAUAAUUUCAUGAAACGCAGAAUCCAAAGAAAGUAACAAAACCACAUCUAGUCUGUGCUCAAAGAGAACCAACACUUCAUCAUAAACCCAAUUGAUCCAAAACAGGAAGCUAAGGAAUUAAUCAAAUCUUCAUCUCUGGACAUUUCUUCAAGCACACCGUAAGCACUUCAAAUAGAUUCAAAUACCGUACAGGAAGAGGGAUAGAAAACAAAAAAAAAAUAAAAAAUAAAAAAACAGAUGUAGAACCCGGAGAAGAAGAGAGUGGAAGACUUUGGUCAAUAAACAUAAAUAGCUCCACUUCAAAUAUUAAAUCCGUGGGCUAAGGACAGAGAGCAAAAUGCAGAAUGGGAUUUUAAACAAAAAAAAAACAUGAUCAAAUUCAGGCAUAGAGUCAUGAAUUUUAGACGACAUCAAUGACACAUAAAAGAAUCAGAAUCCAAAACAAGGCAAACAAGUGAGUAUCCAAUCUCAACAAAUUAAUUUGUGACCCUUUCCGUCCACACCAAUCAACAAUAUAUUAAAUAUUCAAAAACAAACGCACGGAGAAAUCGAAUAUGGGUAAGAAUUCCAAGAGUGACGAGAAGCGUACCUAGGCAACCUUGGUUGCAAUUGCCCUCUUCUCCAAUUCCUUUGUGCUUUUCCUCAAGACGAUCCGAAGAAUUCUUAUAGUACCCCUGAUCCAAACCACCAGAUUUACUGAAGAAGGGUCACCAUGGCUAGAAGCUGUACGUGUUGCAUAAUCUGAAGUUCCUUGCAUGUAGUGGACACCAUGCGAUUCCAUGUAUGAGUGAAGGUCAGAGCCCACCCAAUUUCCACUUCGUCUCCAACUCUGACCACCUCCACUACCACUCAAAGUUGGACCUUUGAGUAAAGACUGCACAAUCUCCUCUCCCUAUUGCUCGGCUUCCAAUGAGAUGAGCACUCAUGCUGCCCGUCCUCCCCUCUCCCUUUCUGCUUCUCCUCAAGACCAUCCCCCCCCCCACAAAAAAAAUCCGUGAUCUACUUUCCUUUCUUUAAGGAUAUAAAUCUCCUUUCCAUGUUGCAUAGAAUAUUCCCGCAUAUAUGCAGCCGUGUACAUCAAGGAUCUUCUCCAAUGUGUGCAUUCGAAUCUCAUGCCAAAAUAAAAUAAGAAUUAAAAUUAGUAAAGGUCAUGAAAUUGAAAAUUAAAACUAAUUUAAAAUUAUGCAAUUAAAAACAUUAUGUCUAUCAUAGGUACACAAAAAUAAUUAAGACAUCAAUUUACACAAUUAAUCAUCAAUCUCAUGCAAUAUUCUAUAAAAAACAAAUAACUAACCAAAUAAUAAUAAAUAAAUAAGUAAACAAAUAAAUAAGAGACCAAGUACAUGCAAGCAUUAAAAAUGCAAAUCAUGCAAAUUAUGUAAGUCAUGUGGGAAUUACCUAAAAGGCAACAUAGGUAGGCUGGGAUGCUCAGGUGGACCUAGCGAACCUGAGUGGGUCUAAAAAAGUGCCUAAGUGAGACUAGGGUGUUUAGGACAACGUCUAAGUGUGCUAUCCUAAAAGUGCACCUAAAAGCUAUCCUAAAAAGGAAGGAAAAACCUAAGUCUAAAUCAAAACUGUCAGGGAUCACAAUAAAGGGUCAGAUAAUCCCUUAACCAAAGUCUCCGAGGUGACUCAAAAAAGGGUACAUUAUACGAGUAAUAGUGGGCCAUCAAGACUACUGUGGAGCGCUGAAAAUGAAUUUAAAGACAUGUGCUAAAGGAACAAAAUUGAGGGUCUACACUACCUUCGUUUUAGCGUUCAGAGUCAUGUUUUACUUCAUUUGGUAUUUAGAUCCACAUCUUCAUUUAGCGUUCAGAGUCACAUCUUCAUUUCGGCGUUCAAAGCCAUGUUUUACUUCAUUUGGUGUUCAGAUCCACAUCUUCAUUUAGCGUUCGGAGCAACAUCUUCAUUCGGUGUUUAGAGCCAUUAUUUGUUUCUUUUAUUAUUUAUUUAGAGUUUCGAAUCGUGGUUUUAGUUCGACACUCAAGGUCCUCAUGUCUAUCUUUCGUUUGAUCCAUCACCAUUUUCCUCCUAUCUGACGUUAAGAGCCAUUGGGCACGCUCCUUCGGGCCUUUUGAGUCAUUUAUUUUCUUUAAUUUUGACAUUCAGAGCCAUUGUUCUAUUUGACGUUUGCCGCCACUACCACAUUUUUCUUUUAGUUUGGCGUUCAGAGCCGUUUUUCAUACCCAUUCAUGCAUUUUGAGUCAUCAUCUUUCUCAGUUUUGGGCGUUUAGAACCAUUGUUUUGUUUAGCAUUCAGUGUCAUCGUCAUUCUCUAGUUUGGCAUUCAGAGCCAUUGUACAUAUUCAUUCGAGGACCUUGAGUCACCAUCUUUUUGUGUUUUGACGUUCAGAGUCAUUUCUCCUCAACUGUAUCAUUCAGAGUCACAGUUUUGACAUUCAUGUUCACUAGCAUUACGCAUCUUGCCUUCAGGGGUUUGCAUCUAUCCUCAUUUUCCUCAUCGUGUUAUCCUGUGCUCAUCGCUUAUUCGUCAUUGCUCUUCCAGAUUUCUCUUCUCAUUGCUCAUGACGUAGUGCUUUGUGUUUACGACGCAUACUUCGGUCAUGUCGUUAGGCGCCCUACACUUGGCACUUCCAUGUAGUUCUCUUAGGGCAAUCCUCUCUAGACACAUUUGUUCUUGUACUCCAAGGUGGUUCAACCGUUACUCAUCUGUGGUAUGGUACUUCGAGUCACUUUUGAAGACGUCUUAGAGAGAGUCUAAGUCCUUAGUGUGACUUCAGAGUCAUUUUGAGACAUCACUUUCUUUUAAGAUUAGAGCCUUUGUGUUCACCUAUUUGUCUGAGUGAAUCCGAGUCUCACUAACAUCCUUUUGGGGGUCUCCUUUGUUCUUCGAUAAAGCUCAUUUCAUCCCACUCAUUACUCACACUUACUUUUCACUCCAGUGUUCAUAUUCCUUACACUCAUGAGCUCUAUCGAAGAGGGGCAUAUUUGUAGACCCCUGUUGGGGUGAGGGCCAGGGGGAGAGUUGAUGUUUCUUUAUUUUUUUCAUUUUUCAUUGCAUUUUUUUGAAGUGUGGGGGGACCCCCUCUCUAGGCAUGGAUCCCGGCUGCAUGGGACGUGCAGCAGCAGGGGGGUGAUGGCUGGCCAUGCUUGCUGAUGGGUGAACAGUAGGGCAAGUAGUGGCUUGCCAGGGAAGAAAGAAGACUGAGAUUAUAAAAAAAAAAAAAAAAAAAAGAGGAAAGGAGGGAGAAAGGAGCCGGAGGGGAGCUGAGGAGGUGAAGGAAUCCAGAGAGAAAAUGGGAAGGCUUUUAAAGAGGAGGGGAUAUUUUUAGCUGGUUAGAGAGAGGUCUUGAAAGCUAUUGGAGGAAAAACACAGGUAUCAUUUUUGCAAGCUAUGGAUUCUCUUAUGUUCAGGGUACUUUAUGGUGUCUUCUGGGUAUUAUGAGAUUCUAUUUUUGAUGCUUGAAUGUGCUUUCUGGGGACUCUCACAUAUUUUUAUGGAAUCUAAGCCUGCUUACACUCACUUGAUGCUUGAUUUCCAACCUGUUCGUGGUCUCUGUUUUGAUAUUUUAUAUGAGAUGUUGGCAUUCACGUAUUGAUUUCUUUUUGGGAACUUAAAAUGGAACAAUAGAUGACAUUGAUGUUUCAGCCAAUGUAGUCGCUAUAAGUUUCUCCAUUCAUGGCAGCACCUUUAAGGGAUUGAGGAAGGUUUAUGUAACCUGUCAAAGUGCUUCCUGGACUUUCAGCCAUACAUCUUUCAAAGCCAAGCCUGAGUGCUUCAUGAGCAAUGCAGCCCGCUUCAUAACCAGUUUUUCUGAAUUUUCCCACAUCAUGAUGGAAGCAUCCAUAAAAAAUCCGAGAACAUUCAUUGCUGACGGAGCUGUUGAAGGUAACCUCAUAUGCUUAGAGAUGCCAUCCAUGUUUGCUAAAAGAUCUAUUCCCGAACCUCUGUAAUCAGAUGAACUUGGCCACUGCUGCAUUUGGUUAGACUAAUUUGCUAAGAUCCUCAAUGAUUUAAAUCAACAUGCUCACCCAACCUACCUUAACCACUUCUCUGCCUUUCAAUAUUCAUACCCACCUUUCAUAAUAGGAUGAUACCCAUGCAUGUCACCACCUUUCCUCUCUCUACGUUCCCCAUUACCCACUUCUCUUUCUAACUCUCCACUCUUCCACCCUCACCCCCCAUCAAAACCACCAUCCUCUCAUUUCCAUUAUUUCAUUCACGUGCAUGAGGCCCCCAUGCACACGGCCACCUCAAUCAUCCCCCCAUGCUUACAUACCCAUCCUACACCCUUCAUCCCCCACACUCCAUCAUAUUCAUGCUCACCCUUUUCUCAACCAUGUCCCUCUCCUUGGACGACCUCUACAAGCUCGCCAUCCUUCACAAGGUCUUCGGCGCCACCAACAUCUACACCACCACCACGGCCGAUGUCGAAGGGGAUCAUAGGAGCCGUCACGGGAAAGCUCUCUUCUCACCAAUGCCUGCCCAGAAGCGUUCCGUCUCCGAAAAUUUGGUCGGCGGCGGAGUCGACGACGAGGAGGAGGAAAGAGACGAAGAUUCUCUUCACCAACACUUCUAUCGGAAGCAGCCGCGGCACCUCGAACCAGACCAAGUUCAACCCCAAGAUUACCACCCACAACAGCCACUUUGCCCAUCAAACAGCCGUUGCCGGAGAUGGAGCCUGCCACUCGUCGUCGUCGCCGCCGCCUUCCUCUUCAUCAAGAUCUCCGUCCAGCGGCGGAGACGGCGGUGAGACUAGUAGCGCCGGCCAUGGCAGCGGCGGCGCAAGCACCAGCAGAAGCAGCAGCCCCCACCUCCAUUCCUUCAUUUCAUCAUAGCCAUCAUCGACAUGCAUGCCCUAUUCCUCAUCGCCCAAAUGCUACCCGUGGGCCAUCCCUUUGUGUUUUUUUUUAAAAAAUAAGGUGAGAGCACCCCUGGAUCUCCAUGGUGGACGUUUGGCCGGUGGGCUCCCAAAGCCUAAGUUGUGGGUUUAGAUUAGUUCAUGUGGGCCUUAAGCCCCAUCCUCCAAGUUUGGGCCAAGUAUUUGGUCCUCUUAAGUCAUUUUUCUAAUGUUACAAAUCUUUUUUUUUUUUUUUUUUUAUAAAGAUUUUAAACUCAGCUAUACAAAAUAUCAUUUUUGAAAUAAUUUCCUAAAAUUUAAUUUUAAAUUAGGUUUACAAAAUUUUGAUUCUCGAAAAUUCAAUCCCGAAAAUUCCCCUAUUCAAUUUCACUCGUUUAAAUAUUAUGAUUGUUAAUUAUUAUUAUUAUUAUUUUGUAUGUAUCGAUUUAUUAUCUUUUAAAAAUAUCAUUCAUUAAAGUCUAAUUUUAAUUCUUCAAAAAUCCUACGUCCAAAUUUAAUUUUCAAUCCCGCAAUUUAUACUACUCUAUUUCACUCGUUUAAAUAUUAUGAUUGUUAAUUAUUAUUAUUAUCAUUUUCAUAUGUAUAGAUUUAUCGUCUUUUAAAAAUCUCAUUCAUUAAAGUCUAAUUCUAAUUCUUCAAAAGUCCUACAUCCAAAUUUAAUUUUCAAUCUCGAAAUUUAUACCAUUCAAUUUCACUCGUUUAAAUAUUAUGAUUGUUAACUAUUCUUAUUAUUUCACAUGUAUCGAUUUAUCAUCUUUUAAAAAUCUCAUUCAUUAAAGUCUAAUUCUAAUUCUUCAAAAAAAAUCCAAACGUCCUAAUUUAAUUUUCAAUUUUAAAAAUUCCACCAUUCAUUUUUUAUUCGUUUAAACAUUAUUUUCGUUAAUUAGUAUCAUUAUUCCAUAUUUAUUUAUUUAUUUCAAUAAUUAAAAUUCAAUUCUUCAAAACCGAAUUUCCAAAUUUAACUUUUAGACUCAAAAAAAAAAUUCCGCCAUUCACUUUUAUUCAUUUAAAUACUAUUCUUGUUAUUAUUAUUAUUAUUCCGUAUUUAUUUAUUUAUUUUCUUUUAAAAAUUCCAAUAAUUAAAGUUCAAUUAUUCAAAAAUCCGACUUUCAAACUUAAUUCUCAACCUCAAAAUCCCACUAUUCACUUUCAUCCGUUCCAAUAUCGUUUUGAUUAAUUAGUAAUAUUAUUCCAUACUUACCUAUUUAUUUCUCUUAAAAAUCUCAAUCAUUAAAGUUUAAUUCUUCAAAAUUCCGAUUUCUGAAUUUAGCUAUCUGAAAUUCCAAUUGUCCUAUCUCCGAACUUAAUUUUCAGUUCCCAAUAUUCCAAUUAUUGCAUUUAUCCGGUUACUCAUUUAUUAUUAUCAUUAUUAUUGUUAUCAUUUUAUUCAUUCAUUUCUAAAAAUUCUGCCUUCAAAUGAUUUUCAAGAUUUCCAAUUUUUAUAAAUCAACUUUCAUAAUUUCUACUUUUCAAAUAACAUACAAUUCUAAUUUCUUUCAAAAUGUAAACUCCCAAAGUCCCAAUUUUCGUAACUUAAUUUUUCUUAAAAAUCCCGAACUUUCAAAUAAUUCUUCAAAAUCCCAAUUUUCUUUCAAAUUUAAUUUCUAAAAUUCUCAUUCUUACAUUUAAUUCCUAAGAAUCCAAUCUUCAAAUAAUCUCUAAAGCUCCAAUUUUCAAGUACUCCUCGAGACUUCAAUUUUUCAAAUAAAUUUAAAAAAUUCAAUUUUCUCUCAAAUAGUUUUAAUUCCACUCUGGUUUUCAAACGAUCUUCUGCUCCUCUUGAUUUUAAUAAGCUUGAAUGAAUUUUUCAUAAUUCCAAAAUAAUGGAAUCUGUGACAUUAAUUCAUGCAAAAUAAACGGGUUUUGGUGGGGGCCCUACAUAAGUGAUAAUAUGAUUGAUUGAUUGAUUGAUUUGAUUAUCACACAUGAUUGAUUCAUUCUGCUCUAUGACAUGCAUGAGAUUAUUCCUUUAAUUGUGUACUAACCCUUUUUCUUGAUAGCGCAUUGAUCGAUUGAUGCCAAGAUAUGCCCCGUUCUCAUUUUGGUCGAUCAUUUAUUGAGUGUUCUGAUUCCCCCAUGUGCAUGACCACCCUGAGUAUUUAUUGAUUUCCACAUCAAUUGUCACAUCAGCUUCAUUUUGUUAGUAGAGACCCGAUUUUAGGGACUUAGAGGGGUGCUACGGUUUUUACCGUACCUUCCUGAUAAGUAACCUGACCCUCGAAUCUAAUCCAGUUUUUCGUAGAUCACCUUUUCCAAAAUAAGGAGUCACAUUUAGGGUUUUCUUUCAUAUUUUGUUUACCCUUUUAAAAUAAAACAAAAAUAAGUGGCGACUACAGGUCAUUUUUCUUAAUCAAUAAAAAAUCAUUUUUUUUCAAAAUAAAAAUCGAGCUCGCCAUCAAGUGGGAAACGCAUGAGCCGAAAUGCGGGGUCCACAUACAUGCAUAUAAUAUUAAUAACAAUUAGAUAAUAAAUAUUAAUAGCAUGCAAGUAAACAAAAGUCAAAAAAUUUAAAAUUUAACUUAUAUUUUUUAAUCCUUCAAUAUCAACAUAAAAAUUAUUGAAAGAUAUAUAAAUAUAAAUUUAUUAUUGAUUUAUUGAUUAUAAAACAUAAAUAUGAAUUUAUUUAUCAUUAACAAUGCAUGCAUAUGAAUUUAUUACUAAUAUAUUAAUAUAGGAAAAUUACUCAUUUAAGUAAAAUAUUUUAUUUCAAUCUUUUUAUAAAAUAUUAAAAAUUAUAUUUUAAAUAUAAAUUUAUUUAUUAUAAAAUAUAUAUGAAUAUGGAUAUUGAUUUAUUAUUAAUUUAUUAAUUUUAUUUAUAUCAAACGGAUAUUGAUAUUAUAAAUAAAAAGGUCAUCAAUUUAAAAUAAAACCUAUAUAUUUUUUAAUCUAUUUAAAAAUUAAUUAAGUAUUAAUAUUAAGAAUGACAGAAUACAUAUAAUUAUUUAUUAUUAUAGAUAUAUAAAUAUAAUAAGAUUAAAUAUUAAUUUAUAUAAGUGGAUGAGAAAAUAUACAAAAUUAAUUAUUUUCAAAAUUAAUAUUAGGUAAAAUGUCAUAAAUUUAAAAUAGAACCAAUAUAUAUAUAUAUAUAUAUCAUUAGAUAUCCAUAGGAAAAUCAAAGACAAAUAUAAAUUUAUUAUUAAGUUAUUUAUUGUAAAUAUGUUAAUAUAAAUUUAUUUACUAUCAUGAAUAUGAAUUUAUUAUUAAACUUUUAUUAUUCAUUUAUUAAUGUAGAGAAUUACUCUUUUAAUGUAAACUCUUUUAUUUAAAUUUUUUCUACUAUUUUUUUAAAAUAUUUCAAAAAAAAAUUAUGUUUAAAAUUUUUUCUAUUAUAUUUUUGUAAAAUAUUUGAGGUGGGUUGAAAUAUAUUACACUUCAUGAGUGAUUAUGAAAAUUUUAAAUGCAUUUAUUUAAAAAAUGGUUGUUUGAUGAUAAAUUGUUUCCUUUAAAUAACCAUUACAUAAUUUGAAAUCAAUUAAAAUAAUAUAUAUAAAAUGACAUCAUACAUAAUUUAAUUAAAAUAUGAUAUUAAUUAAUAAAUAAUAUUUAUAAAUAGAUAUAUUAAAUAUGUUAUAUUAUAAUAUGAUUAUAUUAAUAGAAAAUAUGUUGUAAUAUAUUACAAUAAUAUAUUAUCUGUUAUAAAAUAUAAGAUUUUGUACCAUUAUGAUAACUUGUGGAUGAUCAUCCAUAUAUAUAUAUAUAUAUAUAUAAUAUUGUAAAAUGGAGGGACCCAUAAUGAAAUUCUAUUGAGUUUUCUCGUGCAUUUUAUCAUUUCUUUAUAUAUAUAUGUAUAUAUUUUGUAACUCUCUGUAAAAUGGAGGGACCCCUAAUGAAAUUCUAGUAAGUUUUCUCGUGCAUUUUAUAUUAGCACGAUAGUUUCUACGAAAGAAAUAGAAAGAUUUUUCUCUCUUCAGAGAAAUAAAAAGACUGUCAUCUCAUCUAUCCCACAAAAAGGUAUAUCAUAAACUUAUAUAAUAAUUUUCUAUUUUAUUUAUAUAUGUGAUAAAAUUACCUUUUGAUUUUCUAUUUCACUUAUUUUAUUUGAAUACAUAAAUAUGUGCAAUCCCUAUAACCAAAAGUUAUGGGGUAAAUUACAAAAUUACAAAAACAUGGCCAAAAGUUAUGUAUAUGAUUCUUAAUUAUCUAUUUUUUAUUAUAUGAUAUAACUGUAACUUAUAUCAAAUAAUAUUAUAUAGCCAGAAGCUAUAAAAGUAAAUAGUUCAUAACCUGAAGCUAUAUACAAAUCUACAUAAUGAAAAUUCAUAGCCUAAAGCUAUGAACGAUAUUAGCUUUUGAUUUCUUUUAAUUAUAUUGUAUAACCGAACGUUAUAAAAAAAAAAAAAACUUUAUAGCCAAAGGCUAUAUACAAUAAAUAUUUCAUGACUUGAAGUUAUGUAUAAAUUUAUACAUUUUUGUUACGAUAAAAUAGAAUGUUUAUUAGAAACUAUAUUAAAAAUGUUUUCAUGGUCAAAAGCUAUAUAAGCCAUACUUUCUGUACUUAAGGCAGAAAUUUGAAAAUAUUGAUAUUUUAAUUUUGUAUAGCCGAAAGCUAUAUAGAGAAUUUCUAACUAUGGUAUAACUAGAAGUUAUAUGAACUAAAUUGUCAAUUAAUAAUUUUAUAAAAUUUUAUAGCUAGAAGCUAUAUAGAGAAUAUUUUAUAGUUUGAUGCUAUGCAAAAAAUUUUAUAUUAUAGUAAUAAAAUUAUGGCUAGAAGUUUUGACAAAUUUAUUCUUUAGAUAAUAUUGCAUUGUUAGAUAAUUUCUUGAAUUCAUAGUAAUUAUUUUAUUUUAUGAAAAUAUGAAAAAUGUUUAUCAUGAUCAACCUAUGUAGAAAAGGAAAGUAUAGAUUCCUAUACAUUUUUAUAAUUAGAAGUUAUAUAAUAAUUUGUAUUUGAUGGCUUGAAGCUACAUGAAAAAUAAUUUGUAUAUUGUUAUAGCCUAAAACUAUAUGAAUAAUUAAUUUGCAUAUUUUUAUAGGCUGAAGUUAUAUGAAAAACUUUUAUAUAUUCUUGUAGGCCAAAGCUUGAAGUUAUAUGGAAAUUUUUUGUAUAUAUUUUAUAUCUUGAAAAAAAAAUGUAAAAUAUUUUCAUAGCCUAAAGUUCUAUGAAAGAAAAUAGCUAUUUCAUAUAAAUGAAAACUAUAGAGAUUAUUAUUUUAUAUGUUAUUACAGCUAAAAGCUAUAAAAAAUGUUAAUAUUAUAUAAUUUCUCAUAACUAAUAUCUAUGUUGAAUAAUUAAUUUUAUAAUCUUCCAUGGCUAGAAGCCAUAUAGAAAAUUUAUGAUUUGAGGUCAUAUAUGUAAAACAAAAUAUAUGUUAUACAUAAAUAGAGAUUAUUAUAAGUAUUAUGAUAUAAACAUUGUUGUUUCACUUAUAGCCUAGAUUUACAAGAAUUUUAUAUAUUUUUAUAACUUGAAGUUAUGAAAUAUGAAUUCUUCUUUUUUUAAUAAUUCAAUUAUUGAAAUCCUAAAUUUUCUAUGUUUUGGAUUUGAAUGUAUCAUUAGUAUUCUUUCUAUUAGAUAUGAAGGUUUAAAUAUUUCGAUCUAUAAUUUUCAUACUUCAUUUUUUAAAUACUCAUCAUGUUUCAUGAAAAGGCAUAGUUAAAUUUUUCACAUUUAUUAAUUUGUUUAAAUAUUUUUAGUUUUCUAUUUAGUUUGUUAUUGUAGUUAAUUUCUAUGUCAUUAAAGUAUGAUAGCCCUUUAGUUCUUUAGAAUAAUAUAAAAGAAAGUAUACCCACUAAAAGACUAUGAUCCUCUUUUAAGUUCUCUAUAACUAGAUGUAAUUGAGAAUAGUAAGUUUUUCAUUAAUAACCGCCAAUAUUUUCUAAUCGGAUUGGAAUUGUUCCCCAAAGUGAAUGCUACCAAUUAGGAAUACGAUCAUAGAAUAGGAUAUGAUCUAAAUCUAGUAUACAAUAACUUCUUAAUCCAUGAGGGUCAUUGUUUUCCCAAGAAGAAAUUUAGACCAUACCACCAGAAGUGGUGAAAUGAAAUGAAAAAAAAGGGUUAAGUUUGUAGUAUAAGCCUACCAAAGUUGAACAAAAAAUCAUUGUUGAUGCAUACUAGUCAUACGAUCAAGCAUUUCAUUGACUUUUUCUAAAAUUAAAAGAAAAAAAUUAGUAAAGAGAAGGUUAACAUAUCUAGAUUAUUAUAACUUUCUUUAGAAAUCCUAAUGAUAAAAUUUACUAAUUGAUUGGUGAUGGAAAAAAUGUUUAUUCUCAUGUAGGAUCUUUACUUUCUUAUGUUGUGUCUUUUUAUCUAAUAUAGUACAUAUCAUAUUUGCUAAUAAAUGUUUAUGUUUUAUUUACAUAUAGUAUUUAUUGCUUAAUAAGUAUAUUCUAAGAUAUCUAUCUCAUUAAUUGUACAACAUGUAAUAAUUGAUGUCAUUACCAUAUCAAUUUAUGGAAACUUGAUUGAAAGCUCUUGAAGAGCUUAUAUUAUGUUACUAGUUGAUCGAUGUCAUUACUAUAUAUAUGAAUUUAUAAAAACCCGAUUAAAGGCUCUAGACGAGCUCAUACUAUGUUACUAAUGGCACACAAAUCCAUAUGAAUGAUACUUGACAUUCUAUCAAAUCUAAAAGAAUUUGAGAUGACCAACUUGGUCCUCUAGGGUGAACAAUGAUGCAUCAACUCCUUGAAAUAUCAAAUGGGGAUUCAUUAAAGAACUAGAAGUUUCUUCAACUAGUGACUAGUAUAUUUGAACCUUUGAAGGAUAUUAUUACGUGUUAUGUAAAUUUCUAGUUUAAAGAGACAAUUUCUCACCAUUAGGGGGAGGCAAGUCAAUUCUAGAAGAAUGGCGAGACAUUACAUGGUUUGUACCCUCUCUGUCUCAUCUGCAUCCUCGUACAAGGUAGUGUGAACUAGAAGUUCAAAGGAUUAUUCAUUUGUAAGGACUUGCAAAUUAGUUACCUAAUGUUUUCACAAAUAUAAAAAAAGUAACAAAGUCACAUGUGCUGGCUAUGAAUACCCCCUGACACAUAUUGAUGUCCCUGAAGGACAAUUGAAAAAUGCCAUAGUAAGUGAAUCUAAUACACGUUUAAAGUGUGGUAGACCUGUUGGAUCAAACGAUUCAGUUCCUAAAAAAAAAAAUGAACAACAUAUGAAAAGUUUGGUACUCUUGAAGAGCUUACAAAUAUGAAAUGGUCAAAUGAUGAAAACCAACUUGGUAAGCAGUUAGCCCCUGAAGAGACACAAAUUGAUCAAAUACUGGUAUCUAGAAUGGAAGAUAUCUCUAUGAGUCACACGAGAGAAACAAGGAACCACAAUUUGGACUUGUAGUUCAAACACCUAGAAACAUAAAGCCUAUCGAAAUAUGAGAGGAGGUUUCAAAGGUGGUCAAAUCGAGGAGAUCGAGGCAAUAGAUACAACUUCUCACAACUAAUUUGUCAAGUUUGUGGCAAACUAAGUUGUAUUGCCCUCACAUGCUACUAUUGAUUUGAUCACAAUUAUCAAUCUCAAAACUCUCAGAUUGUUAUCUUAAUUACUUCACUAGAAAAAGGAAACGAUACUGCAUUUUCAAGUUUACUGUCUUAGAGAAUAUGGGCAUUGGUGAUAUUUUUAAUGCUUUGAAUAAUUUUAUACAUCUUCUAACCAUAUUUAGCUUAAAAGGUCUAUGAAAAAAAUAUUUAGCUUAAAAGAAAUUCUACAUUUUUGGGUUUUUAGAGCAUAUAACAGUUUCUAAUACAAUUGAUUCAGUUUAAUUAGCCUAUAUAAUUUGCUUUUAAGAAUGAUUUGUUAGCAGCCUUGGUUGACAUACUUUAUCACACAAUAUGAAGUUUUCUGAAGUUCAUUCUGUUCUUUAGAUGGGGAGAGAAUGAAAAUUAAUAUAUAUGGAAAAAAAAAAAAGAUGAAGCUUCUGUUUUGUGCAUAAUUAUGGUGAUUUUGCACAGGCAUGGGGUGGGGUGGGGGGAGGGGGGUUUGUUGAUGCUUAUUAAGUGCAUAUUGUCUGAAAAAACUAAGAAUGUAUUGAUGUUUAUUUGUUUUAUUUAUUACUUCAAGCUGAACUAACUCGAUAUUUACUAAAUUUAAUACCCAACACACUUUGUUAUUCAUCACAUGUAUAUGCAGUAUUUCCAUCCAGAUAAUAUGUCAUCUGCUGAGAAGCUGAAAGUUGAGCUUAAAAAAGUUAGAGAUGAAUUUAAAAUGUCAGAAUCAGAUUGUGGAUCUGCACGUGUUCAAGGUAAAAUUUCAUUGGGGUCUGUUCCAGUGAAGAUUCAUUGUUUCUGUUGUUGUUUAUUUGUUUUUGUCAAAAAAAAUUUGCUUUUCCCUUUUUUGUUGAAUGAUCCAUGUGCCCUUUCCACAUAUCAAUGCACAGAUAAUCCUAUAAAUGAGGUUUUAUUUUCAAGUUUCACCUAAACUCCUGGCCGGCAUCUAGGUUUCUUUGCAAUUAAUAAUAUAGGAGAAAUUUGUUUUUAGGUUAUGCACUUCUAGUACCUUAUAAAAGGAGGAAGAAAAAAAAAAAGGUGGUUAAAAUAGGUGGGUUGGAAUCAUGUUUUAAAGUCAUGGUAUAACUCAUUGACUCAAAGGUCCUGAUGCAUAUCGGUCUUGGUAUUAGACGAUAAGCAAAAUAUGUUAAUUUAAGAGUUCCAAAUUUUUUAAGAGAAUUGUUAAAAUUAUCACAAAAAUAAAUACAAUCAUAUAGACAAAAAAAAAUAAUAAAUAUAUAAAGAGAGAACAUUAUCCAUUUAGUGACAGAAGUAUGCUGAAAUAGAUUUAAAACUUUUUUAUUUAUCACCUCAUACUAAAUAUUGGAUAAAACUAGUAAAAAAAUAUUUUUAUAAUAAAUUUGUUUAAAUUAAAAAUUUGAACAAAUCUCUUUUGGGCAUAUCUAUGCAGUUUAAGCAGAAAUACCUUGAACCACCUUAAGCUCAUUGAGAAGAGCUUUUUGGCCUCAAAUCUCUUCUAAUUUAAAGUGUUUUUAGCUCAAUGACACUGAAUCUCUUUUAAUAGUUAGAAAGAGCUUUUAGAUGAUAAAAAGGCUGUGCCAGACAGGGUCUAAGUCAAGUCUUGGGGAUGACAAGGAUGCUAACUUAAACACAAGAUUGAUAGACAAAAGAUAGUUUGAGGGUUUGAUAUUUGGUGACGGAUUUUCUUCAUUCUGCUUCUACUUUAACAUGUUUAAAACACACUGUAAACUUCUUUUAACAGCUACAAAGAGCUUUUAGAUAAUUGAAAGACUGUGCCAAAAUAGAGCUUAAAAUUUUGGUGUGGCUAAGAAUGCUAAUUUUAACGUAAAAUUAAUGGAUAAAAAAUUGUCUCUUCUUGUAUUAGAAAGCAAAUGUGUUGUAUAAAGGAAGUCGGAAUAUCGAUAAUUGUAGGUUAGCCUGUCAAGUUUCUAAUCAUCGGAUUGUAGAAAGUAUGUCAGAAUUACGAUGGUUAGAACUUUCAGAUUGAAAAAAUAAAUAAGCAAAAAUGACGGUUACAACUUCUUUCAAUUGCAAGGAACAACCAGAAGGGAUAUUAGGAGUUCAAAAAUUUUUCUGGAUUGUGUUGCCAGGGAUUAUUUAUUUACUGAGGAUUUCCAUUCCUUGUGUCUUAUUGUUUUGCAGUGGCACAGCUGACGACAAAGAUCAAGCACCUAAAUUCAGCAUUACAUAAAAAGGUAAGAGUAUGGUCCAUGAAUCUCUGUAUGUUUCAGUGUAUCGUAGGUGCUCAUUUGACCUGCAAACCAAUAUCUUUGAGGAGUUGUUUCCUCUGCAUUGUACACUCCCUGAGUUCUCUUUUAUGGAGAUGUGGGUGUCAUGUUGGUCCUGGUAUGGAAUUUUCAUAAAAACUGAAGGGCAAAAAUGAAAAAUUAGAAACAAACCAACUCAUAGAAAACUUAGCUAUGAUUAGCAAUGUUUUAUAGAUGGCGGAGGAAAAGAUGGAUGGGGAAAUUGGGGGAAAUGAGGUGAGGGAAAUGUUGAUUUGGAAUGGAUUUGAAGUUGUUCGAACUCUCAGGGGAAAUGGGGGGAAAUGAGGGGAGGGAAAUGUUGAUUUGAAAUGGAUUUGAAGUUGUUUGAACUCUCAGUGCAUGAGGUCAAAGGCAAGUUGUUAGGAAAAAUUUUGGAAAGUAGCAGAUGCUACUCUAGCUGGAUAAGAUUUGGUGAGCUAGGUCUGUCCCCUCUUUUGGAAGAGGUGGAGCUGUGUUGUUGGGGUGUAGGAGGGAAGCCUUUCAGCAAGGAAAGGUUGGAAGGUGAGAGAAUUUACAUGUCGGAAUGCCAUUGUAAUGAGGUAGGAAGGUUCAUCCUUUGUUCAGUGUACUCUGGAGGUAAGGAGGUUUGUUUUGUUUUCCCAAAAGGGUUACGGUCUUCCUAAGGGGAGGGUGGUUCAAUUAGAAGGGAGAAACAAAUUAAGGGUUUCAUCUAAUGAGUCAUUUGCAGACAAGGUGAAGAAAGGUAAAGAAGCAUUGGGAGAUGAUGUUUGGUUUUGGAUGGGGAAAAGGAUGUCUGUCUUAAGGAGUCCCUAAAGUGUUGUCUAGUGGGUCAGUUGGGGGAGUUUUCAGAUAUGGUGACAGAGUUGCAAGCAUUGAAGAAAUGUGCAUUUUUCUAUUGGCAUUUGCAAGGGGAAGUCAACUUAUCUUUGCUAAGGGGAGCCCUCAUCUUAUUUGAAUUGGAUUCAAUUGAAGAUGCAAGUGAGGUGCUGCAUAGAGGUCUGAGGAGGUUUGCCAACAAGUGCUUGUCCUUGGAUAGAUGGUUGUUGAAGGUCAGGUGCUUUCGAAGAGACAUCCAUGCAAAGGAGGUUUGGUUCAGGCUAACAGGGCUAGCACUGCACUUAUGGGACAAGACAUUAUUUUUUAUUUUUUGAUAGGUAAAUUUUUGUCCCCAUGGGACUUGAACCUGGACGUCCCACAAAGCCUCCCUAUCCCUUUACCACUUGAGCCAGGCUUCAAGGGUAUGGGACAAGACAUUAUUUAAAUAUCUAAGGGAUUGUCAUGGGGGCUUCGUUUUGGUGGAUAUAAGCAUUGUAAAGCAGCGUAACCUCCAGUGGGCAAGGAUUCUUGUGGGUUCAAAUGACAAGAACAUUCCUAGAUUACUUCAGGUGGUGGUGGGGCUUUUUGGUUACUUGAUUCAAUUGUGGUGGGAGGUCCCACUUGGUUGUCACAGUUUGUAGCUAGGAGAGAUGGAAAGUAGCAGGAGGCAAGGGCAGAAGAUGAUGGUGGUGGCCCUUAAGAUGCUAGAGAGGGUGUGAGUAAGAAAGCACUGUUGGUUUGCAAGAGCUCAGGGGACAUUUUGAGCUUAGGGGCCAUAAGGUGCCAUAAAGUUAGGAAAGUAGCUGGUGGCUUUGAAAAGCCACUACUUUUAGGUUAUUAUGAUGGUGGUUGCGGACUUGCAGAUUUAGGCCUUGUGUUAUUGGAGGAUGCCCAUUGCAAGAAAGACAAGUCACAUUGUUUUGGGACUUUAGUGGCCCAAUGAAGAUGGUUAAAGACUCCAACCCCUUGAUCCAUGACUUUUAUGGAUUGGGCCAGACUCAUUUCACUAAUCCAAGGGGUUUAAAUUGCAGAUUAAGGGAUGUGGGUUGUGCCUUAACUGGUAGUGAGGGCUUUCAUAGCCUUGUACCCUUGGAGAGAGAUCAUUCUGAAGGUUGUGAGAAGGGAUUUUGGUUAAACAUUCUGGCAUCCCAAGAGAGGAGAGUCUGUCUCAACAUUGCAUAGGCAGGAACCUCUAGAUGCUAUGGAUCAAGAGCUAGCUGUCUUUAGUUGAUCUUGAUGGCCUGAGGAUGGUUUGUGACGAAGUAGCUCUCUCUUUGCUUGUUCGCUCCUCUUAGAACCUAGAGGAGGGAGCACCAUUUGUAGAUGCCACCCUCUUGUUUGGAGUAGAAGGUUUUGCAGGUAAGUUAUCAUCUCCAGUUUGUUGGAUGGGGGAUGGGUUUUCUUCUGCAUCUUCUAUUUCCAAAGAUGAGGGUCCAGCCAAAAGCUUGGUUUUGUGGAGGGAGCAGGACAAGGGGCUUGUAGUAGAAUGCAAGGGUGAUGGUUAUGGGAUGUUAUGUAUGACUUCCAGCAAGGGUUUGGUUGUGGACUUUCCAAAGAAUCACCUUAGAGAUGCCUAGAGUGUGAACCUAGAUGUGGGGAGUGAGGAGGUGGUGGCUUUGGAGAAUGGGAGCUCUAGGAGGGACUCGAUGGGAGAUGAGAGCCUCUACGAUUUGUCUUUUGGGAAAUUCGUCUCCUUUAGCAAGUUUUUGGAUUUGCUAGUGGAAGGUUAUGAGAAGGAAAUUGUGUCCUUAUUGAGAAAGUCGGAAGCUAAGAAGGGUUAUAGAGUAGUGGCUUUGAGUAUAAAAAGGAGGCCUUCCUCUAUGUCCGACUUUGAUAGGGAGCUUUGCAAAUUGGAGUGCUUGGUCAAUUACAACAAAUCAAGUGGAAAAGGGGGGAGCCAGAAGUGGGGGUGGGAUAUGGUUUGUGAGUGAUCAUGAAGUUUGAGAUUUUUCUUAAUUCCUAAUUCAAUAUAUUACAUUGUUAUUUCUCAA